UUUAAUCGCCGAAGGAGUUUUUGAGGUGGUGGCUGACAGAGCUCCAGAGUCUGUAGCAGAUGAAAGACCUACUGAGCGAACACUAGUAGGCUUGCAAUCACAACUUGAACAAGUCUGGAGAUGUCUUAUAGAAGAAUCAGCGGGAAUCAUUGGCCUAUAUGGUAUGGGCGGUGUUGGUAAAACUACACUAUUGAUCCAUAUCAACAAUAAAUUUCUCGAGAGUCGAACCAACUUUGAUUUUGUGAUUUGGGUAGUAGUUUCAAAAGACCCGCGACUCGAAAAAAUUCAAGAAGAUAUUGGGAAAAGGAUAGGUUUGGUUGAUGAUUCAUGGAAGAGUAAAAGUGUAGAGGAGAAAGCUCUCGACAUCUUCCGGAGUUUAAGAGAGAAGAGAAUUGUAUUGUUGUUAGAUGAUAUAUGGGAGCGGCUUGAUUUAACAAAAGUGGGCGUUCCACUUCCCGGACCAAAAAAUACUACCUCAAAAGUCGUAUUCACAACCCGUUUCUUCGAUGUUUGUGGUAGCAUGGAAGCUCACAGGACGUUCGAAGUGGCAUGCUUAUCAGAAAAGGAUGCUUGGGAACUGUUUCAAGAAAAAGUAGGAGAAGAAACUCUUAAGAGUGAUCAUGAUAUCGCUGAGCUAGCCCAAACCGUGGCCAAGAAGUGUGGUGGUUUGCCGCUCGCACUUGUUACUAUUGGUCGAGCUAUGGCCAGCAAAAAGACAGCCGAGGAGUGGAGACAUGCAAUUGAAGAGUUAGGAAGAUCAGCUUCAGAGUUUCCAGGUUUGGGAAAAGAGGUGUAUCCUGUUUUAAAAUUCAGUUAUGAUAGUUUGCCGAAUGAGACGAUUAGAUCUUGUUUCUUAUAUUGUUGUUUAUAUCCUGAAGAUUAUGGCAUUCUUAAAUGGGACUUGAUUGAUUGUUGGAUUGGUGAGGGAUUCUUAGAGGAAUCUAACAGGUUUGGUGCAGAAAACCGAGGAUACUACAUUGUGGGCACUCUUGUUCAUACGUGUUUACUAGAAGAGAUAGAAGAUGAUAAAGUAAAAAUGCAUGACGUUGUUCGUGAUAUGGCUCUAUGGAUAGCUUGUGAAACUGAGAAGGAGAAGAUAAACUUUUUGGUUUGUGCAGGUGCUGGAUUAAAGGAGGCACCGGAUGUUAAAGGAUGGGAAAAUGUGAGAAGAUUGUCAUUGAUGCAAAACCAAAUUAAAGUUCUGUCAGAGGUUCCUACAUGCCCUCAUCUCCUCACUUUAUUUCUUGACUUUAAUAGAGAGUUAAUGAUGAUCGCGGGUGGCUACUUCCAAUUUAUGCCUUCUCUCAAAGUUUUGAAGAUAUCAAACAUUGGGUAUUUCAACGUUUUGAAAUUACCUUUGGGGAUGUCAAAGUUGGGUUCACUAGAACUUCUCGAUAUUUCACAUAGCAGCAUAGAGGAGUUACCAGAAGAGUUAAAGUUGUUGGUAAAUCUGAAAUGUCUGAAUUUGAGGUGGACAGAUGUGUUAAAUAAAAUUCCACGGCAACUAAUAUCAAAUCUUUCAAGGGUACGUGUGUUGAGAAUGUUCGCUACUGGCUAUGAUCGUUUUCAUGAAGCAUCAGAAGACAGCGUUUUAUUUGGUGGGGGUGAAGUUUUGAUACAGGAAUUGCUCGGUUUGAAAUAUUUAGAGGUAUUGGAGUUGACCUUGGGAAGUUAUCAUGCUCUCCAAAUUCUUUUGAGCUCAAAUAAGUUAAAAAGUUGUAUUCGAUCUCUUCUCCUCUUCGGGUUCAGAGGUACAAAGUAUUUUAUUGAUGCUACGGCUUUCGCAGAUCUAAAGCACCUCAAUGAAUUACAGAUUCAUGAUUGUAGGGGGUUGGAAGAGUUGAAGAUUGAUUACACAGAGAUAGCACAAAAAAGGCGGGAACCUUUUGUUUUCCGCAGCCUUCGUCGUGUUACUAUGGUUUCGUGCCAUAAAUUGAAAGAUUUGACAUUCCUCGUUUUUGCUCCAAACCUCAAGUCUAUUUCGCUAGGCGAUUGCGAUGCUUUGGAAGAAAUAAUCAGCGUUGGAAAAUUUGCUGAGGUUCCUGAGAUGAUGGGACAUCUAAGCCCUUUCGAAAAUCUCCAAAAUCUUGACCUAUCGUAUUUGCUGGCUUUGAAGAGCAUCUACUGGAAGCCAUUGCCUUUCACUUAUCUGAAAGAAAUGGUGGUAAAUGGGUGUGAUCAACUUAAAAAGCUUCCACUCGAUUCCAGCUGUGCAGAAGAGCGUAAAUUUGUUAUUCGCGGAGAAGCACACUGGUGGAACUGCCUUGAAUGGGAGGAUGAAGCCACUCAAAUUGCUUUUCGUUCCUGUUUCCAGCCUUAUUCCUGAGUGGUGGUUGCAAAAUUUGAUUUCUGGUGUGGUCUUUUAUUCUCUGUUUUUAUUUAAGUUUCUUUUCCUUUCCUUUUCCUUUUUUUUUUUAAUUUCUCCUGCAAAUCACAAUUAAACAUUGAAUUAUAUGGAAUUAAUGCUUUAUAAAUUUGCCGGCACUGCCUUUUUUUUUUUUUGUCGGAGUGAUACUCUAGCUUUUGACUUUUGGUUGUCAAAUUCUGCUCUGCCUUUUUAAAUUGAUGCUUUAUUUAUAUUUUCUUAGUGAUUUAGUUUCCUGUCAAAAGACGAACGAGAAGAACAUUUGAAUUAAAUAAAUGCUCGCAAAUUUGCGGUAAAAAGAUGUAAUUAGCCGAGAAAAUAUUAAAUAUAGUAGCCCUCUUUACAGAAAAUCAAGUGGAAGUUAAUUCAGCAAGUUAUAUUCUUGAUUAAUUCCUUUUCUGAAGUUUUUAUUUUCUAUGGUCAAUUAUACCUUCAUACUAAAAAUUGCUGCUAUUGGGUGUUGAGUGUUAUGCUAAAAUUUUGCCCUAUUUUGGGCCAAUAUUUUAGAAGUGAAACAUACUUCAGAGUUGAAGUAAACUUUGAAAAUAGAGAUAAUGAUUAAUUUAGAAGAGAUGCAAGUAAAAGAUAUUCUAAAAAAAAAAAAGCAAUAUGUCCCUUUGGAGGGCAAACUUGUCAGUUUGAAAAAGUUACAUGCUUUGGAUUGAUAGUUGCAGGAUAUUUGUUUUGUCACUGUGUAUUAGGUGCGUUUGGAAUUGAAGUGUUGUAGUUUUUAAGUUAUAAUUGUUGUAAAAAAAAAUUGUAACUAUAAAACAAAAGUUAAUAAUAUAUAAUAAAUUUAAAUUUAAAUAAUAAUUUUAAUAAAAUUAUUAAAGAUAUAAUAGAUUAUUUAUUAUACAAGUGAAAAUUAUAUCAACAUAUCUUUCAAGUUACAAUAGUUAUUGAUUACUAAACACUUUACUGUUGUAACUUUUAAGUUAUAGCUAUUUAACCUCAAUUCCAAACGCAUCGGAGAAGUCACGCCUAGUGAAGAAUGUUAUGAAAGAGCAAAGGAUAUUCCUAAUCGAGCUCUAUUUGAUUAUGUAUCCAGUGAAUGGAUGUGUUGUUGGAAGAUAUUUGAGUGCAUUAGUUCAUUUGUGUCGGUCAAUGUGCUUUUAAUGAUUUUUCCACUUGUUUGUUGUAAAAGAUUAUUGUAAAUUGAAAUGAAUUGGAUGUUGUAAUAUUUUCUCUUUAGUGGAAUUUCACCUUGUAUGUAUUCAGUUGUGUUGUCUAAAAUUUUACAUUCGAAUAAGUUUUCACCUAAAAUAUUAGCAUGAGUUGUGGCCCUUGAAACUUUGGUCAAAAUUAUUGUUAUUAUUUCUUACUAGAUGUAAACUUUUUAUUAAACCUCGUUAACAUAAUUCUUAAUUAAAAGUAUAGGUUAGUGUCGGUGCAGAAUUUGCAACACCAAAUCCUGCCUAGGCAAGUGUCAAAAGUGCAAAAUAAAUGAAGAGAAAGCACGAAUACAUGAUUUAGAUUAGGAUAGAAGGAAACUUAAAUCCUAGAGAAAAGGAUAGCUAUAUCCCAAGAUUUAAAAAAAUAGUCAUGUAGAUUUUUAAGAUUUCAAUAAGCGACUAAGAUUUUCUUUUGACAAAUAAUUUCCUUUAGCUCUAUUAACAAAAAAAAUAAAGACUCAAAUAUUUUAUAAUAAAUAAAAUAUAAUAUUAAAAUAUAUGUGAUAAUAUAGAAAUUUUAAAUAAUUUCAAUCCAAAUAAAUAGUUAUGUUUUACAAGCUAUUAAACAUAUUUUAUUAAAUUAAUAUAAAUGUUUUAUAAAAUAGGAACAUAAUAUUAAAAUAAAUUUACAAAAUUUUUAAGAAUUUUGAAUGUAAAAUAAUUUUAAUAUAUUAAUACGUGAGAUUUUUUUAUUAUUAUAAAAAUUAUUUAACUUUAAGAUUUUUUAAAAUCCUUACAAUAAGUAUAAAUAUAUUAUUUACAUUUAAAAAUAUUUAAAUAUUAUUAACCUACAAUUAUAUUUGCAUUUAUUAGAAAAUUUUAAAGUCAAAUAUUUUGCACUUCUACAUUAUUAGAAUUAUUGAACACAAAGAAAGAAACAUAUAUGCUUUAUAGCUUUAGAAAUUGUUUUCUUUUACAUCUGGAAACAAAGAUGAUGAUUAUUAUAAGGAUAAAAAAUGGAUAAAGAAUAUUAAUGAUUAACGAAAUCUCUGUGCAAAUUGAUUUUAGUAGAAAAAGAGUGAGAUGAAUGAUUUCUUUUACAACUAGAAACAAAGAUGAUGAUUAUUAUAAGGAUGAAAAAAAGAUAAAGAAUAUUAAUUAUUAAUGGAAUCUCUAUGCAAAUUGAUUUUAGUAGAAAAAACGAGCUAAAUGAUUUAGACAUUCAUUCUGUGUUUAUUUUUGUGAUUAGCAUUAAAAAUUGUUUAAUUAUCAAACGAUAAUAAUGUUAUUUUGUACUUAUGUUAUAAUUUAUAUUUGUGUUUAUGUAAUAUAUUAGAAAUUAUUAAUUAUGUUUUAAAUAUAUCUAAUUUUGAGUAUAUUUGUGUGUUUAUUAGGAAAAAUAUUAAUUUUAGAUAAAUUGAGGCUCCAAACAAUUAAACGGAGGUCAAAUUUGGAUUCCGGAGGUUUGAAAACCUUAAGAUCAGUCAAGAUCGGCUUAAAAUUAGGUUUGUGUAAAAAGAGUUGACUUUUUCUGCUGACCGAGCACUGAUUGGAUGAUGAAAUGAGCUUACAAUAGAUAUGAGUGCAUGGGAUAACUGGCAAUUUUGACUAAAUCUCAACCGUUCAUGAUUCAAUGGCCAUGAUUGUGCCAUGUGGUAGUGGUUGAUGAAGCAAGUUGUAGGAUCUGAAUCUUUGUAUACGGGUCGACCUGAUCCGCCCAUUAACUCGCCAAAUCACAACCGUUCUUUGGCCAAAUCGGACGAGUCAAACGAUGCCACAUGUGAAGUUGACUUUUGAAGUUUGACCAGCCAUUGGAUCUUGAUCUAAAGGUUGUGAGAGCAUGAAGCUUAUGGAGCUUAUGAUGGACCGCAAAACACUGGAUUAUAAAUUUAUUUUUCUAUAAAUAGAGCCUCAUUUUUAUGUUUUUAAUUAUCUCUACAUCUCUCUUCUUCUCAAAUUCUCUCCAUCUCCCUGUAAUAUUUUGUAUAAUUAUUUUAUUAAAUAAAUUUAGUUUUAUUUUCAAUUUUAGUUGUUUUUAUUACUUUUAAUUAUAAGUAAUUAAAUUUUAAUAUUUCUUUUUAUUUCAAUUAUGCUUAACUAAAUAAUAUUAGUUGGGGUAAGGUGAAACUCUUAGGAAAUAAAUAUGAUUUAAUCAAAUUUUAUUUUUAAUUUUAUAAAUUAAAUUAUUUUCUAUUUAAUUUUAUACAUAUUUUAUAUUUUAAAAUUUUGAUUUAUUGUAGACAAACAAAUAAAUUUGGCACAAUAAAUUCUUAAGAUCUUAAUAUAAGGUAUGGUAAAAUGGUAUUUUGACUUAUUGUAGACAAAUUAAAUUUUGACACAAUAAAUACUUAAUCCAUCAUAAAAUUAGAGGGAAAAUAAUAAUAAUUUAUAUAAUUAAUCUUUUGGGCAAUAAAUUUAAAAAAAUAGCAAAAAGAAUUUAUUGAGUUUUAUUUACUACUAAGAGUGGAUCCACAAUCCUAACUAGAUCAAUUUCAUAAUUUCAUUUAAAUUAAGUUGUUUUUAUUCAAGUUUUUAUUUCAAUUUUUAGAUAAAAUAAAUUAAAUUAAUUAAAUCUUUUCUCUGUAGAUCGACCUCAGACUCACCGAGGACUGACCAAGGUAUAAUACAACAAGACACUCUUAUAAUUAAGAGUUUAAAAUUACUUUUAAGUUGUGUCAUUUUGGAUUGGUGAAUUAGAAUUAUUGACAACGCUAACUUCAUCUUCACAAUUUGCAAUCCAAUAGCAGCAAUUGUCACCGAUAAUGAUAUCUCCAAUGAUAAUGACGAUUUUAUUAUUAUUAUUGAUAAAAAGUAUUAUAAUUAAUUAAUAUAUUAAUGUUAAUAUUAUUAUUAUUAAGAUUAACAAUAAUUAUUAAUAAUAACAAUUUUUUGAAUAAAAAUAAUUACAAUAAUUUAAAUAUAAAUUAAUAAUUAUGACAAUAAUUAAUUAAUGUCUUUUUAAUAAUUUACUGAUUAUCACAGUUCAAGUAAACAAAUUAUUAUGAUUCCUAUUCUCCAUUUCCAUUUCAGCUCACUCCGAUUCCAAUCCAUUUCGACUUCUGCCUAAAAAACUCACCAUUAGUGCUAUAGUAAUAUUUCAUAUAGAGAAAAGUAAAAUCUACACCUAAGAUUAAGGUAAAGGACUUCAAAACUCUCUUUUGAUUAUAAUACCUUUUGUCCUAAUUAACUUAAAGAUUUUGAAUCUAAUAUUUUAUAAUAAAUAAAAAUAUAUUCCUAAAAUAAAUAUAAUAUCAAUAUUUAAAGUAUGUUUUAAUAUUUUACAAUCUAUCAGACACAUUUUAUUAUAUUAAAGUAAAUUUUAUAAUAAAUACAAACAUACUAUUAAAAUGAAUAUACAAAAAAGUUUAGAGUAUUUUGAAUAUUAUAUAAAAUAAUUUUAAUAUAAUGCGUGAGAUAUAUUUUAUUAAUUUAAAAUGCUAUUUUACCUAAAAAUUUAUUUAUGAUAAAUUAAUAAUUAUAUUUUUAAAAUUAUUUUAAAUAUUAUAAAAAAUUUAAUAUUAUUAGUGUUUUAGAUAGAUUAAAUUAUUUUAAAAUGCCUUAAUUGUUUUUACUUUUAACGUUACCGGCCUUUCUUAUAUUUUAUUGCAGCUAACAAGAAAAAGCCAGAUCAUAUUCCACAAAAGCAAAAGUGACAAAACAACCAGCUGGAUUCUUUUAUUAAACUACAAAUUAAAGGAUCCCAUUAUCUUACAACUAAUGUAAGAUACAUCCCUCACAUAAAUAGUAUAUAAACUCCACAUAUAUACUGUUCAUGUGAGGAAAUGUACCUUACAUUAAGAUAGUGUUUGCCCAAAUUAAAAUAGAUUUUUUCGAUGAACUACAAAUUAAAGUGGAUUCUUUUGAAUAUAGCUGGGGUUAGGGUAGGCUCUUUUAUUUAAGGCAAGUCUAGAGUAGUCAAAGACGAUUAGGCUCUUUUAUUAAACUACAAAUUGUAUAGUCUUUUUCAAAUUGUUCAGAUGCUUAUAAAUUAGUGGCCCCUUGUAAAUUUAACUGGAAGUGCCAAUCAGAGAAAAGUUCAAUUCUAAAUAAUUGUUCCGAUAUUUAUAAAUUGGUGGCCCCUACAAUCCUCAAUAAUUGUUCCGAUAUGUAUAAAUUGAUGGCCCCUACAAUCCUCAAUAAUUGUUCCUAUAUUUGUAAAUUGGUGGCCCCUUAGAAAUUUAACCGCAAGUCUGCAAGUGACAAUCGGAGAAAAGUCAUAAUUUACAAUCUUCCAAGGGAAGUAGGGAACCAGGGGAUAUACAAAGAUUAAGACAUGUCAUUCAUUUUUUUGGCUGCAUUCCCUUUCGUGUUCUUAAUAAUUGAAGACAGGUUGUUCAUUACAUGCUUACUUUUCAAAUGUGGAGCCGCAGCUAAUGUCGCUACUUUAAUUUGGGAUUAAAUUAGGGAAACAUUAUAUUGUAGUAUGCACUAACUUGAUGUUUAUCUAAACUCCUUAAAUUUAAGACAGAUUAUGGCAUAAAUAAGAAUAUAACGAUAACAAAAGAGUAUAUAAAAUAUUUAGAGUAUUUUGAAUAUUAUAUAAAAUAAUUUUAACAUAAUGCAUGAGAUAUAUUUUAUUAAUUUUAAAUGCUAUUUAACCUAAAGAUGUAUUUAUGAUAAAUUAAUGAUUAUAUUUUUGAAAUUAUUUCAAAUAUUAAAAAAUUAAUAUUAUAGACUAAAUUAUUUAUAUUAUUUUUUAUUUAUUAAAAAAUUUUUAAGUCAAUCUUUUUAAUUACUAUUCAAAGAAUAUAAUGAUUAAAAAAAUCUUUAUGCCUUCAUUAAAAAUUUAAAAAUUUACAUAACGAUUUCUAUAAAUAUUUAGGGUAUAUAUGAAGCACGGUGGAGAAGCUUUAUUUAAUAUUAUUGAUUUAAAUAAUAUCUCAAUUAAAAAUGUACAGAGAAGAAAUUUCGGUGGGUAUUUUAGUCUUUUCAGCAAUUAUCAUGACCAGAUCUGCCUUUGGCCUUGAAACGUCGGUCAGAAAAGUUUUAAAGUGCUUUAAUUGUUUUUAAGGCCGCUAAUAACUCUGCUCGUGCAAGUUGAGGAUAAAUGUUAAAUUAAUUACAAAAGCAAAAGGCUAAUUUAUUGAAGACAAGUAAAGCAGUCACGAAUGGUACAUGCCUAAUCUUUUCUAUAUUUACAGAAACACAAUUUUUUUUCAAUCCGCCGCAGCUUCUGUUAAAAUUAUCUUGGUUUCUCGUAGUUGAUUUCUAUUAUCCCAAAAAAAAAAAAAAGGUAACUGUUGAUGCCGAAAAAUGAUUUCAACAGCUGAAUUUAUUUUUUUUGGAGAAUUACAGUGUGAAUCCAAGCUCAAACGCAAGUCUGAUCGCAACUUUCUAUAUCUGCUAAUCAGAAAACACAGUUAGGAUACGCCGGUGGGGUUUCGGCUAGACCUUCCGAUACUUAAGUCAGAAAUUAUGUAUAAAAGGAGAAAAAUGAGAAUGAAGAAUUAUGAAUGAGUUAAAGUCAAGUAAUUUUCCGGUAGAGGGGUUGAAAAUCUUGUAGAAGCUUUGGUUGAUUUUGCUAACCCCUUCACCUGAUGCGCUCUUCAGUUUAAAUAGACUCUUGGUCGUGUACGGUUACCUCCUUAACUUCAGAAGUUGCAAGUGGUUGUCAGUUGGAGGUGGUUUAAAUAGAUCGUGGCACACAACUUCCUUAUAAAUUAGGCCACGUUCUCUUAACUAGCAAUUUUCCAUGUCAAGCUAAUUCUCAGGUCGGACAAGAGAAUUUCAAGGUCGGAUUACUUCACUUUCAGAUUAGACAGAUGAAUUUCUCAGUCGCUCAUAUAACGUUAAGGUUGUAUUCUUAAACUAAGUCAUUCACAUAGAUCUUAGGUCGUACUUAUAAACCAGGUCGCCAACAUAGGCUCCAGGUUGUACUUAUGAGGUUAGCUCAACAACAAUAAGUUUUGAGUAGAUUAGGAUCGACUAUAUUUUGAGACACUACCAGAAAAAUCCAACCCAAACACCAGUCCCCUAAUUUUCAAUACUGGAAAGUCAUUGCCAGUGUUGGAAACUAAUGGAAAACAUUUCUCAAAACCCAAUACCAGUCCCCUAGUUUUCAAUACUGAGAAGAUAUGAACGGUAUUGGAAACUAAAAUAAUUAAGAAAGAGCAAUAUAGCCACAAGCAAAAGAAAGACGGUGUAGAGCGGAACAAUGAGCAAAGAGAAGAGUAAAAAGAAAACUUCAGGUGUGGACCAAGAAAAUAACCAUGACCAAAUGCCUCGAGGUGAUAGAGUCGGGGUUGAGGGUGAGGUCUUCCUAACUAGUAGGGUUGUUGAAGACCAAGAGAGAACUUCCUAAAUUUAAUUAUUACAAUGCUUGCCCUUUUUUGCAAUAUGAACUUGUGUAGACCGUAUGCUACUGAACUUUAUUUUGCCUUUGUAAUCGGAUAAUUAUUAUGCUGACCUUGCCUUUUUUACUCUUUAUUUACUAGGGUUGGUUAUGAAUUGCAUUCCGUAGACUGAGCCCAUUUAAGACUCUGUUGAGGUCAAACAAAUAGAUAUGGUCAACUUUGGUAGCAAUAACACCAAGCAAUGACCUUGAAUUCACCAAGAUUCUAUCAUUUCGAUAUCAAUCUUGAUAAGGAAAAUGUUGACCUCACGAAAAUAUCAACUUCAACAAGAUAAAUUGUUGACCUCAACAAGAUAAAUUGUUGACCUCAACAAGAUAAAUUGUUGACCUCAACAAGGUUAAGUGUAGAGCUAAAAUGCCAACCUCACGACAAGGAAAAUGUUGACCUCACGAUAAGGAAAAUGUUGACCUCACGAAAAUGUCAACCUUAACAAAAUAGAUUGUCGACCUCAACAAGGUUAAGUGUAGAGCUAAAAUGCUGAACUCACGAUCUCACGACAAGGAAAAUGUCAACCUCACGAAAAUGUCAACCUCAACAAGAUAGAGUGUUGAACGCAAUAAGGUUAAAAUGUAAAGCUAAAAUGCCGACCUAAAAAAAAAUUGAAAAUUGGAGAACUUAAAUGUUAAGCUUAUGAUCAACCUCAACAAGGCAAUGACUGACCUCAAUAAAAUUGAAAAUUGGGCAACGACCUCAACAAGGCAAUGGCCGACCUCAACAAGGCAAUGGCCGACCUUAAAAAAAAUUAAAAAUUGUAGAACUUAAAUGUUAAGCUUAUGGCCGACCUCAACAAAAUUGAACAUUGUAGAACGUAAAUGUUAAGGCUAUGGCCAAACUCCACGAGGCAAUGACCAACCGCAAUAAAUAGAAAAUUGUAGAUUUUAACUUAUGGCCGACCUCAAUAAGGUAAUGGUCGACCUCAACAAAAUUAAACAUUGUAGAACGUAAAUGUUAAGGCUAUGGGCAAACUCCAUGAGGCAAUGACAAACCUCAAUAAAUAGAAAAUUGUAGAAUUUAGCUUAUGGCUGACCUCAAUCAGGCAAUAGCCGACCUCAACAAAAUUGAACAUUGUAGAACGUAAAUGUUAAGGCUAUGGCCAAACUCCACGAGGCAAUGAGCAACUUCAAUAAAUAGAAAAUUGUAGAACUUAGUUUAUGGCUUACCUCAAUAAGAAAAUGGUCGACCUAAAUAAAGUAAAGGCGAAUUUCGAUAAAAUUGAAAAAUGUAGAUCUCAACAAGAUAAAAGUUAAGGCUAUCUAACCACAAGGUAAUAGCUGUCUUCAAUCUCAAAAAGGCCGAAUUACAAUUAGACCUCAACAAGGUCAAAAUGACAAUCUCGAUCUCAAUAAGAUUUGAUAAAUUUUUCAGGUAGGACCUCAACAAGGCAGCAAUGUCGAUCUCAAUCUCAAUAAGAUUGGAUGAAUUUUUCAGGUAGAAUCUCCACAAAGCCGAAAUGCCGAUCUCAAUCUCAAUAAGAUUGGAUAAAAUUUUCAGGUAGGACUUAAAUAAGGCCGCAAUGUCGAUCUCAAUCUCAAUAAGAUUGAAUGAAUUUUUUUCAUGUCAGACCUCAGUAAAGUCGUCAUGUCGAUCUCAAUCUCAAUAAGAUUAGAUAAAUCUUUUCACGUUGGACCUCAAUACGGUCCAAAAAUGCCGAUCUCAAUCUCAAUAAGAUUGGAUAAAAUUUUCAGGUAGGACCUCAACAAAGCUGCAAUGUCGAUCUCAAUCUCAAUAAGAUUGGAUGAAUUUUUUCACGUUGGACCUCAGCAAGGCCGCCAUGUCGAUCUCAAUCUCAAUAAUAUUGGAUAAAUCUUUUCAUGUUGGACCUCAAUACGGUCCAAAAAUGCCGAUCUCAAUCUCAAUAAGAUUGGGUAACUUUUUCAUGUUGGACCUCAAUAAGGUCACAAAGUUGAUAUCAAUCUCAAUAAGAUUGAAUAAAUAUUUUCACGUUGGACCUCAAUACGGUCCAAAAAUGCUGAUCUCGAUCUCAAUCUCAAUAAGAUUGGGUAAUUUUUUCACGUUGGACCUCAACAAGGUUGCAAUAUCGAUAUCAAUCUCAAUAAGAUUGGAUAAAUUUUUUCACGUUGGACCUCAAUAAGGUCCAAAAAUGCCAAUCUCAAUCUCAAUCAGUCUGGAUAAAUUUAUUUCAUAUUGGACCUCAAUCAAGUCCAAGUGUCGAUCUCGAUCUCAAAUAAGACCGGUCACAAGUAGAUAAGAAAUAAAGUUGCACUUUUAAAUAACCUCAUUGAUACUAAUAUAACAGAAGUUAUAGAAUUGAACGCAUAACAAAUUGAAAUAACAAAGAAACAAACUUUCUUAGCAUAUUUAAAGAAAAUAAACAAACAAUAUUUAAAGAAAAUAAACAAACAAGGACAUCAUAAAUAAGAUAUAUCUUAACUGAUAGUAUUUUCGCAGGUGCUCUGCAUUCCAUGCCUUGCCAACGACCCUGCCAUCCUGAUAACUUAAUUUAUAUGCCCCAUUAUCAAAUUAGGGUAGCACUUUAUAUGGUCCUUCCCAGCUCGGCCCUAGAACUCCAUCAAUAAAUCUGAAGCUCAUUGGAGAUGUCAUCCAUCAUUUUUGUUCCCACUCUUACCACCCUGCUCGGAUCAACCUCACUUAUCGGCAUGUUUCAUUUCUUCAUUAGGUCACUGUUGGCACAAUCUAUUCUCAGCUCGUGGGUCGAUACUCGUGAUCUGCAUGGAUUCUCUUGCAGCUGUAGCGUAACAACUUCGAGCUAUUUGUUGCUGGCCCCUCAUCACUCCAACCCCAUAUUGAACUCUAAACUUCACACGUUGCAUGUGGGUUGAGCUCACGGCUCUUACUAUCCUAUUGAAAGGUCUACCCAAAAUAAAUUGAUAAGGGUUGGGCUCAUCAACUACCACCCAUGUCACCAUCACUGUCUUUUGUAGUGGGUUGGACUUUAUUAUCAGUGGCAAGUCAAUCAUCCCAAGGGGAAUCAACUCAGCUCCGCCAAACCCUUUUAGUGAUGUUCUGACGGGAUCAAGCCUAAGGUCCCCUAUUUGUAGAUCUUCCAGGGUUUGCUUAAACAAAAUGUCGACUGAGCUUCCUCCAUAUAUAAGAGCUCGGUUCAAAUCCUGCCCUACCAAGGUAACCUUCACUAUGAGCGCAUCCUCAUGUGGAUGUGCGACCGCUUCCUCGUCCUCGUCUGUGAACAUGAUCGGCACCCUUUGAACCCGUUGCUUCUUUGGUAUUGAAACAUUAAAAUUCAACUUAUAACUUUCUAAUGACUAUCUACUAUAAUUUCUCCUUGAACGAUUUGAGUCUCCUACUAGGGUCGGCCCUCCCAUAAUCAUCAUCGCUACAUUAUCUCUGAUGUCUCCUCUUCUCCCACCUAUUCCUUGGUCAUUCACAUACUCCUUUAGAUAUUGAUUUUGCACUAGCCACAAAAUCUGUUCUUUCAAGUCUAUGUAAUCUGCAGUUCCAUGUCCGAACACAAUGUGAAACUCGCAAUACUUGUGGUGAGCACUUCUGCCCAGACUUCUUACAAUUGGCUUUGGCGGUUUAAGUAGCCCCUUCUUUUCUACUACAACAUAUAUUUCCGCUCUGCUUUUGUUCGAUGGUGUGUAUCUUCCACUCUACUCUAAUAAGUUCACCCCAUGGUCAGAUCUCGAUACUCUCUGUUCUAUAGGCAGUGGCAACCUAUUGUAGUCUCUUGCUCGGUUCUCCCUUUAGUUCAUCUCAUAAUUAUUUCCUCUAUCUCGGCCCCAUCCCAUUAAUGAGAUUUAUCUCAUUUCACGAUUUCUUUCCCAAUCUCGACCCGACCUUUCUGGUCAUCUGUAAUUGAACAACUCUCCGCCGUAAUGACGUCUAUCAUCCGAGUUCCUCCUCGAGCUAUACUCGAGGUUAUCACUUGACCCUCUCUCUGCUCUUCCAUUCUCCUAUUUUCUUCCUCUGCAUCUUCAGUUUUCAUAUCUAAUUUUGUCUAGUCGUACGCCUCAGCGUAUGUUGUUAUCCCCUUGUUAUAUAAGCUAUUCCAUAAUCGAUUGAUUCUCAACUCCUUCUUUAAUCCCUCUAGAACAUCUGGAAGAUCAAAGGCCCCUAGAUCGGUAACCUCUCUAUGAUACCUGGUCACAAAACUCGUCAAACUUUCAAAUUCUCCUUGGACCAAUUUUGUCAAGCUGCUCAUAUCCUGCUCUGAUAUGCAUGAACCUCUAAAAUGCAUAGCGGAAAGCACACAUAACUCCUUGAAAUUUCCUAUGCUUCUAUUCUUUAAUCUCCGGUACCAUUCCCAUGCUUGUCCAUCUAGAGUUAAGGGAAAAAUACGGCACCUUUGAAAAUCAUUCAAACCUUGAAUUACAGUCAUCUCAUUAAACUUCUCCACAUGAUGAUUUGGGUCAGUUUUUCCUUCAUACACCAAGACUUGAACCACAUACUUGGGUGGCAAAGUUACUGCCAUCACUUCAGGUACCAAGGGGGACUCGUCAUCGAGUAACAGCCUUCCUACCACUUUCUUGCCCUCUGUUUUCGCCUCUAAUACCUCUAAGGUUUUUUGAAAUUGCAGCAUUCGUUGCUCAAGCUCAUUUGCCCGUUGGGGUCUCUCAGCUCUUCCCUCUCUCUUUCUUGAUUCAAGUCAUUGAUUCUCCCCCUCAACUCAUUCACUUGUUCUCCUGCACUUCUAUUCUUUUGUCGUACCCCAACUUGUGGUAGUCCCAUUCCGCUCUGCUGUUCACCAUCAAGCUCUUCCCUCUCUCGCGCUCCACUACAUUUUGGAUCACUAGCUCGAACGUGAGCCUCUCUGACUUGGGCAUCAACCAGCCCCCGAUCAUCUUCUCAAAUCUCGCCAUUUGCCUCUCAAUCCCUUCUCUCCAUCUCUUAUCUGCCGUGGCAUUCAUUUCCUCAGCCAAUUGGCGCAAGGUCUACGUAUCUUCAUCCUUAUCAUCUAUCACUAUUUUGUAAUCCGAUAGCUUCUCCUUCUAAAUCUUCAAACGUAUGGCUUUUCGCACUGAUCCCCACAGAUAGCGUCAAGAUGUUGAUGCUGAAAAACGACAUGAACAGCUGAAUUUGUUUCUUUUGGGGAAUUACAAUGUGAAUUUAAGCUCAAACGCAAGUCUGAACGCAACUUUCUAUAUCUACCAACCAGAAAACACAGUUAGGAUAUGCCGGUGGGGUUCCGGCGCAGACCCUCCGAUGCUUAAGUCAAAUUAUGUAUAAAAGGAGAAAAAUAAGAAUGAAGAAUUAUGAAUGAGUUAAAGUCAAGUAAUUUUCCAGUAGAGGGGCUAAAAAUCUUGUAGAAGCUUCAGUGAAUUUUGCUAACCCCUUCACCUGAUGCGCUCUUCAAUUUAAAUAGACUCUUGGUCAUGUACGGUUACCUCCUUAACUUCAGCCCGCUUUCUUCAGUAGUUGCAAGUGGUUGUCAGUUGGAGGUGGUUUAAAUAGAUCGUGGCACACAACUUCCUUAUAAAUUAGGCCACGUUCUCUUAACUAGCAAUUUUUCAUGUCAAGCUAAUUCAUUGGUCGGACAAGAGAAUUUCAAGGUCGGAUUACUUCACUUUCAUAUCAGACAGAUGAAUUUGUUAGUCGCUCAUAUAGCGUUGGGGUUGUAUUAUUAAACUAAGUCAUUCACAUAGAUCUUAGGUCGUACUUGUAAACCAAGUCGCCAACAUAGGCUUCAGGUUGUACUUAUGAGGUCAACUCAACAACAAUAAGUUUUGAGUAAAUUAGUAUCGACUAUAUUUUGAGACACUACAAAAAAAAUCCAACCCAAACAGUAACAUUUUGCAAAUCUCAAUCGACGGUGCUAUUUUCAAUCGUUGCCUGGAUUGCUUUCUUGGAAAAGCAGCAUCUAUAAGAAACCUGCAAAAAAAUGUUGUAGCCUUGGAGACUGAAUUGGGAAAACUAAUCGAAGCAAAGAACGAUGUGGUGGCGAGGGUCGUCAACGCUGAAAGGCAACAAACGAUGACAAGGCUGAACAAAGUUCAAGGCUGGCUUUCGAGGGUGGACGCUGUUAAAGCUGAAGCUGAUGAAUUGAUAAGACAUGGCCCUCAAGAAAUUGAGAAACUAUAACUUAGAGGCUACUGUUCCAAGAACUGCAAGUCAAGCUAAAAGUUUGGCAAAAAAGUGGCUAAAAAGCUAAGAGACGCCGGGACUUUAAUGGCCAAUGGAGCAUUUGAAGUGGUAGCUGAGAGAGCUCCAGAAUCAGUAGCGGAUGAAAGGCCUAUCGAGCCCACAGUAGUAGGCCUGCAAUUGCAACUCGAGCAUGUUUGGAGAUGUCUUGAAGGAGAAUCAGUCGGAAUUGUUGGCCUAUACGGCAUGGGCGGUGUCGGUAAAACUACACUAUUGACCCAUAUCAACAACAAAUUUCUUGAGAGUCCAACUAAUUUUAAUUAUGUGAUAUGGGUCGUAAUGUCAAAAGACUCGCGACUUGAAAACAUUCAAGAAACUAUCGGGGAGUAGAUUGGUUUGUAAAAAUUUGCCAAUUUACACAGCAAACAAUUUCCACCCAAUUAAUGUUUUUUAGAAAAUUGUAAAAAUUUGGAGUUAUGAAAAUAGAAACUAUAUAAUAAGAAGAAAUAAUUUAAGAUUUUAAGAUUUAUAUAUAUUUUAUAAAUAAAACAUUAAAAGAGAUGCUUGUUAUUACGAUGAAAUUUUAUGAGUAAGAUGAUUAACUUUAAUAUAUGAGUUUGUAUUUUAUAAAUUAAUCAGAGGUAUUUUAGAAAAUAAAUUCAAAAUGGGAGUUAUAAGAGUUUUAGAGUGGUGUUAAAAGCUCAACUCUUUUGAAUUUUACUGCCCAAUUAUAUAGUACAUUAGCGUGAUUGUUAUGUAUUCAUUUUUUUCAGAUACAACAAACGAGCUGCGUAGUGCUCAAAUAACAAAAAUUAAUAAUUUCACACACCCAUAUACAUAUAUGUAUACAUAUAGAUACAUAUUAUAUUUAAUUAAGCAAAAGAAAGAACCCCCUGUACGACGCCAGUGAGAAGAGAGAGAGAGAGAGAGAGAGGAAGAGAGCUUUUUGUGUUAUAUUUCAUAAUUUUUAUUUAAUUAAAAAUAUUUGUAGUUUGGAUUUGGGCGCCCCAAAGAAUUUCUAAAUCAAAACCUUAAUUUUUAUUAGGUCUUGAGCCUAUUCUCGAAAUAGAUCCUAUUAUAUUCUUAGGUGGUGUUUGGUUUUAAGAAAAUGGAAGAGAGGAGAGGUGAAAAAAGAAGAUGAACGGAGAGGUGAUGAGAGGAAAAGAGUGUAAAAAUUAAUUGUUAUUGUUUGGUUUCACAUUAAAUUUGAAAGGAAAAGAAAUUACAUAUUUUUUAUUUGGACGAAUAUACCCACUAUUUUAAUGCUAAUAUUGUUAAUAAAUUAAAAAAUAAUAAAACUAUGAAUUAAUUUAAUCUAGAAAUUACCUAAUUAAAUUAAAAAAUUAUUUUUUAAAAAAAUACAGCAUUUGGCCAUGGACAGCCUCCACGUUGACCACCGUUGACUGGCGAAUUUGACUGUCGUUGACCGUCAUUUUUCAUCGCGUUAAAUGCAUAAUAAUAAUAAGAAAUGAAUGAUUUAUUCAUUGGAAGUGUUAAUUUUGCAGAAAAUACACUAUAUAGUAGGAAAUAUGAGAGUUAAAAUUUUCCCAAGCAUUUAAACAAGACUUGAGGUAAAUAACAAUGUAUAUUAGCAUUUUUAAUCUCAUAGCAUUGUAGAUGGACUCAUGAGGAUUCCAUUGAUACCGGUUUUGAUGAAAAAGUGCGUCUCCGGCGAAACUCCGACGAGUCACUUUACUGUUUUUUCUUUUUUCAAAUAAGUUUAUCCUAUUAAUUUAAGAAAAUAAAUAUAAAUUAUUUGUACUUUAAUUUAUUUAACAUUGAUUUUGUUUAGAGGAUAAUAUUGGAAUUUUUGUGUUUAAAUAGAUAAGAAAUUUAAAAUCUUUAGUCAUUGAUAAGAAAUACAAAUUCUUCAAAUUGAUGGAAAUUCAAUUCCAUUAAACUUGGUCCAAGUAGAAAAGAAAUCAAUUUUUUUUGGCUCUCCCCACUUCCCUACCCCUAAGCAAACAUGGCCUUAUGGUUUUUGAGAACUCAUACCAAAUUCAAAUUAAUCAGGAGCCCACGGGUCCCGGGGCUCGCGGGAAAGUUGCCAUCCCUACCUUCAUCUGACGGAAAGUCCCUACAAACAAAUGUUUCUUUAUUUAUUUAUUUUUAUAAAAGAAAUUUCAGUUUGAAUGUCUUUUGGACGUUUCCAAUUGUCAUGAUUAGCCCUUGAACCUUUGGUCAAAAAAGUAUUAUCACGCGUUGAUUGUUUGUAUCGCAAAUGCUAGUGGCAUUUGAAAGUUGAUAUAAUUAAUUACAAUCUACAAAUGUUUAACAAAAAAGUGGGAUGGAUAUGGCACAAAAGUAAAGCAAGCAGGAUUCGUUGAAAAAGCUAUUUUGACACCUACUUCGGUUAUAAAAUUUUCAAAAAAAAAAAAAAAUUUUGAUUAAAAGUAAAUUGUAUAGGUUCAACUACCGUGCACUUGGUGCAUGGGACAUGUAUUUUGUCUAUAUAUAAGUUACCCGUCAGAUAUAACAUAGAACUUGCUUCAACGGCAUAGAUGUAUUCUCUUUAGUUUUUAACAUUGACAUCUAUGUUGUUUUUCAAAAAAGAAAAAUAGUGAAAGGUUUGACACAUAAUUUUAGAUUAUUUUUAAAUUUUAUAUUUUAAUCAAUUGAUUUAAUUUACUGUUAAAAUUAAUGACAGUAUAAGCGUAAUAACUUGAAAAAACUUUUUAAUACAUAAUUUUUUUUAUUUUUUGAAAAUAAUAUAAUAUCAAUUUAAUCUAUAAUAAAUAAUUUUAACAUAUAAUUAAAUUUUAAUUUAUCAAUAAUAAUAUGACCAAAUGACAAUGUUAAAGAAUUUCAUUAUAAUCAACUAUGAUUUAGUAUUCAAAUAUAAAUAAUAGAAAUAUACUCUAAGUGUAAAUAAUAGAAAUAUAUCAAACUUAUAUGUUAAAAUUUCAAAACUUUUAAUUUUUUCACUUUUCAGCAAACAAGAGGGAGUAAUUUACCAAAAACAAGGGGUAUCGUACACCUGGGGCACCAUAGCUUCCUCCAAAUUGUAUAAAAAAUAGAAAUAUUUUUAGUCUCCAAAUUGUAUAAAAAAGUAAAAAUAUUUUGACUAAAAGUAAAUUGUGCGUAACUACUUUAAUAUUUUAUUUCUUUCAUAACUUUAUCAAAAUCUUGUCAUCAAAUAUUUUAUCAAUGUAACGCUGUAAACAGCAAAUUAAAGUUUAAUUAUUUAAUUACAACUGGCAAAAGAGACGUUUAAUUAUUUAAUUACAAGCGGGAUAGUCUCUUUUGUUGAAGGAAAUUAAAGUUUAGUUAUUUAAAUCGAGCACGCGUAAUCUUUUCAAGCACAAACAAAAGAGAUCAUAAUUCAAAGUUGAUGUUCUCUUCACAGCAGCUUCUAUUCAUCGAACUCCAUCGUUAAAAUUUCCUUGGUUUUUCCUGGUUGAAUUCUCAUCCAAAAUAUGGGUAACAUUUUCCAAAUCACAUGCGACGGCGCUCUCUUUAACCGUUGCCUGGAUUGCUUUCUUGGAAAAGCAGCAUAUAUAAAAAACCUCAAACAAAAUCUUGCAGACUUGGAGACUGAAUUGGGAAAACUAAUCGACGCAAAGGAAGAUGUGAUGAGGGAGGUCAACGCUGCUGAAAGGCACCCAAUGAUGAAAAGGCUGACCAAAGUUGAAGGCUGGCUUUCGAGGGUCGAAGCUGCUAAAUCCGACGGUGACAAAUUGAUAGCAUUUGGCUCUCAAGAAAUUAAGAAACUAUGUCUUGGAGGCUACUGUUCCAAGAACUGCAAGUCAAGCUACGAGUUUGGCAAACAAGUGGCUAGAAAGCUAGGAGAUGUCAAGACUUUAAUGGCUGAAGAAGCUUUUGAAAAGGUAGCUGAGGAAGUACAACCACCUUUGGUAGAUGAGAGACCCACCGAGCCAACCGUAGUAGGCUUCCAAUCACAAUUUGAACAAGUCUGCAAAUGUCUUGAAGAAGAAUCAGUCAGAAUUGUUGGCCUAUACGGCAUGGGCGGUGUCGGUAAAACCACACUAUUGACUCAUAUCCACAAUAACUUUCUUCAGAGUCCAACUUUUAAUUGUGUGAUAUGGGUCCUAGUGUCAAAAGAUCUGCGACUUGAAAACAUUCAAGAAACUAUCGGGGAUCUGCGACUUGAAAACAUUCAAGAAACUAUCGGGGAGCAGAUUGGUUUGUUAAACGAUACAUGGAAAAAUAAACGAAUUGAACAGAAAGCUCAAGACAUCUUCAGGAUUUUGAAGGAGAAGAAGUUUUUGCUGUUGCUAGAUGACUUAUGGCAGCGGGUUGAUUUAACAAAAGUGGGCGUCCCUCUUCCUGGCCCGCAAAAUAAUGCAUCCAAAGUGGUAUUCACAACCCGUUCCGAAGAAGUUUGUGGUUUGAUGGGAGCUCACACGAGGUUUAAAGUGGCGUGCCUGUCAAAUAUCGAUGCUUGGGAAUUGUUUCGGCAGAACGUUGGAGAAGAAACUCUGAACAGUGAUCCCGAUAUUCUUCAACUCGCCCAAGCAGCAGCCAGAGAGUGUGAUGGUUUGCCACUAGCACUUAUUACCAUUGGCCGAGCUAUGGCUUGCAAGAAGACACCUGACGAAUGGAUUUACGAUAUUGAGGUGCUAAGAACAUCAAGUUCUCAGUUCCCAGGUUUGGGAAAUGAGGUUUAUCCUCUUUUAAAAUUCAGUUACGAUAGAUUGCCGAGUGACACAAUUAAAUCAUGUCUCUUAUAUUGUAGUUUAUAUCCAGAAGAUUAUUGCAUUUCUAAAGAGAAAUUGAUAGACUGUUGGAUCGGCGAGGGAUUUUUGACAGAAAGGGACAGGAUUGGAGAACAAAAAGAAGGAUACCAUAUUCUGGGCAUUCUUCUUCAUGCCUGCUUACUGGAAGAGGGAGGAGACGGUGAAGUAAAAAUGCACGACGUGAUUCGAGAUAUGGCAAUAUGGAUAGCAUGCGACAUUGAAAAGGAGAAGGAGAAUUUUUUUGUUAAUGCUGGCGUUGGAUUAGUUGAAGCACCCGAUGUCACAGGAUGGGAAAAGGCGAGGAGAUUGUCACUGAUGCACAAUCAAAUUACGAAUCUAUCAGAGAUUCCUACAUGUCCUCAUCUCCUUACUUUUUUCCUUAACAAAAAUAGGUUUCAGAUGAUCCCCAAUGACUUCUUCCAAUUUAUGCCCUCCCUCAAAGUUUUAAAUCUGUCAUACAGCAAACUAACCAGCUUACCAUUGGGGAUUUCAAAGUUGGUUUCACUGCAACAUCUUGACCUGUCAGAAUCCGACAUAGAAGAGUUGCCAGGAGAGUUAAAGGCAUUGGUAAAUCUUAAAUGUUUGGAUUUGGAAUAUACAGGGAAUUUAAUUACAAUUCCACGUCAACUAAUAUCUAAUCUUUCAAGGUUACAUGUGUUGAGAAUGUUUGGUGCUGGUCAUAAUGCCUUUGAUGAAGCAUCAAAAGACAGCAGUUUAUUUGGUGGGGGUGAAUUCAUAGUAGAGGAACUGCUUGGUUUGAAAUCUUUAGAGGUGAUUAGCUUCACCUUGAGAAGUUCUCAUGGUCUCCAAAUGAUUUUGAGCUCGGAUCAGUUACGAAGUUGCACUCGAGCACUCUCAUUCCAAUGCUUCAACGAUUCGACAUCGCUUGAAGUUUCAGCUUUGGCAGAUCUGAAGCAACUUAAAAUGUUGCGGAUUGCAAGGAGUGAAAUAUUGGAGGAAUUAAAGAUGGAUUGUGCAGGGGAAGUUCGACAGUUUGUUUUCCAUAGUCUCAAUAAGGUUGAAAUAUACGGUUGCAGUAAAUUGAAGGACUUGACAUUCCUUGUUUUCGCUCCAAACCUCAAGUCUAUUAAAGUAACAGGUUCCCAUGCUAUGGAAGCAAUCAUAAGUGUGGGUAAAUUUGCAGAAGUUCCAGAGGUAAUGGCAAAUUUAAACCCAUUUGCAAAACUCCAAAAUCUUGAAGUAAUUGGUGCGAUAAAUUUGAAGAGCAUUUACUGGAAGCCCCUGCGCUUCCCACAUCUGAAAACAAUGAGUUUCUUUCAUUGCAACAAGCUUAAAAUGCUUCCACUUGAUUCCAAUAGUGCAAGAGAGCAUAGCAUUGUUAUUCGUGGAGACAGAAUGUGGUGGGCACAGCUUCAAUGGGAGGAUGAAGCCACUCGAAAUGCUUUUCUUCCCUGUUUCAAAUCUUGAGCAGAGAUCACAUUUGAAUAAUUUCUGGUGCGUGCUUUUUCUUACAUUAUUCUUCUUGUUAAUUUCCUUCAUGCAGACAUCUGCACCUAAUAACUCGUUACUUCAAAUAUUCUCUAAAUUAUUUGAGGGUACUCGCCCCUGCACAUAAUGUAUAUUUAUAUCUAAUUAAAUUUUUUAAAAAGUCAAUAUUAUAUUUUUUAUGUCAUUAAAUAAAGUCUUGUUAUUUUAUCGAAUUAUAUUCAACUUGAAAAUAGUUCUAGCUUUUAGAUAUAAGUUAUGUAAGUACAAGUUCAAAGUGUAUCAGCAUUAAAUUACUCAUAUUCAAUCAUUUAUAAUCUGAUGUUGAAAAAAAAAUGUCAUUCAAUCAUAUGCAUUUAACUAAAUUCAAAUAUAAUCUAAAUUCAGAUACGUUAAAAUUAUUUGGGAAAAAAAAGCGCCACAACUCUAUAUUGUUUAUUGAGUAAACCAGAUAUUAACUCUAUCAUGAACGUAAUAGCCUCCAGCAUUUUUUAUUAUCUGUUCAAACCAUAUUUUAUUAUUUUAAUUUAUUUAUAUUCAUUGCAUUUCAAUUAGGUCAUGUUUUCUUUUGUUUUCUGUUUUAUAUUCUUUGAUCAUUUUGGCAACAUGGAGUACUAUGAUUAAUCAUUUUGUACUGGUCUCAAAUUUCAGUCGGAUUAUCUGCGGAAAAUAUCUCUGAAGAUGCUUUCAAUGGAGUCCAGUACUCAGAAUGCGAUGCCUAAUCCUUUGCAAUCCAACAAUGCUAGCAGGAGCAACGAACCCCCUCAUCCAGGUAGUGACGUGGAAUAGUAAAUGCAGCUUCACUUUCAAUUUGUCUCUGAAACCGCUCCCUAUAAUCAAUCCUAGCAUUCUUAUGUGUUCUUAACUUCUGCAGCCUGAAUAUUUCUUCCUCGACAAUCAAAGUCAUAACAGUAUGAUUGGCUGGAGUAGCUUUCCUCCAGACCCCUCAUUAUAGUUAUAAAUAAUUCCGAUAUUUGAUAUCAUGAUCGGGGAUUUCAGAGCUUAGAAAAUAUGAUUUGUACCCAUAUGUGUCUGAUCAUGAGAAGUUUGAAAAUAUACAUCAAAAACUGUAUGGAUUGGAAAAAUAUAAUCUUAUUAUGGUGUGUUAAAUCGUCAUUUGAUGAACGGAUUUGGGAUACAUUAUAAUAUGAUGUCAUUAUUAAUUAGGGUGUGUUUUUGGAAGUGCUUAAUUAUAUUCGUUUAAUGUGUAUUUCUUUUAUCACUUUUGAAAAGAAUUCUUAAAUAUUUAAAUAUUUCAAUGUUUAUAUCUUAACUUCAAAUAUAAUAAAAUAAAAUAAAAUAACUGUUCUCCAAUAUGAGGGUCCGAACUAAGGGUCUACGUCAAUAACAUGAAAUAUAAUAAUUUUUGUAAAUUUUUCUUAAAUUCAAAAUAAAUUUUGUUACUGAUUCAAAUGUUUAACAAAAUGUGGCAGCUUAUCUGUAAUUGCCACAUCAAUUGAGAUUCAAAUUACUACUCAAAUCCUGAAAUUCCUAAAGGUCCCUAACAUUAAUAUUUUAUUAAGUCAAUAUUGAAGUUGAACUAUGGGGUUCGUCGGCUAUUUCACACUAACAGAGGAAUCAUUUUAUCUUCUACAAAGGGUUCAGUUUUCUUGCACUGUAUGAUAUGAAGUAAUAUUGUCAUAUGUUGUUCUGAAUUAAUUUUUUUCUUCUCUCGUGCGAAUCAGAAAGAAAUGUUGUAUUUAAGAUGUGGAAAGUAUAAGAUCUUAGGAGUUUUACAGUGUAUAUAUAUAUAAAUUUUUUUUUGACAAACAGAGAAAUUCAGUCUAGAAUAUGAGAACAAACUAAAAGCUACGAAAUACAUUGGCAUUUUUGAGAAGUAGGAUAAAUAUUAUUUUUUUUUUUGAAAAAAAAAGGACUUGGCACCUCAAUGCUUUAAUAACCUAAUGUUAUACUUUUGGUUUGAUUUUUCUAUGUACUCUCUUCCAAUGGUCAAUUUAGGCUAUGUUUGGUAUUGAGAUAUUAUAACUAAAAAAUUUUAGGAUUUAUCACUUAAAAGAUAGAGUAGCCGUGGGAAAAAAGAGAGAGAGAGCUGAAAUUAUGAAAUAAAAUUAUUAAUGUAUUGUAAAUAAGAUGUUCAAAUAAAAAAAUUGACAAAAAUAGUAAAAAUACAAUACCAAACAAGAAUUUAUUUAGGAUACCGAUUCCAGGUCUCUAAAGAUUUGUUUUUAUGCUUUGCAGUUAUUUUCUUCUAGCUGACUGAUGAAUUAUUGUGAAAUUGCUAUGAAAAUUACUAGGGAAAUUAUCAGUCAUACACUCUUAAAUGACACCCGUAUCAAAUAUGCUACAACAUUUUUCAAGUAUAUCACUCGUAUACUCUAAGUUGACAAAACACUUCUACCGUCCACCAAUAUGUUAACUUCUAUUAGAAAGUUAAUAGAAUUGUGGCAAAUUGACUAUUUCGUCCUUGAAACUCAAAAUGAGAUUAAAAAAAAUUUACCCAAAAAAUUAAAGUAAAUUUUCAAUACAUAAUUUUUUUUAAUUUCGUUAUUAACAAUACAUUUUUUUAUUAAAAAAUAUGAAUUAUUAAUGGUACAUAUUAUUAACAAUUAUCCAUAAAAAUAUCCAUAUUAUACCAUAAAAAAUUAUUAACAACAUAUUAUUUACAAUUAUACAUAUUAUACCAUAAAAAACUCCAAUUGGAGCUUGGAGGAGUAGAUCUUAAAAAAUUUAGGUUAAAUUUUGGAUGAGUAGAUUCGGUUGUAAAGUAGUUGUUUUUUUAUAUGUAAUUAUUAACAAUUAUCCAAUAAAUGGGAUGACAUGUCAUUUUAUCAAUAUAUAUCAUAUGACAUGUCAUUGCUUAAUAGGAAAAUGGGAUGACAUGUCGUUUUUAAAAAAGACUAUAUUUACCCUUAUGAUGUCAGCACUUGCAAACGGCAGUUAACGGAUUGGUGAACGGUAGAAAUGUUUUGUCAACUUAAAGUAUACGAGUGAUAUACUUGAAAAGUGUUGUAUCACGUUUGAUAUUAGUGUCAUUUAACGAUAUAUGACUGAUAAUUUUCCAAAUUACUACUAUAACUUAUGGCAAAUUGGCAAUUAAAAAUCAUAAAAGUCUUUCCUCUUGAAUGAGAAAGUGGGUUAUUUUCGUUUACUAUAUAUAUAGUGUCACAAUCAAGAUUAGCAAAGGUUUGUUCACAAACCACCAUCUAUGAAACUAUGAUGACAAAUAUUAUUUGCUAUUAUCAUGUCACUGCAUUACUCUAAUGCCAUUAUUUGCCUAAUUAAAUAUUCAUGUCGGUUUUAAGAUGAAUUUCAAGACAUUUAACUAACCAUAUCUAUUGUAUUUUAUUAUGGUGCUCUAGCUAGCUGGUUGCCAGCUUUGCCUUUCAAUGGGGUUUGAUUAAUUACUCUGCAUAUAGACCAUUAUAUACUAGGACGGCCAAUGGUUAAUGUAAUAUAAACACAAUAAAUUUUAAUCAAAUAUGAAUUUUCUGAAUAAUUGUUUCUUUAUUUUAUGAAUUUUAUUUAAACGAUAUCCCAAUUUAAAAAAAAAAAAGAAAGAAAGAAAAUCAGCGCGUUUGUCUCCUCCCCAUUGUCAUGAUCAACCUUGUUGGAAACGUUGGUGAGAAAAGUAAUACUAUACGUUAAUUGCUUUUAAUAUUUUAAUCGUUGGUGGCACAACCGCACAAGAAAGUAAAAGUUGUUAUAUAUAUAUAUAUUUUAAAUAAAAGUUUAGCUUUCAAUAAUUCAACUUUGAAAAAGGUACAAAAGAUGUGUAGGACAUUCGUUGAACCACAUUAUUGGUUGUACACUUUCUAAAGCUACUUUGGCUAUGGAAUAGGCCAUGAUUAUGAAGCCGAGAAGUAUGUUGCAGUGUGGGGUUGUGUAGUUCCUUUUAGCUUCUUCUUACAAAUUAAUGCUGACAGAAAAAGCAAGAUCAUAUUCCACAAAAGUAAAAGUAACAAAACAACCAGCUGGAAUCUUUUAUUAAACUACGAUAAACUACAAAUUAAAGUGGAUUCUUUUGAAUACAAGUGGGAUAGACGAUUGGCUCUUUUAUUAAAGGCCAGUAGUCAAGAAUCGAAUAUCUCGAUUGCAUAGUCUUUUUCAAAUUCUUGUUUUAUUAUUUUUCAAAACUAAUUUUUUAUUAGUCUACAAUUAUUUAUAAUUAUAUUUUCAUUUAGAAUACAGUUCAAGUCAAAUCUUUUGCACUUCUACCUAACUCGGGCUAAUACUAGUCCACUCAUUAUUCAUGUGAGAGAGUUGUAAGGUACAUGCAUGUAACUUCUCUAACUCGAAUUAUUCCACACAGAGAAAUAAACAUAGAUGCUUUAUAACUUUAGAAAUCCGAUCUCUUACAGUUGGAAACAGAGAUGAUGAUUACUAUAAGAAUGAAGAAAAAGAUAAAAAAUUGUCAAUGAUUAACGAAGUCUCUAUGCAAAUUUCUCUAUGCAAAUUGAUUUUAGCAGAAAAAUAGUGAGUUGAAUGAUGUAGGCGAUUAGUGGUAAUAUUUCAUAGAGUUAGAGUAUUGGCAACCCUUCAAUCUUCUCAUGAAUCCCCUUUUUGAGUUAUAGUUAUUUUAUUUCGAAAUAUCCUUUUUCUUCUUUAAUACACUUCUAAUUUUUCAUUUAAUUUUUUUAUUGUUAAACUCAAAGUAUUAUUGUGAUAUUUUUCGUUUCUUUUGUAAUCUUAUUAUAAUUAAAAAAACCAAAAAAAAAGAUUGGCUAUGAAAUUUGUUGGAAAAAAUCUAUGUGCGUUUAAUUUUUGUUUGUCUUUGACUGUAAUUUAUUUGAAGUGGGGUUUUAUAAGCAUAAUGAAGGGAUCAAAGGAUGCCCAUAACUUCACUCUAUUUUAUAUGGAGAAAAGUAAAAGGUACACCUAAAGUUAAUGGAAAGUACUUCGCAGCUUUCUUUUGAUUAUAAUAUCCUUUAAUUUAAUUAACUUAAAAAUUUUGACUUUAAUAAUUUAUAAUAAAUUAAAUUAUAAUCUUAAAAUAAAUAUAAUAAUAUAUUUUAAAAUAAUCUCUAUAUUUAAAAUUUAUUUAUUUUCACAUUUUAUAUAAAUUUUAUAAUAAAGACAAACAUACUAUUAAAAUAAUAUAUAAAAAAUUUAAAAGUAUUUUGAAUAUUAUAUAAAAUAACUAUAACAUUUUUUAAUACAUGAGAUAUAUUUUGUUAAUUUAAAAUUCUAUUUAAUCCAAAGAUUUAUUUAAGAUAAAUUAAUAAUAAUAUUUUUGAAAUUAUUUGAAAUACUAAAAAAUAUUUUAAUAUUACUAGUCUAUUAAAUAAAUUAAAUAUAUUUAAUAGACUAGUAAUAUUCUGAAAAAUAAUAAAAGAAGAAUUAAAAAAAGACUAGACAAUAGAGAUAUUCGAUUCUUUUAAAGCAAAUCGUAAUAUUCCACAAAGGAGUAAGAUCCACAAAAGCAAACAACCAGUUGGAUUCUUUUAAAGUGGAAUCGUUUAUUAAACAACAAAUUAAUGUUCAAAUAUUUAAAUAGCAGUGCAUUAGACGAUUAGACUGUCUUAUUAAAGGCGAGUAUAAAGUAGUCAAGAAUCGAAUAUCUCUAUUGUCUAGUCUUUUUUUAAUUCUUCUUUUAUUAUUUUUCAGAAUAGGUUUUGGUGAUUACAAUGGGUUAUUAUUCAGAGUUAUUGUUAUCUUCCGGGUCAAUUUCUGUUCAUCGAAGUCGUUAAUUCAAAUUUUAGAACUUUUAUCAAAAGAAUGUUUUUCGUUAUCUUUUUUAUGGUCUAAUUCCAAUUGUAAGAAGUAGUCAUUUUAAAAUUUGGGUCUUGAAUCGAAUUUCAGUGCAUGAAUUAAUAUUAAAAAAAAAUCACUACACACAGUUUAGGCUGCAGACUACUUUUUGCAAAUUUGACUCUGAAAAUUGGAGAAAUUAAGUAAUUUAGAAUGUUUGCAAAGAAAAAGACUAACAUACUUCCUAUUACACUAAAUCUCUAUUAUCAUAAUGUUGAGACUAAACUAACUUAAAUACGUUUUAUUUGAAAAGCUAUAUUAAAUGCAGCCUAAUUUUAUUAACCUGAAGAGCUAAUAGAAGUGUAGUUAUAAAAAUUAUAUUCUGACUUAAUUAGUACAAGUGAUAUAAAGGUUAAGUGUGCACUAUAUUUAAUAAUUAAUUAAUGGAGCAUGUUAAAUAAAAUGAUAAUUUAUAUUUAUAUAAUGUUAGGAAUAUGUAAAGUCUAAGUCCACAAGUUGCAUUAUCUUUAAUAUUUUCUCUCAAUUAAAUUCUAAAAAUACUUUACAAUUAUUUAGUAACAACUGUAAAUUAAGAAUAAAUUAUUGUCCCAAACAACAUUAAAAAAUAUUUUAUUCCAUUUGAAUCCUUUAAUUUUUUUUACAGUAUAUAGAUAAUUAUUACUAUGUGAAUGUAAGUUUCUUAAGAUGGGACCUAUAACAAUUUAGAACUUAUUACAACGGGGAGUUUAUUAGGACCAAAAUUUUUUAUGAGUACAUAAAGUUAUCUUGUAUAGAAUAUUAGUAUAUAGAUGUUUUACUGUAAUUAGUCUAGAACAUUUAAAAAAAAAAAACAUAUACCGUCCCUUGGAUGUAGCUCUUGGGUGACCAUGAAUGUUCUUUGUUCCACAUACGNNNNNNNNNNNNNNNNNNNNNNNNNNNNNNNNNNNNNNNNNNNNNNNNNNNNNNNNNNNNNNNNNNNNNNNNNNNNNNNNNNNNNNNNNNNNNNNNNNNNACCCUCUAUGGGAAUAAUCUAUUUAGUUAUAAAAAAUUAUGAUCCCAAUUUAGACUAGUUAUAAAUAACAACAAAUUCCACUUUGUAAUAAAUUAUAUUUUUUCUAUAUCUUAUCUUAAGAAACUUAUCUCUACAUAGUAAUAAUUAUUUGUAUAGGUAAGAAUGGAUCAAGAUCCUCUCCUGAUCUGAGCACUCCUGAUCUUUUACAGAUCUUAUACCACCUGUGUUUUACUGUUAGUGGAUGAUUAUGAUUUGACUAUUUUUUCUUUUUAAUUUAUUAAUCACCAAUUAUAUUAAUAAAAUUUGCUCAGAUGAAGAUCAGAUCAAGAAAGGAUCCUGAUCCAAUAAGAAUACAUGUUAUAUUAGACUAAAGGAACUUGUCUGCACAUAACGAUUAGACAACGAGCGAAAAUUAUUAAAGCGAAUGCAAAUAAUUAGAAUUUUUUAAGAUGACUUUGUAUAUUCACAAUAAUAAUUGAUAGAUACAUGUACCAACGUUUUAAUAUAUUUGACAUCCUCCAUUAAUAAAUCAUUGAUGUAAUAUAGACUUUAUCUCUAUAUCCUCACACUACGGACAACUAAGUCAUAAUAAUAAUUUUUGUAACUACAUCUCUAUUACUUCCUCAUAAUAAUAAGUUAAUUUGAUCUCUACAUUAUGACUAUGGAGAUUUUAUUGUAUAGGGACACCCAAUAUAAAUAGUAUCCCAACUAAAAUUGUCCCAAAAAAAAAAUCGCUAAAGGAUAAUUAUAAUUUUUUUUCACUUCUCAAACGUUGGUGGCAGUUGUAAGCUAAGUUGUCAAAUAUAUUAAACUACAAGUGCUGCCACCAAGUGCGAUGCUCUUUUCUAAAGAGAAGUACAGUGGGUCCCGAAUAGGACGUGCUUAAAUCUGUUUAAAUUUUUCCAGUAUAACUAACAGAGGUCAUUACUAGAAUUAUAUUACUAGCCUAUUAGAUAGAAAAAAUUAGUUAUAUUAUUUUAUAUUUAUUAAAAAAGUUUAAAGUUAAUCUUUUUAAUUACUAUUUAAAAGAUAUUAUAAUAAAAAAAUAGUGUCUUUACUAAAAAUUUAGAAAUUUAUUUGACCGUUCUCUAAACUUUAUUUAAUAUUAUUGAUUUAAAUAAUAUCUAAAUUAAAAAUGUACAGAGAAGAAAUUUCGGUGGGUAUAUUAGUCUUUUACUUUUAACGUUAGUGGCCUUCUUAUAUUUUAUUACAAAUUAAUCCUAACAAGAAAAAGCUAGAUCAUAUUCCACAAAAGCAAGAGUGACAAAACAUGAAAACAACCAACUGGAUUCUUUUAUUAAACUACAAAUUAAAAUUGUUUUUUUUAAUAAACUAUAAAUUAAAGCGGAUUCUUUUGAAUACAGGUGGGACAGACUUAAGCUCUUUUAUUAAAGGCAAGUAUAAAGUAGUCAAGAAUCGAAUAGUCUUUUUCAAAUUCUUGUUUUAUUAUUUUUCAAAACUAAUUUUUGGUAAUUACACUCGGGUCAUUAAUCAUUAUUCAGAGUCAUUGUUAUCUUCGGAGACAGUGGGUAAAAGAUAAUUACUGGCUGUUUUUCCUUCAAAAGUUAGUGGCUCAUGUUUGCAAGUGUGAAUGUGCGAUGCUCUUUUUCCAAAUGCAAUUACAGUGGGUCCCGAAUCGGAGGAUAAAAAUCCUUUUAGUUUUUGUAUUUUAAGAUUAGUAUAUAUUUAGUCUUUAUAUUUUUAAAAAUACCUCGAAACAUUCAUGCCGUUAAAGUAUUGAUACCACUACCAUUACUUUUCAUUUCUUUUAACUUAAUUUUACAAUAUUACCCUUUUAUAAUAAUUUUUUUAGACAUUAAUAAAAAAUAAUUAAAUCACUAAUUUAACUCUAAAAAAUAAAAAAAUUAUAUUAAUUUUUUUGCAAGCACCGUUUGCACACUUGGUAGGUUGCAUACAAUUUUUGAUAAUUAAAAAUUAAUAUAAAUUUUUAUUUUUAUUUUUAGGGUUAAAUUGAUAAUUUAAUUAUUUUAUUUUUAUUAAUGUACAAACAAAAAAAUUAUUAUUAAAGGGUAAUAUUGUAAAAAUAAGCCAAAAGAAAUGAAAAAUAACGGUAGAAGUAUCAAUACUUUAACGACAAGGAUGUUUCUAGAUAUUUUUAAAAAUAUAGAGAUUAAAUGAAUACUAAUCUUCAAAUACAGGAUUAAAUAGAAUUUUACCCCGAAUCGAACGUGCCUAAAUCUUUUUAAAAUUUUUGCCGUACAACGGACAGAGGUCAUUACUAAAAUUUCUCUUCCACAGCCCACAUCAGCUUCAGGAAUCAGUUUAUCAAACUCAAUCAAUUUUCUUUCUUAACAAAAUUCCAAAGAUGUGUAGCAUUUUUCAGAUCACAUGCGAUGGUGCUUUUUUCAAUCGUUGCUUGGAUUGCUUUCUUGGAAAAGCAGCAUACACACGUAACCUCCAAGAUAAUCUUGUGGCCUUGCAGACUGAAUUAAUGAAACUAAACGCAGCAAAGGACGAUCUGAUGAGGAGGGUCGUCAAUGCUGAACGUCAACAAAUGAGAAGGCUGGACGGAGUGCAAGUGUGGGUUUCGAGGGUGGAUGCUGUUACAACUGAAGCUAAUGAACUUAUCAGAGACGGCUCUCAAGAAAUUGAAAAAUUAUGUCUUGGAGGGUUCUGUUCCAGGAACUGCACGUCAAGCUACAAGUUUGGGAAACAAGUGGCUAAAAAGCUACGAGAUGUGGAGGCUUUAUUUGCCGAAGGGGUUUUUGAGGCGGUGGCUACCAAGGUGGUGCCUGAGAGAGCUCCAGAGCCUGUAGCAGAUGAAAGACCUGCCGAGCGAACAGUAGUAGGCUUGCAAUCACAACUUGAACAAGUCUGGAGAUGUCUUGCAGAAGAAUCAGCGGGAAUCAUUGGCCUAUAUGGUAUGGGCGGUGUUGGUAAAACUACACUAUUGACCCAUAUCAACAAUAAAUUUCUCGAGAGUCCAACCAACUUUGAUUGUGUGAUUUGGGUAGUAGUUUCAAAAGACCUGCGACUCGAAAAAAUUCAAGAAGAUAUUGGGAAAAAGAUAUGUUUGGUUGAUGAUGAUUUGUGGAAGAGUAAAAUUUUUGAAGAGAAAGCUGUAGCCAUCUUGCGGAGAUUAGGAGAGAAGAGAUUUGUAUUGUUGUUAGAUGAUUUAUGGGAGCGGGUUGAUUUAACAAAAGUGGGCGUUCCACUUCCCAGACCAAAAAAUACUACCUCAUAAGUCGUAUUCACAAGCCGUUUCAUCGAUGUUUGUGGUAGCAUGGAAGCUGGCAGGAAGUUCCAAGUAGCAUGCUUAUCAGAAAAGGAUGCUUGGGAACUGUUUCAAGAAAAAGUUGGGGAAGAAACUCUUGAGAGUGAUCAUGAUAUCGUUGAGCUAGCCCAAACCGUGGCCAAGAAGUGUGGUGGUUUGCCACUCGCACUUAUUACUAUUGGUCGAGCUAUGGCCAUCAAAAAGACAGCCGAGGAGUGGAGACAUGCAAUUGAAGUGUUAAGACGAUCAGCUUCAGAGUUUCCAGGUUUGGGAAAAGAGGUGUAUCCUCUUUUAAACUUUAGCUAUGAUAGUUUGCUGAAUGAGACGAUUAGAUCUUGUUUCUUAUAUUGUUGUUUAUAUCCUGAAGAUUAUGGCAUUCUUAAAUGGGACUUGAUUGAUUGUUGGAUUUCUGAGGGAUUCUUAGAGGAAUCUAAUAGGUUUGGUUGUUAGAGUGCAAUUUAUGCACUAGUUUUGCAUUAUUUACUUCCCUUAAUAUCAAUGUUUUGCACUUAAUAAUAGUGAUUUACUUGUGUUUUACUUUUGUAGGUGCAAUUCUAUUGAUUGAUGAUAAAAUUGAGCUAUAAGAUGAUGUUUAAGGAUGAUUGUUCUCUUGAAGAAAUUAUGAGCGUCAGAAGAACUUUGUUGAUAAGGCGUGGGCGCGUGCUGUCAACUGCGGACCUGCAGUUUUAGUUUAACGUGUUUUGUAUUUUUGGUUAUUUUUGUAAUUACGAAUUUAAUAUUUCAGAUAUUAGGAUUUUAUUUUAAAUAGAAUUCUAAAAGAGAAGAGAGAGAAAGUAUUUAAGGGAGGAAUCUAUUGUGAAAGGGGGAUUUUGGAUUGGAGAAAAAGAAACCCUAGAUCUAAUUUUUCUCUUCUCUCUAUGAGGAACUAAACCCAUUUUUCUGGUUGAAGGUUAAUGAAGCUUUGAUUCAUCACUACUGUGAGAUCUUUCUUGUGCUUUAAUUGUUUUAUUACUUUUUGGGUAUUUGUUUAUUCUCUGAAUUAUUUUCAUGAUUAUGUUUGUUAAUUAGGUAAUUGGCCACUAUUUAAUUAUCAACUUAAUCUAUUGUCAAUUAAAGGAUUCAUCGUAUGAAGAAUUUAAUGUUUGUGACAAAUAACAUAGCAGAGAGUUGUGUUGUGAGAAUAAACAAUCUAAUUUAAAUGAAUCAUCAUAUGUGUUGAUUAGGAUUUGGGUCUCUCUGGUUUUUCAGGCUGUCAAUUGAUUAAAUUCUAUGAUCGUAUCUAGGGUUGUCUAUUGAUUAGGGAAAUAACCAACGGUCGUACCUUGGUUAUCGACUAGUUAAGGAGAGAUUGGCUAUUAGAGGGUCUCAGUAGCUAUAACCGGUCUAUUCAUGAGUAAUAAUAAUCUAUAUUUGAAUCAAUGAUCAGUAGUCGAAUCAAGCUGAGUUAAUUCCUUCAACCAGAGCUUUCUCCAAUUUGAAUUACAACUUUAAUUUGCAUUCUUGUUAUUUUAAUUUGAUUUUUAUUAUUGUCAACAAUUCCCCUAUUUUACGUUUUACGUUUCAAAAGGAUUUAAUUAAUUACCGAUCUCUGUGGACACGACCCUGCUCAAUCACUAUACACAAUUUAUUUAGAGUAGGAAUUUACUUUUGUUGGCUUCGACACCCAUCAUUGGUGCAGAAAACCGAGGAUACUACAUUGUGGGCACUCUUGUUCAUGUGUGUUUACUAGAAGAGAUAGAAGAUGAUAAAGUAAAAAUGCUUGACGUUGUUCGUGAUAUGGCUCUAUGGAUAGCUUGUGAAACUGAGAAGGAGAAGAUAAACUUUUUGGUUUGUGCAGGUGCUGGAUUAGAAGAGGCACCGGAUGUUAAAGAAUGGGAAAAUGUGAGAAGAUUGUCAUUGAUGCAAAACCAAAUUGAAACUCUGUCAGAGGUUCCCACAUGCCCUCAUUUCGUCACUUUAUUUCUUGACUUUAAUGGGGAGUUGAAGAUGAUCGCGGAUGGCUUCUUCCAACUUAUGCCUUCUCUCAAAGUUUUGAAGAUGUCAAACUGCUGGAAUUUGAAAUUUCUUGUUGGGAUGUCAAAGUUGGGUUCGCUACAGCUUCUUGAUAUUUCACAGAACGCCAUAGAAGAGUUACCAGAAGAGUUGAAGUUGUUGAUAAAUCUGACAUGUUUGAAUUUGAGGGGGACAGGCCAAUUAAAUAAAAUUCCACGGCAACUAAUAUCAAAUUUUUCAAGGUUACGUGGGUUAAGGAAGUUCAUAACGUGUGCAAGCAGUCAACUCAAGGUUAGCACGUGGGAGAAUUUGCUGAGCUAAAGUUAGUUAAAUAAGCAAUGCCAGCUCAACAAAUUCAGUCAAGGUUUACUGAGAUUUUAUUCCUAUUGUUUUCUUUUCUGUUAACAAUGUAUAAAGGUGUUCUUUGUACUCAUUUGAUCAUUAAGAAAAAAAGAAAUAAAAUCUAGAAUAUUCUCUGAAGUUUUCUCAGUAAAACAGAGUAAAUUUUCUCAGUAACUAAACAGUAUAUAUCAGUGGAAUUUACGUUUUAUAACAUGGUAUCAGAGCCAAACAGUAACCAGCAAACAAUGAUGAGAAAUCUAGCAAUCAAUAAUACACAUCAACACACUCAAAUCAAUUUCUCUUUCACGAAUCCAAUUAAACUAGAUCGAUCAAACUACCUGCUCUGGCGUUCACAAGUUCUGGCUUCGAUUAGAGGUAAUCGACUAGAAGACUUCAUAACUAGAAUCAAAUCAACAUCUGAAGAAAAUAUUUUGUUAGCUGGAGUUGAUGGAUCUACACAACAAAUUGAGAAUCCUGAGUAUCAGAUCUGGAGAUCACAAGAUCAAAUUCUUCUUGGUUGGCUACUGUCAACCUUAAGUGAAGGUAUCCUUAGUCUUGUUAUUAACUGUAAAAGCUCAUUUUCUUCAGCUCAGAUAUGAACUGAACACUCUUAAAAAGGAGUCUCUUAGUAUUGAAGAUUAUUGUGUUAAAAUGAAAGCAAUAGCUGAUAAGCUUGCUAGUGCUGGUAGCUCGAUAACAGAAAAGGAUCUAAUGCUAACCAUACUCAAUGGAUUAGGAUCAGGAUAUAGUGAUAUUGCUACUUUCAUAACUGGUUCACGAAUGGAAUUUGAUGAUACUUAUGCAUUAUUGCUCACUCAUGAAACUAGGUUGGAACAAGAUCAUGAUGAUAAGAGUAUGUUCAAUGCUAACUAUGCAUAUACUAAUGCAUUUCAUCCUAAGGUUUAUUAUGCACAGCCUAGAGGAAAUUUUAAGAGAGGAGGUUAUUAUGGUGGUAGGAAUGUUUUCUCUGGUAGAGGGAAUAUGAAUUUUUCUCCAAGAAUGUUUAAUGGAGGUUUUAGAAGUGGUUUUGGUAGAGGAUAUUAUGUUGGUAAUCCUUUUAAUGGUAAUAAUUCUUUAGCACCAAAGAAUUCAUCAUCUGUUAUCAAGAAUGGAUCACAGAGAACUUUUAAUAACAAUCCAGGGGACUCAGUAUGUCAGAUUUGUCUCAAACUUGGUCAUACUGCUGAUAUUUGUUGGCAUAGAUUUGUUGAAGAUUAUGUGCCAAUGCCAAGGGGUUUUUAGAAAAGGAAAAGCACCCAGAGCAGCAUCACUACUAGAAAAAUAGCUUUUACUGAUACUUGUCUUGUGAUACUUUUCUAAAAAGUAUCAGCAAUUACAUAUAUUUGGGCCAUUUUCCGUGUUUAACAAACAAGUGUCACAAAUUACUGAUUCUAUGAUGUUUGUAUAUUAAACAUCAGAGAUCGUCGACACUAAGGUAUCAGAAACAACAAAAAAAAAUAAAAAAUCUAUUUUUGUUUUAGUUGCGACUCGAACCUAGGACCUCAAAACUAAAGUGCUUUAUGUUCAACCAACAAACCACCAUGCCAAAUUCAUAAAUUAGUUUGUGUUGAACAUGUUGAAAUUAUCAAAUUAAAUUAAUAUAGAAAACAAAAAUAUAAAAGCAAAAGAAAAAAACCCUAAAUCAACAUAAACAUAAAAUUCCCUAACUCCUAAAUCCAUGGCCAGCCGCCUCAUCUCUCUGGCGAUAUCCUUCUUCUUCUUCAUACCUCUAAAACUUCGAGCCCUAAAAUUCAAGGGUCCAUGUCAUAAGAAAUCCUACCACCACUGCUCAAAUUCUAACACCCAUACCAUACGAAACCCUAAUGAUCUACAUUAUGCAAAACAUCCACCAUGCCGCUAUGCCACAAGCUCACAAGACCCGCUUUAGAUCUCCACAUUUUGCUCACCCUACUCGAGUGCACACCGCCCCUCUCGCUUCGACUUCUCGGGAUUUCUUGUUAGCUGAAGUUUUGUUUUCUUCCGCUAAUUCGAUCUUCGAAAGGUCUCGGAGCUCCAAGUAACUAAGUAAGCUCGGUUUUCUUCUAUUCUCUCAGAUACUUGCUUACACAUUCCUUUUUUUUUCGUGUUAAAUUUUGUUGUUUCGUUGUGUUAUAUGGAUCGAUGAGAGUCACAGACUUUGACGAGACAAUGACGAUAUUGUUUUGGAGUUUCGUUUCGUAGAUCUGUGAUAGAGUCUCCUUUUUCAGAUAUUUCCUUUCAUUUACCAUAUUUGCACAAUUUGUUUUGUCAUUAAAUUAUUUGCGUUUGAAUGUACAAUUUUUGUUUUCGUUUUAUAUUUUCAAAUACUGUUUCUUGGAGCGAAUUAGUGGAGGAAUUUUUGGUUGAAGCAGAGGAUGGAUAACUUUUGUAUUUUGAACUUUGUAUGUUAUUUAUUAUUUGAACUUGAAGCUAAAAGGUGACCAAAUUUUCCAAAGGUUAGGGUUUGGUUGGCUUAUGUGAAAAUGCCGAACGAAUGUGUAUUAUUCAUACUCCAAUAUUGUAGGUGCGUCAAUGCACCUCCUUGCGAUGGUUGCAGCAACGAAACUGUAGGUCAAGGUUUGGGUACCCCAUUUCCUUCAAAGAUCCAAUAUGGAGCAACUCGAGUCGAGCUUUUUCGGUCAAUUUAAACAAAACCUUUACUCCUAAUUUAUUGUCUUUUGCUUUCUGUUUGUACCUGUAGGAGUUCAUAUUUUGUAAUGUUCCGUAAGUGUCCAAUAACUGGUUAAAUUAUGACUUAUGCUAGGUGAAGAUUUUGUGUUACAAUCCCCUUCAAUAGGCAAUCACUCUUUUUGUAAAUGUUCAUGGGUAAUUGCUUUGCCUUUGCUUCUGUUGUACUUUUGUUUUUGUGGGGUUUUAGUUAAUGGAUGUUGAGUUAUAUUUCAAUCAGUUUGAUUUCUCUGCAUAUUUUUCAUAUUUUAGUAUUAGAAGAGGUAUUUAAUCAAAUGAAGACAAAAACAAUUGUCGGCCAACCAACAAACUCACUUUAGUUUGUUGUGAAAUGAUUUUCUCUCUCUCUCUCGAUUUUCACUGGUUCUGUGGUUUUUUCCCUUCCACAAUGUGAUUUAGUUCUGUUCUAUUUAUGGAUGUUACCAACAUUUUAGCUUUUAAGAAACAGACAAAAAGAUUCUGAAGUUUGUUUCUUGUUUCUUACUCUGAAUUUCCAAGGCAUCUUAUUUGGAGAAAUGCAUUCUGAAUGGAGAAAUUUCUCCAAAUUUAUGAGAUGUGGUUCUGUCUUGCUGAAUGAACAUUGUAUUUCCUUCAAUGGUUUGCGAGCCAUUAAGUUAUUUGAGCAAACAAAAUUAGCAAUAUGGAAUCCUGUUUCUACAGGAUUAUAGUUGUAGGACUCUAGAAUUUAGUCUAGGUAAUGUUUUUACCAUUGUAAAAAGUAUCUGACAUUGGUGAUGUUUAAGCAUAUGUGUCAUUUCUUUUGGGCUUCACUUUGGAUCCUUUUUUUCUUUUUUUACAAACAAUGGAUGGUUAAAACCUAAGAGACUGAUUGAUUUUUGUUUUAAAUCCAGUGGUUAUGCCUUGUAAACUUUUGAGUUGUAUCAAUUUCUUUUCCUGGCCUAACUUGGCUAAAUUUAUGCUAUAUAAUUGAAUUCUACAAAUUUUGGCUAUGUAUGAUGUAAAGGUCAUAAGUCUUGUAUCUUCAUUUGUUCACCACAGGCUUGAUACUUCACAACUACCAUAAGUUAUGUCAUGCCAUGUCUUCUUUAGCAAUAUUGUGUGGCUUUGAGUAGUAUUAAUGUUUUUGUUUGUUAAUUCACGACUUAAUGGAACCAUUUUCCUUAUAAUCGAGAACCUUCGUGCGAGUGUUGUGGAGAAAUCUUAUGAUUCAUGUGUAGGUGUGUUUGCUUAAUGUGAUGACUUUUAUUAUGUGUUGUAGUUCUUGUGUCUAUAAGAGGAACCUUUGCUCCUAUGUCUAUUUAUCUCCGACUUUCAGUUUAGGCGUAAAUAGGUUACUCUUCUUUCUUUCUCAUUUUUUAAUUUCUAUGUUCUCCUAUGUCUAUUUACAUGGACUGCUUUGCUGCUUCUCUGCAGUGAAAACAACCCUGGUAAUUUACAGGAGCUUUUUUCACUUCAGAACAAUAGCAAGACAUCCCCUGCAGAUUUUUUAUUGAUUUUGCAUAGAUUGGUUUGUUGCUUUGGGUUGGAAUGCUACUGGAUAUAUGUCAGAAUUAUAGCGCUAUUGGAAGAUGGUGGGUUGUUGCAUAUGAGUUGGAGUGUUCCUGGGUAUGUAGCUAGAAUUAGAGUGCUGUUGGAAGAUGGUAUUGCUACUGGAAGUUUUGCUCAAAAACUUGUCGUUGGAAUACUUGCAUUAAUUUUUGGAAAUUUUAUUGGGUAACUUGGCUAGGUGGCUGAAAUUUUAAUUGCUUUUGUGUAUUGAAGCAUUUGGAUUGUGUAAUAUAUAUUGAUAAUAUUUAAAUGUUAUGAAAGGUUUUGAUAAAUAAAUUGAUUUUUGUUCUUAUUUCUCACAGCCUUUUAAUUCUAUCAACAAAUCAAUGGGUAAUGUCAUUUUGUAUAAUUAUUUUUUUAAAUAAUACAUAAAGUAGUGAUACUAUAGUAACAGUAUCACAAAUACUAAUAUAGUAUUGUAAUAUUUUGAUACCAUGGUGUUAUGAUUUUAAUGAUACUAUAGUAAUAGUAAUUACUGACACCACUUACAAGUGUCACUAUUUUUCUGACUGCCAGAUUACUGACACAAUUAGCAAGUGUCACUAAAAGUAAUUACUGACACUAUUCUAAUGUCAGUAAAGACCAUUUUUCUAGUAGUGCAUAUCUGUCAAAUUUUGAUGGUUCUGUUUCAAAUCCAAACUUUGAAGAUUAUGAGAACUUCAACUAUAUGCCUUCAGCUUAUAAUCCUAUGUCUGGCAAUAGCUAUUAUUCUGGUUUUGAUGCUUGUACUCCUGGAGUAGCAUUUAUGGCUAACUUUGAAGGAGUUGCUAAUGAUGAAUGGUACUUGGAUAGUGGGGCAACUCACCAUCUGGACAACAACAUGGAGAGCUUGCAGAUCAGUGAGGAGUUUAAGGGUACUGAUUAGCUCAUAAUUGGUAAUGGUCAAGGUUUGUUUAUCACUAAUGUUGAUUUUGCAUUUCUGUCACAAAGAGCAUCAAAUUACUUAUCUGCACAUUCCAGAAUAGCACUUAAGGAUAUAUUACUUGUUCCAUCAAUUACCAAAAAUCUACUAAGCAUUUCCAAAUUGACAUCUGAUAACCCUAUAACUGUUGAAUUUUGUGGGAAUGUUUGUUUUGUGAAGGACAUGAAUAGACAAGUUCUGCUGCAGGGACUUGCCGAAAAAGGUCUAUACAAGCUGCUGCUGAGUUCUAAUUCCUCUUCUUCAUUUCCUUCAUCUCAUCUUUGUCAUACUCAACUAAAUAAUUAUGUCUCAAUGUUGUCUAGCUUUCAAAGCUUUGAUAAUCCUUCUAAAGUUUGUUAUCAUUCUGUUUUCAAUAAAUGCAAAACCAAAUAUGAUGUAAUGACAUUGUUACAUAGAAAAUUUGGUCAUCCAAGUUCAAUGAUUCUGAUGCAUUUAGCUAAGUCUUGCAAGCAAUUAAAAAUCUCUCAAAAAGAUAUUCUAUCUUGUACAAAUUCUUUGUGUGAGGCAUGUCAGUUAGGCAAAGUUCACAGGCAAAGUUUUCCAGCAACUGAAACAAAAACAAAAGGAGUAUUAGAACUGAUUCAUACUGAUAUCUAGGGACCUUCACCCACUGUAUCUAGAAAUGGAUACAAGUAUUACAUUAGUUUUGUGGAUGAUUACACUAGAUACACCUGGAUCUAUCCACUUAAGCUUAAAUCACAAGCAUUUGAAGUUUUCAAACUGUUCAAGGCACAAGUUGAAAAUUAGUUUAAUACCAAGAUUAAGGAAUUACAAUCUGAUCUGGGGGAGAGAGUUUAGAGUAUUCAGUAAUUUCCUAAGUCAAAAUGGAAUCAAGUUUAGACAUUCAUGCCCUUAUACUCAUCACCAGAAUGGUCUUGUUGAGAAGAAACAAAGACACAUAAUUGAAUUAGCAUUAACACUCUUAGCUCAAGCUAAUCUCCCUUUUCAGUUUUGGUGGAAAGCUGUUCACACAGCAACAUAUCAUAUUAAUAGGUUACCAACACCUGUUCUUAAGCUUUUAUCUCCUUAUGAAAAGCUCUUUAAACACAAACCAGAUUAUUCAUUUCAUAAGUGCUUUGGUUGCCUAUGUUAUCCAUAUAUGAGAGAUUUAAAUAAACACAAAUUUGAUUUUCACACCACCAAAUGCAUCUUCAUUGGCUAUAGUCAUUCUUACAAGGGUUAUAAGUGUUUAACAAGCUCAGGAAAAAUUCAUAUCCUAAGGCAUGUUAUCUUUGAUGAAAAUACAUUCCCUUACUUAACAAACAAAGUCUUUCAUUUAUCCGAGAACAGUUCAAAUUCUGAAAUAUCAGUGUCAAACUUUUCCCAGUAACAAAUUUAUCAUCUCUCCACAUUAUCCUUAACUGACAGCAGCUUGGAAGAUCUUCAAUCAGCAAGUUCAGAAAGCAAUGAACAAGUACCUUCUGUUUCUGCACACACAAAUAAUCUGCAUCAACAAGAGCAUUCUCAAGAGCAUUCCUCAUCAACUAUACCAUUAUCACCAACACAACAACAAACUGAAUCACAACCACAAAAUGAACCACAUCUAUCUACUUCCUAGCACAUAAAUCAAACUCAAACUAGAAACCUUCCUUCACAACCAUCACAUUCAAUGGUAACCAGAUCGAAAAUAUGGAAUCUUCAAGCCAAAAGUUUACAUAACCACCUUAACCAACAAAGAACCCAGUACUGUUCAAGAAGCUCUAAGUGAUCAGAAUUGGCAUCAAGCUCUGAAAGAUGAAUAUGAAGCUUUGCUUAGGAAUGAAACAUGGUCACUAGUACCAUUUUCAGAGGUAUACAAGGUUGUUGACAGUAAAGGGGUUUUCAGAAUUAAACAAAACACAGAUGAGAGUGUAGCUAAAUACAAAGCCAGGUUAGUUGCAAAGGGUUUCCAGCAAACUAAUGGUGUUGACUACUUUGAGACCUUUAGUCUUGUGGUAAAGGCCUGCACAGUAAGAAUUAUUUUUAGUUUGGCUGUGAUGAACAAGUGGAAAAUAAGGCAAGUGGAUGUCAAUAAUGCAUUCUUAAAUGGAGAAUUGACUGAAGAUGUUUACAUGUAUAAGCCAGAAGGUUUCAUUGAUGAGAAAAAGUCCAGUUAUGUAUGCAAGUUGAAGAAAGCCCUGUAUGGCUUAAAACAAGCUCCUAGAGCUUGGUAUGAUAAGUUGAAAAACCGUCUGAUAAGUUGAAAAACUGUUUGAUAAGUAAUUGGGGUUUUCAAAAUUCCAGAGCUGAUACUUCUCUCUUCUUCAAAGAGAUUCAAGGCUCAAUAAUACUUGUGCUUAUAUAUGUGAAUGAUAUACUUAUUACAGGGCCUGACAUUGGAGAAUUAGAGAAGUUUAUCUUAGAAUUCAGUAAGACAUUUGCUUUAAAGGAUCUAGGAAUACUAUCAUACUUUCUUGGGAUAGAAGUCUCUUAUGCUGAUGGUUGUAUGUACUUAUCUCAGAGAAAGUAUAUUAAUGAUCUCUUGUCUAAAGCUGAUAUGUUGAACUGUAAAGGGUGUGAUACUCCCAUAGCGAUUGGACUGAAACUUCAAAAGGAGGUUAAAGGUUGUUUAGGUCAGUAUGUUGAGGAUGCAACCAGUUACAGAAGUUUGGUUGGAGGCUUGCAAUAUCUGGUGUUAACCAGACCAGAGAUAGCCUUUGCUGUGCACAAACUCAGUCAAUAUGUGACAGCUCCAACAUUGCAGCACAUAAUGGCCUGUAAACGAGUUCUAAGAUACCUAAAGGAAACCAUGGAUUAUGGUCUAAAGUUUUCAGCUGGUGGAGAAAUGGAAAUCACAGGUUUUAUAAAUGCAGAUUGGGCAUGCGAUAUUGAUGACAGAAAAUCUAUAGGUGCAUACUGUAUCUAUUUUGGAAAUAAUCUGGUGUCAUGGUCAUCUAAGAAGUAGUCUGUGGUGAUAAGGUCUAGUGCAGAAAGCGAAUACAGAGCUUUGGCUUCUGCAAGUGUAGAAAUAGCAUGGAUUCAAUCUUUGUUCAGUGAGCUAAAUAUAAGAUGUGUCUCAGUACUUAUCAUCUGGUGUGACAACAUGAGUGCAACAAAGUUAAGAUAAAAAUCUAGUCUACCAUUCACGUACCAAACACAUUGAACUGGAUAUGCAUUUUGUUAGAGAUAAGGUUUUAGCAGAGGAGCUGAAAAUUAACUUCAUUCAAAGUGAAGAACAGAUAGCCGAUGUCCUAACAAAACCUCUCACAUUCAUUCAUUUUAAUUAUUUCAUAAACAAACUCAAUGUGCAGCCAUGCCCCUUGAGUUUGAGGAGGGCUGUUAAGGAAGCUCAUAACGUGUACAAGCAGUCAGCUCAAGGUUAGCACGUGGGAGAAUUUGCUGAGCUAAAGUUAGUUAAGUAAGCGAUGUCAGCUCAGCAAAUUCAGUCAAGGUUUACUGAGAUUUUAUUCAUAUUGUUUUCUUUUCUAUUAACAAUGUAUAAAGGCAUGCUUUGUACUCAUUUGAUCAAUAAGAAAAGAAGAAAUAAAAUCCAGAAUAUUCUCUGAAGUUUUCUCAGUAAAACAGAGUAAAUUUUCUUAGUAACCAAACAGUACAGAUCAGUGGAAUUUACGUUUUAUAACAACGUGUGUUGAGAAUGUUGGGUAUUGGCCAAUUCAAUUUUCAUGAAGCACCAGAAGACAACGCUUUAUUUGGUGGGGGUGAAGUUUUGAUACAGGUAUUGCUCGGUUUGAAAUAUUUAGAGGUAUUGGAGUUGACCUUGGGAAGUUAUCAUGCUCUCCAAAUUCUUUUGAGCUCAAAUCAGUCAAAAAGUUGUAUUCGAUCUCUUCUCCUCCACAAGUUUAGAGGUACAACGCCGAUUAUUGAUGCUACGGCUUUCGCAGAGCUAAACCACCUCAACGAAUUAUUUAUUAAUAAUAGUAUUGAGUUGAUAGAAUUGAAGAUUGAUUAUACAGAGAUAGUACAAAAAAGGCAGGAACCUUUUGUUUUCCGCAGCCUUCACCGUGUUACCAUAUUUAGGGCCCGUUUGGGAGUGAGGUGCUGUAGCUUUUAAGCUGCAGUUGCUGUGGAGUAAAAGCUAUAGAUGUGGAAUGGAAGUUGAUGGUGUUUGGUAAAAGUGUUGUAGCUUUUAAGCUGCAACUACUGAUGGUGUUUGGUAGAGUGGAUGAAUAUUUGUAAUAAUUAAUUUUAAAUAACAUUAUUUUUAAUUGUUAACAAAUCAAUUAUUUUUCAUUCUUCAAAUUAUUAUAUUGACAUACAAUUACGAUUUAUUCCGUUACAAAUUAAAUUAAUAUUUAAUAAAUCAAAUUUAUUUUUUUGCACAAGUUGUAAUAAAUAAUUUAUAAAACACAUCAUGGGGUCAAUUAUAAAUAAUUUUAAAUAACUAUUAUUGACAAUGCCAACCGGGCAGUGUACAUGAUAUGCUUCUCCAAAUUGCUUCGGUUUGUACCUGAUAUGAUUAAUCGAGUAUUAUUUACAAUACCAAAUAUAUCUAAUAAAAAUCAUACAACAAAACAAAAUAAAAUUAAAAUGUAAUUAAUUACAAAAUUUGUAUAAAUAUUUCUAUUGUUGUGCCUCCAUUAAACUUGCAGCAAUGCCAUCUUUCAAGAUUAUUAUAUCUUGAGUUGUGCUAUCAAUUGUUUCAUAACUUUCUUCAUGAGAUGCAAUAUGUUCGCUAAUACUAUGACUUGGUUCAUCCGUCAUUUCAUCAAAAUGAUCAUUAUUUUGUGAAUAUCUUCUGAUAUAAUUAUGCAAGGCCAUGGUAGCAAUAACUAUUUUCACCUGCUUCUUGAAUGGAUAGCUUGGCAUACUUCGUAAAAUCUUCCAUGUAUUCUUCCAAACCCCAAAAGUACGCUCAAUAACACUUCUCAAGGAAGAGUGCUUGUAGUUGAACAAUUCUUUAUAACCCAUUGGUUGGCUACCUCUACGAAAUUCAGGAAGGUGAUAUCUUUCACCCUUAUAUGGUCCUAAGUACCCACAUAACUCCGGAUAUCCUGCAUCUACUAAAUAAUAUUUUCCUAAAAAUAAAAAGAAAAAUACAAAAUAAAUAAAACAAUCUAAUCAAUUGAAUAUGUAUAUAUAAAAGAAAAAUUAGAAACACAAACCUGGAGGAGGGUUUGGAAAAUUGAAUGCAGGAUUCGUAAUAGUUGUUUGAAAUACCCUUGCAUCAUGGGCACUGCCUUCCCAACCAGCCACUGCAAAUAUGAAUUGCAUAUCAAAGCUACAUACAGCCAUUACAAAUUCUUUUCCCACCAUUCCUCACUUGCAUCAACUGUCCUCAACCUAUGAUUCCACCCUAAACCAGUUUCUUUGCCAAUCAAAUUCUUCCACAAUUUCCAAUCAGUUCUAAGAGAAUCCCAUUUAUUUUUCAUUUGAGUUCUGUUGUAAUCUAAUCCAGUUUCUUUAGUGAACUCCUUAAUCAAAUUUUCAUAUCCUUGGGAAGUCAAAUGAGUCCCUGGACGAUGUCCGGCAUCCACCUCUUUAACGCAUAAGUCACAAAAUACAUCUAAAGUCUGGGGGUUCCAAGUAGCCUUACUAGUUGAGCUAUUAGACACAAUUUCAUACACUUAAACCUAGGAAAAAAAAUAUUUCUUUAUCAAACAACAAUACAGAAAAAAUAAGAAUAUAGAAGUUAAGAAAAUUACUAGAAUCUUGUUAUGGAUGGUGGAAGGAAAAAUAAUUCGAUAUUAAAAAAUUAAAAAAAAAGACAAACCAGAACAAGUUACCUUAGUUGUUACUUUACUUGAAAUACUUUUCCAGCAAACAAUAAUGAUCAUAGCCCACGAAUAGAAACAAUUACAAGCAAGUCAAUAAAGCAACAAAAGACAAACCAGACUAGGAAACAAAGAAAUUCAACUAAACAAUCAUUAGGUACAAACUGCAAUUGCAUUUAGCCUCACAAUCUCAAAUUUGCUACGUGCUUUGAUAUUUCCUGUACUAUUCUUUUGGCCCAUCCUAAGACAUAUACAAUUGCAAUUGCAACACUUUCUCCCUUCUUUUUUCUGUAAUUCGUAUGGCGACUUACGUAUAUAUAACCUAAUUAAUUGAAUUAAAUUGAUGAUGGGUUAGAAAAUCAUUAGGCUUAUUAAUUAUACGCGUCAAAAGAAUGGUCGGCCAAUAAUUAGGUGUCCUGCUUAUACUCCUGUAAUUUAGUCAUUCUCUAGUAAAUAUUAUUAAAUAAAAAGAAACACAAACAAUUAAGCUUAUUGGUAACUGAACUGGUGCCCAAAAAUAACAAGAGCAGGAGAAAGCAAACACACCCAAGAAUUUGACAAACUUCAACUUGAAAUCCAGAAUUUGACAAACUUCCUUUUGUUUACUGAAGCAUAGUAUUUCAUAACGAAGGCAUGCAUUUUAUUAUUUAAUGUCUUGUAGAACUGGAAACUCAAAUCAAACAGGGGUUGUGCAUGUUUAUAAAAAGCAACUACAAAAAUAAAAACUACAAUAAAAACAAUGGUUACAAGCAAAUAAAUCACGCAUGACCCAUCACCCAUCAAUUUAUUCUAACAAAAGCCCCAACAUUUUAUGAAUGAAAAGGAAGAAAAUGAAAAAUUGCUUGAAAUAGAGUAAAGGAGUACUCAAAAAUGAACAACAGAUAGAGGAAAAGGCACCACUGACAGAGGCGUAUGAGAGUGGCCGGUGUCGGAAUCGCGCCGAUGAGAAUUUCGGUGUCAGAAUCGCAUCAAUUGGAACUCCCACAGUCGGAAUCGUGCUGAUGAGAAUGGGUGUUUAGGGUUUGUUUAAAAAAAUCGAUUUGAAAUAGAACUCCCACUGACAUGACUGUUUGAUAAAAUGAAAAUGGAAUAAUAUAUAAAGUUAAUUUAGUAAUUAAACUUGCAGCUGGGAAAAAAAAUCUGUCAAGUUGUCAAAACACAACUAUAAGUGGUACCAAACACUUUGGUGGCUGGGCUGCUCACCACACUCCCAAACGGGACCUUAGUUGCGGUAAAUUGAAAGAUGUGACAUUCCUCGUUUUUGCUCCAAACCUCAAGUCUCUUUGGCUAUUCGAUUGCGGUGCUAUGGAAGAAAUAAUCAGCGUCGGAAAAUUUGCUGAGACUCCUGAGAUGAUGGGACAUAUAAUCCCUUUUGAAAAUCUCCAAAUGCUUAAUUUAAUGGAAUUGCCGGAGUUGAAGAGAAUUUUCUGGAAGCCAUUGCCUUUCACUCAUCUGAAAGAAAUAUCUGUGGGUUAUUGCCGUAAUCUUAAAAAGCUUCCACUCGAUUCCAACAGUGCAAAAGAGCGUAAAUUUGUAAUUCGUGGAGAAGAAGACUGGUGGAACCGACUUCAAUGGGAGGAUGAAGCCACUCAAAUUGCUUUUCGUUCCUGUUUCCAACCUCGUUCCUGAGCGGUGGUCGCAAAAUUUGAUUUCUGGUGAGUGCGUUUUUGUUAACGCUUAUGUUUUUAUUCCAGUGUGUUUUUCUUCUGUCUUCUGCAAAUCACGAUUAAAUGUUGAAUAAUAUGGAAUCAAUGCUUUAUAAAUUUUCCGGCGUGGCCAUUUCCUUUUCCCUUUUUUUUUUUGGGGGGGGGGGGGGGGCGUGGUUCGAUUGAUGCUCUGGCUUUUUACUUUUUGUCUUCGAAUUUUGCUCUGUUUUUCAAAUUGAUGCUUGAAUAGUUGAAUUCAAUUAAUGCUCACAUAAAUUUGUUUAGUUGCCGUAAAACGGUAAAAGGAUAUAAUUAGAUUGAAAUUCGCACUUCUAGAAUGAAUAGAAUUACAAUAGAGAAAAUAUUAAGUAUACAAGCCCUCUUUACAGAAAAUCAAAUGAAAAUAAAAUUUUUUGGAUAUUUGAUUUUCUAUGGUCUACUGUAUACGCUUUAUAAAUUCCUCUGCUUUAACGAUAACCAAAUCCUUUUUUCAAGGAUUUUUAUUUGGGGUAUUGAUAAUAGUCCACCAACAUAGUGAACGCUUGGAUGCUGCUUAAGGAUCUCUAAUCAGUAGCUGGAAGCAAAUGAGAAGGCGGUCGCUACUUUGUACAAAGCCAUGCAGCAAUUGCUAUUCAUUUUCAAACAAAGUUGAGAUGUUAUUUUCAGAUUUGGUUCCAGAUUUUGUAUGAAUAUCGUUGUUCCAUUGAGUUGUAUAUGAAUUCAAAUGUAAAAUAUUCUUUGGUUUUCAAUUUUGAAUUCAAUUUCUUUUUCUUAAGCAUGUUGUGCAGAAAUGAUUUCUACUAAAUCAUUUUUGAUAAACUAUUUAAAUUAAACAACUGGAAUAAGAACUGUAAGGAUUUAUCGUAAGCAGACUAAUAUGAUAAUUCUGAAACUAUCAUUUUUUUUUUUUCAAUUUGUUGCAGGGAAAGCCAAAUUUUGCGUUUUUCAGUUUUAUCUGAUAUGGGCUUUAUUUCCUCUACACUAGCUACCUAAAGAUUUAUCAAAUUGCUUCUCUUCCCUGCUUCAAAUAUCUUCAUGGCAUCAUAGGAAAAGAGAGUUUGGGUUGUAUUUAUUAUAGUUUUUAUUUUUUUUUUUGUUAUAAGCAAAUUUAUUUUAAAUACUUUAGUAGUAACAGUUUUUAUUGAAUAAUAAUGAGGGAUGAUUAUUAUAGGUUCAAAUAGUUGUUAGAACAUUAUAAAAAGUCUAUUUACUAUCAAAUGUUUUAAAUUGAUGCAACGUGAUAAUUGUCUCAUAUAAUUUUUUUAUAAUAUAUAUGUCCCAUAAUCUUAACAUGAAUAAAUGAAUUUCAACGGUUAAAUUUGACACGAUUAUUAAAUAGAUCAUAUCUAUAUUAAUUCGAUUUAAAAUCUGGUCACAUUUGGAUUUAGAGUUUCUAACAUGAUAACUUGUUUUAUGACAUGAUUUACUAAUCAAUUAAUAGUAAAUCAAAUGUCAGUCAAUUAAAUAUGUGGUACAUUUGUCAUAUUUUAAAAAUUAUUUAUUUAUAUUUGAAAUGAAUUUGGUGCNNNNNNNNNNNNNNNNNNNNNNNNNNNNNNNNNNNNNNNNNNNNNNNNNNNNNNNNNNNNNNNNNNNNNNNNNNNNNNNNNNNNNNNNNNNNNNNNNNNNAUAAGACGACGCGACACAAAUACAACCAACAAGUCAACCCAAAUUGCCACCUUUUACUAUCUUCUUUGUGUUAUUUCUCUAAAAAUUUGUGCCUUCUCUUACACUUUUAAAUCUGAAGUGUUUGAACUGGAGUACACAAAUUAUCUCUCUACAAUUCCAAAACAACCAAUUUGUUACUUGGUAAAUCUUAAUCAAUGGCAGGAAGCAAUUGAGAAGGCGGUCGCUACUGUGUACAAAGCCAUGCAGUAUUUGCUAUUCAUCUUAAUAAUUGUUAAGCUUUGGUAAAAUUUUCAAACAUAGUUGACAUCAUGUUGUUUUGAGAUUUGGUUCAUGAUUUUGUAUGAAUAUCGUUGUUCCGUUUGAGUUGGAUGUGAAUUGAAACCUAAAUAUUCUUUAUUUUUCAAUUUUGAAUUCAAUUUCUUUUUCUCAAGCAUGUUAUGCAGAAAUGAUUUUUACGAAAUCAUUUUUGAUGAAUUAUUUAAAUUAAACAAUUGGAAUAAGAAUUGUAACGAUUUAUCAUAAGCAUGCUAAUAUGAUAAGUUGUUUUACGAACGAUUAAUUAAUCAAUUAAUAUUAGAUUAUAUAUUAGUCAAUUAGAUAUGUGUUACAUUUGUCAUAUUCUAAAAACUAUUUAUUUAUAUUUCAAAUAAAUUUGACCAGAGGUUACGUAGGUAAUACUACAUAAUUUCUAAAGGAAUGUAAAAAUUUAAAGUUUUAUUAAAUAGGUGACUCAAUAAUAAAUGGAUUUCUGCAAGAAUUGAGAUUCUUGAGAUAAUUAUUACAUAGGGAAUUUUGGUUAGUUCAAUUUUGACAUGGUAAGAAGACGACACGGCGCAGAAAACCCAAAUUGCCACUUCUACUAGUAAUAAAAGAUACCUGUUUGAAAAGUAAUUAUAAACUAUCUUCUUUGUGUUAUUUCUCAAAACUUUUGUGGCACAAUGUUAUUUCCCUGGAGAAAAGUACGAAAUACCCCCUUUCACGUCGGCAGAAGCAAAGCAAAGCUAUGAGCUAUCUCUGUAUACUUGAAACGCCAUUGCUAAACGAUUCUCGAUGAUGGGUGCCACUGGGUCAGUGUUGUCUCUGAUUUACAUGAUUUAUUAGUUGUCCAGAUGCCAGAGAAACCAUGGUGGCAUUGAAGUUGCCCAGAUGGUUAGUUUUCUGAUCAUUUUUUUAUUCAAUUAUUUAUUUUUUUAGAAAAAUGUGAGAAAUAUGUAGAAAUGUUGACAGCUAUGAUUUUGAAACUUUGCCUAAAAUUGUUAUCAUCACUUAUUUAAAGAGAAAUCCUAGAAACAUGAAAUGAUUAGUAGCCUAAUUCAAAAUUAGACGUGAUUACAACAAGAGAAAAGUGGAGAGAACUUGAUAAUCGAGUGCAUUUAGAAUUUAAUUUUUCUUUUAGCUGCCGAUCAUUAAAUUUUCGAUUUCAGAAAAUUAUACCUAGAAUAUUUCAAGGAUAUACUAUGAAGAUUAUGAAGGUUUGAUUACAUGUCACUAUCAAUUGCCCCAAUCAUUUGUAGUAAAUUAAUUGAUCAUUUUGAUGCAAAUGAUUCCCUACUAAAAAAUUUAAGUCAAGGCUGAAUUGCAUAGUAGUUAGUCGCGCUUGCACUUCAAAUUAAGUAUUGUAUUUUCUGCCUGGUUUGGUUGAUUAAAGUGUGUGCAUUUGCUUUUGAACGUUGUAGUAUAGAAAUCGAAACAUUUGUUUUUCGCUAAGCCCAGAAGCAAAGUUCUUUGUACUGUACUCAUCACUUCUCUUCAUUCUCUUUGUUGAAAUUUUUUCCAAACAGCGGUUUCUUCGAAUUUGUGCCUUCUCUUCCACUUUUAAAUCUAUCAAAGAACCGUUACCUGAGAAGAUUGCCAUCAGGAAUUUCUAAAUUGAUUUCACUAUAAUACCUUAAUCUUUCAGAUACUCCCGUCACUGGGUUGCCAAAAGUGCUAAAAGCCUUCGUAAAUCCUACGUGUUUGAACUGGAGUACAAAUGUUAUCUCUCCACAAUUCCAAAACAACUGAUUUGUUACUUUUCAAUGCUACACGUUCUGCGAAUGUUCAGUUGUGGUUAUCUUGCUGAAAUACCAGAAAAUAGGGUUCUAGUUGGCGGUAGUGGAUUCUUGGUUGGGGAAUUGCUUAGUUUAAAACAUUUAGAUGUAUUAAGCAUCACCUUAAAAGGUUUUUCUUCUGUCCAAAAACUUAUGAGCUCCCAACAGUUUCAAAGCUGUACAAAAUGUUUGGAGCUUAUAGACUGUGAUGAUUCAAAGUCGUUUGCCUUGGCAGAGUUGAAGCAUCUUGAAAAACUAGGUUUUUCAAAUUGUGGAAAUUUGGAAGAUAAAUUACAUUUAUAAACUGUGGAUCGCCCUUUAUAAGUAUUAGGCUUAUCCCAUACUCGAGCAAUGUGGAAUACCUUUAUAAGCAUUAAGCCUCUCCCAUACAAUUUCUGUACAUGACUUUAAAAGUGGUUGAUGACCCGUUUUGUAAUAUCAUAGAGGGAUCAUGAAUUCCUUUUCUUUUCUGUGGCUAGGCAACACUUUUGGGCCAAAGUAAGGAAAUCUAUUUUAGGUAAUGUAAAAACCAGUUGUGGGAUGUAAUAGUUUAUUAUGCACUGACAACAACUUUUUGUAUAAUUGUCAGUUUAAUGAAUACGAGAGGAACUCUGUUGGCAAAUUCAUCCAUGAUAGAUGCUAAAAUUAUACCAGUUGCCUUAACUAAUUUUUCUCAACACUGGUAUUGAACAGGAAAAUGAAUAUGCAAUUUGUAUUUGUGCCAUUGUGGAGAAUUUGGAUAUUCUUAGUUUUAGUAACAAGGAGAGUAUUUGCCUCAUCUUUAAACAAUGAAUCUUUGAGAAAUGAGGACUGGGUGAUUGGCAGUGUCAGAGUGUCUUCAUGUAAAUGUUCAUUUAUUUGUAUUUUGAACUAUUAUUAGAAUCUUUAUAUGCCAAAUUAGUAAUACAAAUGUUCAGAUGAUUUUUCCUGGUGAUCAUUUCAUUCUUGAGAGCCAUGUACAAUACUAGGAUACCAGAGAAACCAAGGUAGCAUUGAAGUUGCCCCAGUGGCUAGUUUUCCGAUCAUUUUUUAUUCAAAUUUUUAUGUUUCAGAAAAAUGUAAGAAAUUUAUAGAAAUGUUGAUAGCUAUGAUUUUGAAACUUUGCCUAAAAUUGUUAUCAUCACUUAUUGUUUCUUAUUUAAAGAGAAAUCCUAGAAACGUGACAUGAUUAUUCCAUACUUGUUUUAAUAUUAUUUAUUAGCAGCCUAAUUCAAAAUUAGACGUGAUUAUUUGUUACUUUUAAUGCUACAUGUUCUGGGAAUAUUCAGUUGUGGUUAUCUUGUUGAAAUACCAGAAAAUAGCGUUCUAUUUGGUGGUAGUGGAUUCUUGGUUGGUUUGAAUGUAUUAAGCAUCACCUUAAAAGGUUUUUCUGCUGUCCAAAAACUUACGAGCCCCCAAAAGUUUCAAAGCUGUGCACAACCUUUGGAGCUUAUAGACUGUAGUGAUUCAAAGUUGUUUGCCUUCGCAGAGUUGAAGCAUCUUGAAAAACUAGGUUUUUCAAAUUGUGGAAAUUGGAAGAGUUUAAGUUCUGCUGUGUUGAGGAUGGAAAGGCUCGAGAAUGUUUUCGUGUGAACAGCUUCAACGAGUUAAGAUAAAGGCUUGUCAUAAAUUGAGGGAAGUGACAUGGCUUGUAUUUGCUCCGUAUCUUGAGGUUAUUCAAAUAGCCAAAUGUAUGGGGAUAGAAGUAAUAAUCAGUGCAAGGAAAUUGGGUGAAGUUCCAGAGAUGAUGGCAGAUCUAAACCCUUUUGCAAAACUCCAAUAUCUUGGCCCACGAGUUCUACCAAAAUUAAAAAGCAUCUAUUGGAAUCAGUUGCCCUCUCUACAUGUCAGGCGAAUUUUGUGUCUGAAUGCCCAAUUCUCAAGAAGCUUCCACUUGGUUUUAACAAUGCAAAGGAAUCUAAAACUAUCAUUAGGGGAGAAGAACACUGGUUGAAUGAGCUGCAAUGGGAGGACAAAGUGACCCUUAAUGUUCUUCUUCCUUGUUUCGGAUCCAUUUGAAGGCAUCAACAUGGAUUGAUACUUUGCAGUGGAGAAAUUUGAAUAAAACCUAUGGUAAGCGCUUUUCCAUUUAUUGCAUAUUUAUAUCUAACUUUUGUUUUCCUUUGUGGUUAAAUUUUGCUCUAUAUACGUUGUUGUACGGUGACAUUCUCAUAUCAAUUAUUAGCUUUUUAAUUCUCUUCUCACAUUAACUGCCCUUUUGAUCAUGUAGGAUAUGCUGAUGUCAAAGAGUCGUAAUUUGGGAUGCAAAUGUAAGAAUUAGACAGAUGACCAGUUGUUUUGAAGCGCUCGAAGAAGGAUUAAUUACGUCAUUGAAAGGCUCCAAUUUUGUGACUUUUUUUUUUAAUUUGUUGUUUUUUCUAUUUUUAGAUAGCUUGAUUGUCAGUUGUCGUGAUGUAAUGCUUUAGUGUAGAAAAAUGAUAUUCGGCCAAGACAACAUUAGCAGGGCACCUUGUGCAUGCAUACUAGUGGAUAAUUUCGGCAUGCUAAAUCCAAUUAGGGUGGAUGACCCUUUAUAAGCAUUAGGCUUCUCUCAUACCCGAAAACAAUGUAGAAUACGCUUAUAAGCUGCGGAUCACCCAUUAUAAGUUUUAGGCUUCUCCUUUACUCGAGCGAUGUGGAAUACCUUUAUAAGCAUUAAGCUUCUCCCAGUAUCUUUAUGUUAAAAAUAAUAAUAAUAAAAGAAAUCCAUUUUAAAAUAGACUCUUUUUUCUUUUUCUAUAUAAACAAAUGCAUUCUUCAAAUCAAUUGUGGGCAGAAGAAGUUAGUAGAAAAGAACUAGUCCCCUUUCAUUCCCCCUUAAAGCUCACCAAAGCCUCUUUUGUAAGCUUUUCGGAUUUUCUUUCUAUAUUGCUUAUGAUCUCAUUUUUGAUUGAAUCACUUCUUUUGCAUGCUGCAUAUUUUGUUUGUUGUAUUUGGAUAUUAUCGUAUCUGGAAUGCUGUUAUGAUUGAUGGAACAAGUAAUCGAUAUUUGGUCUGAUGGAAGUUGACUUAUUUAUUUAUUGUUAUUUUAAUUUGAAACUAUGUACAAUUGCAUUUCAUUCAUUUCUCUCUCUCCCCCCCCCCCCCCCCCACACACACACACAUAUAUUUGUUAUGUAUAAUUGCGUUUCAUUUGAUAUUGAUCAUGCUGUAGAUAACCAUGUGAUUGUAGAUGGGGAUUUCAAGUUUGUUGAAUAUUCAAGUAAGUGAAGUAACUGUCAAAAUACUAGUGAAAUUGGGAGCUUUAUUCAUGAGCUUGUGGUUUUGAAAAGUACCACAGUUCAACCGAUGAAGGUUCCUUUUUGGGGUUCUUCUUUUUCUAGGCUGCAAUUAGGAUAUGUACAUGUUAGACAAUCUUUUGCGGGUUUAGCAUAUCUUCUCUGAUUUUGUCUUUUAUUCCCCAAUCUUAUAAUUGCACACCAUGAAUGUUGAGUGAUUGUAUAGAAAAUUUGUGUUAUAACCAAAGCGUUGUGAAGGAGUUAAGUUAGUGGCUUCUGUUUUAUUGGCAUUGAUUGGGUAGAUUAUGUGUUACAGUGAUUCAAUUUGUGCUCCAAAGUUUGCUUUAAUUUCUUUUUUCCCUAAUUAUUUAUGUCAAAUUUAAAUCCAGAAGCAUGUACUGAUUUUUUCUUUUUGUAUUAAUCUGUGAAGGUUAUUUGGAAUGGAAGUAUCUGGGUUGGGUCUAACGGAUUAAAUUAUGACAUUGGGGGGAAGGCAGUAAAGGGUUUGCUCGACACAUUUGGUUCUGUGUUUACUUUGCAAGAAAUAGCUUUUGGUUAUCACAAUGCCGGUGGAAUCCCGAUUUGGCUCGUGAAUUUCUUUGUGACAAAUAGGCAAACACAUCAACCUCUUCUAUCCAUCCUUCUACUGGUAAGGCAAGGGGUAAAGAGUCUUCAAAAUCAUCAAAUAGUAACAUCUCUGAGAAUUCAUUUUAUGCAAAUGGAAAAUCUAGACCUUCUAAGACAAAAUGGCGUCCUGUAUCAGGAGGUACCGUUUCAAGUUUUCUUGGUAAAAAUUAUGUUAAACCUGCACAGCCAGCUAAUGGCACAUUUCUAGCAUCAAAGCCAUUGAAGUUGGAUCCAAAGGGGUUUCCCAUGUCUCCACUUUUGCGGAGAAGAUACUAAACUGAAACAAUCAAAGGAUGACCAUUUGCAGAAGGAUAUGGAAGAUUUUCUGUUUAAAUUGCUAGGAGAAGUGUUCCUAUUGUCCUUUUCAAUGUUCUUUCUUUCUUUCUCUUCUUUUCUUCUUCUUCUUCUUUUUUCUUUUUGUGUGCGUGUGAUCACUAAUUUGGUAUUGUAGUUUAGUUGCAGAUAGUUGUGGAUAUGAUAUGCAAAAGGUAAGGACUAUAUCUUCCUGAUGGAGGCCUCUGCUUUUUCCUUUAUGUGUAAUUUAAUAAAUUGCAUCUUCCUUUGUGAUUGUUAUAUCAUAUCAAAGACAAGUCUUAAAUACUGCUGUCAUAUGUUAAGGUUCAACUUGCAGUUUGAUUAACAUUCAUGGCUCAAAGGCCUGAAAAAACUUGCCAGUAAUUGUAAAAUGACAUUCUUUGCUUUUAAUGCAAUAGAGGGAACAGGGAAGUAUAGCUUUGGAAGCCUGGAUUGGUAACUAUAGAGAGACUUAGUAUUUAAUUGAUAAAAAUUCCCAUAACCCAAGGUCAAGAAAAUUUUAGAUCGUUAAAGACUUCAUUUUGUUUCGGCCAGAAAUGUUUGUUUCGAUCGAAGACUUGAACCAUUUCGAUUGAACCUGAUUAUGAUGCUUUACGUUAUGCAUGUUCCUCUUAAUCAAGAAAAGUUGAGGUGAUGAUUUUAUAUUUCUAUAUUGUAAGUUGAAAUAAUAAUUGGUCUGCUUGUUUCUGUAGCUUGAUAACAUGAAUUUUCCUUCUCAAGUUAAUUUAAUCAAUAAAGUAAUUCUUCAAAGAAAAUAUGCCCAUUCUAUAAUCAUUUUCUUAAUUAACAUGUUUUUUUCUUCACACUUCAGAGCAUGUUGAAACUAAUUGAUCGCUCGGCAGAGACUUUGGGUGAGAAGACAAAAUUUCUCGGUAAAUCCUCUGAAAAGGUAUGCAUAAUUCCGCAGUAUUAAAUAACCAAUGGUCAUAAUUUUUGUACAGGACUCUUUUCUUGUGGAGAUAAUUAAAAGUGGCUGAUGAUCCAGUUUGUAUAUCAUAGAGGGAGCAUCAAUUCCUUUUGUUUUCAGUGGCUAGGCAACACUUUCAGGGCAAAGUAAGGAAAUCUAUUUUAGGCAAGUAAAGCCAUGUAGAUGUAAUAGUUAACAUGCACUGACAAUAACUUUGUAUAAUGUCAGUGAACGAUACAAGAGGAAUCUGUUGACAAUCAUCCAAGAUAGAUGCUAAAAUUAUUAUGCAUGCCAGUUGCUUAAUAAUUUUCUUACACUGGUAUUGAAGAGGAAAAUGAAUAUGCAAUUUGUAUAUGUGCCAUGUGAGAAUUUGGAUAUCUAUCUAAGUAACAAGGAGAGUAUUGCCUCAUCUUUAGACAAUGAAUCUUGAGAAUUUGGAUAUUCAUGUAAAUGUUCAUUUGUUUGUAUUUUGAACUAUUAUGAGAAUCUUUUAUAUGCCAAAUUAGUAAUGCAAAUGUUCAGAUUAUUUUUUCUGUUGAUCGUGCAUUUGUGUCUGCACACAACCAUUGUAUAUCACUUCAUUCUGAUGCGCAAGUGUCUGUAGUUUAGAAGAAAAGAAAUAAUAAUGAUAUAUUAUUGCUUGAUUCAUGAUUAUUAAAUGAUUAUGGCUUUAAAAAACCUACAAAUUCCUUUUGUUGAUAUAUGAAUGUACCAAGUUUGCUAUAUCUUAGAUUACCAUUUCCAAGAUAACAAGUUCAAAUUUUUUCUUUAUCCUUUUCCUUCACAGUUGCAUUUUAAGUGUAAGAUUUGUUAUUAAUACCUGGUUUCCCGUCAUUAUGAUUUCAUAAACAGUGUAUGGGUAUGUGCUCUACUUUUGGAGGGCCUCCACGUGAAAGAAAAUUGUAACAAUUGAAUUCUUCCGGAUGGUAUGGUAUUUAAUUUAUUUUCUCAACCUCUUGUAAGACUAAUAUAUUUUCCUUUAGUAGACACGGCAUGGUGGGAAGGGUUUUUUAUUGAAAGAAUUCUGAUAUUUCUUAGACUUUGUUUUGGAAGGGGGUGCAGGGGUUUCUCAUCCAUAUAUGGUUACUUGAUUAGCUUUUGACUGUAUUGCCUCAAUCGUGCAAAGGAAGAUCCAAAUACAAACGAAAGAGAAUUGUUUAGACACCCAGAAGAUGGAAAUGAACUACAGAAGGAAGUUUUUGCUGCUUUAUUUAGUGCUCCUGAGAAAUCUGAUGAAUUUCCUGAAAUUACGGUGAAGACCAAGUGUGAGGUCCAAAGCAUUAGGAAAGGUGGUGAGUGAACUGCCGGAGCAAUUGGUACAGAAUACAAGGCUAAUGUGGUGGACUUGCAGCAAGAUAACCGGAACAGUACGUGCUCUUAUAUUAACUAUAUUGACUGGAUUUGCUAGUGUGUGCAUUUUCGUGUGUAUACUUUUGUAUUUAUGCAUAUUAAUGUGUGUAGGAUUCUUGAUUUCUGCCACUUAUUGGAGAACUAAUGGAAAGCUUUAUACUGGUAUAUCUGCAAUAACUAAUGGAAACUAUGAUAUUAAUAUUUUCUCUCGCUUGGAGAAUGCGUAACAGAUAUACUUUGUGGCUCUGGAAUACUAAAGAUUCUGCAAUAACUAAUGGAAACUAUGAUAUGAAUAUUUUCUCUCACCUGGAGAACUUUGUAACAGUUACACUUUGGGGCUUGGAAUGUCUAAAGAAUUUUGUCUGCUUCAGUUAGAUCAAAUAUCUUUUAGUUACAUACAUUAUAGAAAAGAUAAAGUUCUCUGAAUCUGAAAGACUUAAAAUUUUGCAUAUUUCUUGAUAGGGAAAUAUCUGUAGAUACUAGUUCAUGCAUUGUGGUAGCAUCAGUGUUAAAGAAAAACAGCAGUAAGUUAUUAUAUAGAAUUAGGUUCACUUGCUUUAAAUCCUGGUCUGGUCAACCAUAUGAACCUGUAAGUGGUUCUGUAGAAAUAUAUAUAUACGGGGAGAAAGUAGCUAAAUUUUCCUUUCAUUUAUGGGUUUGGUCAUUUUUUCCCCUUAUUUAUGUUUUCUCACACAUUUUUUAAAUGCCCCAGACAUGCAAUUUUGUAUGUGUCAAUUGCCUUUUAAGUUUUAAAAACCAUAAAGUAAGAAUACAGUUUCUUGUCAGGCUAUUGAUGCAUUUGCUCGGGGGGAUCAUGCUCGAGCAGGAAAACUUCUAGAACAGGUAAGGUUUCCAUCUACAGCCAUUUAUUGACAACAUAUAUAUUUUCAUUCAGCAAGCACUGUUAGCAUUCAAGAUGCUGGCAGAUUCACUUGAUUCUUAUUAGUUUGUUUAGUAGCAAAGCAUAUAACCUGUAUUUUAAAGCUAAGUUGUGCUAUUGAUUAUGUUAACUUUAUUGUUCACAUAAAGUGAUAUUGAGGAAAUAAUCAAUGUAGGAAAAUUAGGUGAAGAGAUGAUGUCAAAUCUUGAACCUCUUACAAAACUCCAAGUUCUUUACUUGAAGAAGCUACCAAAUUCGAACAGCAUCUACUGGAAGGCCUUGCCAUUCCCUGAUGUAUGCAGAAUUUUUGUAUUUAAAUGCCCAGAGCUUAAGAAGCUGCCACUGGAUCUUGAGAGGGCAGGCCAAGGUAAAAUUCUUAUCAAGGGAAAGAAAGAUGGGUGGAAACAACUUCAAUGGGAGGAUCAAGUAACUCAGAAUGCAUUGCUUUCAUUUUAAAAAUCAACCAACAAGUGAUUGAAGGGGGCAUCAUCAACGUAAUCAACAUGGAUGGAGAGAUUCUGGAGCAGAUCAGCGGGGUUUAGUACGACCUGUGGUGGUUUCUUUUUUGUGACUUUUUUGCCUUUCAUUUUUUCACUUCCUGUCAUAUUAUCAUUUCUUUGUCUGUGUUUCUAUUGCUAGUGUUGCUGCAUGCUUGCUGUCCUUGACAAAGUUAGCUAGUUUUUUUUGUUUAUUAAAUUUUGUAUGUUCGGUCGGGACAGUCACAAAGUACUACUUGUUCUAUAUGGGGGUGAUGUGAAUCAACUUUUCAAUUAUAUAUUCUGUGGUAAUUGUGAAUUCAAUUUCAUUUAUCUCCUGCAAAUUAUGAAGAAAGUGCAGAGUUACAAUAUGGAAAAGUUCACUGGCAAAUACUUUGUAAAAGCUUCGGAGUGAAACAGGAAAUGCACUUGCAACUAAGGACAAAUUGGUGGCCGGCUAAUGCAUUCAUUUUAGGGAAAAGGACACAGACCCUCAACGUUUUAAUAAGGGACAUAAAACUCCCUAAUAUUUUAAAAAAAAUACUCAAACCCCCAUUUGUUAAUAGUAAAUUCUAAGUUUAAAGUGUAAUUACCAUUAUACCUUUAUAGCAUAUUAAAAAAUAAUUAUUCAUUAUUCAAUUUAUUCUUAUAUUAUUAAUAAAAUUACGAAUAUAAUUUCAUUAUCUAAUUUUUUCAUUUAAUUUUUGUUAAAUUUUCUCUUCAAACUAAAUAAAUUUAAUCCAUUGCUUAAGAAUAAAAAUAAAUUAAAUUGAUUACUAAUAUAAUAAAAAUAACAUAUAUUUAAUAUAAAAAUAACAUAUAUUAAAUUAAAAUAAAUUUAAUUUAUAUAUAGAGAAUUGUUAUUUUUAAGAAAUUAUCAAUUUAAUUUAUAUAUAAGAAAUUAUAAGAAAUAACAUAUGGAGAAUUGUUAUUUUUAUUAUAUUAAUAAUCAAUUUAAUUUAUUUUUAUUUUUGAGCAAUGGAUUAAAUUUAUUUAGUUUGAAGAGAAAAUUUGAUAAAAAUUAAAUGGAAAAAUUGGGUAAUGAAGUUAUAUUCAUAAUUUUAUUAAUAAUAUAGGAAUAAAUUAGAUAAUGAACAAUUAUUUUUUAAUAUGCUAUAAGGGUAUAAUGGUAAUUGUACUUUAAAAUUAGAAUUUACUGUUAACAAAUAGGGGUCUGAGUGUCUUUUUUGAAACAUUAGGAAAUUUUGUGUCUCUUAUUCAAACGUUGGGGGUUUCUGUGUUAUUUUCCCUUCAUUUUAUGUACAUUCAUCUUUUUAAUUAUUGAAGAUAAGUGGUUCGUUGCUUUUGUUGUAGAUAAAAUUCAGACGACCUCAAUUGUGACAUGACAAUAUUUAAAACAUCUCUUAAAUUAUUAUAAAUUUAAUUUAUCUUAACUUUAUUGAAAAGAUAAAAGAAAAAUGUGGUGUAUGGAUAAAUUUUUUUUUAUCUUCUUAAUCAAAUGGAAUAAAUUAAAAUUUACAAUAAUUUAAAAUAUUUUAAAAAUUAUUAUUUCAUAAGAGAUUAAUAUGAAAUUAAUCGUUUUUACUUUUUUAAUGUGAAAGGACAAGAAAAGAGAAAGCAUGUGUCCCUGCUUUUUAGUUUUUAUUUUAUUUGAAAUCGGAGUUAUCCCAUAUACUUUACUAAUUUAGCUCUAACAUUACAAUGUUUUUAGGCUACACUUUUAUUUUUCUUUUUCCCCCUUUUUUUAUACAUGCAUGUGGAUUACUUUUCUCUAAGCUCCUUAAUAUUUAAGACAAAUCAUAAAAGCAAUUGAAGUAUAACAAGAUGAUCAAAACAUUUAACCAAAAAAAAAGAAAGAAAAAAGAAAGAAAACAUUGAAAAUGGAGAUGUUGAUUAAUUUAGAAGAGAUGCAAGCAAAAGAUAUUCCCAAAAAAAAGAAAAAAAGAAAAAAACAACGUUAGUUCAUCCAUGUCUGUCAAUGCGUUUUUUAUGGUUUUUUUUUUCCAGUUGUUUGUUGUAAUAGAUUGAUUGUAAAUUGAUAUGAAUUUGAUGUUGUAAUAUGUUCGCUUUUGUGGAAUUAAAUUUGAAUAUUCAAGAUUAUUCAAGUCUUAUCUAGUAUGUGUUCAAUUGUGUUGUCGAUAAUUUUGCAUUCGAAUAAUUUUUCACCUAAAAUAUUAGCAUGAGUAGUAGUCCUUGAAAUUUUGGUCAAAAUUAUUGUUAUUGUUUGUUUUAGAGGAAAUUUUUUUAUUAAAGCCUCGUUAACACUAUACCUUAUUAAGAUUAUAAGUUAGUGUCAGUGCAGGAUUUACAGCAACAAAUCUUGUCUAGCCACGUGUCAAAAGUACAAAUAAAUCAAGAGUAAGCACAUGACAUGGAUUAGGAUCCAAUAAGAUUUAAAUCCCAAGGAAAAGGACAAUUGUAUCCUAAAGUUUCAAUAAGAGAUACUGAGAUAUCUUUUGACUAAUGUUAUUUUUUUAGCUUUAUUAAUAAAAAGAUCAAAUAGUUUAUAACAAAUAAAAAUAUAGUAUGAAGCUAAAUGUGAUAAUAUAUACAUUUUACAUAAUUUCAAUAAAAAAAAUUUCAAUAAAAAACAUUUUAAUGUUUUACGAUCUAUUAGACAUAUUUUAUUAAAUUAAUAGGAAUUUUCUGAUAAAUAGCAACAUAAUAUUAAAAUAAAUUUAUAAAGAUUUAAAUGUAAAAUAAUUUUAGUAUAAUUAAUACGUGGGAUAUAUUUUGUAAAUUAUAAAAUUACUUAACCCAAUGAUUUUUAAAAAUCUUUAAAAUAAAUAAAAAUAAAUUAUUCACAUUUUGAUGUAAAUAUUUAAAACAUUUUUAUACAUUAGUCCACAAUUAUUUAUGUUAUAUUUGUAUUUAUUAGAAAUUUUGAAAGUCAAAUGUUUUUCACCUCUAUCUUAUUAGAAUUAUUGCACACAGAGAAAGAGCCAUAUAUGCUUUAUAGCUUUAAAAUCGAUUUGUUUUAUAGCUGGGAACAGAGAUGAUCAUUAUUAUAAGGAUUAAAAAAAAGAUAAAGAAUAUUAAUGAUUAGCGAAAUCUCUAUGGAAAUUGAAUUUAGUAAGAAAAAAUUGAGCUGAUUUUAGCGGUAUAGUAAUAUUUUAUAUAGAGAAAAGUAAAAGCUGCACCCAAGGUUAAGGGAAAUGGUCAAAACUCUUUUUUAAUCAUAAUACUCUUUUUCCUACAUAAUUUAAAAAUUUGACAUUAAUAUUUUAUAAUAAAUAAAAACAUAUAAUCCUAAAAUAAAUAAAAUAAUAUAUAUUUUAAAAUAAUCUCAAUAUUUAAAAUAUAUUUUAACAUUUUAUAGUCUAUCAGAUAUAUUUUAUUUUUUUUAAAGUAAAUUUUAUAAUAAAUACAAAACAUACUAUUAAAAUAGAUAUAAAAAUUUUAAAGUAUUUUGAAUAUUAUAUAAAAUAACUUUAAUAUUGUUAAUGCGUGAGAUGCAUUUUAUUAAUUAAAAAUUCUAUUUAACCCAAAGAUUUAUUUAUAAUAAAUUAAUAAUCAUAUUUUUGAAAUUAUUUUAAAUAUUAAAAAAUAUUUUAAUAUUACUAACUAUUAGAUAGACUAAACUAUUUAUAUUAUUUUCUAUUUAUUAUAAAAUUUCAAAGUUAAUCUUUUUAACUACUAUUCAAAAGAUAUUAUGAUAAAAACAGAAUUUUUCUGUUUUAUUAAAAAUUUAGAGUUUACACCUAUUUUUUCAAAUAUUCGGGGUGUAACUGUUUUAUUUAAAUAAAAUCUCAGUUAAAAAUGUACAGAGAAGAAAUUUCUGUUGGUAUUUUAGUCUUUUACCAAUUAUCACGAUUAGGCCUUGGCCUUGAAACAUUAAUUGUUUCACUUUUAGCGCUAGUGGCGUUGAAAGUUGUCAAGAAAAAGCAAGACCAUAUUCCACAAAAGCAGCUCUUUUAUUAAAGGCAAAGUAUAAAGUAGUCAAGAAUCGAAUAUCCUGUCGUCUACUCUUUUUUAAAUUCUUCUUUUAUUAUCUUUUAGAAUAGUUUUUGGUAAUUACAAUCAUUAUUCAGAGUUAUUGUUAUCUUCUGGGGCAGUCUCUGUUCAUCGAAGUCGUUACCUUUUUUUCAUGGAUCAGUUCCAGUGCCAAGCAGUAAUUUUCUUAGAACUCGGAUCUUUAAUUCGAGUUUCUUUGUGAAUUAAUAAUAAAAAAUUUUCAUUACACGCAAUUUAAGCUACGAAUUACUUUUUGCAAAGUUGAAUAUGAAAUUGGAGAAAUUAAAUAAUUUAGAAUGUUGGUAAAAAUUGACUAACAUAUCCCCAAUUACAGUAAAACCUCUCUACAGUCAUAACAUUAUAACAAAAUUAAUUUUAUUACUAUGUUGAGGUAAUAUAGGUUUAGUUACAAAAUUAUUGUUUUAAUAUGGUUAGUGUCAAGUGAUAUAAAGGUUAAGUAUGCAGUACAUUGAUAAUUAAAUAAUGAAGCGUGUCAAAUCUAACGUAUAUAUAUUAAUGAUAUAGAUAGACAUAGUUUUAAAAAACUAAUUAAUGUAUAUUUAUGUACUGUUAUGAAUAUGGAAAGUCAAGCCUACACUUUACAUUAUCCUUAAUUUUUUCUCUCAGUUAAAUUCUACAAAUAUUGUACAAUGAUUGGGUAAGAACUCUAAAUUAAGAAUAAAUUAUUGUCACAAAUAAUUUUAAAAAAUAUUUUAUUUCAUCUUAAACCUUUAAUGUAAGUAAAUAUAUAUAUAUGUGUGUGUGUGUGUGCAUAUUUUGCAAGGUAUAGAUAAUUGUUAGUAUAUGGAGACAAGUCUUUUAAGGUAGGACCUAGGAAAAUUUAUAACUUACUACAUUGGGGAGUUUUUAUUCCUUUUUAUAAUUGGCUCAUAUUGAUACAUUCUUACACAAAAUAUUACCAUUGACAUAUUUUACUACAAUUGGUUUAGAACAUUUGUUAGGAAAAAAAAAAGAAAAGAAAACAUUCAUUGGAUGUAGCUCUCCCUCGUAUGCUUUUUUCUCCAAAUAUUCCUGCGUCCACAGAAACAAGUCAGAGCACGCCGGUUGUUUUCCCGGCGUAAACCCUCUGACGCUCAAGUCAGAUAUGAAGGCUCUGGGAAUGCUUGCCACAGAUCUUAUGGUUUUUCUGUAGUUUCUAUUCUUUAGAGUUUCAUUUAUCUCUGAAUAUAAUCUCAAAAAUGCUAACCCUUUUACCUUCCUUGGCUACCUUUUUAUAGGCUUCCUCUGAAUCCCGGUCUUCCGUAGUCCACGCCCGUUAUUCUCCCCACCCUCGGAUGUGGAUGCCCCAUUAUCGCCAUUGUGGGCGAAUGGAGAUGGACUUCGUGCCUUGAUUCUCGGAUAGGAAUGCACGUCUUGCCAACUGUCGUUGACUGGGUCUCCUCGCCUCUCGACCUCUAGCCGGAAUGGCCUUAUGCCUCUAACAAGAGUUCGACCUCGUGAAUGGCAUACUCGCGGACGAGCCGAAUAUUUCUGCUCAUGUUCCCCUGCUACCUGGCUCUUACAGGACAUACCUGUUCGCAGAACUCCGCCAUCAAAUAUCUGCUCAUCACGUCUGGUCUCGUUGAAGUAUUUCCCUCAAACAACAUAUUUUACUACAAUUAGUUUAGAACAUUUGUUAGGAAAAAAAAAGAAAAGAAAACAUUCCUUGGAUGUAGCUCUCCUGACUAUUUAAAUCUUUUAAGGAAAAAAAGAAAAAAGAAAAACUGACACAUUCAAAUCUUGAAGCAAUUACAUUAAAACCUCUCCAUAAUGAUAGGAAUAAUCUCCAUUUAGUAAUAAAAAAUUUUGUUCGCAAUCUAGGCAGAGUUAUAAAUAAGAAUAAAAUCCUCAUUGUAAUAAGUUGUAUUUAUUAUGGAUCCCAUCCUAAGGAACUUGUCUCUAUAUAGUAAUAAUUAUUUGCAUAUUAUAAAUAUAUAUGUUGCAUUAGAUUAAAUGAACUUGUCUCCACAUACUACUUAGACAAUGAGAGAAAGUUAUUAAAGAGAACACAAAUAUUUAGAGAUUUUUAAGAUUACUUUGCAUGUUUAUAACAAUAAUACAUUGAUAUAUGUAUUAGUUUUUUGAUAUAUUAGAUUUGACAUGCUCUAUUAAUAAAUUAUUAAUACGAUGCAAACUUCAUCUCUCUAUCCUUGCAAUAAAAGUAACUAAGUUAUAACAAUAAUUAUUAAUAAAUUAUUAAUACGAUGCGUACUUCAUCUCUAUAUCCUUGCAAUAAAAGUAACUAAGUUAUAACGAUAAUUUUUGUAACUACAUGCUUAUUAGGUUUUAACUACUUCAUAAUAAUAAAUUAAUUUCGUCCUAAUAUUAUAAUUAUGUAGAGUUGUAGUGUAUAGACACACCCAAUUUAAAUAGUAAAUCAAAUAAAAUUGUCCCCACAAAAAAGAAAAAAGGGGUAAAGGAUUGUUAUUUCUUCAAACAUUAGGAGCACGUUUGUUCAAGUGCGAUGCCUUUCUUUUGAAGGCAACGUCAGUGGGUACCCAAUAGGACGUGUGUAAAUCUUUCCAAAAUUUCUCCGGUAUAACGGACAGAGAUCAUUACUUUUCUCUUCCAUAGACCACAGCAGCUUCAGUUAAUCAGACUCAAUCAAUUUUCUUGGUUUCUUCGCUUAUCAAAAUUCCAAAAUAUGGGUAGCAUAUUUCAAAUCACAUGCGAUGGUGCUUUUUUCAAUCGUUGCUUGGAUUGCUUUCUUGGAAAAGUAGCAAACACAAGUAAGCUCCAAGAUAACCUUGUUGCCUUGGAGACUGAAUUGGGAAAACUAAUCGUAGCAAAGAACGAUGUGAUGAUGAGGAUUGUCAAUGCUGAACGGCAACAACUGAGAACGCUGGACCAAGUGCAAGUGUGGCUUUCGAGGGUGGAAGCUGUUAAAACUGAAGCUGAUGAAUUGAUAAGACACGGCUCUCAAGAAAUUGACAAAUUAUGUGUUGGAGGCUACUGUUCCAAGCACUGCGCGUCAAGCUACAAGUUCGGGAAACAAGUGGCUAAAAAGCUACGGGAUGUGCAGACUUUAAUCGGCGAAGGAGUUUUUGCGGCGGUGGCUACUGAGGUGGUGCCUGAGAGAGCUCCAGAACCUGUAGCAGAUGAAAGACCCACUGUGCCAACAAUAGUAGGCUUGCAAUCACAACUUGAACAAGUUUGGAGAUGUCUUGUAGAAGAAUCAGUGGGAAUCAUUGGCCUAUAUGGUAUGGGCGGUGUUGGUAAAACUACACUAUUGACCCAUAUCAACAAUAAAUUUCUUGAGAGUCGAACCAGUUUUGAUUGUGUGAUUUGGGCCGUAGUUUCAAAGGACUUGCAACUCGAAAAAAUUCAAGAAGAUAUUGGGAAAAAGAUCGGUUUGGUUGAUGAUUCAUGGAAGAGUAAAAGUGUAGAGGAGAAAGCUCUCGACAUCUUCCGGAGUUUAAGAGAGAAGAGAAUUGUAUUGUUGUUAGAUGAUAUAUGGGAGCGGGUUGAUUUAACAAAAGUGGGCAUUCCACUUUCGGGACCAAAGAAUACUACCUCAAAAGUCGUAUUCACAACCCGUUUCAUCGAUGUUUGUGGUAGCAUGGAAGCUGACAAGAAGUUCCAAGUGGCAUGCUUAUCAGAAGAGCAUGCUUGGGAACUGUUUCGAAAAAAAGUUGGGGAAGAAACUCUUGAGAGUGAUCAUGAUAUCGUUGAGCUAGCCCAAACUGUGGCCAAAGAGUGUGGUGGUUUGCCACUCGCACUUAUUACUAUUGGUCGAGCUAUGGCCUGCAAAAGGACAGCCGAGGAGUGGAGACACGCAGUUGAAGUGCUAAGAAGAUCAGCUUCUGAGUUUGCAGGUUUGGGAAAAGAGGUGUAUCCUCUUUUAAAGUUUAGCUAUGAUAGUUUGCAGAAUGAGACGAUUAAAUCUUGUUUCUUAUAUUGUUGUUUAUAUCCCGAGGAUUAUGGCAUUCUUAAAUGGGACUUGAUUGAUUGUUGGAUUGGUGAGGGAUUCUUAGAGGAAUCUGACAGGUUUGGUGCAGAAAACCAAGGAUACUACAUUGUGGGCACUCUUGUUCAUGCGUGUUUACUAGAAGAGAUAGAAGAUGAUAAAGUAAAAAUGCAUGACGUUGUUCGUGAUAUGGCUUUAUGGAUAGCUUGUGAAAUUGAGAAGGAGAAGAGAAACUUUUUGGUUUGUGCAGGUGCUGGAGUAGGAGCGGUACCAGAUGUUGAAGGAUGGGAAAAUGUGAGAAGAUUGUCAUUGAUGCAAAACCAAAUUGAAAUUCUGUCAGAGGUUCCCACAUGCCCUCAUCUCCUCACUUUAUUUCUUGACUUUAAUUAUAAAUUGGAGAUGAUCACUGAUGGCUUCUUCCAAUGUAUGCCUUCUCUCAAAGUUUUGAAGAUGUCAAACUGUGGGCAUGUCAAAGUUUUGAAAUUACCUUUUGGGAUGUCAAAGUUGGGUUCACUACAACUUCUUGAUAUUUCACAUACCGGCAUAAGAGAGUUACCAGAAGAGUUAAAGUUGUUGGUAAAUCUGAAAUGUUUGAAUUUGAGGUGGACACAUAUGUUAAAUAAAAUUCCACGGCAGCUAAUAUCAAAUUCUUCAUGGUUACGUGUGUUGAGAAUGUUCGCUAUUGGCUUUGAAAAUUCUAAAGAACCAUCAGAAGACAGCGUUUUAAUUGGUGGGGGUGAAGUUUUAGUACAGGAAUUGCUCGGUUUGAAAUAUUUAGAGGUAUUGGAGUUGACCUUGCGAAGUUAUCAUGCUCUCCAUUCUUUUUUGAGCUCAAAUAAGUUAAAAAGUUGUAUUCGAUCUCUUUUCCUCAAUAAGCUGGGAGAUACAAAGUCGAUUGAUGCUACGGCUUUGGCAGAUCUAAAGCAUCUCAAUGAAUUAUAUAUUCUUUUUUUUNNNNNNNNNNNNNNNNNNNNNNNNNNNNNNNNNNNNNNNNNNNNNNNNNNNNNNNNNNNNNNNNNNNNNNNNNNNNNNNNNNNNNNNNNNNNNNNNNNNNNNNNNNNNNNNNNNNNNNNNNNNNNNNNNNNNNNNNNNNNNNNNNNNUCUUUCGCUAUACGGUUGUAAUGCUGUGGAAGAAAUAAUCAGCGUUGGGAAAUUUGCUGAGGUUCCUGAGAUGAUGGGACAUAUAAGCCCUUUUCAGAAUCUCCAAAAGCUUGAUUUAUCACAUUUGCCAGCUUUGAAGAGCAUCUACUGGAAGCCAUUGCCUUUCGCUCAUCUGAAAGAAAUGGUGGUGCAUUGGUGUGAUCGGCUUAAAAAGCUUCCGCUCGAUUCCAACAGUGCAAAAGAGCGUAAAUUUGUUAUUCGUGGAAGAGCAGACUGGUGGAACCGUCUUCAAUGGGAGGAUGAAGCCACUCAAAUUGCUUUCCAUUCCUGUUUCCACCUAAUGAAAUAUAAAUUCCUUAGCGGUGGUUGCAAAAUUUGAUUUCUAGUGAGUGCUUUUUUCUUAAACUCUUACAUUUAUUUCAGAUUCGUUUUUUGUCUCCUGCAAAUCACAAUUAAAUGCUGAAUUAUAUGGAGUCAAUGCUUUAGAAAAUUUUCAAGGCACUGCCAUUUCCUUUUUUCCAUUUUUUUUUGGGUCGAAUUGAUGCUCUGGCUUUUUACUUUUUGUUGUCAAAUUUUGCUCUGUUUUUUCAAGUUGAUGCUUGAAUAGUUGAAUUCAAUUAAUGCUCACAUAAAUUUGUUUAGUUGCCGUAAAAGGAUAUAAUUAGACUGAAGUACACACUUCUAGAAUGAAUACAAAAUGUUAAGUAUACUAGCCCUCUUUACAGAAAAUCAAAUGAAAAUCAAUUUUUUGGGGCUUUGAUUUUCUAUGGUCUAUUAUAUACUCUUUUUAAUAUCUUCUGUUCUAACUAUAACCAAAUCCUUUGUUCAAGGAUUUUUAUUUGGGGUAUUGAUAACUAUCCACCAAAAGAGUGAACACUUGGAUGCUGCUCAAGGAUCUCUAAUCAAUAGCUGGAAGCAACUGAGAAGGCGGUCGCUGCUGUUUACAAAGUGAUGCAGUAUUUGCCAUUCAUCUUAAUAAUUAUGAAGCUUUGGUAAAAUUUUCAAACAAAAUUGAACAUGUUGUUUGAGAUUUGGUUCAUGAUUUUGGAUGAAUAUCGUUGUUCCGUUUGAGUUGGAUGUGAAUUCAAAAUCUAUAUAUUCUUUGGUUUUCAAGUCUGAACUCAAUUUCUUUUUCUCAAGCAUGUUAUGCAGAAAUGAUUUUUACUAAAUCAUUUUUGAUGAAUUGUUUAAAUUAAACACUUGGAAUAAGAAUUGUAAACGUUUAUCAUAAGCAUGCUAAUAUGAUAAAUUGUUUUAUGAACGACUAAUUAAUUAAUCAAUUAAUAUUAAAUUAUAUAUUAAUCAAUUAGAUAUGCGUUACAUGUCAUGUUUAAAAACUAUUUAUUUAUAUUUCAAACAAAUUUGACUGGAUGUUGUGUAGGUAAUACUACAUAAUUUCAAAACAAAAAAAAGUAAUAAAAACACGUUAAAUUUUGUUUUUAUGAAGAAAAAUUUAAAAUUUUAUUAAAUAGGUGAAAAUAAUAAAUGGAUUCGUGUAUGGUUUGAGAUUCUUGACAUAAUUAUGAAAUAAGCCGGAUUCGACUUAGUUCAAUUUUGACGCGAUAAGAAGACGACACCACACAAACACACGACAAGAACCGUUACCUGAGAAGAUUGCCAUCAGGAAUUUUGAAAUUGAUUUCACUACAAUAUCUUAAUCUUUCAGAUACUCCCAUCACUGAGCUGCCAUAAGAGCUAAAAGCCUUGGUAAAUCUUAAGUGUUUGAACUGUACACAAAUUAUCUCUCUACAAUUCAAAAACAACUGAUUUGUUACUUUUCAAUGCUACAUGUUCUGCGAAUAUUGAGUUGUGGUUAUCUUGUUGAAAUAUCAGAAAAUAGAGUUCUAUUUGGUGGUAGUGAAUUGUUGGUUGGGGAGUUACCUAGUUUAAAACGUUUAAAUGUAUUAAGCAUCACCUUACAAGGUUUUUCUGCUGUCCAAAAACUUAUGAGCUCUCAAAAGUUUCAAAGCUGUACAAAAUGUUUGGAGCUUAUAGACUGUGAUGAUUCAAAGUCUUUUGCCUUGGCAGAGUUGAAGCAUCUCGAGAAACUAGUUUUUCGAAUUGUGGAAGAGUUUAAGUUCUGCUGUGUUGAAGUUGGAAAAGCUCAAGAAUGUUUUCGUUUGAACAGCUUUCCCCGAGGUAAUAUAAAGGCUUGUCAUAAAUUGAGGGACGUGACAUGGCUUGUAUUUGCUCCAAAUCUUACGGUUAUUCAAUAGAAAAAUAUAUGCAGAUGGAAGUAAUAAUCAGUGCAAGGAAAUUGGGUGAAGUUCCAGGGAUGAUGGCAGAUCUAAACCCUUUUGCAAAACUCCAGUAUCUUCGUCUGCGAGUUCUACCAAAAUUAAAAAGCGUCUAUUGGAAUGAGUCACCCUUUCCACAUGUCAGGGAAAUUAUUGUAUCUGAAUGCCCAAUUCUCAAGAAGCUUUCACUCGGUUUUAACAAUGCAAAGGAAUCUAAAAUUGUCAUUUAUUACAUGUUUAUAUCUAACUUUUGUUUUCCUUUAUGGUUAAAUUUUACUUUAUAUAUGUUGUUAUACGGUGACAUUCUCGCAUCAAUUGUUAGCUUUUUAAUUCUCUUCUCCCAUUAAUUGCCCUUCUGAUCAUGUAAGAUAUGCCGAUGUCAAAGAGUAGUAAGUUGGGAUACAAAUGUAAGAAUUAACCAGAUGACAUGUUGUUUUGAAGCUCUCGGAGAAGGACUAAUUAUGUCAUUCAAAGCAUCCAAUUUCGCUACUUUUUUUUUCAUUUGUUGCUUUUUCUAUUUUUAGAGAGCUUGAUUGUCAGUUGUCGUAAUGUAAUGUUUUAGUGUAGAAAAAUGAUAUUCGGCCAAGACAUCAAUAGGAGGGCACAUUGUGCAUGCACACUAGUGGAUGAUUUCGGCAUGCCGAAUCCAAUUAGUGUGGAUAACCCUUUAUAAGCAAUUGGCUUCUCUCAUACCAGAGCAAUGUAGAAUAUAUUUAUAAACUGUGGAUUACUCUUUAUUAGGCUUCUUCUAUACUCGAGCAAUGUGGAAUACCUUUAUAAGCAAUAAGCUUCUCCCCUACACUUUAUGUUAAUAAUAAUAAUAAUAAAAUAAAUCCAUUUUAAAAUAGACUUUUUUUUUCUUUUUCUAUAUAAACAAAAUGCAUUCUUCAAAUCAAUAGUGGGUGGAAGAAGUGAGUAGAGAAGAACUAGUCCCCUUUCAUUCCCCUAAAACCUCACCGAAACCUCUCUUGUGAACUUCUCAGAUUCUCUCUCAAUAUUUCUUAUGAUCUCGUUUUUGAUAGAAUCACUUCUUUUGCAUGUUGCAUUUGGUGUGUCUUUUUUGGGUAAUAUCUUAUCUGGAAUGCUGUCAUGAUCAAUAGAACAAGUAAUCAAUUUUUGGCUUGACGGAAGUCGAUUUAUUUAUUUACUAUUAUUUUUAUUUGAAAUUUUGUACAAUUGUGUUUCAUUCAUUUCUUUCCUUUUUUUUUAAUAUUUAUUAUGUAUAAUUGUGUUUCAUUUGAUAUUGAUCAUACUCUAGAUAACUAUGUGAUUGUAGCUGGGGAUUUUAAGUUUUGUGAAUUCAAGAAACUGUCAAAAUGCUAGUGAAAUUGGGACCUUUAUUCAUAAGCUUGUGGUUUUGAAAAGUAGCCCGGUUCAACUGAUGAAGUUCCUUUUUGGGAUUCUUUUUUUUCCUAGGCUGCAAUUCGGAUAUGUACCUGAUAGACAAUCUUUUGUGGGUUUAGCAUAUCUUCUCGGAUUUUGUCUUUUAUUCCUCGAUUUUAUAAUUACACACCAUGAAUGUUGAGUGAUUGUAUAGAAAAUUUGUGUUAUAACCAAAGCAUUGUGAAGGAGUUAAGUUAGUGGCUUCUGUUUUAUUGGCAUUGAUUGGGUAGAUUACGUGUUACAGUGAUUCAAUUUGUGAUCCAAACUUUGUUUAAAUUUCUGUUUUCCCAAAUUAUUUAUGUCAAAUUCAAAACCAGAAGCAUGUGCUGAUUUUUUCUUUUUGUAUUAAUCUGUGAAGUUUAUUUGGAAAGGAAGUAUCUGGGUCUAAUGGAUUAAAUUAUGUAAGUGGCAGAAAUUCCUACACACAUAAAUAUGCAUAAAUACAAAAGUAUACACAAAAAAAUGCACACACUCAUACAUCCAGUCAAUAUAGUUAAUGUAAGAGCACAUACCGGUUUGGUUAUCUUGCUGCAAGUGCACCGCAUUAGCCUUGCAUUCUGGUGCCAACUCCUCCGGCGGUUCACUCACUACCUUUCCCAAUGCUUUGGACCUCCAUUCGGUCUCCAUCAGAUUUCUCAGGAGCACUAAAUAAAGCAGCUAAAACUUGCUUCUGUAGUUCAUUUCUGUCUUUCGGGUGUCUAGGCAAUUUUCCUUCGUCGGUAUUUCGAUCUUCCUUUACAUGACUGAGGAAAUACAGUCAAAAGCUAAUCAAGUAACCAUAUAUGGAUGAGAAAUCCCUCCACCCCCCUUCCAAAACAAAUUCUAAGAAAUAUCAGAAUUCUUUCAAUAAAAACCCUUCCCCCCAUGCUGUGCCUGCUGAAUGAAAUAUAUUAAUCUUACGAGAAGUUGAGAAAAUAAAUUAAAGAACAUACCCUCCGGAAGAAUUCAAUUGUUGCAAUUUUCUUUCACGUGGAGGUCCUCCAAAGUUAGAGCACAUAUCCGUACACUGUUUAUGAAAUCAUAAUAACAGGGGACCAGAUAUUAAUAACAAAUCUUGACACCUAAAAGUCAACUGUGAUGAAAAACAUUAAAAAGAAUAUGAACUUGUUAUCUUGGAAGAAGAUAAUUUAAGAUAUAGCAAACUUGGCACAUUCAUAUAUGAACAGAAGGAAUUUGUAGACGUUUUAAAGCCAUAAUCGUUUAAUAAUCAUGAACCAAGCAAUAAUAGAUGAUUAUUAUGUUGGGUGCAAGCGGAAGUGCAGAAAAAUUUUUAUUUAAGAUCAGAGUAUUUUGCUGGAAAUUUCUGAAACUUUAUUGCUUAAUUCAUUUUUUCGUUUCUCUCUUACUUUUCAUACAACCAGAGUUCUAUAUUUAUAUGCAUUAUAGACAACUCUAGAGAUUACAUUAAUCAUGCUUUACAUUUCCAAAGCCACAUUGCAAACAUCAAUUCUACCCUUUACUUCACGUUGAAAAACAAACCAAAUAAUCCUUCAAACUUCUUGCUCAAUUUACUAGAUUACUAAUUAUAUCUCAACACCCCCUCUUAAUUAGUAAUCUUCAAUUGCUUCUUGAAUUUUUCAAACUUCUCAAUAAUGAUUGCUUUGGUCAGAAAAUCUGCUGGCUGCUCAUUAGUGCUGAUAAACUCCAUAUUAACUUCUCCUUUGCUUACUAAGUCACGGAUGUAGUGAUAACGCAGCUCAAUGUGCUUAGAUUUAGCAUGAAAUACGAGGUUCUUUGUUAGAGCAAUGGCUGACAUGUUGUCACAAUAAAUUGUUGUUGCAGCAUCUUGAUUGAACUGCAAAUCCUUGAGAAUUCUUCUAAGCCAAACGGCUUCACAAGCUGAUUCAGUUGCUGCAAUGUACUCUGCCUCGGCUGAGGAUAAAGCUACUGACUUCUGCUUCCUUGAGCUCCAUGAAAUCACAUUUGUACCAAGACAAAAUAAAUAACCUGAUGUGCUUUUUCUGUCAUCAAGGGAACCAGCCCAGUCACUGUCAGUAAAACCAACAAGCUUGCAAUUGUCUUCUUUUUCAUACAUGAUCCCCUGCUUUUUUGUUCCUUGAAGAUACCUUAAGAUUCUCUUUGCUGCAAUAUAAUGGGACUUCCUUGGAUCAUUCAUAAAUCUAGAAAGAACACUAACUGAGUGCAAAAUGUCAGGUCUUGAGUUGGUUAGAUAAAUCAACGAACCAACCAAGCUUCUAUAGAUUCUUGCGUCAGCCUUUUCUUCUUUUUCAUCAUGUUUCAAUUUUUCAUUCAAACCCAUAGGAGUAGGUGCUGGUUUGCAUUUGAACAUGUGGAAUUUCUUCAACAAAUCUUCUACGUAUUUUUCUUGACAAAAGAAGAUUUUUCCUCUGGCUUGCUUCACUUGAAUGCCAAGAAAAUACUUCAUUAAGCCCAAGUCAGUCAUCUCAAAUUCAUCUAGCAUGCUUUUUUUAAACUCUUCCACCAUUUUCAGAUUAGUGCCACAAUAAAUUAGAUCAUCAACAUAAAGGCAAACAAUAAGGAAAUCAGUACCUUCCUUUUUGACAUAAAGAGAAGGUUCACUUGAGCUUCUGUCAAAUCCAUUUUUAACGAAAUAUCUAUCAAUUCUGCUAUUCCACGCUCGAGGGGCUUGCUUCAAGCCAUACAAGGCUUUUCGGAGUUGAUAAACUUUGUUUUCUUCACCUUUCACUUCAUAUCCUUUAGGUUGCUCAACAUAAACCUCUUCUUCAAUUUCACCAUUUAGAAAUGCCGAUUUUACAUCUAGUUGAAACACAUGUAAUUCCAUUUGGGCUGCCAAGGCAAGAACAGUUCGAAUAGUCUCCAUUCGAGCUACGGGAGCAAACGUUUCUGUAAAAUCAACUCCAGGCAGCUGAGAGUAUCCUUUGGCAACGAGCCGCGCCUUAUAUUUUUUAACUGAACCAUCUUCAUUGUACUUGAUUUUGAAGAUCCAUUUCAGCCCAAUUGUUUCUUUUCCAUUUGGCAAAUUAACCAUCUCCCAAGUUUUAUUUUUCACAAUGGUGGCCAUUUCCUCGUUCAUUGCUUGGAUCCAAUUUUCAUUUCUUGAGGCCUCCUCAAAGUCUUGAGGCUCACAAGAAAAUAAAGCAAGUUCACAUGACUCAUAAAUUUCUCUCAUUGACUUUAUCUUCCUUGGAGGGCUUUCAUCAUCCGAAGAACUUUCUGCUGCUGAAUUUGGAGAAUUUGGUUCCAAAUUAUUUUGCUGUGAAGAAUUUGGUGGAGAUACAGGAGCUUCGAAAAAGCUAGAUGCUUGAGAUUGAUCUUUUUCCCACUGCCAAGCUGAUGCCUCAUCAAAUACAACAUCUCUUGAGAUAACAAGCUUAUUUGUUGUAGGAUUCAACAACCGAUACCCUUUAGACUCAUCACUAUAGCCAAUAAACAAAUAUUUUUCACCUUUUUCAUCAAACUUCUCUCUGUUUUGAGCUAGAAUAAGAGCAUAAGCAAUACUCCCAAAAAUCUUCAAGUGAUCAACAGUUGGCUUUCGGUUGUGCCAAGCUUCAAAUGGAGUUUUGUCUCUAACAGCUUUUGUAGGAGACCUGUUGAGGAUGUACACAGCUGUAUGACAUGCUUCUGCCCAUAAGUUGUUAGGAAUGCCUUUGCCUUUUAACAUGCUUCUUGCCAUCUCUACAAUGGUACGGUUCUUCCGUUCUGCAACUCCGUUUUGUUGUGGACUUCGGCUGACAGUAAGUUGUCUUUGAAUUCCAUUAUCCCUGCAAUAAUUCAUGAAUGGAGUGUAGAUAAAUUCACCACCACGAUCAGUUCUCAAGGUCUUCAUUUUGCAUCCACUUUGCCUUUCUGCAAGAGCUUUAAACUGAAGAAAAGUUGAGAAAGCUUCUGAUUUUUCAUUCAAAAAAUAAAUCCACAUCAUCCUUGUAUAGUCAUCAACAAAAAGAAUGAAAUAUCUCCUGUUAUUGAGAGAGAGAGUCCUUGUAGGACCACAAAUAUCAGCAUGCACCAACUCCAACGGAGCUUUGGCUCUCCAUGAAUUUUUAGGAAAUGGAAGUCUAUGCAUUUUUCCAUAUAUACAGCCCUCGCAAACUUUUUCAUAUCUUCCAACAUCAGGUAAGCCAAUCACCAUGUUCUUUUGCUUGAGCAAAUUCAGCCCUUUAUAGUUUAAAUGACCAUAUCUGAGAUGCCAUAAAUUUGACAAAUCUGAAUUUUCAGUUUUGAGAGCAACAUUCUCAUCAAGUGGCAUAACAAGAGGAAAAACUUUGUUCUUUGACAUUUCAACAACGGCCACUGUAUGAUUAUUAGUUUUAUCAAUGAUUUUGCAUUUUUCAUCAUCAAAAUAAAUUGAAAAACCCUUUUGAAUUAGCUGCCCCACACUCAAGAGGUUUUGAGUUAAAUUUGGAACAUAAAGAACGUCAUAAAUGAGCUUUUUGUUACCUCCCUUUGUAUGGACAGCAAUAGUGCCUUUUCCCACAGCUUUCUGCAUCUUUCCAUCUCCAAGCUUCACUUGCGAAUUAAAACUUUGGUCAAGGUUGAUGAAAAUGUCACGUUCUCCAGUCAUGUGGUUGCUACAACCGCUAUCCAAGUACCACAAAUUAUAUGAUUCACGUUCAGCACCUUUACUUGAAUAAAACAAGUAAUCUCCAUCACAUUCUUUUGUAAAAUUUGCCUCAUUUUUGCCUUUCUUAUUUUGAUACCAGCAAUCCCUUUGAGAAUGGUUAGGAAUGCGACACCUUGUGCAUUUAUAACGACAAUCUUUUGAUUCAUGAUUAGACCGAUUACAAAUGAUGCACUGAGAAUCUGAAUUUUGCUGUGAAUUCCCUCUGUCAUUUUUCCACUUGUUGCGGUUGUCGUUCUGUUCUCUUUGCCCUAUGCCACGCUGCUCGUUUCUUUGAGACGAGCCUCCGUUCUUCUGGUCUUUCUUGCUGCUUUUAUUCUGAUCUGAAUUAUUAAUCUUUGACUGAAAAGCUUGCUCUGUAGGCUGACUUGAAGGUCGAUUGAUUCUUUGCUCAUGAGACCGUAAUGAUCCUGACAAAUCUGAAAAAGUCAUCUUGGACAAAUCCUUUGAUUCUUCAAUGGCUGCUGCUACAUGAUCAAACUUUGGAGGAAGACAUCUCAGCACCUUUUCAUUCACCUUCUUGUCUUCAAUGGAGUCCCCACAACCUUUAAUCUGGUUCACAAUCUCAGUAACUCUACUGCAAAAAUCCUGAAUUCCUUCUCUGUCUUUCAUUGAUAAAUUAUCGAACUCUUUCCACAAAGUCUGUAACUUGAUGGUGACUGCCUUUUCAGAACCUUGAAAUUCUUGUUUUAGGAUUUUCCAAGCAUUUUUGGCCUUUUUGACACCAAAUAUUCUGGGGAAAAUUGACUUACUAACACCUUGCUGGAUAUAUCGAAGUGUCGUGGCAUUUCUCUGUAUGUUUUCUUUGUACUGCUGUUGAUGUGCUGGAGUCCAAUCUGAAGAACUUGCAGAUUCUGGUGGUUCAGCAUAUCCAUCUUCAACAACAUCCCAUAAAUUUUGAGAGAGGAAAAAGGUUUCCAUUUGAUUACUCCAAUAUUCAUAAUGUACCCCUUCAAAUAUUGGAACUUGACUGGGAGCAUAUGAGAAUAAUGUGGGUAGGGUAUUUGAUGUCAUUUUGAGGGUGUUUUGGAAAAGCUCUGAUACCAAAUUUGUUGGGUGCAAGCGGAAGUGCAGAAAAAUUUUUAUUUAAGAACAGAGUAUUUUGCUGGAAAUUUCUGAAACUUUAUUGCUUAAUUCAUUUUUUCGUUUCUCUCUUACUUUUCAUACAACCAGAGUUCUAUAUUUAUAUGCAUUAUAGACAACUCUAGAGAUUACAUUAAUCAUGCUUUACAUUUCCAAAGCCACAUUGCAAACAUCAAUUCUACCCUUUACUUUACGUUGAAAAACAAACCAAAUAACCCUUCAAACUUCUUGCUCAAUUUACUAGAUUACUAAUUAUAUCUCAACAUAUUAUUCCGUUUCUUCUAAGCUACGCAUACUUGCACAUCAGAAUAAAGUGAUAUACAAUGGUUGUGUGCAGACACAAACGCAUGAUCAACAGGAAAAAUCAUCUGAACAUUUGUAUUACUGAUUUGGCAUAUAAGAUUCUCAUAAUAGUUCAAAAUACAAAUAAAUGAAUAUAUAUAUAUUCCCCACCGGAAUCACCCCCUGGAUCCUCACUCAAGGUGUCUUCCGAGCCAGAAGAUCCCUCCUCACCACUAUUUCCGCUCGUGGAGGUUGUUUGGGGGGACAUCCUCCUAGCGCUAGUCCCAACACUAGACCUAAUGGGUUCUAAGGGGAUCCCGGGGUCAAAAGCAGGAUCGGUGAGCAGACUAGACAAGAAACCUAAUUCGUCGUCAUCAAUCUCAACGAUUUUCUCUUUACCCUUCGACAUUCCCUAAACUAUAAUCAGAACACCACCACCAACUACAACCCCAAGCAAAGCACAGAGAAAAGAAAUUAUCUACAACUAACCAAGACCGAGAAAAUAGAAGAAAUACCUGAAGCAGGGAUUCGAUCAGAGAGAGAUAGGGAUGAAAGCUUUAAUGCCGAGGUUCAUUCGCCGGAGAGACAAGAAGGGAGAAAAUGACGAGUUCGUGUUUGAGGAUUUUGGGUUUUCUUACUGAGAAGCAAACUCUUGGGCUGCCAGCAUUUAAUGACACAUAUUCCGAGAAUCUUGCAACCGUAGGUUUGAAAUUCAAAUGGAGGGGUGGAUUUCUGCCACAUCACUUCAUCUGCAAUUAAAUGCGACACGACUCUUGGCAGUCUUUUCCAGUCCCACGCGAGCAAGAACCGAUUGAGUUUCUACUGCUGGUCCAUUACAUUACCCAACACCAGAAACUGGGGGACUGGUGUUUGAGGGAAAUACUUCGACGAGACCAGACGUGAUGAGCAGAUAUUUGAUGGCAGAGUUCUGCAAACAGGUGUGUCUUGUAAGAGCCAGGUAGCAGGGGAACAGGAGUAGGAAUAUUCUGCUCGUCCACGAAUAUGCCAUUCACGAGGUCAAACUCCUGUUAGAGGCAUAAGGCCAUUCCUGCUAGAGGUCGAGAAGCGAGGAGACCCGGUCAACGACAGUUGGCAAGACGUGCAUUCCUAUCCGAGAAUCAAGGCACAAAGUCCAUCUCCAUUCGCCCACAAUGGCGAUAAUGGGGCAUCCAUAUCCCGGGGGGGGGAGAAUAAGGGGCGUGGACUACGGAAGAUCGGGAUUCAGAGGAAGCUUAUAAAAAGGUAGCCAACGAAGGUAAAAGGGUUAGAAUUUUUGAGAUUGCAACUAAGAAAAGAGAGCUCUAAGAACUGAAACUAAAGAGAAGCCAUAAGAUUCGUGGCAAACAUUCCCAGAACCUUCAUAUCUGACUUGAGCGUCGGAGGAUUUACGCCGGGAAAACGACCGGCGCACCCUGACCUGCUUUUGUGUUCGCAUGAAUUUUUGGGGAAGAAACCUUACGAGGAGAGAUCCUGGUCAUGGUAGAGUUGGUCGAGCAGAGGUCCUGGUCUUGGUAGAGAAGGCAACCAGAAUCUCGCAUCAACAAUUAUUUUACUUGAAAUUAUGUACAAUUGCAUUUCAUUCAUUUCUCUCUCUCUUUUUCUUUUUUCCCCCCAUAUAUUUUUUAUGUAUAAUUGCGUUUCAUUUAAUAUUGAUCAUACUGUAGGUAACCAUGUGAUUGUAGAUGGGGAUUUCAAGUUUGUUGAAUAUUCAUGUAAGUGAAGUAACCGUCACAAUACUAGUGAAAUUGGGAGCUUUAUUCAUGAGUUUGUGGUUUUGAAAAGUACCACAGUUCAGCUGAUGAAGGCUUCUUUUUGGGAUUCUUCUUUUCCUAGGCUGCAAUUAGGAUAUGUACAUGAUAGACAAUCUUUUGUUGGUUUGGCAUAUCUUCGCUGAUUUUGUCUUUUAUUCCCCAAUUUUAUAAUUACACACCAUGAAUGUUGGGUGAUUGCAUAGAAAAUUUGUGUUAUAACAAAAACAUUGUGAAGGAGUUUCUGUGCUAAUAGUUAGUGGCUUCUGUUUUAUUGGCAUUGAUUGGGUAGAUUACGUGUUACAGUGAUUCAAUUUGUGUUCCAAACUUUGCUUUAAUUUUCUGUUUUCCCCAACUAUUUAUGUCAAAUUUAAAUCCAGAAGCAUGUACUGAUUUUUUCUUUUUGUAUUAAUUUGUGAAGUUUAUUUGGAAUGGAAGUAACUGGGUCGGGUCUAAUGGAUUAAAUUAUGACAUUGAGGGGAAGGCACUAAAAGGGUUUGCUUGACACAUUUGGUUCUGUGUCUGCAAGAAAUAGCUUUUGCUUAUUGCAAUGCAGGGGGAAAUCCCGAUUUGGCUGGUGAAUUUCUCUGCAACAAACGGGCAAACACCUUGACUUCUUCUGUCCAUACUUCUGCUGGGGAGGCAAGGGGUAAAGAGUCUUCAAAAUCAUCAAAUAGUAACAUCUCUGAGAAUUCAUUUUAUGGAAAUGGAAAAUCUAGAGCUUCUAAUACAAAAUGGUAUCUGGUAUCAGGACGUACCGUUUCAAGUUUUCUUGGUAAAGAUUAUGUUAAACCUGCACAGCCAGCUAAUGGCACUUUUCUGGCAUCAAAGCCAUUGAAGUUGGAUCCAAGGGAGUUUCGCAUUUCUGCACUUUCAGAGAAGAAACUAAACCGAAACAAUCAAAGGAUGACCAUUUGCAGAAGGAUAUGGAAGAUUUUCUGUUUAAAUUGCUAGGAGAAGGGUUCCAGCUGUACAGGGAUGUGAUUCAGAUGGUUCAUGGUAACGUCUUAAAUAUAUUGAUGCCAAUUUAAUACAUAUUGUCCUUUUCAAUGUUCUUUCUUUCUUUCUCCUCUUUUUAUUCUUCUUCUUCUUCUUUUUUCUUUUCAUGUGCAUCUGAUCACUAAUUUGGUAUUAUUCUUAACUUGCAGAUAGUUGUGGAUAUGAUAUGCAAAAAGGUAAGGACUAUAUCUUCUUGAUGGAGGCCUCUGAUUUUUUAAAUCGCAUUUUCCUUUGUGAUUGAUAUAUCAUACCAAAGUCAAGUCUUAAAUACUGCUGUCAUAUGUUAAGGUUCAACUUCCAUUUUGAUUAACGUCGAUUUGCUACUGCUUCCAAAAGUGAGAAUGAGAUACUUUGGUUAAUUUCAGUAGUUGAACCCAAUAGAGUACUUUAUUUAGAUCUUCAUGGUUCAAAGGCCUGAAAAAACUUGCCGGUGUUUGCAAAAUGACAUUCUGUGCUUUUAUUUAGACUUAUUAUUAAAGACAACAUUUUGUUUCAGCCAAAAAUGUUUGUUUCGAUUAAAGACUGAUUUUAUAUUUCUAUUUUGUAACUUGAAAUAAUUGGUCUGCCUGUUUCUGUUGCUUGAUAACAUGAAUUUUUCCUUCUGAAGUUAAUUUGAUCAAUAAAGUAAUUCUUCGGAGAGGAUAUGCCCAUUCUAUAGUCAUUUUCUUAGCUAACAUGUUUUUUCUUCACUCUUCAGAGCAUGUCUAAACUAAUUGAUCGCUCAGCGGAGACUUUGGGUGAGAAGACAAAAUUUCUUGGUAAAUCCUCUGAAAAGGUAUGCAUAAUUCCCGAGUAUUAAAUAAUCAUUGGUCAUAAUUUUUGUACACGACUCUUUUUUUGGAGAUCGUUAAAAGUGGUUGAUGAUCUAUUUUGUAAUAUCAUAGAGGGAUCAUGAAUUCCUUUUCUUUUCUGUGGCUAGGCAACACUUUCGAGCCAAGCUAAGGAAAUCUAUUUUAGGUAAUGUGAAAACCAGUUGUAGGAUGUAAUAGUUUAUUAUGCCCUGCCAAUAACUUUUUGUAUAAUUGUCAGUUUAAUGAAUACAAGAGGAACUCUGUUGGCAAGUUCAUCCAUGAUAGAUGCUAAAAUUAUUUAUGCAUACCAGUUGCCUUAACUAAUUUUUCUCAACACUGGUAUUGAACAGGAAAAUGAAUAUGCAAUUUGUAUAUUGUGCCAUUGUGGAGAAUUUGGAUAUUCUUAUUUAAGUAACAAGGAGAGUAUUUGCCUCAUCUUUAAACAAUGAAUCUUUGAGAAAUGAGGAGUGGGUGAUUGGCAGUGUCUUCAUGUAAAUGUUCAUUUAUUUGUAUUUUGAACUAUUAUGAGAAUCUUUGUAUGCCAAAUUAGUAAUACAAAUGUUCAGAUGAUUUUUCCUGUUGAUCAUGCGUGUGUAUCUGCACACAACCAUUGUGUACCACUUUAUUCUGAUGCGCAAAUAUCUGUAGUUUAGAAGAAAAGAAAUAAUAAUCAUAUAUUAUUGCUUGGUUCAUGAUUAUUAAACGAUUAUGGCUUUAGAAAAUCCACAAAUCCUUUGUGUUCAUAUAUGAAUGUGCGAAGUUCGCUAUAUCUUAGAUUACCUUCUUCCAAGAUAACAAGUUCAUAUAUUUUUUAAUCCUUUUUCAUCACAGUUGAAUUUCAAGUGUAAGUUUUGUUAUUAAUAGCUGGUUUCCUGUUAUUAUGAUUUCAUAAACAGUAAGAGGAUAUGUGCUCUACUUUUGGAGGGCCUCCACAUGAAAGAAAAUUGCAACAAUUGAAUUCUUCCGGAGGGUAUGGUAUUUAAUUUAUUUUCUCAGCUUGUUGUAAGACUAAUAUAUUUCCUUCAGUACGCACGGCAUGGUGGGAAGGGUUUUUAUUGAAACAGUUAUGAUAUUUCUUAGACUUUGUUUUGGAAGGGGGUGGAGGGAUUUCUCAUCCAUAUAUGGUUACUUGAUUAGCUUUUGACUGUAUUGUCUCCGUCGUGCAAAGGAAAAUCCAAAUACUAACGAAGGGGAAUUGCUUAGGCACCCAAAGGACAGAAAUGAAUUACGGAAGGAAGUUUUUGCUGCUUUAUUUAGUGCUGCUGAGAAAUCUGAUGGAUUUCCUGAAAUUACGGUGAAGACGGAGUGGAGGUCCAACGCAUUAGGAAAGGUGGUGAGUGAACCGCCGGAGGAAUUAGUACCAGAACACAAGGCUAAUGUGGUGCACUGGCAGCAAGAUGACCAGACCUGUAUGUGCUCUUAUAUUAACUAUAUUGGCUGGAUUUGUGAGUGUGUACAUUUUUGUGUGUAUACUCACUUUUGGAUUUAUGCAUAUUAACGUGUGUAGGAUUCUCGAUUUCUGCCACUUACUGGAGAACUAGUGGAAAGCUUUAUACUGAUAUAUGUGCUAUAUAACUAAUGGAAACUACAAUAUGAAUAUUUUCUCUCACCUGGAGAACAGUGUAACUGAUAUAAUUUGUGGCUCUGGAAUACUGAAGAUUCUGCAAUAACUAAUGGAAAAUAUGAUAUGAAUAUUUUUUCUCACCUGGAGAACUUUGUAACAGAUACAUUUUGUGCUGGAAUGUCUAAAGAAUGCUUCAGUUUAGAUCAAAUAUCUUUUAGUUAGAAAAGAUAAAAUUCUCUGAAUCUGAAAGACUGAAACAUUUUGCAUAUUUCGUGAAAGGCAAGUAUCUGUAGAUACUAGCUCAUGCAUUGAGGUAAUAUCAAUGUUAAAGAAAAACAGCAAUAAUUUAUUAUACAGAAUUAGGUUCACUUGCUUUAAAUGCUGGUCUGAUCAACCAUAUCAACCUGUAAUGGUCCUGCAGAAAUAUAUAUACGGGGAGAAACUAGCUAAUUUUCCUUUCACUUAUGGGUUUGGUCUUUUUUUUCCCCUAUUUUUCAGCUUUCCUUCUCCUGAAGUAUGUUAACAAUUGCAGAUAAUGACGAAGAGGACCGCUUCCAGGCUCUUUGUAGAGCUGUGAUGGAAUAUAGGGGCACAAUGAAAGAAUAUUGUAAGGCUGUAUGUACUUUCUCUCAUGUCAUUUAUGUUUUCUCACACAUUUUGUAUAUGCCCUGAACAUGCAGCUUUGUAUGUGUCAAUUGCCUUUUACGUUUUAAAAGCCAUAAAGUAAGAAUACAGUUCCUUGUCAGGCUAUUGAUGCGUUCGCUCAGAAGGGUCAUGUUCAAGCAGGAAAACUUCUAGAACAGGUAAGGUUUCCAUCUACAGCCAUCCAUUGACAGCAGAUAUAUUUUCAUUAAGCAGACACUGUUAGCAUUCAAGAUGCUGGCAGAUUCACUUGAUUCUUAUUAGUUUGUUUAGUGGCAAACCAUAUAACCUGUAUUUCAAAGCCAAGUUGUGCUAUUGAUUAUGUUAACUUUAUUGUUAACAUAAAGUGAUAUGGAGGACAUAAUCAAUGUAGGAAAAUUAGGUGAAGAGAUGAUGUCAAAUCUUGAACCUCUUACAAAGCUCCAAGUUCUUUACUUGAAGAAGCUGCCAAAUUUGAAGAGCGUCUACUGGAAGGCAUUUCCAUUCCCAGAUGUAUGCAGAAUUUUUGUAUUAAUGCCCAGUUCUUAAGAAGCUGCCACUGGAUUUUCAAGGGGCGGGCCAAGGUAAAAUUCUUAUCAAGGGAAAGGAAGAUUGGUGGAAAGAACUUCAAUGGGAGGAUCAAGCAACUCAGAAUGCAUUGCUUCCAUUUUUCAAAUCAACUGACAAGUGAUUGAAGGGGGCAUCAUCAACAUCAUCAACUGGGAUGGAGAGAUUAUGGAGCAGAUCAGCAGGGUUUGUAUAUGAUCUUUGGUGGUUGCUUUCUUUUGUGAUUUUUUUUUUCUCAUUUUUUUCCCUUCCUGUCAUUUUAUCAUUUCUUUGUCUCGUUUUCUAUUGCUGAUGUUAGUGUAUGCUUACUGUUGCUUGACAAAGUUUGCUUGCUUCUUGUUUAUUAAUUUUUUUAUGGUCACAAAAUAUUACUUGUUCUAUUUGAGAGUGAUGUGAAUCAAUUUUCAAUUAUAUAUUUUAUGGUCAAUGUGAAUUCAAUUUCAUUUGUCUCCUGCAAUUAUUUAAAAAAUGCAGAGUCAUAAUAUGGAAAAGUCGACCGGCAAAAACUUUGUGAAAGCUUCGGAGUGAAACAGGGAAUUCACUUACUAACAGGGAAUUCACUUACUACUAAGGACAAUUGGUGGCGAGCUAUUCCAUUCAUUUUAUGUCCAUACAUCUAUUUAAUUAUUAAAGAUAAGUGGUCCAUUUGUAAAUUUCAGAUUGUGUCUCUCUGAAAAUAACAAUAUUUAAAAUGUCUCUUAAAUUAUUAUAAAUUUUAAUUCACUCUCGAUUUAAAAUGGAACAUGCUGAUGAAAUUUUUUUUCUUCUUAAUAAAAUUGAAAUAAAUUGUGUUUGCAGUAGUUUGAAAUAUUUUAAAGAUUAUUAUUUUAUAAGGGAGUAAUAUGAAAUGAAAUUUACUUUUCAUGCGUGAAAUGUUGAAAAAGGACACAGCAAGUGUCCCUGCUUUUAUUUUAUUUCAAAGUGGAGUCAUCUCACAUACUUUAACUCUAUCGUUACAAUUUUUCAGGUUACAUUUUUAUUUAUUUAUUUAUUUUCUUUUUUACACAUGCAUGUGGGUUACUUUUCCGUAAGCUCCUUAAUAUAUAUAUUUAACACAAAUCAUGGAAGAGAUGGGAGUAUAUCAAGAUGAUCAAAGCAUGAAACAAAAAUAUUUAAGAAGUAAAACACUGAAAAUAGAGAAGAGAUGCAAGCAAAAGAUAUUCCAAAGAAAAGCAAUCUAUCUCCUUUCGAAGAAUGUUAUGGAAGAGUUGAACCCAGCGAAGAAUGUUAUGGAAGAGCAAAUUAAUGAUAUUUUUGAUAGAGUCUAUUUGAUUAUGUAGCCUGAAUAGAUGUCUUGUUGAAAGAUAUCUCAGUGCAUUAGUUCAUCCUUGACUGUCAAUGUGUUUUUAAUGGUUUUUCCAAAUUUUUAUUAUUAUAGAUUGAUUGUAAAUUUGAUAUGAAUUUAAUGUUGAAAUGUUUUCUCUUUAGUGGAAUGAAUUUAAAAGUGCAAAAGCUUAUUGCACACAGAGAAAUAAACAUAUAUGCUUUAUAACUUUAGCAAUCGAUUCUUUUACAGCUGGAAACAGAGAUGAUGAUUAUCAUAGGGGUGAAGAAAAGGACAAAAAAUGUUAAUGGUUAACGAAAUUUCUAUGCAAAUUGAUUUUAGCAGGAAAAAAGUGAGCUAAAUGAUCUUAAUGUUCCACAAGAAAAAGCAAGAUCUUAAUGUUCCACAAAAGCGUUAUUUAUUUUUUUUUGGUGAGCCACGUGGAGCUCAAUUAUCAUUGUCUUUACUUUAAAAACGUUAUUUUAUUUUCUUUUAUUACAAAUUAAUGCUAACAAGAAAAAGCAAGAUAUAAUAUUCCACAAAAGCAAAUCGUAAUAUUCCACAGAGGAGUAAGAUCCACAAAAGCAAACAACUAGCUGGAUUCUUUUAUUGAACUACAAAUUAAAACAACAAAUUAAAGUUCAAAUAUUUAAAUAGUAGUGCGUUAGACGAUUAGGCUCUUUUAUUAAAGGGAAGUAUAAAGUAGUCCAGAAUCGAACAUCUCUAUUGUCUAGUCUUUUUUUUUUUUUUUAAUUCUUCUUUUAUUAUUUUUCAGAAUAGGUUUUGGUGAUUACUAUUGGGUUAUUAUUGAGAGUUAUUGUUAUCUUCCGGGGCAGUUUCUGUUAAUCGAAAUCGUUAAUUAAAAUUUUAGAACUCUUAUUGGAAGAAUGUUUUUCCGUUAUUUUUUUAUAUUCUAAUUUCAAUUGUAAGAAGUAGUCAUUUUAGAAUUUGGGUCUUGAAUCGAAUUUCAAUGCAUGAAUUAAUAUUUAAAAAAAAAAUUACUACACGCAGUUUAGGUUACAAACUAUUUUUUGCAAAGUUGAUUAUGAAAUUGGAAAAAUUAAGUAAUUUAUAAUGUUUGCAAAGGAAGAGACUAACAUACUUCCAAUUACACUAUAUCUCUAUUAUCAUAAUGUUAAGAUUAAACUAACUUAAAAUAAAUUUUAUUUGAAAAGUUAUAUCAAACGCAGUCUAAUUUUAUUAACUUGAAGAGAUAAUAGUUAUAGAAAUUAUUGUUCUAACUUAAUUAGUACAAGUGGUAUAAAGGUUAAGUGUGCACUAAAUUUGUUUAAAUUUUUUCCAGAAUAACUAACAGAGGUCAUUACUAGAAUUAUAAUUACUAGUCUAUUAGAUAGAAAAAAUUAUUUAUAUUGUUUUAUAUUUAUUAAAAAAUUUUAAAGUCAAUCUUUUUAAUUAUUAUUUAAAGGAUAUUAUAAUUAAAAAAAAUUUAAUGUCUUUAUUAAAAAUUUAAAAAUUUAAAAAUUUAAAAAUUUACAUGACCGCUCUAUAAAUAUUGAAAGUGUAACUGUCAUUUUCUCAUAUAUAUAUAUAUAUAUAUAUAUAUAUAUAUAUAUAAACCACGGUGGUGAAGCUUUAUUUAAUAUUAAUGAUUUAAAUAACAAUAUCUCAAUUAAAAAUGUAGAGAGAAGAAAUUUCGGUGGGUAUAUUAGUCUUUUACAAUUAUCAUGAUUAACCCUUCCUCUUGUAACGUUGGUCAGAAAAGUUUUAAAAUGCCUUGAUUUCUUUUACUUUUAACGUUAGCGGCCUUCCUUAUAUUUUAUUACAAAUUAGUCCUAACAAGAAAAAGCGAGAUCAUAUUCCAAAAAAGCAAAAGUGACAAAAAAACCAGCUGUAUUCUUUUAUUAAACUACAAUUUAAAAUGAUUUUAAAGUGGAUUCUUUUGAAUACAGGUGGGGUAGUCGAAUAGUCUUUUUCAAAUUCUUGUUUUAUUAUUUUUCAAAACUAGUUUUUGGUAAUUACAAUCGGGUCAUUCAUUAGUCAUUAUUCAGAGUUAUUGUUAUCUUCGGGGGCAGUGGGUAAAAGGCUAAAUGAUAAUUACUAAGUGUUUUUCCUUCAAAAGUUAGUGGCUCGUGUUUUGCAAGUGUGUACGUGCGAUGCUCUUUGUCUAAAGGCAAUUACAGUGGGUCCCGAAUCGGACGUGCCUAAUAAAUCUUUUAAAAAUUUUUCUAAUAAAUAUUCCUAAAAUUUCUCUUCCACAGGCAAUUACAGCAGCUUCAGUUAAUCAAACUCAAUCAAUUUUCUUUCUUAACAAAAUUCCAAAGAUGUGUGGCUGUUUUCAGAUCACAUGCGAUGGUACUUUUUUCAAUCGUUGCUUAGAUUGCUUUCUUGGAAAAGCAGCAUACAUACGUAACCUCCAAGAUAACCUCGUUGCCUUGGAGACUGAACUAAGGAAACUAAUCGCAGCAAAGAACGAUGUGAUGACGGCGGUUGUCAAUGCUGAACGGCAACAAAUGAGAAGGCUGGAACGAGUGCAAGUGUGGGUUUCGAGUGUGGAUUCUGUUAAAACUGGAGCCGAUGAACUUAUCACAGACGGCUCUGAAGAAAUUGGCAAAUUAUGUGUUGGAGGCUACUGUUCCAAGAACUGCAGGUCAAGCUACAAGUUCGGAAAACAAGUGGCUGAAAAGCUACAACAUGUGAAGAAUUUAAUCGCCGAGGGAGUUUUUGAGGCGGUGGCCACUGAGGUGGUGCCCGAGAGAGCUCCGGAACCUGUAGCAGAUAAAAGACCCAUUGAGCCAACAAUAGUAGGCUUGCAAUCACAGCUUGAAGAAGUUUGGAGAUGUCUUGCAGAAGAAUCAGUGGGAAUCAUUGGCCUAUAUGGUAUGGGCGGUGUUGGUAAAACCACACUAUUGACCCAUAUCAACAAUAAAUUUCUUGAGAGUCCCACAAACUUUGAUUGUGUGAUUUGGGUCGUAGUUUCAAAAGACCUGCGACUUGAAAAAAUUCAAGAAGAUAUUGGGAAGAAGAUAGGUCUAUCUGAUGAUUCAUGGAAGAAUAAAAGUUUUGAAGAGAAAGCUGUGGACAUCUUGCGGAGAUUAGGAGAGAAGAGAUUUGUAUUGUUGUUAGAUGAUAUAUGGGACCGGGUUGAUUUAACAAAGGUGGGCGUUCCACUUCCCGGACCACAAAAUACUACCUCAAAAGUCGUAUUCACAACCCGUUCCAUCGAUGUUUGUGGCAGCAUGAGAGCUAGGCCGGUUAAAGUGGCAUGCCUAUCAGAAAAGCAAGCUUGGGAACUGUUCCACGAAAAUGUUGGGGAAGAAACUCUUGAGAGUGAUCAUGAGAUCGUUGAGCUAGCCCAAACAGUGGCCAAAGAGUGUGGUGGUUUGCCACUCGCACUUAUUACUAUUGGUCGAGCUAUGGCCUACAGAAAGAAAGCGGAGCAGUGGAGACGUGCAAUUGAAGAGUUAAGAAGAUCAGUUUCAGAGUUUGCAGGUUUGGGAAAAGAGGUGUAUCCUUUUUUAAAGUUCAGCUAUGAUAGUUUGCAGUAUGAUACGGUUAGAUCUUGUUUCUUGUAUUGUUGUUUAUAUCCUGAAGAUUAUGGCAUUCUUAAAUGGGACUUGAUUGAUUGUUGGUUUGGCGAGGGAUUUUUUGGGGAAUCUGACAGGUCUGGUGCAGAAAACCGAGGAUAUGGCAUUUUGGACACUCUUGUUCGUGCAUGUUUAUUAGAAGAGGUGGAAGAUGAUAAAGUAAAAAUGCAUGACGUUAUUCGUGAUAUGGCUAUAUGGAUAGCUUGUGAAAUUGAGAAGGAGAAGAGAAACUUUUUGGUUUGUGCAGGUGCUGGAUUAAAAGAGGCACCGGAUGUUAAAGGAUGGGAAAAUGUGAGAAGAUUGUCAUUGAUGCAAAACCAAAUUAAAACUCUGUCAGAGGUUCCUACAUGCCCUCAUCUCCAUACUCUAUUUCUUGACUUUAAUAAGGAGUUGGAGACGAUCGCGGAUGGCUUCUUCCAAUUUAUGCCUUCUCUCAAAGUUUUGAAGAUGUCAAACUGUGGGCAUGUCAAAGUUUUGAAAUUACCUAUUGGGAUGUCAGAGUUGGGUUCAUCACUAGAACUUCUUGAUAUUUCAAAUACCAACAUAACAGAGUUACCAGAAGAGUUGAAGUUGUUGGUAAAUCUGAAAUGUUUGAAUUUGAGGUGGACAAUUUGUUUAAAUAAAAUUCCAUGGCAACUAAUAUCAAAAUUUCAAGGUUACGUGUGUUGAGAAUGUUCGCUACUGGCUUUGCACGUUUUGAUGCAGCAUCAGAAGACAGCGUUUUAUUUGGUGGGGGUGAAGUUUUAGUACAGGAAUUGGUCGGUCUGAAAUAUUUAGAGGUAUUGGAGUUGACCUUGGGAUGUCAUCAUGCUCUCCAAAUUUUUUUGAGCUCAAAUAAGUUAAAAAGUUGUAUUCGAUCUCUUCUCCUCCAAUUGGCCGGAGAUACAAAGUCGAUUAUUGAUGCUACGGCUUUCGCAGAUCUAAACCACCUCAAUGAAUUAUGGAUUGAUAGGGCUAAGGAGUUGGAAGAAUUGAAGAUUGAUUGUAAAGAAAUAGUACAAAAAAGGCGGGAACCUUUUGUUUUCCGCAGCCUUCACCGUGUUACUAUACAUAGCUGCCAGAAGUUGAAAGAUUUGACAUUCCUCGUUUUUGCUCCAGACCUCAAGUCUCUCGAUCUAGACCGUUGCGAUGCUAUGGAAGAAAUAAUCAGCGUCGGAAAAUUUGCUGAGACUCCUGAGAUGAUGGGACAUAUAAGCCCUUUCGAAAAUCUCCAAACUCUUCAUUUAAGAGCGUUUAACAUCUUUUCUCGACGACCUGCACGAUUGCCUUUCACUCAUCUGAAGGAAAUGGAGGUAAGUGGGUGCGAUCAGCUUAAAAAGCUUCCACUCGAUUCCAACAGUGCAAAAGAGCGUAAAUUUGUUAUUCGUGGAAAAGAAGACUGGUGGAACCGACUUCAAUGGGAGGAUGAAGCCACUCAAAUUGCUUUUCGUUCCUGUUUCCAACCUGAGCGGUUAGUCGCAAAAUUUGAUUUCUGGUGAUUGCGUUUGUCUUUUAACUCUUAUAUAUAUUCUUGUCGUUUGUUUUCUUCUCUGUUUUUAACUCUUAUAUUGCGUUUGUCUUUUGAAAAUCUCCAAUUAAAUGUUGAAUUAAUGGAAUUAAUGCUUCAUAAAUUUGCCGGCACUGCCAUCACUUUUUUUUUUUUUAAUACAAAUUGAUACUUUAUUUAUAUCUUCUUAGCGAUAUAAUUUCCUGUCAAUUGACGAACGAGAAGAACAUACGACUUAAACCAAUUCACGCAUAAACUUGCUGUAAAAAGAUAUAAUCUCACUGAAAUGCACACGUCUAGAAUGAAUAGAAUUAAAACAGGGAAAAUAUUUAAGUAUAUUAGCCCUCUUUACCGAAAAUGAAAUGACAAUAAAUUUUUUGAAAGUUUUGAUUUUCUAUGGUCAAUUCCACCUUUUGCAAUUUCUUCUGUUCUAACAAAAACCAAUUUCUUUGUUCAAGUAUUUUCGUUUGGGUAUUAAUAAUUCUCCACCGAAAGAGUGAACUCUUGCUCAAGGGAUCUCUAAUCAAUAGCCGGAAGGGCGCCGAGACCUGAUCGGACCUAGGCCCAAGUUUGGUCUUAAAGCCUGGGCUUGAGCCUGGCAAUUAAAUUAAAACAUUAAUUGAUUUCUUGAUUGAAUUGUCGUGUAAUUGAUUUAUGGGGGAUGACACAUCAACAUGCUUGAAAACACACUAAUCUCAGCAUCAUCGGUUAAUAACUUUUAGAAUUAUGGGUAAUCAAUAGUUAAGAUUAGUUGUCAUUAAUACUAAAUAUUUUUUUACUAUUUUCGUCUCUUCUAGAGGAUCUUCUAGAAAAAUGCAUCCACAACAAAAUUUAAUACUUUACAUAAUAAACAAAGCAUAAAUGUUAAAUUUAAGAAACUGCAUUGUAUUUCAGCUGAAGUUGACUUUAAUAUUUAGGGUAGAAAAAUAAUAAAUCCUUAAUGUGUUUAAUUUCUAUCACUUGUGUCAUUAAAAUUUUCUAGUCACCCUAACCAAUUACAUCUCAACCCACUUUUUUUUGGAUGAUUUUAUUUUUACACUAUUAUUUUCAUCAUUUUUUUUCCUUUUAACACCAACAUUAGUGUAUGUUACGUAACAUAAUUCAUAUUUGGAUAAUUUGAAAUUUGUUUGUGUUUUAUCUCAAAAUAGAGCUUCAAUCAAUUUGUACCUCAUAAAUUCACAAUAUCUAUGAGGGCUAAUAAGACCAAACUCUGGCAUAUUGUCAAAUGUGCUUAUCCUUUUGCUUGACAUGUCAUUUUAAAAUUGUCAUUCAAUGCCAAAAAAUCACAUCAACUGAUGGCCGACUACUUUAAUUUGAAAGCAUGCAUGCGAUCGCCAAUAAUUAUAACUUAAUUGUUAUUUUGAAAUUUUUUUCUUUAUAAUUUUUAAGUUUAAUACUACUACAUGUGCAGCACAUAAGUUGGAAAAUAUAACAUAAAAUUUGAAAAAUGUGUAGCUUUCGUUCCUUUUUUUUCUUAAAAAUGAGGAAAAAGAAUGUAAUUUUGUUUAAAUUACUGUUGUGAUAACAAUUAUUAUUUUAUUGAUUAAUUGGCAGAGAAUGGUUAUGGUUUCGCAUGGUUGUUAAAACAUUGGAAAAUCCACUACAUCAUCCGUUAAUAACUUUCAGAUUUAUGGUUAAUCAAUAGUUGAGAUUUGUUAUCAUUAAUGUUAAAUAUUUUUUUAAUAUUUUUUCUCUCUCCUAGAGGAUCAUCACAGCAAAAAUUUAAUAUUAUAAAUAGUAAACAAAAUAUAAACAGUUAAAUCUAAGAAACUGCAUUGCAUUUCAGCUGAAGCUAACUUUAAUAUUUAAUGGAGAAAAAUAAUUAAGUCCUUAAUGUACUUUAUUUACCCAUACUGAUACGCUCUUAAUUCGUGAAACUGAGCAACAUCAAAAUUAUCACUACUUCGAGCGAGUGUUUGCUCCAGAAGAAAGAACUGGAAGUUGAGAAAUGAGAAAGAAGAAAAGAAGAAGAGUCACAGCGAGGAAUAAAAGUGGUCCAUUCAUUUCAUGCCUUCCCAAAAUGACAAAAUCCCGCAAUAUAUAACAGACAAUCGAAAAUAACCAAUUUGACAACGCAACAGAAAAUGACAAAAAAGAAUCCAAAACAAACGUAGCCAAUCACAAUGCUUUUACAGAUCAUCCUAAACGACGUAGUCUCGUAGCCAAUCUAGAAGUUUCUUGUUUCGUUUGGGCCGUUGAUUCUCUUGCACUGGCUCAUGGUGAAUGUCCUCUUUGGGUUGACUGACUGUGGGUUCUCGGUUGAGCUCUUCCACUUGCGCCCCCUCUAAUGGCUCUAAUUUGAUAUAUAAAUUCGUAUCAUUCCCUCCUGCUUGAAAACACACAUUGUCCUCAAGGUGAAAUGCUGGAUAGAGCUUACAAAAGGCGUCAAAGUUUUCCCAAGACGAAUUCUUCGGUGAACUGACGGUCCAUUGAACUAACACUUGAAGCGUUGGCUUCCCCUGUUGCAAAACUAUUCGGGUUGCACAAAUGGCAGCCGGUAGCAAAAGAGGAUGGUUAUCCACACUCAACUCUGGUAAAGGAUGUGAAAUAGCAGGGUCGUUGCCAUGAUAAUGCUUAAGGACAGAGAUGUGAAAAACCGAGUGGAUUUUGGAAGUAUUGGGUAACUCCAAUUUGUAAGCUACAUACCCCACUCUAGCAAGUACCGUAAAUGGCCCGUAGUAUCACUUGGCCAACUUCUGACAGGCGCGAGAAGCUAUAGUGGUCUGUCGAUAUGGCUGUAAUUUAACCAGCACUUUAUCCCCUACUUCAAAGUGAGCUUCACGGCGAUGGGCAUUAGCUUUCUGAGCCAUUCGAUGUUGUGCUUGCCUCAAAUUAGCUUUUAAAGAUUGGAGAAGAGUAUUACGUUCAAGGAGAAUGUCCUCCAAAGUUUGGAUUGAAGUAGAGCCCUUAGCAUAAUGAGGAAUAGUUGGAGGCAAUCGGCCAAAUAAAGCUUGAUAGGGAGACAUCUUCAAGCCACUGUGGAAAUGAGAAUUAUAACUAAAUUCUGCCCAACUCAGUAAGGAAACCCACUUCCGUGGUUUGUCUUGAGUGAAAGCUCGUAAAUAUUGCUCCAAUCCUCAAUUUACCACUUCCGUUUGACCAUCCGUUUGAGGGUGGUAUGCCGUGCUAUGACGAAGAGUUGUGCCACUUAAGAGGAAUAAUUGUUUUCAAAAAUUGCUCAAGAACACUGGGUCUCGAUCGGAGAUAAUUGAACUUGGAAAACCAUGUAUUUUAAUGACCAUGUCCACAAAGAGUUCAGCUGUCUUGAGGGCAGUAAAUUGACAGGGUAACGGACCAAAAUGGGCAAAUUUUGUAAGACGAUUGACAACAACCAAUAUGACCGAGAAACCUUGUGCUAACGAAAGACCUAUAACGAAAUCCAUUGUGACCUCAUCCCAAACCAUAUUAGGUAUCGGCAAUGGUUGAAGAAGACCAGCAGGGGCUUGAGUGGAAUACUUAGUUUGCUGGCAUAUUAAACACUCUCGGAUAAACGUUUCCACAUCAUGACGCAUCUUGGGCCAAUAGAAUGUUGAAGAUAAUCUGAUUAAGGUUCUAGUGACACCCACAUGACCUGCCAGUGGUGUAGAGUGAAAUUCUUGCAAUAGUACGACUUUUAAAGAGGAGGUAGGACUGAUGUAAUAACGCUGACGGUGGAGAAGAAAUCCGUUUUGAACAGAGAAGUCAACUGACAGUUUGCCUUGUAAAAGUUGCUGGUGAAGUGAUAUUAAAUCAGGUAAUGUGGUAUUCUCAUUAAGUAAUGACUGCAGCAAUUCAAAUGAAGGAUGGCUGUUGAAAGAAAGGCAAGUGGGGGAGAUGUUGAUGUUAUCCUCAGGAGCUGUUUCAUGGACACGGGAUAGAGCAUCAGCGGCGCUAUUGGUACAACAUGGUCUGUACUCAAUUCUGAAUUGGAAACCCAAUAAUUUGCGGAGAUAAACUUGCUGAUCUAGUGUUUGUAUCACUUGUUGAAGGAGUUCUUUGAUACUCUUAUGAUCCGUGCGGAUAACAAAGAAUCGGCCCAACAAAUACUGCCGCCACUUAUACACAGCUUCUACAAUUGCAUGCAACUCCUUGAUGUAAGUGGAAGAAGCCCGCAAUUUGGGACCCAACUUCUUGCUGAAAUAAGCAAUUAAAUGCCCAUGUUGUGUAAGUACAGCUCCUAUGCCUACAUUAGAAGCAUCGGUCUCAAUGACGAAUUCGAAAGUAAAAUUCGGCAACUUAAGGACUGGAGCUUGCACCAUUGCUUGUUUAAGAGCUUCAAAGGCCUCCAUGGCUGUCAAAUUCCAUUGAAAGGCAUCAUUUCGCAGCAAAUCAGUGAGUGGGGCUGCCAAGGAAGCAUAACCACGGAUGAAGCGCCUAUAAUAUCCAGUGAGACCAAGAAAACCCCUCAACUGUUUGAUAGAACGUGGAAUUGGCCAAUUAAGCAUGGCAUCAAUCUUUUGGGGGUCGGCUUGUACUCCCGAGGCUGAAACAAUACGGCUUAGAUACUCAAUAGCGGCUUGGCAAAACAAACAUUUGGAUAAUUUAAUAAAAAAUUGAUGAAGAUGUAAACAAGCUAAUACUUUCUCAAGAUGAAGCAAAUGCUCGGCCAUGGAGGAGCUAUAAACCAAGAUAUCAUAAAAAAAAACGAUCACAAAUUUCCGGAGAUGAGCUGCAAAAAUCUGAUUCAUUGUGGCUUGAAAAGUGGAUGGGGCAUUUGUCAACCCAAACGGCAUGACAAGAAACUCAUAAUGGCCCUCAUGUGUUCAAAAUGUCGUUUUGUAUAUGUCGCGGUUGUGGACACGAAUUUGAUGGUAUCCCGCGCGCAAAUCCAAUUUGCUAAAAAUGGUGGCGCCCCCAAGUUCAUCAAACAACUCAUCGAUUGUCGGUAUAGGAAAUUUGUCUUUGAUGGUUACGGCAUUUAAUGCACGAUAGUCAACACAAAACCGAUAGGUGCCAUCUUUUUUCUUGACCAAGAGAACCGGGGAGGAAAAAGGGCUUUAGUUCGGUCGGAUUAUGCCCUACUCUGACAUUUCCCUGAUCAGUUUUUCCAUUUCAGAUUUCUGGAAGUGUGGGUAGCGGUAUGGACGAACAUUGACGGGGGCUGUGUUGGGUAAUAAAUGGAUUUUGUGGUCAAUAGUUCUGUGCGGUGGUAGGCUAGAAGGUUGGAGAAAUAGGUGUUUGUAUUGCUGUAAAAGGUUGAGAAAUUGAGCAGGAAGGGAAAAAGGAAAUUCAAGUGAGGAAGUGUCUGUGAUGGAAAAUGAAGGCAAAGCAUCGAUAGCGGGCACUGGUUGUAAGGCACAAAGGCUGGUCACGGUAUCACUUUGAACCAAUACCUGCAAUUGAUUAUAAGUGAUCAAAUUAUUAGAAGACAAAUCACCAUGAAGCAUCACUGGUUGCUCAUUUAAAGAAAACUCCAUAGGACACUUUGCCCAAUUUCUGUAGCCAUUGAAUGCCAAGGACCACAUAUGUGCCCUCAAUUGGCAAAAUGAAGAGGUCUACCAUAAAAGCCGUGCCUUGCAUUGUUAAGUUCACUUGAGGACAGAACUGUUUACACACCAGGAAGUCACCGUUGCCAAUAUACACUCGGAAAUUGGUAGUUGGAUGAAUGGCUAACCCCAAUCGUUCCGCUAACGCCGGUUUUAUGAAAUUGUGAGUGUUGCCACUAUCAAUCAGCACUUGAAAGGUGUGCGAAUCAAUUUCUCCAAUUAAACGAAGAGAGCGAGGAUUGGCCUGCCCUGCUAGAGCAUUUAAGCUAGAGAUGUCACCAGUAAUACCAGCAUCUACCAAUUCUGAUGGUUCCUCGUUAUUUUUGGGUUCCAAUUCUUCAUCAUCCGUGCCCAUGAGAAGUAGAAAUUUACUGCGACAGAGAUGAUUGUUGCUGUAUUUUUUGUCACAAUUGUAACAUAAACCCUUCUCGCGUUUGUCGCAAAGUUCAGCCGAAGACAAACGGCGAAUUGGUAAUGUUGGUGUCGAUAAUAAUGCAGGUAAAGUGUUUGAUUUAUUGGUAUUGUGGGUUUGUGAGGGAAGAGUUGAAGAUGAUACGGGGGUGAUGGCUGUGGUAACAGUUGCAAGUGAUGAGGAUGGAUAAAUGGGUUUGGGUUGUGUUUGGAAACCAUGUGAAAGGGGAUAUGGUUGCUGCCAUUUAGGCCAUGAGCGUGAGCUCUGUUUCACUUCGUCAUAUUUGGCCUCAAAAGCACGAGCUAAAGUUUCCAUUAGUGAAGACGGUCUAGAGAAAAGCAAUUCCCGUCGAAUGUUGGGUUUCAGACCAGUGAUGAAAAAACUAAUCAAAAGAAGUUCAGAAAUUCCAGUGACCUUGUUCAUUAAAUCUUCAAAAGCUGACUGGAAAUCUGCAACCGUGGUAGUUUGACUCAAUUUGGACAAAUCACCUUGGGGAUCUUCACACAAAGAAGCACCAAAACGAUAGCGCAAGUUAGCUAAAAAUUCUUGCCAAGUAGUGAGCAAGUGAUUGUUCUUUAUCCAUUGAUACCACGCUGCAGCGCGACCCUCCAUAUGAAAAGAGACAAUCCGUAGUCGGAGGAUCUCAGGUGUGUCAUGAAAGUCAAAAAAUUCUUCUAUUCGAAAAAUCCAUCCAUUUGGGUCAGACCCAUCGAAUUUGGGCACAUCCAUUUUCAUGGAACAAAGUACUGGAGAAACUUUAGAACCAGUAAGAACGCCAUCAUAUUUAGAAGAUGAAGGGUGUGAAGGGUUGGAGGAACCAACUGGUUUGUUGGAAGACCCAUGAAUUUAUGUACGUAACUCCUCAAAACGAGAGUCAACUGAUGUCAUGAAUUGUUGGAUUGUUUGAUGGAUGGACAGUUGCUACCCAUCAAGUUUGGCGUCAAAAGUUGCUUGAAGGGUCUGUAAAGCAUAAAGAAUUUCAGAAUUUGCCAUGAUCAAUGAAAGCACCAGUGAUACGCUCUUAAUUCGUGAAACUGAGCAAUAUCAAAAUUAUCACUACUUCGAGCGAGUGUUUGCUCCAGAGGAAAGAACUGGAAGUUGAGAAAUGAAAAAGAAGAAAAGAAGAAGAGUCACAGAGAGGAAGAAAAGUGGUCCAUUCAUUUCUUGCCUUCCCAAAAUGACAAAAUCCCGCAAUAUAUAACAGACAAUAAAAAAUAACCAAUUUGACAACGCAACAGAAAAUGACAAAAAAGAAUCCAAAACAAACGCAGCCAAUCACAAUGCUUUUACAGAUCAUCCUAAACGACGUAGUCUCGUAGCCAGUCUGGAAGUUUCUUGUUUCGUUUGGGCCGUUGAUUCUCUUGCACUGGCUCAUGGUGAAUGUCCUCCUUGGGUUGACUGACUGUGGGUUCUUGGUUGAGCUCUUCCACUUGCGCCCCCUCUGAUGGCUCUAAUUUGAUAUAUAAAUUCGUAUCACAUACAUGCGGUUAAUUUUUUAAGAUAAAGGGGAAGGAUGAUGCUCAAAAAUAUAAAUUAUAGAAUUAAUUGAACUCUCAAAUAAGUUUAAAGUUCAUUAUUUUUAAUUACAUGUUUAUAAUUUAUUUUUAUUUCGUAUUAAUCUAUAGAUCUAAAUCCACUUUGGAUUCAUAUACACAUAUAGACAUAAUGUGUAUGUUAAUCUAUAGGUCUAAAUUCACUUUAGGUCUAUAUAGGUAUUUUGACAAAUGUACUCCAAUCAUGCAUAUUGGCAAGUUCAAAUUCAAUUUGGAAUAUGGUCAUGGUACGUUCUUGUUCUUCCCUCUUUACGAGUGCAUUCCCCCCAACCUCAAGCUCCCUCUCUCGUCUUCAAUGUCACUGCUUAUAUCCUUAUGUUGUUCUAGUUUGAAACAGUGGCUUCCACUAUUUCAGGGCCCCCAAAAAUCCAGAAACAUACUAUUCAUCACGAUGACAAAAUUUUGGGCAGGCAGGUGCUUCCUGACUUUCACACGGUAAUUCUCAAAUUCUGAUUUCACCAUAUUUUAAUUACUGAUUAUGCUCUCCAUUAUAAUAGAAGUCGCCGCCACACUAGUGAUUCCAAACUUUAUCUUUUUUCCUUUUUUAAAUUAAUGCAAGUAGCCGCUGUCCUUUUUAUUAAUUAAUUAAUUCGGCCGCCCACAUUUCUUUUUCUAAUGUCUUCUACUGUCGAGUUUAUUUUAUUUUCCCUUUAUUCUUAAAAUAUACUUAUAAUAAUAAAAUAUAAAAAUAAAAAUAAAAAUUAACAUAUCAAAAUAUAAUUUAACAGAAAAUUAAGAUGAAAAAUAAAAAAAAAUAAAUUCUGAACAUAUCAAUCAAUAAAUGAAAAAUAAUAAUUUUUAUUUUUAUUAAAUAUAUUUUUUUCAGUAUUAAUCAAUUAUCUGAAUAACUAAAAUCAUUUAAAAAUAAAUAAACAAAUUAUUCUUUAUAAAAAAAAAAAACUUUUUAUAACACUCACUAUGCUGGUUGUAGGGUAGACGCUUUGGGGACUGAAGUUGGUAACUUCUACAAGUAGUCUUAAGUUGAUAACUUCUACAAGUAGUCUUAAGUUGACUGGCAAAUGUUCUCAGUAUUAUAUUGGUGUGUCGAUAUUAUCUCUAACUGCCUUAUAGAUAAAAAAAUAAUCUAAAUUUAAAAUUUAACAUAAAAUAAAAUAAUUGGUAGAAAAACAAUUAUGGUUCAUUUACUUAUCAGUAAUCAGAAUAGACUGAAAUCGAAAUGAGUUGUAUUACCGUUGAUGUGUUUAUGUUGUCCUCGAAUCGGAAUGAAUUAUUUUAAGUUACUAAAAUAUCCUUGGUUUGUUAUUCUAAUUAUUAUUAUUUAAUAUUUAUUAUAAUAUUUGUCAUAUCAUUAAAAAGAAAUAAUAAUGAUGAUAAUAUUAUCAUUAUUGUUUGUUACAUUAUUAUUAUUCAAAAAAAUUAUUGUUAAUAACAAUAAUUACUUUAUUUCAAUACUAAUAAUGAUAAAAUUAAUAAUAACAAACAACAAUAAUUAUUUAUUAUGCCAAAAAUAACAAUAAUAAUAAUCAUCAUCAUUUUUUUUCCCAAAGAAGCAUUAUCAUCAUUUCAAAAAAAAUAUCAUCAUUAUCAUCAUCAUUUUUGUAGUGGCUGCCUAUCGGCUGUUGCUUUCAUGUGAGAUUGACUUGCGACGCUUCAACGGCUAUUAUUUCUGGCAAUGUCAGGUGUUACUGUUUCAAUUUAGGAAGAAGCUGUUUCGUUGUGCUAACGAUGGGAGAUGUUGUGGCUGCGAUUCGGGGAGCUACUAGUUUAUUGCACUAAUGACGGCAGGUGCUGCUGCUUGAUGCGAGGUCCAUGGCCAGUUGUCAGCAGUUCGACUUUGGUAUGGGUGCUGCUGGUUCGAUUUUAGGUGUUGUCCAAUUUCAUUUUCAGGAUUUUAAUUUUAUUUUUCUUUUAUAUUUUCAUUAAUUAAUCAGGACAAAGUUGGAUUUUAGAAUUUGGAAUGAAGGUAAUUUUGUUAAUCAUGGAAAUGAGAUUCUGAUUGUCGAGAAUGAGCUUACACAAACAACUACAAAUUAAGUGAAAACAAAACGCUUUUUCUCUUUGUGUGAUUAAAACAUGAUAUGUACCAUAAAUAAAUAGGUAAAAAAUAAAUUAAUACAAUCCAAAACAGUAAACUAAUUACAAGAGGCACAAAUUUUUAUGUGAAAUACCAAAAAUAGAAAAAACCACAGCAUCUUAGUAUGAGAUAAUCUUCUACUAUAUUAAUGAGAUUAUAGCACAAAUUCUUCCUUAUAUAACACUAGAGGUUAACAACAUCAAGAAUUUCAAUAAUCUUGACUUACAAUACAGCCUAAUAUUUGUCUCUCUAAUAAGUAGAUAUCUAAAAUAACAGUCUCUAAUAAAUAAGUAUCUCAAAUAACAGUCUCUAAUAAGUAUCUCAAAUAAUAAUUUCUAAUAAGUAUGUAUCUCAAAUAAUAGUUAACAAGAGGAUAAAACAAAAAUUAAGAUUAGUAGGAUUGUAUAAGGCGAUGCUAUCAACUUAUCUUCUAAAUUUGAGAAAAAUAGUUAAAUUCACUUUUUCGAUUGUGACCAAAGAUGGAAACCUUUGCCCCAAAACCAAAGGAAUCACCAUUUCUCUCUCUCUCUCUCUCUCUCUCUCUCUCUCUCUCUCUCUCUCUAUCUCUCUCUCUCUCUCUCUCUUCUUCUACUUUUCUUAAUGUUAGCCGCCACUCGCUUUUAUUCUUUAUAGCAUUUAAAAAGCUACUUUUAAUGGUAAAUUUCAUUUAAGUCCAAAACUUAGUGAUAAUUGUACACCAAACAAUUCUUUUUGGACUAUGAGCUUUUGGGCCUCCAAAUGAGAUGAAUACAACAAAUCUCCCCCUUUAGAUCAUGUGGGGGGCACCACAAGCCUGCUCUCUGCAUAUAGUUUUUCAACUUCUCCUUGAAUAAUGACUUUGUCAUCAUACAUAACCCAUUCUCUGUUGUGUAAAUUUUCUCAAGCUGUAGCUGUUGCUUCUCAAGCACGUCUCGUAUCUAAUGAUAUCUCACAUCAAUAUGCUUAGAUUUCGAAUGGUUUAUCAAAUUCUUUGAACGGCACUCUGACUGUCGCAGUACAUAACAUAGCUGUCUCGUUUUACACCCAGCUCUUAUAGGAAAUUCAUUAUCCAUAAUAUUUUUUUGCAACCUUCAAUAAUUGUUAUAUCAUUUGCUUUAGUGGUAGAAAACGUAACUUAUUACUAAAGUUUAGAUUGCAAUGAGACUUCUCCCCCUGCAAAAGUGAGCAAACAUCCUAGAAGGAAUUUUUCGGAAUCAACAUCUUCUGCCAUAUCUACACACUUGUAACACAGGUUUGUCACCACUAAAAUAUAAACAUGCUCUGGAAAUGCCUCUAAGAUAUCUGAGAAUUUUUCAUUGUUGUCCAAUGCUCUUUUAUAAUAAAUACAAACAUAAUGAAUUUAUAAAACAUUUAGAGUAUUUUGAAUAUUAUAUAAAAUAAUUUUAAUAUAAUGCAUGAGAUAUAUUUUAUUAAUUUAAAAUGCUAUUUAAUCUAAAGAUUUAUUUAAGAUAAAUUAAUAAUUAAAUUUUUUUAAUUAUUUCAAAUAUUAAAAAUUUGUAAUAUUAUUAGUCUAUUAGAUAGAUUAAAUUAUUUAUUUUAUUUUGUAUUUAUUAAAAAAUUUUAAAGUCAAUAUUUUUAAUUACUAUUCGAAGGAUAUAAUGAUUAAAAAAAUCUUAAUAUUUUUUAUUAAAAAUUUAAAAAUUUACAUGACCAUUUCUAUAAAUAUUUAGGGUAUAUAUGAGCCACGGUGGAGAAGAUUUAUUUAAUAUUAUUGAUUUAAAUAAUAUCUAAUUAAAAAUAUACUGAGAAAAAAUUUCGGUGGGUAUUUUAGUCUUUUCAGCAAUCACAUGAUUAGCCUUUGGGCUUUGGCCUUGAAACGUCGGUCAGAAAAGUUUUAAACUGCUUAAUUGUUUUUCACUUUUAACGUUAGUGGCUGCUUAUAUUUUAGGAAAAUGAGAUUCUCACCACAGUGAGAACCACACUGAGCACAGAACGGUGCGUUUUGUGCUCAGUAUAAAUUCUAACUGUAGCGGAAAUAUCGCAACACAAACGCGCCAUUCCAAACCCACGCGCGUUCUCCCUCACGCCAGCAAAUCUCACCACGCUUCCUCCUCACUGUAAGCGCCCCCCCUCCCCGGGGGCGGUCGGCUGCGUCACGCUCCCUCACGGCGCCUCACUCUCUCGGCUCUCUUAGAAAAUUGAAUUGCGGCUUCCGCCGUGGGGUUCUCUCCUCAACUGCCGUUGUCUCGUCUCUGACAGCUGCCUUAAUCAAAUUCUGAAGGUAGUUUGCUUCAAUUCAUUACAUUAAUUUCAAAUUUGGUUUGUGUGGGAUUAUGAGUUUGUGAAGAUUUAGUUCUGUUUCAUGGUAAACUAUUUUUUGCUCAGUGUGUUGAGAAUAUCAGCACGGUUUAAAAUUCUUUUUAGAUUCUGUCGUAAAGUUUUCUUUGUAUUGGGCAAGUCAGUUACUUUAGUUUUGUGUCUGAAAACAAAAACACUUAGCUUAGUGAGUUUUAAGAGAUUUUGCUAUUUUGUUCAACGAAGCUUAAAAAGGGGAAGCUUUUAUGGCGUCUGUGAGCCGAGGCAAUUUGGAUCGGGUGCUUUUUCAGUUCAUUUGUUUGUUUCUUAUUUGGGUUCUUUAUUGUUAGAUGUUCUUUUGAGAUUCUGGCAUCUGGCAUCUGGCUACUUGCUUUUGUGGAGUUUUUUUAUUAUUUGAAUUCUGUGAAUUCUUUGUUUUCUUUCCCAAAUGAUUCCACUCUAUAAAAUAUAUAUUGUGCUUGGCUAGAAUUUUCUUUUAGAUAAUUGCAUCCUGUACAUUGGCUUAACCUGUCAAGAAUGAGAAUGAUGGAAGAUGCCUAUCUUGGAAAGAAUAUAUUGAGUUACAUAGUACCGGUUCCAAAUGAAUAAAUUGGAACUUGCCUAAAACAGGCACCAAUCCACCAUGACACCAAGCCUUUUUAAAAUUUUUUUUUUUUUAAGUUUAAAGAAACUUAUGUUGCUUCUUUAGAUCUGUUUUAGCUUAUGAUGAAUUUUGCUAAUGGUAAAAUCCCUCCCCUUCAAAGUUGGGGGAGGGGAAGCAUCUAUAUGCAUAUGUGUACAUUAUGGAGCUCGAACUACAUGUCGCAGUAAUACAUUAUUCUCUUUGCUUUGCAGGUUUUGAUCAACAUGAGUGAUUGGGAUGUAGGUCUGUGCUUGAGAGGCCGGAGUGAUGACCAGAAUUCUGUCAACCAGACCAAAGACAAUCAACUGAUGAAGUGUUGUUGUUCUCUAUAUUGAUUGUUGGAAAUUAUGUGUUAUUUCCAGAUUUUUAGAAAAUUAUGAUUGCUGGAAAUAAUUAUAUAUGUACAAUCAUUAUGUCCUCCAGCACAAGUGAAUUUCCAAACCCACAACUGAAAGCUUGCGAAAAAUUUGUAGAAAAUUUGUACAUCAAAUCCACAAGCUAAGUGUUGUAUCAGAAUAUGAAUGACAAUAAAACAAAAAUCUGUGUUCUUCAUUCUUAAAAUACUAAUACAAUACAAGUACAUUCUUAUUCUGAGAAAUAACUACCUAUUAACUCCAUAUUCAUUAUCUUGUUGAAAGAGUAGCUGCUGAAAAUGUCCAUGUCGCUGAGCUUGUAUGUGCUAUUAAAAAAAAAUUAAACAUCUUGUUGUCAUCCGAAAAAAUAAAGAAGGCAAGAUGAACAAAUAAAAAACUUAUCACUACUUACGGUGCAAGAAUUUUAUGUAGAUAUUGAAUAAACAUUAUCCUCAAUUAUUUGUCACAAUAAUUUAUAUUCAAUUCAUGGUGUGUUGCAGCAAGCUUCCAUUGUUUAACUAAAUGACAGCUGAAUCUUUACAACUAAUUAUCUUUACAAUCAAAUUUGGAAUUAAUUAAGCAAAUUACCGCUAGAAAUCGACGAGUGAAGCUAAGAGAGUGAGGCUGCAAGUCGAAUUUUUGAGACAGCCGAGAGAGUGAGGCGCUGUGAGAGAUGCAAUGGACGGGCGAGAGAGAGACGAAGCCGAUGGUGAUUGCUGCAUUGGUAGGAUUGAGGGAGAGAGCGAAAGAGCCAGAGCGUGCGUGCUUGUUCUGCCAGAGAGCGCGUAUGUUUUUUCUCAAUGCGCGUGUUGCGUAAUUAUCCAUCUACAGUGACCAUUUUAUAGUUAUCUUGAAACGCACCGUUCGGUGCUAUAUGUGGGGCUGAAUGUUGUGAGCAUAUCGGUGCUGUAUAUUUUAUUAAAAAUUAAUGCUAACAAGAAAAAACCCCUCAAUGAAUGAGGGUGAGAUUGCUAAAAAUUACGACAGGUGAUAUUUUAUUAUUAUUAUUAUUAUUGGGGGAGAAAUCCUCACCAAAGUGAGGAGAUUUUAUCAAAAUCAAAAUAAAAAUAUAACAAGAACUGAAAGUUGGGCAGCCUAAAAGCUAGAUAAACUAAAAUUCAGGCGCCUAAAAACAACCUUAUGCAAAAGAGAAGCAACAUGAGACCGAUCAAGUAAAAGAAUCCACCGCAACACCUAAAUUGGCCAAAUUAUCUGUUGGUAUUACAAGUUUCUUGUUAUAAAAGUGUAGAAUGAAGAAGGUGACGUAGUUUUAAGUUACAGCUGCAUGCCCGAUCGCAAUAUCAAAUAAUGAUUAAAUAUCAAAUAAUACUUAAAAUAGUUGCCUAGACCCGCCACAAUUUAUAUUAACUCUUAAAUUUAUAAAUAAUUAAAUUUUUAAAAGUUCGGAUUUAUAUUAAAAAAUCUUCAUAUAAAUAAAUAAUAUAUGCACUUUUACAACACAGUCUUUAAAUUUAAAUUUUUCUAGAAAAAUCUUCUGUAUAUCUUUUCUAUUAAAAAAUUUCCAUAUAAAUAAAUAAUAUACCUAAUUUAAUUGGACCCAGCGCAACGCAUAUGCAUAGAACACAUUCCGAAAAGCCAUGAUAUUCGGAAAUUGACGAAUGAAAAGUGAGGAGGCAGCAGUCAAUGCUAUUUCGGCUUGGCCCAAAAUUGAUUUAUCAGUUUGACGUGUGCCAGGAAUGAAGAACUGGAAUAUCACCAUCAAGCAAGCAACCUGCGGAGCAAUACCAUAGAAUGCACAAUCCGGCUUUGCAAGGUGACACUGGAGGCUUUUUGAAAAGUGCUUCACGCUCACUUGACAGAUUGAGCAUCCCCUCUGGAUAUUGCCCUCUCUGAUCGAAUCUGAGCACUCAAAUUUCGGUCCUCAGAUGGAGCUACAGCUUUCUCUCCAAUAACCAACAAUUUUCUAAACUCAGCACCUAGUGUGAUCAGAGUUGUUGAUAUUUGUAAAUGGAGAUCCCCGUAUUUGCAAAUGGAGACAUUUACCAAAUCACCAACAUGCUUCAUCCAGUCUACGAAAUUCUGCAGCUGAUUCAAAUCCGGAACCUGAACAAGAGUCGGAGGUAAAUCUUGAGCCAUAUCUAAAGCAGUCUGAAGUUCAAGUACUUGAGCCCUUGACAAUGGUUUUGAAAUUGGAACAUCUUGGAUUACUGCAGACUUGUGCCCCUUGGUUUCAAAGGUAAGGAAAGGCAUUGCUUGAGUACAAUUUGGAGGCAGCUUCUUCACCAAUUUUAUUUGGAGGCGAUUGGCAGCGGAUCCAGCUGCACCAAUUUCAGAGCAAAUACUGACACUACUUCGAACAGCACACUGAAGAAGUGAUAUGUCUACGGCAAAGGCAAUGCAGUCCUCAUUUUGGCUUGAGAUGCAGUAAUCAUCGAAGAGAGUUUCCUUGUGAAACUGGGCAACACAUUGAAUCCCUUCGCCACUGAGAAGGUUGCGGAGGAAGUAAGCUUUCUCUCUAGUGAGGAAGAGGUGGCAUACCUUCCCCAUGUCUAGGGCAGGUAGGAAUCUUUUUUCUAAGAGAUUUACUUCAUUCUCUGUGAGAAAUGCUUUGAACUUCAUCCCUCUGUCUCUAUCCUCACUUAUCAGUAAAAUAGUUGAAAGUGCUACAAGGAGAGAAAAGAAGAGUAUUAAGAUAUAUAUAGACAAGAAAAACAUUAGAUGUCGAUCUUACAAGCUAAUACUUCAAACAGUAUCCUAGAAAGCUAAAAACUGCAAAAUGGCUUGACAUUUGAAAAGAACACAUGCUUUUCCUCCUUAACUUGAGAAAAUGUUUAAUAUAGUGCACCUUACAGAAACAUUUAAGCAAUUAGAACUUUGCACAAAAAUAUUCAAGAAGACUAAACAAAUCAGAUGCAGUGUAUUUCUCCAAGCACAAAUGGCAUUGCAUUUUUUCCUCAACUGUAAUAUUUAUUGAUGAAAAUCAGUACAGGUCCCUCAUUUGUUAUGGAAAGCUUUCUUGUAGUCUGACUGGUUAAUUCACGGAUCUAUAAUUAUCUUGCAAAGUUACAGGCAUUUCUUUCGAUUUAAAGUCUUUGCAUCACCACCUCAUCACACACCUAGCCAAUAUUCCGUCUACUUCUACAACAAAAAGUUUUAAGUAAACGAUCCUAAUGCAUGCAGCCAAAUAAAAUGCAGUAAGAAUAUUCAACUUAAAACUCUGAAAGCCAUCUUGGUGAAUUGCCUCCUUAGGGGAAGUUCCAUGAUUUACUAUACUUGACAGGACUGAGCAAAAGCUUACAUACAACAGAUUUUGAAAAUGAUGAUGCCAAUAGAUACUCAUACAAUCCAUUGAAACUCCUAAGGUCCAUUGUUCACAGAGGUUUACAGAGUUUUGGUUAUCAAAUAGCUCAGACCUUAAUCCCAAACAAAAAACGAGUGAAAAUUAGAUCACCAGCAGCAAAUUGUAAAUUCUAACUUAACUCUUCAUCUCCUUUGUAAACAGGAGACAAAAUGGAGACACGCAAAAUGAAUAAGGAGAACAUUUGAACUCAAAUGAAAUGAGGGCACGAAAGCAAACAAAUGGCAUGCGCAAACAAACCAAGCCUCAAUCAAAAACUAAUUAACCAUUAAAAAACAAAACUGGUCAGCUUCUGGUGUUCUCAAAUUGUAUAACAAGAGAUCGACACAUCGAAUCAGAAGAACUCAAUUCAAAUUUGUCUCAAAAAUCAAAAUUAGAAGAUUUCACAUUUCGAGAGGAACAAGCGACAGGUCAGAUGCAAAAUUUUCAGCCAUAACAUGCCACAAUUAACGGUUUAUUUCCAUGGAUUUAGAGAGCUGACUGACCUUUUGGCUUUUGGAAUUGAGAAGAUCGCGCGCCAAAAUGGAAGAGGGAAAGCGAAAGUGCGGGUUUUAAUAGGGUAUUGGAUUAGCAAAUUUUAUUAGUUUGCGAGGGUAAAAUAGGAAAGUGAUAUCACUAUUAACCUUUUUUUUAAUAAGAAAAAAGAAUAAUAAAGAAUAUUUUAUUGUCAUUUGCAGCAUUUAUUUUUUUUAAAUGCUAUUAGAAAAAUACGACAACAAAGAAAUGCUCUUUUUUUUUUUUUUUUUUUUCUCGAAGGUAAAAUCAAUUAUUUAGCUCCUUAUAUGUAAUCAAACUACAUUUCUUACUUUAAGUCAUAUCCAACGGACCAACAAAGUAAUUAUUUUUUUUUUCAUUCAUUUUUGCAGAAAAUUAAUAACUUAAAAAUAUUGAAAGCUAUUGUAAAAUUUUUUAUUAUCAACCUCAUAGUUUUAUUUUUUGGGAAGAAUUGAAUUUUUUUUUUUAAUUUCCAAGAAUUUCAUUCUCUAGUUUUUCCAUUAAUAUUACUUAUCUUGAUACCCAUCUUAAUUAAAAUCUGUAGUUUUAUUCAAGAGUCAUGCUAUUCAUUCACUCACAGACCAAAGGCUUUCCGCAGCAAUAUUAUUAUUUAAAUUACAACAAAGGGGAAAUCAAAUACGUCAUACAGAAGCUUAAAGCUGAAUCUACAAAAUCUAGAGCUCUCAACUACAUAAAUUACACUUGAUGAUCCUCUACAAGAUGAAGCUUGUUCAAUAUCUCAUCCAAAGCUUGUAAAGUAACAUUAUAACGAUCUUGAGAUUGCCUGCCUUCCUCGACGACCUGCACGAUGCGUUUGUACAAAUCAUCAUACCUGUGCACCGGAUUUUUAAUAUCAAUGCCACUGCAGCUGUGAUCAAGAACAUAAGAGCGUUUAACAUCUUUUCUCCAUCAAGAAAGAAUGUAGUGAGAUGGGAUCUCCUGCAUGCCACUCUGGUUUAGAACACAAAGAAUGUGUCUGCAUAAAUAUCCUCUGAAAUUGAACAACCCACAAACACAAAGCACCUCCAAGUCGGAGGCAUUGUACAAAACAUCGAAAAUAGUUAUGUUUUACAAUCUAUUAGACAUAUUUUAUUAAAUUAAUAUAAAUUUUCUAUAAAAUAAGAAUAUAAUAUUAAAAUAAAUUCACAAAAAAUUAAAGAAUUUUGAAUGUAAAAUAAUUUUAAUAGAUUAAUACGUGAGUUUUUUUAUUAAUAUAAAAAUUAUUUAACUUUAAGAUUUUUUAAAAUCUUUACAAUAAGUAUGACUAUAUUAUUUACAUUUAAAAAUAUUUAAAUAUUAUUAACCUACAAUUAUAUUUGCAUUUGUUAGAAUUUUUUAAGUCAAAUAUUUUGCACUUCUAUAUUAUUAGAAUUAUUGCACACAAAGAAAGAAACAUAUACCUUUAGAAAUUGUUUUCUUUUAAAAUAGAGAUGAUGAUUAGUAUAAGGAUGAAAAAAAUGAUAAAGAAUAUUAAUGAUUAACGAAAUCUCUAUACAAAUUGAUUUUAGUAGGAAAAGAGUGAGAUGAAUGAUUUCUUUUACGGUUAGAAACAUAGAUGAUGAUUAUUAUAACGAAGAAAAAAAGAUAAAGAAUAUUAAUUAUUAAUGGAAUCUCUAUGCAAAUUGAUUUUAGUAGGAAAAAAAAUGAGUUAAAUGAUUUAGAGUGCGUUUGGAAUUGAGAUUGGGCAGCCAUAGAUUUUAAGUUACAAUACUGAAGUGUUUGAUAAAUACUAGCUGCUGCAGAUUGAAAGUUAUAUUGAUAUGAUUUUUCACAUGUAUCAUAGAAAAUAUAUUACAUCUUUAAUAAUUUUUUUAAAAUUUAUAUUUGCUAUAUAUUAUUAAUUUUUUUUUAUAGUUAUAACUUUUUUUCCACAGCAGUUGUAGCUUAAAAGUCACAGCAUCUCAAUCUCAAACAAAUCCUUAGACAUUCAUAGUGUGUUUAUUUUUUGGAUUGGUGAAUCAAAAUUAUUGACAACGCUAACUUCAUCUUCAUUGUUCGCAAUCCAACAGCAGCAGCAAUUGUCACCAAUAAUGAUAUCUCCAAUGAUGAUGACAAUUAUUAUUAUUAUUAUUAUUAUUAUUAAUUUAUUAAUUAAUAUAUUAAUGUUAAUAAUAUUAUUAUUAAGAUUAACAAUAAUUAGUAGUAAUACAAUUUUUUGAAUAAAAAUAAUCACAAUAAUUAAAAUACAAAUUAAUAAUUAUGACAAUAGUUAAUUAAUGUCUUUUUAGUAAUUUGUAAUAAUCUAACUCAUUUUGAUUCUGAUUAUUACAGCUUAAGUAAACAAAUUAUUAUGAUUCCUAUUUUCCUUUCCUAUUUUAACUCACUUCGAUUCCAAUCUAUUCCAAUUUCUAUCUAAUAAAUGCACCAUUAGUGCUAAAGUAAUAUUUCAUACAUAGAAAAAUAAAAACUACACCUAAGGUUAAGGGAAAGGACUUCAAAACUCUCUUUUGAUCAUAAUACAUUUUGUCCUAAUUAACUUAAAGAUUUUGAAUCUAAUAUUUUAUAAUAAAUAAAAAUAUAUUCCUAAAAUAAAUAUAAUAUCAAUAUUUAAAAUAUGUUUUAAUAUUUUACAAUCUAUCAUACACAUUUUAUUAUAUUAAAGUAGAUUUUAUAAUAAAUACAAACGUACUAUUAAAAUUAAUAUAUAAAAAAUUUAGAAAAUUUAGAAUAUUAUAUAAAAUAAUUUUAAUAUAAUGCGUGAGAUAUAUUUUAUUAAUUUAAAAUUUUAUUUUACCUAAAAAUAUGAUAAAUUAAUAAUUACAUAUUUAAAGUUAUUUCAAAUAUUAAAAAAAUUUAAUAUUAUUAGUUUUUUAGAUAGAUUAAAUUAUUUUUAUAAGAGAUAGAUUAAAUUAUUUUAAAAUACCUUAAUUGUUUUUACUUUUAACGUUACCGGCCUUUCUUUUAUUUUAUUGUAAAUUAAUGCUAACAAGAAAAAGCUAGAUCAUAUUCCACAAAAGCAAAAGUGACAAACACAAUCAGCUGGAAUCUUUUAUAAAACUACAAAUUAAAAUGGUUUUUUUUUUUUUUUGAUAAAUUACAUAUAAAAGUGGAUUCUUUUGAAUAUAAGUGGGGUAGGCUCUUUUAUUUUUUUUUAAUACUGUAUAACAAGAUUGUAGACUCCUUGAUUAAGCACAAGUAUAAAGUAGUCGAGACGAUACUUUAUGCUAGGUGUCCAUUGAAUAUUAGAUCUUCAUUUCUUUGGCCAUUUAAUUUUUUCGAGAAAUUUUUCUUACGAUCCCGGCUAAGCUUGAAGAAAAGACAACUCAACGGUUUUUUUAAAACAAGUUUCCGUUUUGGUUGGUGAAAUGAAAACGAAAUAAAGCACUUCCAUCCAAAAAUCAUUCUUCUGGAGAAAGGGAUGACAGAUUAAAGAAAAGGGGUGUACUGAAAGGAGAAAAAAGGUUCUUGCAUGAGAGCUGGACACGUUAAAAGAAGUUGAACAAAUGUCUCAAAAAGAAGCUAUUUCGCUUUCAUACUAAAGCCUAUUUGUAAUAGCAUCAGCAAUGCUCCACUAUCCACAUUCUUGUGCGGAUAUCAUUGCAAUCUACUAAUGGUAUAUAAACAUGCAUGUUGUCCCAUGAUGAUUAAGUUAACACACACUUGGAGGUACUUAAAUUAUGCCAUAAAGAGAUAUAGUUAUUACGCAUACAAAUGUUAUUCAAUGGUUAAAAUGUAUGAUAAAGAAAUCGCUUGAAUUUUUUAUUUGCCGUUACGUAAUUUUUUUAUUGAUUCCGAGUUUGAAUCUUAAAAGAAAUAAAGGGUUAGAAAAUUAAUUUGAACUUUGUCCACUCUUUAACUUAAUGAGUAUAAAAACAGAAAAUGCAGGUAAUUUAAUUUUGACAUCUAACAUUUAAGAGAUAGAGCUUGAAAGAGUCCAAUAUUAAAUUAUAAAAUAAUUGAAAUAAAGUUUGCCCCAUAAGAAAAAUUGAACAAAAAAUCUUAAGUAUGAUAUGAUGCUAGAGAAAUUAUUUAUCUCAAAACUUUUAUUAGGUAAUUAAGUCCUAAGAAUAUGUAAUUACACAUGUAACAAAAAUUAGAGAUGAGGGUCUUUUAUUAAACUACAAAUUGUAUAGUCUUUUUAAAAUUGUUAUAAAUUGGUGGCCCCUACAAUCCUCAAUAAUUGUGCCGAUAUUCACAAGUUGGUGGCCCCUACAAUUAUCAACUGUGCAAGUGCUCAUUCACAAUCUUCCAGGUCAUGCUCUUAAUAAUUGUUUUUUUUUUCUGCAUUCCCUUUCAUGCUCUUAAUAAUUGAAGAGCAUACUUUUCAAAUAUGGAGCCGCAGCUAAUGUCGCUAAUUUAAUUUGGGAUUAAAUUAGGGGACCAUUAUGUUGCAGUGUGCACUAAUUUUUGUGUUUAUCUAAACUCCUUAAAUUUAAGACAUAUUACGGCAUAAAUAAGAAUAUAACAAUAACAAAAGAGUUAAAAAGUGUAGAGAAGAUCUUGCAGAAAUAUAAAUAAUAUCUAUUUUAAAAUAAUAUCAAUAUUUAAAAUAAUUUUUAAUAUUUUAUGAUCCAUUAGAUAUAUUUUAUUAUAUUAAAGUAAAUUUUAUAAUAAAUAAAACAUACUAAAUUUAGAGUAUUUUAAGUAUUAUAUAAAAUAAUUUUAAUAAAAUAUGUGAGAUAUUCAUAUUUUAUUAAUUUAAAAUACCAUUUAACCUAAAGAUUUAUUUAUGAUAAAUUAAUAAUUAUAUUUUUGAAAUUACUUCAAAUAUUAAAAAAAUUAAUAUUACUAAUCUAUUAGAUAGAUUAAAUUAUAUAUAUUAUUUUCUAUUUAUUAAAAAAUUUUAAAAUUAUUUUUAAUUACUAUUCAAAAAAUAUAAUGAUAAAAAAAAAUCUUAACAUCUUUAUUAAAAAUUUAAAAAUUUUCAUGAUCAAUUCUCUAAAUAUUUAGGGUAUAUGUGAACCACGGUGGAGAAGCUUUAUUUAAUAUUAUUGAUUUAAAUAAUAUGUGACAAAACAACUAGGUGGACUACAAAUUAAAGUGGAUUCUUUUGAAUACAAGUGGGACAGACGAUUAGGCUCUUUUUAAUUUUUAUUAAAGGCAAGUAAAAAGUAGUCGAAUAGUCUUUUUCAAAUUCUUGUUUUAUUGUUUUUCAAAACUAACAAGAAAAAGCGAGAUCAUAUUCCACCCCAAAAGCAAAAGUGACAAAACAACCAGCUGUAUUCUUUUAUUAAACUACAAAUUAAAAUGGAUUCUUUUGAAUACAAGUAGGACAGACGAUUAGGCUCUUUUUAUUAAACGCAAGUAAAAAGUAGUCGAAUAGUCUUUUUCAAAUUCUUGUUUUAUUAUUUUUCAAAAUUAGUUUUUGGUAAUUACUGUUUUUCCUUCAAAAGUUAGCGGUUCAUGUUUGCAAGUGUGAAUGUGCGAUGCUCUUUUCUUAAAGGCAAUUACAGUGGGGCCCGAAUGCCUAAAUCUUUUUAAAAUUUUUGCCGUAUAACGAACAGAGGUCAUUACUAAAAUUUCUCUUCCACAGCCUACAGCAGCUUCAGUUUAUCAAACUCAAUCAAUUUUCUUUCUUAACAAAAUUCCAAAGAUGUGUAGCAUUUUUCAGAUCGCAUGCGAUGGUGCUCUUUUCAAUCGUUGCUUGGAUUGCUUUCUUGGAAAAGCAGCAUACCUUCGUAACCUCCCAGAUAAUCUUGUAGACUUGGAGACUGAACUGGGAAGACUAAUCGCAGCAAAGAACGAUGUGAUGAUGAGGGUUGUCAAUGCUGAACGGCAACAAAUGAGAAGGCUGGGCCAAGUGGAAUGGUGGGUUUCGAGGGUGGAUGCUGUUAAAACUGGAGCCGAUGAACUUAUCACAGACGGCUCUGAAGAAAUUGGCGAAUUAUGUGUUGGAGGCUACUGUUCCAAGAACUGCAGGUCAAGCUACAAGUUCGGAAAACAAGUGGCUAAAAAGCUACAAGAUGUGAAGGCUUUAAUCGCCGAGGGAGUUUUUGAGGCGGUGGCUACUGAGGUGGUGCCCGAGAGAGCUCCGGAACCUGUAGCAGAUGAAAGACCCAUUGAGCGAACAGUAGUAGGCUUGCAAUCACAACUUGAACAAGUCUGGAGAUGUCUUGUAGAAGAAUCAGUGGGAAUCAUUGGCCUAUAUGGUAUGGGCGGUGUUGGUAAAACCACACUGUUGACCCAUAUCAACAAUAAAUUUCUUGAGAGUCCCACCAACUUUGAUUGUGUGAUUUGGGUCGUAGUUUCAAAAGACCUGCGACUUGAAAAAAUUCAAGACGAUAUUGGGAAGAAGAUAGGUCUGUCUGAUGAUUCAUGGAAGAAUAAAAGUUUUGAGGAGAAAGCUGUAGACAUCCUGCGGAGUUUAGGAGAGAAGAGAUUUGUAUUGUUGUUAGAUGAUUUAUGGGAGCGGGUUGAUUUAACAAAAGUGGGCGUUCCACUUCCCGGACCACAAAAUACUACCUCAAAAGUCGUAUUCGCAACCCGUUUCAUCGAUGUUUGUGGUAGCAUGGAAGCUGACAGGAAGUUCCUAGUGGCGUGCUUAUCAGAAAAGGAUGCUUGGGAACUGUUUCGAGAAAAAGUUGGGGAAGAAACUCUUCAGAGUCAUCAUGAUAUCGUUGAGCUAGCCCAAAUUGUGGCCAAAGAGUGUGGUGGUUUGCCACUCGCACUUAUUACUAUUGGUCGAGCUAUGGCCUGCAAAAGGACAGCCGAGGAGUGGAUACACGCAGUUGAAGUGCUAAGAAGAUCAGCUUUUGAGUUUGCAGGUUUGGGAAAAGAGGUGUAUCCUCUUUUAAAGUUUAGCUAUGAUAGUUUGCAGAAUGAGACGAUUAGAUCUUGUUUCUUAUAUUGUUGUUUAUAUCCCGAAGAUUAUGGAAUUCUUAAAUGGGACUUGAUUGAUUGUUGGAUUGGUGAGGGAUUCUUAGAGGAAUCUGACAGGUUUAGUGCAGAAAACCAAGGUUACUACAUUGUGGGCACUCUUAUUCAUGCGUGUUUACUAGAAGGGAUAGAAGAUGAUAGAGUAAAAAUGCAUGACGUUGUUCGUGAUAUGGCUCUAUGGAUAGCUUGUGAAAUUGAGGAGAGGAGACACUUUUUGGUUUGUGCAGGCGCUGGAUUAGAACAGGCACCGGCUGUUAGAGAAUCGGAAAAUGUGACAAGAUUGUCAUUGAUGCAAAACCAAAUUAAAAUUCUGUCGGAGGUUCCCACAUGCCCUGAUCUCCUCACUUUAUUUCUUGACUUUAAUGAGGAGUUGGAGAUGAUCGCGGAUGGCUUCUUCCAAUUUAUGCCUUCUCUCAAAGUUUUGAAGAUUUCAAACUGCGGGAAUUUUACUUUUCAAUUACCUUUGGGGAUGUCAAAGUUGGGUUCACUAGAACUUUUUGAUAUUUCACGCACCGAAAUACAAGAGUUACCAGAAGAGUUAAAGUUGUUGGUAAAUCUGAAAUGUUUGAAUUUGAGGUGGACAAGCAAGUUAAUUAGAAUUCCACGGCAACUAAUAUCAAAUUCUUCAGGGUUACGUGUGUUGAGAAUGUUCGCUACUGGCUAUGAAUGUUUUCAUGAAGCACCAGAAGACAGCGUUUUAUUUGGUGGGGGUGAAGUUUUAGUACAGGAAUUGCUCGGUUUGAAAUAUUUAGAGGUAUUGGAGUUGACCUUGGGAAGUUAUCAGGCUCUCCAAAUCUUUUUGAGCUCAAAUAAGUUAAAAAGUUGUAUUCGAUCUCUUUUCCUCCAGUUGGCCGGAGAUACAAAGUCGAUUAUUGAUGCUGCGGCUUUCGCAGAUCUAAACCACCUCAAUGAAUUAUAUAUUUAUGAAGGUAUUGAGUUGGAAGAAUUGAAGAUUGAUUAUACAGAGAUAGUACGAAAAAGGCGGGAACCUUUUGUUUUCCGCAGCCUUCACCGUGUUACCAUAUUUAGUUGCGGUAAAUUGAAAGAUGUGACAUUCCUCGUUUUUGCUCCAAACCUCAAGUCUCUUGAGCUAUUGCAAUGCGAUGCUAUGGAAGAAAUAAUCAGCGUCGGAGAAAUUGCUGAGACUCCUGAGAUGAUGGGACACAUAAGCCCUUUUGAAAAUCUCCAAAGUCUUCAUUUAUCGUAUUUACCAAUUUUGAGGAGCAUCUACUGGAAGCCAUUGCCUUUCACUCAUCUCAAAAAAAUGGAGGUACGUAGAUGCGAUCAGCUUAGAAGGCUUCCGCUCGAUUCCAACAGUGCAACAGAGCGUAAUGUUGUUAUUCGUGGAUACACACUCUGGUGGAACCGACUUCAAUGGGAGGAUGAAGCCACUCAAAUUGCUUUUCGUUCCUGUUUCCAACCUCGUUCCUGAGCAGUGGUCGCAAAAUUUGAUUUCUGGUGAGUGCGUUUGUCUUUUAAAAAGAAGAAUUUAAAAGAAAUUUAUUCUUGUCGUUUUCUUCACUGUUUUUAUUUGAUUUCUGGUUAGUUUCUUUCUCUCUCUCUCUCUCUUUGUCUUCUGCAAAUCACAAUUAAAUGUUGAAUUAAUGGAAUUGAUGCUCUGGUUUUUUACUUUUUGUUGUCAAAUUUUGCCCUGUUCUAUCUUCUUAGCGAUUUAAUUUCCUGUCAAAAGACGAGCGAGAAGAACAUAUAUAUGACUUAAACCAAUUGAUACUUUAUUUAUGUGCAUUGUAUGUAAUAAAUAUUAAGUAUACUUUAUUUUUGCCCUGUUCUCUGUUUUUAUUUCAGUCUCUCUCUCUCUUUCCUGUCUUCUGCAAAAUAUAAUCAAUUAUUUUCAAAAUAUCAUUGAUGAUUUUUCUGCUCUAAUGCUAUGUAAAUAGUAUGUUAAGUAAAACAUAAUCAAUUAUUUGUGUUUUAUCUCUAAUUAGAACAUCAAUCAGUUCAGUACCUCACAAAUAAUUCGCAAUAUCUACAAAAUACUAUAAUGGCUACAAAACAAAUCCUGCUUGCAAAUUGUCAAGGAUACCUAUCCGUUCGCUUGACAAGUCAUUUGAAUAAAUAUUGUUCACAUUCCUUACUCUAUCAAUUAUCCAAAGCACCAUCAAUGGUCCUCAACUUUAGUUUGAAUAGUAUACAUGCCAUCACCAUUACCAAGAAUCAAGCAUGGAAGAGUCAUUCUAUAGAGUUAAUCGAAGCAAGGAAUGAUGUAUCAGAAAAUAUUUGGUGGAGAAUUCAGCACAAACAUAUUUUGGAUGAUCAGAAUCAAUAAAACCUGGUGGUUGCGCCAUAUAAACAUCUUCGGAAAGCUGACCUUGAAGAAAGGCGUUAUUGAUAUCCAAUUGACGAAGAGGCCAGCCAUGACUAACAUCAAUACUAAGAACAAGCCGUACUGUGGUGGACUUAACAACUGGACUGAAAGUGUCAUAAUAGUCCACACCAGGCCAUUGAUUGAACCCUUUGGCAACAAGAUGAGCUUUAAACCUGUCAACAGAACCGUUGGAAUGUCUUUUAAUACAAAAAUCCAUUUGCAGCCAACAAUAUUGGAAGGGAUGGGAGGUGGAACAAGCUUCCAUGUCCCGUUACGAACAAGAGCAUCAUACUCUUCUGACAUAGCUGGACGCCAGUGAAGAUUUUUGAUAGCUUGCGUCACAGUUGUAGGUUCACAAUCAGAAGAAGGGCUAAAAUGAGCACGGAGGUUAAGUUUUUGUAACGGCUUGUGAAUCUUAUUUUUAGCUCGGGUAGUCAUAUCAUGAUGACUUGUGGGGCAAUGAUCUAGUGGAGUUUAGGAAGAUGAUUGAACAGGAAGUGAAGAAGUGCUUUGUGUAGAGGUAGAAGUAGGUUGGGAGGAUUGCUGCGGAGAUGUUACCGGUAGAGAAGAAGGAGCAGUACACGGUGGCAACUCCAGAGGGCCCACAAUAGAUGGAGUAGGUGCCGACAAUGGAGUACUAGGAAAUGAAACAGGAAGAAUUGGUGGAACACUUGCGUAAUUAGGAGUGGUAGAUGAGCUUGUAAUGAUUUGUAUGGAAAAACAAACUCUACAAAUUUAACGUGACGUGAAAUAAAAAUUCAACCCGAUUGCAUAUUUAAGAACAUCUCAAAUGAAUUGCUUACUGCUAUCAUCAUCAUUAUUGUCUAUAUAAUAAUGGAUCUUUAUUAUAUAUAUGUUUCCACUAAAAUAUAUUUAAUUAUUCUUUAUUUUUCUAUUGUUGCGUGUAAGAUUUAUUUGAGUUCUAAGUUAUAUCAAUACAAAUGUUAUCUUAUCCAUAAAAAGUUAGAUCCAACAAUUAUGAAAAUUACUAUAGAGUUGCUUUCAAUUAUUUUUUUAAAAUACCAGGAGUAAAUAAUAAUUAGUUCAAAUGGUGGAGACUAAAAUGCGUUCACCUUUAUUUUUUAUCUGUUAUUUACUUUUGUCAUUACAUUAAUGCACAUGCUAUACAUUUGAGACAUUCCAUUAAUUGCCAAUUAUGUAUGUGAGAUAGUAAUUUAAAUUAAAAAAUAAAAGUGAAAGUUAAUCCUAUGCAAUGUGAAUAAAUUUCUUUCCUUUUUCCUUUACUCUUUUUAUUUGACAAUAAAGUUUCCAUCUAUCAUCUAUCAUCUAUGUACACAAAAUUUCUGCAACAAGUACAAAACAUAAAAAUAUAUGAAUAUUAAGGGAAACACGCAGAAGUUCAUCAUUUCAAUGUUCAGUAUUACCAAUUUUGGCAUUAAGCUUGUACGAAUAUAUUCUACUUCGAAAGCAAAAUAUUAGACUCGUGAUUUUAAUUCAUUCAUUAUCUCUCAUUUUAAUCCCAAAAUAUUCAAGAGUAUCCAAGUUACCAUAAGACUUCAGAGGCUCGAGCCUUAGCCAGAGAUGGUUAAUUGAUAGACUAUGUGCCUGGGUCGAGCACUGGAAGCCUGCAAUGCAGACUGAUUGAUUUAUCAGUUUAACGUGUGCCAGGAAUGAAGAACUGGAAUAUCACCGUCAAGCAAGCACCCUGUGGAGCAAUACCAAAGAAUGCACAAUCUGGCUUUGCUAGGUGACCCUGGAGGCUUUUUGAAAAGUGCUUCAUGCUCACUUGCACAGAUUGAGCAUCCCCUCUGGAUAUUGCCCUCUCUGAUCGAGUCUGAGCACUCAAAUUUCGGUCCUCAGAUGGAGCUACAGCUUUCUCUCCAAUAACCAACAAUUUUCUAAACUCAGCACCUAGUGUGAUCAGAGUUGUUGAUAUUUGCAAAUGGAGAUCCCCAUAUUUGCAAAUGGAGACAUUUAACAAAUCACCAACAUGCUUCAUCCGGUCCACGAAAUUCUGCAACUGAUUCAAAUCUGGAACCUGAACCAGAGUCGGAGGUAUAUCUUGAGCCAUAUCUAAAGCAGUUUGAAGUUCAAGACCUUGAGCCCUUGACAAUGGUUUUGAAAUUGGAACAUCUUGGAUUACUGCAGACUUGUACCCCUUGGUUUCAAAGGUAAGGAAAGGCAUUGCUUGAGUACAAUUUGGAGGCAGCUUCUUCACCAAUUUUAUUUGGAGGCAAUUGGCAGCGGAUCCAGCUGCACCAAUUUCAGAGCAACUACUGACACUACUUCGAACAGCACACUGACGAAGUGAUAUGUCUACGGCAAAGGCAAUGCAGUCCUCAUUUUGGCUUGAGAUGCAGUAAUCAUCGAAGAGAGUUUCCUUGUGAAACUGGGCAACACAUUGAAUCCCUUCGCCACUGAGAAGGUUGUGGAGGAAGUAAGCUGUCUCUCUAGUGAGGAAGAGGUGGCAUACCUUCCCCAUUUUGUCUAGGGCAGGUAGGAAUCUUUUUUCUAAGAGAUUUACUUCAUUCUCUGUGAGAAAUGCUUUGAACUUCAUCCCUCUGUCUCUAUCCUCACUUAUCAGGAAAUAAGUUGAAAGCACUAUGAAGAGAGAGAGAGAGAGAGAGAGAAUUAAGAUAUAUAGACAAGAAAAUAAUUAGACGUUGAUCUUACAAACUAAUACUUCAAGCAGUAUCCUAGAAAGCUAAAAACUGCAAGAUGGCUUGAAAUUUGAAAAGAGCACAUGGUUUUCCUCCUUAACUUGAGAAAAUGUUUAAUAUAGUGCACCUUACAGAAGCAUUUAAGCAAUUAGAACUUUGCACAAAAACAUCAAGAAGACUAAACAAAUCAGAUGCAGUGUAUUUGUCCAAGCACAAAUUGCAUUUUGUCCUCAACUUUAAUAUUUAUUGAUGAGAAUCAAUACAGGUCCCUCAUUUGUUAUAGAAAGCUUUCUUGUAGUCUCACCAGUUAAUUCACAGGUCUAUAAUCAUCUUGCAAAGUUAAGGGCAUUUCUUUCGAUCUAAAGUCUUUGCAUCACCACCUCAUCACACGCCAAGCCAAUAUUCCAUUUACCUCUACAACAAAAAGUUUUUAAGUAAAUAAUCCUAAUGCACGCAGCCGAAUAAAAUGCAGUAAGAAUAUUCAACUUAAAAAUCUGAAAGCCAACUUGGUGAAUUGCCUCCUUAGGUGAAGUUCCAUGCUUUACUAUAGUUGACAGAACUCAGCAAAAGCUUCCAUACAACAGAUUUUGAAAAUGAUGAUGCCAAUAGAUACUCAUUCAAUCCAUUGAAACUCCAAAGGUUCAUUGUUCAUAGAAGUUUACAGAGUUUUGGUCAUCAAAUAGCUCAGACCUAAUCCCAAACAAAAAACGAGUGAAAAUUAGAUCACGAGCAGCUAAUUGUAAAUUCUAACUUAACUCUUCAUCUCCUUUGUAAACAAGAAACAAAAUGGAGACACGCAAAAUGAAUAUGGAGAAAAUUUGAACUCAAAUGAAAUGAGGGCACGAAAGCAAACAAAUGGCAUGCACAAAAAAACCAAGCCUCGAUAAAAAACUAAUUAACCAUUAAGAAAAAAAUUGGUCAGAGAAUGAACUCCAAAUUCAGGAGUCAAGCAAGAAGCUUUCAUUAUUUCAGAAGCUCCUGUACAAAUUAAUAAGUUAUGCUCUUUGGAAGCAAACCUAAAUUCCAAGAGAAACAGAACCCAAAAAAUUUGCAAUUAUACGCAAAGGAAGUGAAGCACAGGAUUCUAUCACACAUAGGAAUUGUAUAACAAGAGAUCGAUAUAUCGAAUUAGAAAACUCAAUUCGAAUUUGUGUCAAAAAUCAAAAUUAGAAGAUUUCACAUUUCGAGAGGAACAAGCAACAGAUGAAGUUCAAAAUUUCAGCCAUAACAUGCUAAAAAUGCUACACUUAACGGUUCAUUUUCAUGGAUUUUCUCGGGAAACAAACAGAAAAUUACGGUUUAGAGAGUUGACUGACCUUUUGGCUUUUGAAAUUGACCAGAUCGCGCGCCAAAUUGGAAGAGGGAAAGUGAAAGCGCGAGUUUUAAUAUGGGUAUUAGAUAAGGAAAUUUUAUUAGGUUGCGAGGGUAAAAAAGGAAAGAGAUAUCAUUAUUUUAUUAUCGAUAAUUAUUAAAUUUUUUUCCAAAAAAAAGAACAAGCAAGGAUUUUUUAUUGUCAUCACUAAGUUAAAAAAAAUUGUUUCAAAAUUACUUGAGUCAUAUCCAAUGGACCAACAAAGUAAUCGUUUUUAUUUUUAUUGAUUUUUGCAGGAAAUUAAUAACUUAAAAAUACUGAAAGCUACUGUAAAAAUUUUUAUUAUCAACCUCAUAAUUUUUUUUUUUUGGGGAAGAGAAUUCAAACUUUUUUUUUAUGAAUAUCGCUGUUUCGUUUGAGUUGGAUGUGAAUUCAAAUCCAAAUAUUCUUUGUUUUUCAAUUUUGAACUCAAUUUCUUUUUCUCAAGAAUGUUAUGCAGAAAUAAUUUUUACUAAAUCUUUUUUGAUGAAUUGUUUAAAUUAAACAAUUGGAAUAAGAAUUGUAACGAUUUAUCAUAAGCGUGCUAAUAUGAUAACUUGUUUUACGAAGGAUUAAUUAAUCAAUUAAUAUUAAAUUAUAUAUUAGUCAAUUAGAUAUGUGUUACAUUUAUCAUGUUUUGUAGGUGAUAGUACAUCAUUUCUAAAAGAAUAUAGUACGUUAAAAUAUUAUUUUAAUGAAGAAAAUUUUAUUAUUUUAUUAUUAGGUGACACAAUAAUAAAUGGAUUUCUGUAAGAAUUGAGAUUCUUGAUAUAAUUAUUACAUAAGGAGAAGUUUAGUUGGUUCAAUUUUGACGUGAUAAGAAGACAACACAGCACAGAAAACCCAAAUUGCCACUUCCACUAAUAAAAGAUACCUGUUUGAAAAGUAAUUAUAAACUAUCUUCUUUGUGUUAUUUCUCAAAACUUUUGUGGCACAAAUGUUAUUUCCAUUGACAACAGUACGAAAUACCACCCCUUUCACUUGAGCAGGAGCAAAGCAAAGGUAUGAUGAGCUAUCUCUGUAUAAUUGAAACGCCAUUACUAAACGAUUCUUGAUGAUGGGAGCCACCGUGCCAGCUUUGUCGCUGAUUUGCAUGAUUUAUUAGUUGUCCAGAUGGCGGAUUUUGUACUGUUACCUUCGUUUCAUUCUUCAGAGCCAUGUACUGUUCUAGGAUACCAGAGAAACCAAGGUGGCAUUGAAGUUGCCCUGGUGGUUAGUUUUCCGAUCAUUUUUUUAUUCAAUUAUUUAUGUUUUUAGAAAAAUGUAGGAAAUAUGUAGAAAUGUUGACAGCUAUGAUUUUGAAACUUUUGCCUAAAAUUGUUAUCAUUACUUGUUGUUUCUUAUUUAAAGAGAAAUUCUAGAAACAUGAAAUGAUUAUUCUACGCUUGUUUUAAUAUUGUGCUAUGAAGAUUACGAAGGUUUGAUUAUAUGUCACUAUCAAUUGCCUUAAUCGUUUGUCGUAAAUCAAUUAAGCAUUUUGAUGCGAAUGAUUCCCUAUUAAAAAAUUCAAGUCAGAGCUGAAUUGCAAAGUAGUUAGUCGUGCUUGCAAUUCAAAUUAAGUAUUGUAUUUUCUCCCUGAUUUGGUUGAUUCAACUAUGUGCAUUUGCUUAUGAACGUUGCAGUAUAGAAAUCGAAAUAUCUUGUCUUUUGCUAAGCCCAGAAGCAAAUUCUUUGUAUUCUACUCAUCAGUUUUCUUCAUUCUCUUUGUUGAAAUUUUAUCUAAACAGCGGUUUCUUCGAAUUUAUGCCUUCGCUUACUCUUUUAAAUUUUAUCCAAACAACGGUUUUGAAAUUGUUUUCACUACAAUACCUUAGUCUUUCAGAUGCUCCCGUCACUGAGUUGCCAGAAGAGCUAAAAGCCUUGGUAAAUCUUAAGUGUUUGAACCGGAGUACACAAAUUAUCUCUCUACAUUUCCAAAGCAAUUGAUUUGUUACUUUUCGAUGCUACAUGUUCCGCGAAUAUUCAGUUGUGGUUAUCUUGUUCAGAUACCAGAAAAUAGCGUUAUAUUUAGUGGUAAUGAAUUCUUGGUUUGGGAGUUGCUUAGUUUAAAACGUUUAAAUGUAUUAAGCAUCAUCUUGAAAAGUUUUUCUGCUGUCCAAAAACUUAUGAGCUUCCAAAAGUUUCAAAGCUGUACACAAUGCAUGGAGCUUGUAGACUGUGAUGAUCCAAAGUCAUUUGCCGUGGCAGAGUUGAAGCAUCUUGAAAAACUAGGUUUUUCAAGUUGUGGAAAUUUGGAAGAGUUAAAGUUCUGCUGUGUCGAAGUUGCAAAGGCUCGAGAAUGUUUUCGUUUGAACAGCCCUCACUGAGUUAAGAUGAAGGCUUGUCAUAAAUUGUGGGAAGCGACAGGUUAUUCAAAUAGAAAAAUUUAUGGAGAUGGAUGUUAAUCUUAAGGUUAUUCAAUUAGAAAAAUUUGAAUAAAAUUUAUGGUAAGUGCUUUUCCAUUUAUUGCAUAUUUAUAUCUAAUUUUUAUUUUCCUUUAUUGUUAAAUUUUGGUCUCUAUUUGUUGUUGUAUGGUGGCAUUCUUGUACAAUUAUUAGCUUUUCAUUUCUCUUCUCACAUUAACUGCCCUUCUGAUCAUGUAGGAUUUGCUGAUGCAAAGAGUCAUAAUUUGGGAUACAAAUGUAAGAAUUAGACAGAUGACAUGUUGUUUUGAAGCUCUCAAAGAAGGACUAAUUAUGUCAUUGAAAGCCUCCAAUUUUGUGAUUGGUUUCUUUUUAUUUUAUUUGUUGUUUUCUCUAUUUUCAGAUCACUUAAUUGUUAGUUGUUGUAAUGUAAUGUUUUAGUAUAGCAAAUUAUAUUCGGCCAAGACAGUGAUAGGAGGGCACAUUGUGCAUGCACACUAGUGGAUUUGGCAUGCCAAAUCCAAUUAGGAUGGAUAACACUUUAUAAGCAUUAGGCUUCUCUCAUACCUGAGUAAUAUAGAAUAUGUUUAUAAGUUGUGAAUCACCCUUUACAAGUGUUAGGCUUCUGCUAUACUCAGUGAUGUGAAAUAUAUUUAUAAGCACUAAACUUCUCCCAUACACUUUAUGUUAAUAAUAAUAAUAAUAAUAAUAAUAAUAAUAAUAAAAUAAUAAUAAAUAAACCCAUUUUAACAGACUCUUUUUUCUUUUUCUAUAUGAACAAAUGCAUUCUUCAAAGCAACUGUGGGGAGAAGAAGUGAGUAGAGAAGAACUGAGCCCCUGUCAUUCCCCUAAAACCUCACCAAAACCUCUCUUGUAAGCUUCUCGGAUUUUCUUUCUAUAUUUCUUAGGAACUCAUUUUUUAUUGAAUCACUUAUUUUGCAUGCUGCAUUUUUUGGUUGUCGUAUUUGUGUAUUAUCUUAUCUGGAAUGCUGUUAUGAUUGAUGGAACAAGUAAUCGAUUUUUGGUCUAAUGGAAGUUGAUUUAUUUAUUUAUUGUUGUUUUUAUUUGAAAUUAUGUACAAUUGUAUUUCAUUCAUUUCUCUCUCUUUUGCUUUUUUCCCCCCAUAUAUUUGUUAUGUAUAAUUGCGUUUCAUUUAAUAUUGAUCAUACUGUAGGUAACCAUGUGAUUGUAGAUGGGGAUUUCGAGUUUGUUGAAUAUUCAUGUAAGUGAAGUAACCGUCACAAUACUAGUGAAAUUGGGAGCUUUAUUCAUGAGUUUGUGGUUUUGAAAAGUACCACAGUUCAACUGGUGAAGGCUCCGUUUUGGGAUUCUUCUUUUUCUAGGCUGCAAUUAGGAUAUGUACAUGAUAGACAAUCUUUUGUUGGUUUAGCAUAUCUUCGCUGAUUUUGUCUUUUAUUCCCCAAUUUUAUAAUUACACACCAUGAAUGUUGGGUGAUUGUAUAGAAAAUUUGUGUUAUAACAAAAACAUUGUGAAGGAGUUUCCGUGCUAAUAGUUAGUGGCUUCUGUUUUAUUGGCAUUGAUUGGGUAGAUUACGUGUUACAGUGAUUCAAUUUGUGUUCCAAACUUUGCUUUAAUUUUCUGUUUUCCCCAACUAUUUAUGUCAAAUUUAAAUCCAGAAGCAUGUGCUGAUUUUUUCUUUUUGUAUUAAUCUGUGAAGUUUAUUUGGAAUGGAAGUAACUGGGUCGGGUCUAAUGGAUUAAAUUAUGACAUUGAGGGGAAGGCACUAAAAGGGUUUGCUUGACACAUUUGGUUCUGUGUUUACUCUGCAAGAAAUAACUUUUGCUUAUUGCAAUGCAGGGGGAAAUCCCGAUUUGGCUGGUGAAUUUCUCUGCAACAAACAGGCAAACACCUCAACAUCUUCUGUCCAUACUUCUGCUGGGGAGGCAAGGGGUAAAGAGUCUUCAAAAUCAUCAAAUAGUUACAUCUCUGAGAAUUCAUUUUAUGGAAAUGGAAAAUCUAGAGUUUCUAAUACAAAAUGGCAUCUGGUAUCAGGACGUACCGUUUCAAGUUUUCUUGGUAAAGAUUAUGUUAAACCUGCACAGCCAGCUAAUGGCACUUUUCUGGCAUCAAAGCCAUUGAAGUUGGAUCCAAGGGAGUUUCGCAUUUCUGCACUUUCAGAGAAGAAACUAAACCGACAAUCAAAGGAUGACCAUUUGCAGAAGGAUAUGGAAGAUUUUCUUUUUAAAUUGCUAGGAGAAGGGUUCCAGCUGUACAGGGAUGUGAUUCAGGAGGUUCAUGGUAACGUCUUAAAUAUAUUGAUGCCAAUUUAAUACAUAUUGUCCUUUUCAAUGUUCUUUCUUUCUUUCUCCUCUUUUUAUUAUUCUUCUUCUUCUUUUUUCUUUUCAUGUGCAUGUGAUCACUAAUUUGGUAUUAUUCUUGACUUGCAGAUAGUUGUGGAUAUGAAAUGCAAAAGGUAAGGGCUAUAUCUUCUUGAUGGAGGCCUCUGAUUUUUUAAAUCGCAUUUUCCUUUGUGAUUGAUAUAUCAUACCAAAGUCAAGUCUUAAAUACUGCUGUCAUAUGUUAAGGUUCAACUUCCAUUUUGAUUAACGUCGAUUUGCUACUGCUUCCAAAAGUGAGAAUGAGAUACUUUGGUUAAUUUCAGUAGUUGAACUCAAUGGAGUACUUUAUUUAGAUCUUCAUGGUUCAAAGGCCUGAAAAAACUUGCCGGUAUUUGCAAAAUGACAUCUGUGCUUUUAUUUAGACUUAUUAUUAAAGACAACAUUUUAUUUCAGCCAAAAAUGUUUGUUUCAAUUAAAGACUUGAACCAUUUUCAUUUAACCUGAUUGUGAUGCUUUACAUUAUGCAUGUUCCUCUCAAUCAAUAAAAGUUGAGGUCAUGAUUUUAUAUUUCUAUUUUGUAACUUGAAAUAAUUGGUCUGCCUGUUUCUGUUGCUUGAUAACAUGAAUUUUUCCUUCUGAAGUUAAUUUGAUCAAUAAAGUAAUUCUUCGGAGAGGAUAUGCCCAUUCUAUAGUCAUUUUCUUAGCUAACAUGUUUUUUCUUCACUCUUCAAAGCAUGUCUAAACUAAUUGAUCGCUCAGCGGAGACUUUGGGUGAGAAGACAAAAUUUCUUGGUAAAUCCUCUGAAAAGGUAUGCAUAAUUCCCGAGUAUUAAAUAAUCAUUGGUCAUAAUUUUUGUACACGACUCUUGUUUUGGAGAUCGUUAAAAGUGGUUGAUGAUCUAUUUUGUAAUAUCAUAGAGGGAUCAUGAAUUCCUUUUCUUUUCUGUGGCUAGGCAACACUUUCGAGCCAAGCUAAGGAAAUCUAUUUUAGGUAAUGUGAAAACUAGUUGUAGGAUGUAAUAGUUUAUUAUGCCCUGACAAUAACUUUUUGUAUAAUUGUCAGUUUAAUGAAUACAAGAGGAACUCUGUUGGCAAGUUCAUCCAUGAUAGAUGCUAAAAUUAUUUAUGCAUACCAGUUGCCUUAACUAAUUUUUCUCAACACUGGUAUUGAACAGGAAAAUGAAUAUGCAAUUUGUAUAUUGUGCCAUUGUGGAGAAUUUGGAUAUUCUUAUUUAAGUAACAAGGAGAGUAUUUGCCUCAUCUUUAAACAAUGAAUCUUUGAGAAAUGAGGAGUGGGUGAUUGACAGUGUCUUCAUGUAAAUGUUCAUUUAUUUGUAUUUUGAACUAUUAUGAGAAUCUUUGUAUGCCAAAUUAGUAAUACAAAUGUUCAGAUGAUUUUUCCUGUUGAUCAUGCGUGUGUAUCUGCACACAACCAUUGUGUACCACUUUAUUCUGAUGCACAAAUAUCUGUAGUUUAGAAGAAAAGAAAUAAUAAUCAUAUAUUAUUGCUUGGUUCAUGAUUAUUAAAUGAUUAUGGCUUUAGAAAAUCCACAAAUCCUUUGUGUUCAUAUAUGAAUGUGCGAAGUUCGCUAUAUCUUAGAUUACCUUCUUCCAAGAUAACAAGUUCAUAUAUUUUUUUUAAUCCUUUUUCAUCACAGUUGAAUUUCAAGUGUAAGUUUUGUUAUUAAUAGCUGGUUUCCUGUUAUUAUGAUUUCAUAAACAAUGAGAGGAUAUGUGCUCUACUUUUGGAUGGCCUCCACAUAAAAGAAAAUUGCAACAAUUGAAUUCUUCUGGAGGGUAUGGUAUUUAAUUUAUUUUCUCAGCUUGUUGUAAGACUAAUAUAUUUCCUUCAGUACGCACGGCAUGGUGGGAAGGGUUUUUAUUGAAAGAAUUAUGAUAUUUCUUAGACUUUGUUUUGGAAGGGGGUGGAGGGAUUUCUCAUCCAUGUAUGGUUACUUGAUUAGCUUUUGACUGUACUGUCUCCGUCGUGCAAAGGAAAAUCCAAAUACUAACGAAGGGGAAUUGCUUAGGCACCCAAAGGACAGAAAUGAAUUACGGAAGGAGGUUUUUGCUGCUUUAUUUAGUGCUGCUGAGAAAUCUGAUGAAUUUCCUGAAAUUACGGUGAAGACGGAGUGGAGGUCCAACGCAUUAGGAAAGGUGGUGAGUGAACCGCCAGAGGAAUUAGUACCAGAAUACAAGGCUAAUGUGGUGCACUGGCAGCAAGAUGACCAGACCUGUAUGUGCUCUUAUAUUAACUAUAUUGGCUGGAUUUGUGAGUGUGUUCAUUUUUGUGUGUAUACUCACUUUUGUAUUUAUGCAUAUUCACGUGUGUAGGAUUCUCGAUUUCUGCCACUUACUGGAGAACUAGUGGAAAGCUUUAUACUGAUAUAUGUGCUAUAUAACUAAUGGAAACUACAAUAUGAAUAUUUUCUCUCACCUGGAGAGCAGUGUAACUAAUAUAAUUUGUGGCUCUGGAAUACUGAAGAUUCUGCAAUAACUAAUGGAAAAUAUGAUAUGAAUAUUUUUUCUCACCUGGAGAACUUUGUAACAGAUACAUUUUGUGCUGGAAUGUCUAAAGAAUGCUUCAGUUUAUAUCAAAUAUCUUUUAGUUAGAAAAGAUAAAAUUCUCUGAAUCUGAAAGACUGAAACAUUUUGCAUAUUUCGUGAAAGGCAAGUAUCUGUAGAUACUAGCUCAUGCAUUGAGGUAAUAUCAAUGUUAAAGAAAAACAGCAAUAAUUUAUUAUACAGAAUUAGGUUCACUUGCUUUAAAUGCUGGUCUGAUCAACCAUAUCAACCUGUAAUGGUCCUGCAGAAAUAUAUAUACGGGGAGAAACUAGCUAAUUUUCCUUUCACUUAUGGGUUUGGUCUUUUUUUCCCCAAUUUUUCAGCUUUCCUUCUCCUGAAGUAUGUUAAUAAUUGCAGAUAAUGGCGAAGAGGACUGCUUCCAGGCUACCGGCAAAAACUUUGUGAAAGCUUUGGAGUUAAACAGGGAAUUCACUUACUGCUAAGGACAAUUGGUGGCGAGCUAUUUCAUUCAUUUUAUGUCCAUACAUCUAUUUAAUUAUUAAAGAUAAUGUACGCAUUUGUAAAUUUCAGAUUGUGUGUCUCUGAAAAUAACAAUAUUUAAAAUGUCUCUUAAAUUAUUAUAAAUUUUAAUUUACUCUCGAUUUAAAAUGGAACAUGUUGGUGAAAUAUUUUUUCUUCUUAAUAAAAUUGAAAUAAAUUAUGUUAGCAGUAGUUUGAAAUAUUUUAAAGAUGAUUAUUUUAUAAGGGAGUAAUAUGAAAUGAAAUUUACUUUUCAUGCGUGAAAUGUUGAAAAAGGACAAAGCAAGUGUCCCUGCUUUUAUUUUAUUUCAAAGUGGAGUCAUCUCACAUACUUUAGCUCUAUCAUUAGGAGCCGGCUAAGUUACGUUAAACGUAAUUUACGCCAGGCACAGCAAUAAUGACAAGUCCCAUGACUAGUAUUGUUGCUGUGUCUGACGUAAGUUACGUUUAACGUAACUUAGCCAAAGCCCUAUCAUUAAUAUAUAUUUAAAUUUAACACAUGCAUGUGGGUUACUUUUCCGUAAGUUCCUUAAUAUAUAUUUAACACAAAUCAUGGAAGAGAUGGGAGUAUAUCAAGAUGAUCAAAGCAUGAAACAAAAAUAUUUAAGAAGUAAAACACUGAAAAUGGAGAAGAGAUGCAAGCAAAAGAUAUUCUAAAGAAAAGCAAUCUAUCCCCUUUCGAGGGCAAACUUAUCAGGUUUAAGAAAAGUACAUGCUUUGGAUUGGUAGUUGCAGCCUUGCAGGAUAAUUGUUUUUGCCACUAUAUUAGUUGGAGGAGUUGAACCCAGUGAAGAAUGUUAUGGAAGAGCAAAUGAUAUUUCUGAUAGACUCUAUUUGAUUAUGUAGCCUGAAUAGAUGUCUUGUUGAAAGAUAUAUCAGUGCAUUAGUUCAUCCUUGUCUGUCAAUGUGUUUUUAAUGGUUUUUCCAAUUGUUUUUUUUUUUUUUGAAACUGAUUAAGCAUCAGGUUACUGCAUUACACAGAUAUAUAUACAACUGCUAUGACAGCAGGUCAUUACACUGAUAUUUACAAUCAGAUAUAUAUACAUGGGACUUAUAUUAUUACAUUUUUAUUCUAUGAAGUACAUGCCCAUCCCAAAUACCCCUCACGGAGGAGGGAUGUCUCUACUCCACUCGCAUUUCGCAAGGGAGAAAGACGUUUAUAGAAAUCUCCACACAAUUAUGUUUAAUUGGAGGAGGUUGAGUCCGUGGGGACUCGAACCAUUGCCCUCAAAGUCAUGCUUAACUUUGAGGGCAAUGGUCCACCACUGGGCUACAAGCCCAAGUGGCGGUUUUUCCAAUUGUUUAUUGCUAUAGAUUGAUUGUAAAUUGAUGUGAACUUAAUGUUGAAAUAUUUUCUCUUUAGUGGAAUGAAAGUUAAACAUUCAAGAUUAGAUUAUUCAAGGUCCACAUAGUAUGUGUUCCGUUGUGUUGUCUGUAAUUUUGCAUUUAAAUAAAUUUGAGUGCUGCCGUUUCGCUCCCACAAUCUCUCGCCUUUUUUUAAUUUUAAAAAUUAAAAUAUUAAUAAAAAACAAUAAAGAAAAUCGAAUCCUUUAUGUCAUUCCAUCUUUACAACUCUCUCUCACAAACUCCAUCUAACAGACUUCUCUCUUACUAUCUCGGUCGAACAAGACCAGUGACAAUGAUGACACGACCGCCGACGAUGAGAUGGUCAUCGCUAAAGAAUCGGGCCGUGUAUUUUACAAUUUCUUGGUUUGUGACAACAAUGGAAAACUCCUGAAAAUUUUGAAUUUGUAGUCGAGCAAAGGAAGAAGCAAGUUAUCUUCAAAGCAUUUUCCAGUAAUAGCUGAUGAAAUUUAAUACUUCAAGCUGGCCCUUUGCUGUCACAACUAGAUGCAUUUGCACUGUCAUUACAAUUUAUGGAAAUUAAAGUAAUUAAUGGUUCUAAUUAAUAGCUUCCCAAAAAACCAAUCUGCCCUUGUGAGAACCAAAGCAUUAAUUUCUUGUAAGAGCUGCAGAAGGCCAGAGAAUUUCAGAUCGUGAAAAGGAGUGUGUGAGUGAGAGAGAGAUCGUGAAAUAGUGAGAGACAAUGAGAGAGAGAGCCGCUCGACUGAGAUGGUGAGAGAGUUGCAAAAAUGGAGUAAGGAGCAGAUAAGAUUAUGUUUUCUUUAUUAUUUUUUAUUAAUAUUUUAAUUUUUUUAAUUAAAAAAGGGCGAGAGAUUUUGGGAGUGAAACGGCAGCAUGUUCCAAUAAAUUUUUACCAAAGUUUCUCUCGUGUUUCUCUCACCUUUCUAGAUACCAAGCAUUUUCCAAUAAAUUUUUACUAAAAACUUAGCAAGCCCUUGAAACUUUGGUCAAAAUUAUUGUUAUUAUUACUUUUAGAGGAAAAACUUUUAUUAAAACCUCAUUAACACAAUUCUUAAUUAAAAUUAUAAGUUUGUGUUGGUGUAAGGAUUUGCAGGAGCAAUUACUGCCUAGCCAAGUGUCAAAAGCACAAAAUAAAUCAAGAGAAAGUAGACAUGAAUUAGGAUCCAAUGAAAUUUAAAUCCCGGAGAAAAGAAAUAAUCAUGCAGAUUAUCAAGAUUUCAAUAAGGGAUAUUGAUAUCCUAUUUUGAUUAAUAAUAUCCUUUUACUGUGUUAACUCAAAAAAUAUGUAUAUUCUAAUAUUUUACAAUAAAUAGAAAUCUAAUAUUAAAAUAAAUGUGAUAUAUAUAUAUAUAUAUUAAAUAAUUUAAAUAUAAAAAAUAUUUUAAUGUUUUACAAUCUACUACACAUAUUUUAUUAAGUUAAUAUAAUUUUUCAAAUAAAUAGGGACAUAAUAUUAAAAUAAAUUUAUAAAAAUUUAAAUUAUUUUGAAUUUAAAAUAAUUUUAAUAUUAUUAAUAUGUUAGAUAUGUUUGAUUAAUUAUAAAAAUUAUUUACGCAAAUUUUUUUAAUAUUUUCAGUAGAUAUAAAUAUAUUACUUACAUUUUGAUUAUUUAACUAUUAUUAUUCUACAAUUAUUUAUAUAAUGUUUGCACUUAUUAGAAUAUAUUUAAAGUCAAAUCUUUUGCACUUCUACCUAGCUAGAAUUAUUGGACGCAGAGAAAUAAGCAUAUAUGCUUUAUAACUUUAGAAAUCGAAUUAUCUAUACAAAUUGAUUUUAGCUGGAAAAAAAGUGAGCUGAAUGAUAUAGGCGAUUAGUGUGGUAAUAUUUCAUAGAGUUAGACUAUUGAAUUUGGCACCCCUCCAAUCUUCUCAUGAUUACCUUUUUGAGUUAUUAAUACACUUCUAAUUUUUCGUUUAAUUUUUUUUAUUGUUAUACUCAAAGUAGUAUUGUGAUAUUUUAUAUUUCUUUUGCAAUCUUAUUAUUAUUUUACACAAAAUUAAAAAGUUUUCUAGGUGAUGAACUUUUGAGUUUUGAACAUUAAUCAUUGGCUUAAAUUUCAUAUAUUUUACAUUAUAAUUUGAAAUUAAGUACGAAAAUAUUUAAUAAAUUAUGAAAAGAUUAACAGAUUAUUCUAAAUUGAUACAACUUAUUUUAGUUAAAUAAAAAGUAACAGGUAAAAAAAAAAAGGAUUGGUUAUGAAAUUUGUUGGAAAAAAAUCUGUGUGUGUUUAAUUUUUAUUUGUCCUUAAUUGUAAUUUAUUUGAAGUGAGGUUUUAUAAGGAUAAUGAAGGGGUGCCAUAGUUUCACUCUAUUUCAUAUGGAGAGAGAAGUAAAAGGUACACCUGAGGUUAAUGGAAAGGACUUCGAAAGUUUCUUUUGAUUAUAAUACUGUUUGUUCUAAUUAACUUAAAAAAUUUUACUUUAAUAUUUUAUAAUAAAUUAAAUUUUAAUCUUAAAAUAAGUAUAAUCAUAUAUUUUAAAAUAAUCUUAAAAUAAAUACAAUCAUAUAUUUUAAAAUAAUCUUAAAAUAAAUACAAUCAUAUAUUUUAAAAUAAUCUUAAAAUAAAUACAAUCAUAUAUUUUAAAAUAAUCUUUAUAUUUAAAAUUUAUUUAUUUGUACAUAUUUUAUAAUAAAUAUAACACAUACUAUUAAAAUAAUAUAUAAAAAAUUAAAGUAUUUUGAAUAUUAUAUAAAAUAACUUUAAGAUUCUUAAUAUGUAAGAUAUAUUUUAUUAAUUUAAAAUUCUAUUUAAAAUUUUAUUAAUUUAAAAUUCUAUUUAACCCAAAGAUUUAUUUAAGAUAAAUUAAUAAUCAUAUUUUUUAAAUCAUUUCAAAUAUUAAAAAAUAUUUUGAUAUUACUAGUCUAUUAAAUAGAUUAAAUAUUUUUAUUAUUUUGUACUAAUCAAAAGUUACAGCUCGAAUGAUAUUAUGAGAACAGAAUUUUUAUGUCUUUAUUAAAAAUUUGGGUUUGUAUAAUUAUUUUUUCAAAUGUUAGGGGCAUAGCUGUCUUUUUACUUUUAUAUAUGUGAACCGCGGUGGUGAAAAAGUGUGAUUUAAUAUUAGUUAUUUAAAUAAUAUCUGAAUUAAAGAUGUACAGAGAAGAAAUUUCGGUGGGCAUUUUAGUCUUUUAACGAUUAUCAUGAUUAGGGAUUAGGUCCUGCUCUUGAAACGUUGGUCAGAAAAGUUCUAAAAUGCGUACAUUAUCUUUACUUUAAAAAAGUUAUUUUAUUUUAUUACAAAUUAAUGCCGACAAGAAAAAGCAAGAUCUUAAANNNNNNNNNNNNNNNNNNNNNNNNNNNNNNNNNNNNNNNNNNNNNNNNNNNNNNNNNNNNNNNNNNNNNNNNNNNNNNNNNNNNNNNNNNNNNNNNNNNNAUAAAGAUGAAGAAAAGGGCAAAAAAAUAUUAAUGAUUAACGAAAUCUCUAUCCAAAUUGAUUUUAGCAGGAAAAAAGUGAGCUAAAUGAUGUAGACGAUUAGUGGUAAUAUUUCAUAGAGUUAGACUAUUGGCACCCUUCCAAUCUUCUCACGAAUCCUCUUUUUGAGUUAUAUUUAUUUUAUUUUUAAAAUAUCUUUUUUCUCUUUUACUACACUUCUAAUUUUUCAUUUAAUUUUUUUAUUGUUAAACUCAAAGUAGUAUUGUGAUAUUUUUAAUUUCUUUUGCAAUCUUAUUAUUACUCUGCAUAUAAAUUAAAAAGUUUUUUAGGUGAUGAAUUUUUGAAUGUUAAUCAUUAGCUUAAAUUUCACAUAUUUUACAUUACAAUUUGAAAUUUAAUAUGAAAAUAUUUAAUCAAUAAGAAUUAUGAAAAGAUUAAUAAAUUAUUCUAAAUUUAUACAACUUAUUUUAGUUAGAUCAGAAGUAGCAGGUUAACAAAAGAAAGGAUUGGUUAUGAAAUUUGUUGGAAAAAAAUCUAUGUGUGUUUAAUUUUUAUUCGUUGUUAACUCUAAUUAAGUAGGUUAAAUAUUUUUGUUAUUUUUUACUUAUCAAAAAAUUUAAGAUCAAUAUUUUUAGUUACCAUUCGAAGGAUAUUAUGACAAAAACAGAAUUUUCACUUCUUUGUUAAAAAUUUGGGGGUUUGUGUAACUAUUUUUUCAAAUGUUAGGGGCAUAUCUGUCUUUUUACUCUAUAUAUAUGAACCAUGGUGGUGAAAAAGCGUGAUUUAAUGUUAUUUAUUUAAAUAAUAUCUCAAUUAAAAAUGUAAGGAGAAGAAAUUUCGGUGGGCAUUUUAGUCUUUUAACGAUUAUCAUGGUUAGGCCCUGGUCUUGAAACGUUGGUCAGAAAAGUUCUAAAAUGCGUUCAUUUGUCUUUACGCCAACAAUAAAAAGCAAGAUCUUAGUGUCCCACAAAAGCAAAUCGUAAUAUUCCGCAAUGGAGUUAGAUCCGCAAAAGCAAACAAAUUCUUUUAUUAAACUACAAAUUAAAGUGGAAUCAUUUACUAAACAACAAAUUAAAUUUGAAAUAUUUAAAUAGUCGUGCGUUAGACGAUUAGAGACUCUUAUUAAAGGCAAGUACAAAGUAGUGAAGAAUCGAAUAUUUCUAUUGUCUAGUCUUUUUUUAAAAAAAAUUUUCUUUUAUUAUUUUUCAGAAUAUGUUUUGGUGAUUACUAUUGGGUUAUUAUUCAGAGUUAUUGUUAUCUUCCGGGGCAGUUUCUGUUCAUCGAAUUCGUUAAUAAAAUUUUAAAACUCUUAUUGAAAGAAUGUUUUUCCGUUAUCUUUUUUAUAAUCUAAUUUUAAGUGUAAGAAGUAGUCAUUUUAGAAUUUGGGUCUUGAAUCGAAUUUCAAUGCAUGAAUUAAUAUUUAAAAAAAAUUUACUACAUGCAGUUUAGGUUACAAACUAUUUUUUGCAAAGUUGACUAUGAAAUUGGAGAAAUUAAGUAAUUUAUAAUGUUUGCAAAGAAAGAGACCAACAUACUUCCAAUUACACUAUAUCUCAAUUAUCAUAAUGUUAAGAUUAAACUAACUUAAAAUAAAAUUUAUUUAAAAAGUUUAUCAAACGCAGUCUAAUUUUAUUAACUUGAAGAGAUAAUAGUUAUAGAAAUUAUUAUUCUAACUUAAUUAGUAAAAGUGGUAUAAAGGUUAAGUGUGCACUAAAUCUAUUUAAAUUUUUUUCCAGUAUAACUAACAGAGGUCAUUACUAGAAUUAUAUUACUAGUCUAUUAGAUAGAAAAAAUUAUUUAUAUUGUUUUAUAUUUAUUAAAAAAAUUUAAAGUCAAUCUUUUUAAUUACUAUUUAAAGGAUAUUAUAAUUAAAAAAAUUUUAAUGUCUUCAUUAAAAAUUUAAAAUUUUAUAUGACCGUUAUCUAAAUAUUUAAAGUGUAACUGUCAUUUUCUCAUAUAUAUAUAUAAUUUCAUCAACCCCUUAUACUUUAUGUUAUUUAUAUUUUAUUCAUGAAUAUUAUAAAUUUUUUGAAAUAUAAAAUUUCGUUUAACCCUUUAUACUCAAUUUUAUUUUAUUAAAACCCUAGAGUAUGAAUUCGUCCCUAUAAUAUUAAAUUCUCAAAAUAACUUCCAUUUAAUUAAAAAAUAUAAUUAUUAUUAAAUGAAUUAUAAUUAUUAUUAUUAUGUUAUUAUAAUCAUAAAAAGCGAGAUCAUAUUCCACAAAAGCAUAAGUGACAAAACAACCAACUGGAUUCUUUUAUUAAUCAACAAAUUGUAUAGUCUUUUUCAAAUUGUUAUAAAUUGGUGGCCCCUACAAUCCUCAAUAAUUGUACCGAAAUUCACAAGUUGGUGGGCCCUACAAUUCUGUUCCGAUAAUUUAACUGUGCAAGUGCUCAUUCACAAUCUUCCAGGUCAUGCUCUUAACAAUUGUUUUUUCUUUUCUGCACGCCCUUUCAUGCUCUUAAUAAUUGAAGAGCAUACUUUUCAAAUGUGAAGCCGCAUCUAAUGUCGCUAAUUUAAUUUGGGAUUAAAUUACGGGACUAUUAUAUUGCAGUGUGCACUAAUUUUUAUGUUUAUCUAAACUCUUCAAAUUUAAAACAUAUUAUGGCAUAAAUAAGAAUGUAACAAUAACAAAAGAGUAAGAAAGUGUAGAGAAAAUCUUGCAGAAAUAUAAAUAAUAUUUAUUUUUAAAAUAAUAUUAAUAUUUAAAAUAAUUUUUAAUAUUUUAUGGUCCAUUAGAUAUAUUUUAUUAUAUUAAAAUAAAUUUUAUAAUAAAUAAAAACAUACUAUUAAAAUGAAUAUAUAUAGAAAAUUUAGAGUAUUUUAAGUAUUAUAUAAAAUAAUUUUAAUAAAAUAUGUGAGAUAUUCAUAUUUUAUUAAUUUAAGAUACCAUUUAACCUAAAGAUUUAUUUAUGAUAAAUUAAUAAUUAUAUUUUUGAAAUUACUUCAAAUAUUAAAAAAAUUAAUAUUACUAAUAUAUUAGAUAGAUUAAAUUAUAUAUAUUAUUUUUACUUAUUAAAAAAAUUUUAAAAUUAUUUUUAAUUACUAUUCAAAAAACGUAUUCAAAAAACAUAAUGAUAAAAAAAUCUUAACAUCUUUAUUAAAAAAUUAAAAACUUAUAUGAUAAAUUCUCUAAAUAUUUACGGUAUAUGUGAACCACGGUGGAUAAGCUUUAUUUAAUAUUAUUGAUUUAAAUAAUAUGUCAAUUAAAAAUGUACAGAGAAGAAAUUUCGGUGGGUAUUUUAGUCUUUUAAGCAAUUAUCAUGAUCAGAUCAGCCUUUAGCCUUCAAACGUCGGUCAGAAAAGUUUUAAAAUUAAUGCUAAAUUGUUUUUCACUUUUAACGUUGGUGGCCUUGAAAUUGCUUGUAUUUUAUUAAAAAUUAAUGCUAACAAGAAAAAGCUAGGUCAUAUUCCACAAAAUCAAAAGUGACAAAACAACCAGCUGGUUUCUUUUACUAAACUACAAAUUAAAAUAAAUUUUUUCGAUAAAUUACAAAUUAAAGUGGAUUCUUUUGAAUACAAAUGGGACAGACGAUUAGGCUCUUUUUAUUAGAGGCAAGUAAAAACUAGUCAAGAAUCGAACAGUCUUUUUCCAAUUCUUGUUUUAUUAUUUUUCAAAACUAGUUUUUGGUAAUUACAACCGGGUCAUUAAUCAUUAUUCAGAGUUAUCUUCCGGGGCAGUUUCUGUUCAUCGAAUUCGUUAAUAAAAUGUUAAAACUCUUAUUGAAAGAAUGUUUUUCCGUUAUCUUUUUUAUAAUCUAAUUUUAAGUGUAAGAAGUAGUCAUUUUAGAAUUUGGGUCUUGAAUCGAAUUUCAAUGCAUGAAUUAAUAUUUAAAAAAAAUUUACUACAUGCAGUUUAGGUUACAAACUAUUUUUUGCAAAGUUGACUAUGAAAUUGGAGAAAUUAAGUAAUUUAUAAUGUUUGCAAAGAAAGAGACCAACAUACUUCCAAUUACACUAUAUCUCAAUUAUCAUAAUGUUAAGAUUAAACUAACUUAAAAUAAAAUUUAUUUAAAAAGUUUAUCAAACGCAGUCUAAUUUUAUUAACUUGAAGAGAUAAUAGUUAUAGAAAUUAUUAUUCUAACUUAAUUAGUAAAAGUGGUAUAAAGGUUAAGUGUGCACUAAAUCUAUUUAAAUUUUUUUCCAGUAUAACUAACAGAGGUCAUUACUAGAAUUAUAUUACUAGUCUAUUAGAUAGAAAAAAUUAUUUAUAUUGUUUUAUAUUUAUUAAAAAAAUUUAAAGUCAAUCUUUUUAAUUACUAUUAAAGGAUAUUAUAAUUAAAAAAANNNNNNNNNNNNNNNNNNNNNNNNNNNNNNNNNNNNNNNNNNNNNNNNNNNNNNNNNNNNNNNNNNNNNNNNNNNNNNNNNNNNNNNNNNNNNNNNNNNNNNNNNNNNNNNNNNNNNNNNNNNNNNNNNNNNNNNNNNNNNNNNNNNNNNNNNNNNNNNNNNNNNNNNNNNNNNNNNNNNNNNNNNNNNNNNNNNNNNNNNNNNNNNNNNNNNNNNNNNNNNNNNNNNNNNNNNNNNNNNNNNNNNNNNNNNNNNNNNNNNNNNNNNNNNNNNNNNNNNNNNNNNNNNNNNNNNNNNNNNNNNNNNNNNNNNNNNNNNNNNNNNNNNNNNNNNNNNNNNNNNNNNNNNNNNNNNNNNNNNNNNNNNNNNNNNNNNNNNNNNNNNNNNNNNNNNNNNNNNNNNNNNNNNNNNNNNNNNNNNNNNNNNNNNNNNNNNNNNNNNNNNNNNNAUUGUGGGCACUCUUGUUCGUGCAUGUUUGCUAGAAGAGAUGGAAGAUGAUAAAGUAAAAAUGCAUGACGUUGUUCGUGAUAUGGCUUUAUGGAUAGCUUGUGAAAUUGAGAAGGAGAAGAGAAACUUUUUGGUUUGUGCAGGUGCUCGAUUAGAAGAGGCACCGGGUGUUAAAGAAUGGGAAAAUGUGAGAAGAUUGUCAUUGAUGCAAAACCAAAUUGAAACUGUGUCAGAGAUUCCCGCAUGCCCUCAUCUCCAUACUCUAUUUCUUGCCUCUAAUAGGAAUUUCAGGAUGAUCACGGAUGGCUUCUUUCAAUUUAUGCCUUCUCUCAAAGUUUUGAAGAUGUCACGCUGUGGGCAAUUCGAAGGUUUUCAAUUACCUGUUGGGAUGUCAGAGUUGGGUUCAUCACUAGAACUUCUUGAUAUUUCACAUACCACCAUAAGAGAGUUACCCGAAGAGUUAAAGUUGCUGGUAAAUCUGAAAUGUUUGAAUUUGAGGUGGACAGGUGCGUUAAUUAGAAUUCCACGGGGACUAAUAUCAAAAUUUUCAAGGUUACGUGUGUUGAGAAUGUUGGGUACUGGCGGGUUCAUUUUUUAUGAAGCACCAGAAGACAGCGUUUUAUUUGGUGGGGGUGAAGUUUUGAUACAGGAAUUGCUCGGUUUGAAAUAUUUAGAGGUAUUGGAGUUGACCUUGGGAAGUUAUCAUGCUCUCCAAAUUCUUUUGAGCUCAAAUAAGUUAAAAAGUUGUAUUCGAUCUCUUUACCUCUAUUUGACCGGAGAUAAAAAGUCGAUUAUUGAUGCUACGGCUUUCACAGACCUAAACCACCUCAAUGAAUUAUGGAUUGAUAAUGGAAUUGAGUUGGAAGAAUUGAAGAUUGAUUAUACGGAGAUAGUACGAAAAAGGCGGGAACCUUUUGUUUUCCACAGCCUUCACCUUGUUACGAUAUAUAGUUGCCAUAAAUUGAAAGAUUCGACAUUCCUCGCUUUUGCUCCAAACCUCAAGUCUCUUUCGCUAUUCAAAUGCCGUGCUAUGGAAGAAAUAAUCAGCGUCGGAAAAAUUGCUGAGAAUCCUGAGAUGAUGGGACAUAUAAGCCCUUUUGAAAAUCUCAAAAGUCUUGAUCUAUCAUAUUUGCCGGAGUUGAAGAGCAUUUUCUGGAAGCCAUUGCCUUUCACUCAUCUCAAAGAAAUGGGGGUAAGAGCAUGUGAUCAGCUUAGAAAGCUUCCACUCGAUUCCAACAGUGCAAAAGAGCGUAAAUUUGUAAUUCGUGGAGAAGAAGACUGGUGGAACCGACUUCAAUGGGAGGAUGAAGCCACUCAAAUUGCUUUUCGUUCCUGUUUCCAACCUGAUUCCUGAGCGGUGGUCGCAAAAUUUGAUUUCUGGUGAGUGCGUUUGUCUUUUAAAAGAAGAAUUUAAAAGAAAUUUAUUCUUGACGUUUUCUUCACUGUUUUUAUUUCAGUCUCUCUCUCUCUCUUUUUGUCUUCUGCUAAUCACAAUUAAAUGUUGAAUUAAUGGAAUUAAUGCUUCAUAAAUUUGCCGGCACUGCCAUUACUUUUUUUUUUUUUAAUACAAAUUGAUACUUUAUUUAUAUCUUCUUAGCGAUUUAAUUUCCUGUCAAUUGACGAACGAGAAGAACAUAUGACUUGAACCAAUGCUCGCAUAAACUUGCUGUAAAAAGAUAUAAUCUCACUGAAAUGCACACGCCUAGAAUGAAUAGAAUUAAAACAGGGAAAAUAUUAAGUAUAUUAGCCCUCUUUACCGAAAAUCAAAUGACAAUAAAUUUUUUGAAGUUUUGAUUUUCUAUGGUCAAUUCCACCUUUUGCAAUUUCUUCUGUUCUAACAAAAACCAAUUUCUUUGUUCAAGUAUUUUCGUUUGGGUAUUAAUAAUUCUCCACCGAAAGAGUGAACUCUUGCUCAAGGGAUCUCUAAUCAAUAGCCGGAAGGGCGCCGAGACCUGAUCGGACCUAGGCCCAAGUUUGGUCUUAAAGCCUGGGCUUGAGCCUGGCAAUUAAAUUAAAACAGUAAUUGAUUUCUUGAAUGAAUUGUCGUGUAAUUGAUUUAUGGGGGAUGACACAUCAACAUACUUGAAAAUACACUAAUCUCAGCAUCAUCCGUUAAUAACUUUUAGAUUUAUGGGCAAUCAAUAGUUAAAUUAGUUGUCAUUAAUACUAAAUAAUUUUUACUUUUUUUGUCUCUUCUAGAGGAUCUUCUAGAAAAAUGCAUCCACAAUUAAAUUUAAUACUUUACAUAAUAAAGAAAGCAUAAAUGUUAAAUUUAAGAAACUGCAUUGUAUUUCAGCUGAAGUUGACUUUAAUAUUUAGGGUAGAAAAAAAUUAAAUCCUUAAUGUGUUUAAUUUCUAUCACUUGUGUCAUUAAAAUUUUCUAGUCACCCUAACCAAUUACAUCUCAACCCACUUUUUUUUGGAUGAUUUUAUUUUUACACUAUUAUUUUCAACAUUUUUUUUUCCUUUUAACACCAACAUUAGUGUAUGUUACGUAACAUAAUCCAUAUUUGGAUAAUUUGAAAUUUGUUUGUGUUUUAUCUCAAAAUAGAGCUUCAAUCAAUUUGUACCUCAUAAAUUCACAAUAUCUGGCAUAUUGUCAAAUGUGCUUAUCCUUUUGCUUGACAUGUCAUUUUAAAAUUGUCAUUCAAUGUCAAAAAAUCACAUCAACUAAUGGCCGACUACUUUAAUUUGAAAGCAUGCGUGCGAUCGCCAAUAAUUAUAACUUAAUUGUUAUAUUGAAAUUUUUUUCUUUAUAAUUUAAGUUUAAUACUGCUACAUGUGUGGCACAUAAGUUGGAAAAUAUAACAUAAAAUUUGAAAAAUGUGUAGUUUUCGUUCCUUUUUUUUCUAAAAAAAUGGGAAAAAAGAAUGUAAUUUUGUUUAAAUUACUGUUGUCAUAACAAUUAUUAUUUUAUUGAUUAAUUGGCAGAGAAUCGUAAUGGUUUCGCAUGGUUGUUAAAACAUUGGAAAGUCCACUACAUCAUCGGUUAAUAACUUUCAGAUUUAUGGUUAAUUAAUAGCUGAGAUUUAUUAUCAUUAAUGCUAAAUAUUUUUUCUCUCUCCUGGAGGAUCAUCCACAGGCAGGUGCUUCCUGACGAUGACAAAAUUUUGGGCAGGCAGGUGCUUCCUGACUUUCACACGGUAAUUCUCAAAUUCUGAUUUCACCAUAUUUUAAUUACUGAUUAGCAUAUAUUCAAGUGCUCUCCAUUAUAAUGGAAGCCGCCGCCUCACUCGUAAUUCCAAACUUUAUCUUUUUUUCCUUUUUUAAAUUAAUGCAAGUAGCCGCUGUCCUUUCUAUUAAUUAAUUAAUUCGGCCGCCCACAUUUCUUUUCCUAAUGUCUUCUACUGUCGAGUUUAUUUUAUUUUCUCUUUAUUAUUAAAAUAUACUUAUAAUAAUAAAAAAAUAAAAAUUAACAUAUCAAAAUAUAAUUUAACAGAAAAUUAAGAUAAAAAAUUAAAAAUAAAUAAAUUAUGAGCAUAUCAAUCAAUAAAUGAAAAAUAAUAAUUUUUAUUUUUAUUAAAUAUAAAUUUUUCAGUAUUAAUCAAUUAUCUGAAUAAAUAAAAUCAUUUAAAAAUAAAUAAAUAAAUUAUUCUUAAAAAAAAAAAAAAAACUUUUUAUAACACUCACUAUGCUGGUUGUAGGGUUGACGCUUUGGGUACUGAAGCUAGUAACUUCUACAAGUAGUCUUAAGUUGACUGGCAACAACUAUAUUGGCAUUUAGAAAUAAUGUACUGCAACCAUAUUGGCAUGUUCAAAUGUUCUUAUUAUUGUAUUGGUGUGUCAAUAUUAUCUCUAACGGUUUUAUAAAUAAAAAAAUAAUCUAAAUUUAUAAUUUAACAUAAAAUAAAAUAAUUGGUAGAAAAACAAUUAUGGUUCAUUUACUUAUCAGUAAUCAGAAUAGACUGAAAUCGAAAUGAGUUGUAUUACUGUUGAUGUGUUUAUGUUGUACUCGAAUCGAAAUGAAUUAUUUUAAAUUACUAAAAUAUCCUUGGUCUGUUAUUCUAAUUAUUAUUAUUAUUUAAUAUUUAUUAUAAUAUUUUUCAUAUCAUUAAAAAAAAAUAAUAAUGAUGAUAAUAUUCUCAUUAUUGUUUGUUACAUUAUUAUUAUUCAAAAAAAUUAUUGUUAAUAACAAUAAUUACUUUAUUUCAAUAAUAAUAAUGAUAAAAUUAAUAAUAAUAAACAUGACAACAACAAUAAUUAUUUAUUAUGCCAAAAAAUAACAAUAAUAAUAAGAAUAAUAAUCAUCAUCAUUUUUUUGCCAAAGAAGCAUUAUCAUCAUCAUUUCAAAAAAAAAAUCAUCAUCAUCAUCAUCAUUUUUGUAGUGGCUACCUAUCGGCUGCUGCUUUCAUGUGAGAUUGACUUGCGACGCUUCAACGGCUAUUAUUUCUGACAAUGUCAGGUGUUGCUAUUUCAAUUUAGGAAGAAGUUGUUUCGGUGUGCUAGCGAUGGGAGAUGUUGUGGCUGCGAUUCGGGGAGCUACUAGUUUAUUGCACUAAUAACGGCAGGUGCUGUUGCUUGAUGCGAGGUCCAUGGCCAGUUGUCAGCAGUUCGACUUUGGUAUGGGUGCUGCUGGUUCGAUUUUAGGUGUUGUCCAAUUUCAUUUUCAGGAUUUUAAUUUUAUUUUUCUUUUAUAUUUUCAUUAAUUAAUCAGGGUAAAAUUGGAUUUUAGAAUUUAGAAUGAAGGUAAUUUUGUUAAUAAUGGAAAUGAGAUUCUGAUUGUCGAGAAUGAGCUUACACAAACAACUAUAAAUUAAGUGAAAACAAAACACUUUUUCUCUUUGUGUGAUUAAAACAUGAUAUGUACCAUAAAUAAAUAAGUAAAAAAUAAAUCAACACAAUCUAAAACAGUAAACAAAUUACAAGAGGCACAGAUUUUUAUGUGAAACACCGAAAAUGGAAAAAACCACAGCAUCUUAGUUUGAUAUAAUCUUCUACUAUAUUAAUGGGAUUAUAGCACAAAUUCUUUCCUAUAUAACACUAGAGAUUAACAACAUCAAGAAUCUCAAUAAUCUUGACUUACAAUACAGCCUAAUAUUUGUCUCUCUAAUAAGUAGAUAUCUAAAAUAACAGUCUCUAAUAAGUAUGUAUCUAAAAUAAUAGUCAACAAGAGGAUAAAACAAAAAUUAAGAUUAGUAGGAUGUGUAUAAGGUGAUGCUAUCAAUUUAUCUUCUAAAUUUGAGAAAAAUAGUUAAAUUCACUUUUUCGAUUGUCCGACCAAAAAUGGAAACCCUUGCCCCAAAACCAAAGGAAUCACCAUUAUGUUUUUCUCUCUCUCUCUCUCUAUCUCGUUCUUUUCUUCUUCUUUUCUUAAUGUUAGCCAUCACUUGCUUUUAUUCUUUAUAGCAUUCAAAAAGCUACUUUUAAUGGUAAAUUUCAUUUAAGUCUGCAACUUAGUGAUAAUUGCACACCAAACAAUCCUUACAUAGUGUUUUGGGCCCUCAAAUGAGAUGAAUACAACAAAUCUCCCCCUUUAAAUCAUGUGGGGGGCACCGCAAGCCCGCUAUUUGCAUAUAGCUUUUCAGCUUCUCCUUGAAUAAUGACUUUGUCAUCAUACAUAAUCCAUUCUUCGUUGUGUAAAUCUUCUCAAGCUGUAACUGUUCCUUCUCAAGCUGUAAUUAUUCCUUCUCAAGCACGUCUCGUAUCUAAUGAUACCUUACAUCAAUAUGCUUAGAUUUCGAAUAGUAUAACAGCACUCUGACUAUCGUAGUACAUAACAUAGCUGUCUUGUUUUACACCCAGCUCUUGUAGGAAAUUCUUCGUCCACAAUAUUUUUUUGCAACCUUCAAUAAUUGUAAUAUCAUUUGCUUUAGUGGUAGAAAAGGCAACUUAUUACUAAAGUUUAGAUUGCGAUGAGACUGUUCCCCCUGCAAAAGUGAGCAAACAUCCUAGUAGGAAUUUUUCGGAAUCAACAGCUCCUGCCAUAUCUACACACUUGUAACACAGGUUUGUCACCACCAAAAUAUAAACAUGCUCUGGAAAUGCAUCUAAGAUAUCUGAGAAUUUUUCACUGUUGUCCAGUGCUCUUUACCGAGGUUGAAGAGAAACCACUGACUACACUAACUGUAUAGGCAAUAUUUGGUCUUGUACAAAUUAUGGCGUACAAUAAACUGCCAACUGCUGAAGCAUAAGGAACUCCUCUCAUGGAGAAAUGGGUUUUACUCUUGAGAUUUUUGGGACCAUGAAGAAUAAAGAUGUAAUUUCUUAUACUGCCAUUGUUUCGGGAUAUAUAAAUAGAGAACAAGUCGAUAUAGCUCGACAGUGUUUUGAUCAGAUGCCAGAACGAGAUUAUGUCUUAUGGACUACCAUGAUUGAUGGGUACCUUCGAGUGAAUAGGUUCAGAGAGGCUUUGACACUUUUUCAGGAGAUACAAACUUCAAAUAUAAUGGGAGACGAGUUUACCAUUGUUAGCAUUCUUACAGCUCGUGCGAAUCUGGGGGCACUAGAACUGGGAGAAUGGAUAAAGACUUAUAUUGACAAAAACAAAGUCAAGAAUGAUAUAUUUGCGGGGAAUGCUUUGAUAGACAUGUACUGUAAAUGUACUGUAAAUGCGGAGAUGUUGAGAAAGCUCAAAAGGUAUUCAGGAAGAUGCUUUGAAAGGUCAAAUUCACAUGGACGACCAUGAUUGUUGGCCUUGCCAUCAGUGGAAAUGGUGAUAAAGCUCUUGAUAUGUUUUCCCAAAUGCUCAGGGCUUCGAUCAAACCAGAUGAGGUAGCUUAUGUUGGUGUUCUGUCUGCCCGUACUCACAAUGGUAACGAAACUUUUGUGAUAAAUAGUUGCAACUUAAGGUGAGAACUGGAGGAAGGGAAAUAGAUUGAAGUUGUUCAAUCAUCAGUAGUUGCUACUUGGUUUUAAGUUGUUCAAUCAUCGGUCGUCUCUAUUUGGUUUUCUCCAAUAUCUCAUCUUCAAUUUUGACUCAGAUUGUAUCUUACCACUAGUAAUUACAUAGACUUGCUGCCAAAGGUAAGAAUGGGAAUAAAUUAAAUAGAUUAUGUCGAAAACGAAAUAAAUUUACUAUUGUUCUGUUCAUUCUAUUUGUUUCCUACAAAAUAUUUCUCCUGCCUAAAAUUUUUUGAAUCAGUAAGUUUUUACCUUAUGGAUGAAUUGUGUUGAGAGUAAUUCCAUUUCUCAGUCUCUUUAUGUUUCAAUGAAGACGUAAAACUUGUGUUCUAGUGCACCAACGUUUAUGCUUCUUACAAUUUGACUUUAAUUUACUUUGUAAAAUUUUUGUCAAAAAGUACUAAAAAGUAGUGCACCAAACACCAACUUUAUUACAGAGAGGACUUUAGUUAAAUUUUAAGAAAACACUCAAAAGAAAGAGUUGUAAAUUAUUAUAAAAAUAUUUCACAUAAAUAAAAGCCAUCCCAUGCUGCAAAGAUCUUGCUAUAAUCACCAAAAACUAUCGGGAGCUUUUAGGGUUUCCAUAAAAAUGCCAUUUCGUUCCAUGUAUAUGAUUCUAUAGUCUCACUGGCAAGUAAACCACAGCCCAACAGCACUGACUGUCCAUGAUGAUUCACCCCAAUGAACGAAACCAGCGUUGCAUCAUAUCUUUCUGUCAAGCAUGUAAUAUCAAUUGAUUUGAGCUAUUAACAUCAUUUCCAAAUACUCCAUUGGCAUCUACAUUACCAUUUCCCUCGGCAUCAAUGAUAAGAGUUCGAAACAGUCUAAUCUUUUGAACUUCUUCAGCACCAUCUAAGAGCAAUGUUCUUUUGGUUCCAAUACCCAUGUGCUUAUGAUAUUUGUAAAAUAAUUAUUUGUAAAAUAAUUAGUUCAAUUUUGACAUAAUACGGAAUAAACACAACCUGCCAAUCUAAGUUACUAUCUUUUCCCGUCAUCAGGUACCUGUUUGAAAAAUAAUUAUAUACAAUUUUAUUUGCGUCGUCCCUCUAAAAAUUUGGGACUCAAAUGUUAUUUCUAAUUGCUAAAAGUACGAAAUUGCCCCCUUUCUCUUCAGCUAAAGGAGUGCAAAGUCAUCUGUAUAAUUGAAUCUGCAUCAUCAGUUUCUAUUGCUGGCUGGUGUUACUGCAUGCUUACAGUUGCUUGACAAAGUGAGCCAGUUUUUUGUUUAUUAAUUUUUUUUCUUGUCGAGACAGUCACAAAGUAUUACUUGUUCUAUUUGAGAAUGAUGUGAAUCAAUUUUUCAAUUAUGCAUUCUGUGGUAAUUAUUGUGAAUUUAGUUUCAUUUGUCUUGUCUCCUGCAAAUUUUGAAGAAAAUGCAGACAUACAAAUUUACAAUAUGUAUUUGCGUUAGUAUAAAAACAAUUGUUAGAUGAUUAAAGCGAUUUAUUUUUUUUUUUACAGCAUUUGAUUGUAUUAGUUAAAAUCAUUUUUUAAGGAUAAAAAUAAAUAGAAAAUUAUUCUCAUGUAGUGUGGAAAUCUUUUCUAAUUUCUUGUUGACUUGUACAUUUAUUUCAGAAUUUCCAUUCAUUAAUUCUACUGUUUUAAUCUUUGACUUAGCUACCGUAGUUGACUUUUUAUAUCAAAGGCUUAAACAGCAUGCAUUUUUGAAUUGACUGAGAAUAAUUUGGUGGACAAAUUACUAGUAAAGGACUUCAAAUGGUUGAAUUGACUGUGGGUUUUUCAUGCCCAAGUCACUCGUCACGUCGUUUCAUCGAAACAAAGUGCCCGGUGCAAAUGGUGUGAUGUAAAACACCUUUUUAAAUUGUCAUUUUUUUUCCUUUGCUUUUGCUUUAAUUUUCUAAAUGCUCAACGCCAUAAAUCCAUGUAUUCUUAAUUUUCGUUUGCUGUAUUGAUUCCCAACCCUCUAUGUCACAAGGUUUUGAAUGCCAGUAAUUAAGUUAAAUUAAACAUAUUUUAAGUCCUACUUUAAAUUAUUGAAAAAUGUAUUAUGGUUGAACUGAAUUUUAACUAAAAAAUAUAUACAAAAUAAAAGAUUAAUCAUAUCUUUUUAUGAGGAAGGUCAGUCAUCAUUCUGACCACAGACACUUAAAAUUAAUUGAGUGGAAUAUUGCAAAAUAUAUAUAAACCAUGCCAAAACUAGAUGUUUGAGUAAUGAAAACGAGAAUUCAUAUGACUCAGAAAUAUGGUCGCUUUCCUUUUUCUGAAAGGCAAAAAAAAAGGGGGAACCAAAAAGGACCAAAAUGAACAAAAAUGGAAGGCGAAGGUAAGCAGACAUGUUAUAUGUUUUACCUAAGAUGCCAAAUGCAACUCCCCAUUGAUGGUGAUCGAACAUUAUGGCCAUUUUCUUAGUAAACAAAAAAUGAAUUUUGAACACUCAACAACGAAACUUGAGCAGAAGAUCAAGCAAGGGCCUCGAUCUCAAAGAAGAUACUAUGAAACCCUACUUAAUGGUUAAAUAACUUUCAUUCAGCUUUGGACCCUAUUUCGUGAUACGGAAAGACAAACCUUUCUUGGCCGGCAGUGUCCCAGAUCUGGGCUUUGAUGAUCUAGAGGUUGAUGGUGACAGUUCUGGUUUGGAACUCGACGCCAAUGGUUUAUUUCGAUUCAAAGCAAAACUCAUUCUUGGUGAAUCUCGAAAGAAUCUGAGACUUGCCCACGGCCGAGUCACCGAUCACCACUACCUUGAAUACAUAGUCUAUUUUGUCAGGAAUCAUAUUCUCUCGUUGUUGAUGACGAUGAUCGGUGCCAUCACCACUCAUUUCUUCGUUCAUUCAUUCUAUGUCCAUUGAUCUUUUUGAAUUAUUGAAGACAAGUGGCUCACCGCUUUUAGUAUUGGUAAAAUUCAGAUAAUCUCUAUUCCGAAAUAAUAAUAUUAAAAAUAUCUCUUAAAUCAUUAUAAACUUCAAAUCUAUUUUAAUUUUAUUUAAAAGAUAAAAGAAAAAUAAGUUAUGUUGGUGAUUUUUUAUUAUCUUUUUAAUAAAAAUAGAAUAAAUUGAUGUUUAUAAUUAUUUAAAGUAUUUUAAAGAUUGCUAUUUUAUGAGAGAAUAAUAUUUCAUUUUUUUUUUCGUGUGAAAGACCGAAAAAGGACAAAGCAAGUUUCCCUAAUUUUUAUUUUAUGUGAAAUUGGUCAUCUCAUAUACUUUACCCUUCAACACUCUAAUUUUUUUGGUUAUAAUUUUAUUAUUUUUUCUCUUUUACACAUGCAUGUGAAUUACUUUUCUUUAAGCUCCUGAAUAUUUAAGACAAAUCAUGGAAGAGAUGAGAGUAUAACAAGAUGAUCAAAAUAUGUAACAAAAAAAUUUUAGAAGUGAAAAAUAUGUUAGAGUCGAAGUAAAACUCUGAGGUGAUGUUUGAUUUGAAGAAAAUGGAGGAGAGAAAAAGAGUGGAAUGGAGAGGAAAAGAGAGAAAAGGAGAGGAGAGGAGAGGAGAGUGAACUUUUUUUCUAAUGUUUGGUUUGUCACAUAAAUAUACAAAGAAAGGAAAUCUCCAAUUUUUUAUUUAGACAAUUUUAACCUUAAUAAGUAUUAAGCUUUCAAUAUUUAUCAUGUGUAUAAUUUAAAAAAAGUAAAUGGUAGAAAGCGGUUUCUGAUUCCGGCCACAUCGCCGGCAAUGGAAGGUACUUAUCAGAACAUCAAGAACCGGCCAUCAUUCCCUAGCCAUCACUGCUGUAGGAACACUGCUAAAAAGCUGCCGAUUGAACCGCGAAAAGUCGUGGAAAUCGUUGCCUCAAAUCGGUGAGUUUCGCCUUUUUCUGGUCAUGCCGUCGCCUUGGCUUUGUCCAUCAACGCUGCCACUUCCAUUUCAACCAUCCAUAGCCACUAUUAACCGCCAAAUCGCCGCCGAUCAGCGGGAUCUGUGGAAGUUAAAAAGUUUCUAAAAUUUUUUAAUUGGAUUUGAACAACAUACAACCAUUUUUUGAUCUCAAUAACGACAUAGUAAUGUUGAUCGUUGGUCGGCAAGUCGAAUGGUAGUGGCGGUGAGUAACACGCGCCAAUGACAUCGGCGGCGGCGGCGGCACUAUCCGGCUACUGUUAAAAUUAAUAUUUUAUAUUUGUAGAUUAAAUAAAUUUAUUUUAUUAAACUUUUUAAAUCAUUAUUUAAAUUUAAUUAAUUUAAAAUUAUCUAUGAUGUUGAAUUGAUAAAAUAAAUUUAUAAAUAAUAAUUAUGUGAUUACAUUAAAUAAGUUAAAAAGUUGAAGGGUUAUUUUUGGAAGAUUUAGUUUCCAACACAAAGGGAAUUUGAAUUCUUCACUUCUUAGUGUGGAAUUCAAAUUCUAUAUUGUAAUGGAUAUUAAAUUCCAAUAGAAAUUAAAUUCUUAUAAGUUAUGUCAAACCAAACAACGGAAAUAAAAAAAAAGAAUUUAAAUUACUUUCCUUUCCUCCACCCUCUCCUUCCAACCAAAUACAUCCUGAAAAUAGAGAUAUUGAUUAAUUUAGAAGAGAUGCAAGCAAAAGAUAUUCCACAAAAAAAAAAAAGCAAUAUGUCCCUUUGGAGGGCAAACUUGUCAGUUUUAAAAAAGUACAUGCUUUGGAUUGAUAGUUGUAGGAUAUUUGUUUUGUCACUAUGUGUUAGUUGGAGAAGUCAAGCCUUGUGAAGAAUGUUAUGAAAGAGCAAAGGAUAUUCCUGAUAGCUGAUAGAGCUCUAUUUGAUUAUGUAUCCAAUGAAUGGAUGUGUUGUUGGAAGAUAUUUGAGUGCAUUAGUUCAUAUGUGUCUAUCAAUGUGAUUUUAAUGAUUUUUCCACUUGUUUGUUGUAAAAGAUUAUUGUAAAUUGAAAUGAACUUGAUGUUGUAAUAUUUUCUCCUUAGUAGAAUUUCACCUAGUAUGUAUUUAGUUGUGUUGUCUAUAAUUUUGCAUUCGAAUAAGUUUCACCUAAAAUAUUAGCAUGAGUAGUGGCCCUUGAAACUUUGGUCAAAAUUAUUGUUAUUAUUUCCGACUAGAUGUAAAUUUUUUAUUAAAUCUCGCUAACACAAUUCUUAAUUAAAAGUAUAGGUUAGUGUUGGUGCAAGACUUGCCACACCAAAUUCUGCCUAACUGUCAAAAGUGCAAAAUAAAUGAAGAGAAAGCACAAAUACACGACUUGAAUAAGGAUACAACGAAACUUAAAUUCAAGAGAAAAUGAUAGCUAUAUCUCAAGAUUUGAAAAAACGGUCAUGUAGAUUUUUAAGAUUUCAAUAAGCGACUGAGAUUCAAAUAAUAUCCUUUAAUUCUAUUAACAAAAAACAAAGACUCAAAUAUUUUAUGAUAAAUAAAAAUAUAAUAUUAAAAUAUAUGUGAUAAUAUACACAUUUUAAAUACUUUCAAUCCAAAAAAAUAGUUAUGUUUUACAAUCUAUUAGACAUAUUUUAUUAAAUUAAUAUAAAUUUUCUAUAAAAUAAGAAUAUAAUAUUAAAAUAAAUUCACAAAAAUUUAAAGAAUUUUGAAUGUAAAAUAAUUUUAAUAUAUCAAUACGUGAGUUUUUUUAUUAAUAUAAAAUUUAUUUAACUUUAAGAUUUUUUAAAAUCUUUACAAUAAGUAUAACUAUAUUAUUUACAUUUAAAAAUAUUUAAAUAUUAUUAACCUACAAUUAUAUUUGCAUUUGUUAGAAAUUUUUUAAGUCAAAUAUUUUGCACUUCUAUAUUAUUAGAAUUAUUGCACAAAAAGAAAGAAACAUACACCUUUAGAAAUUGUUUUCUUUUAAAAUAGAGAUGAUGAUUAGUAUAAGGAUGAAAAAAAGGAUAAAGAAUAUUAAUGAUUAACGAAAUCUCUAUACAAAUUGAUUUUAGUAGGAAAAGAGUGAGAUGAAUGAUUUCUUUUACAGUUAGAAACAUAGAUGAUGAUUAUUAUAACGAAGAAAAAAAGAUAAAGAAUAUUAAUUAUUAAUGGAAUCUCUAUACAAAUUGAUUUUAGUAGGAAAAAAAUGAUUAAAUGAUUUAGAGUGCGUUUGGAAUUGAGAUUGGGCAGCCAUAGAUUUUAAGUUACAACACUGAAGUGUUUAGUAAAUACUAGUUGCUGCAGAUUGAAAGUUAUGUUGAUAUGAUUUUUCACAUGUAUCAUAGAAAAUAUAUUACAUCUUUAAUAUUUUUUAAAAAUUUAUAUUUGCUAUAUAUUAUUAAUUUUUUUUUAUAGUUAUAACUUUUUUUCCACAACAGUUGUAGCUUAAAAGUCACAGCACCUCAAUCUCAAACAAAUCCUUAGACAUUCAUAGUGUGUUUAUUUUUUGGAUUGGUGAAUCAAAAUUAUUGACAACGCUAACUUCAUCUUCACUGUUCGCAAUCCAACAGCAGCAAUUGUCGCCAAUAAUGAUAUCUCCAAUGAUGAUGACAAUUAUUAUUAUUAUUUUUAUUAUUAUUAUUAUUAUUAUUAUUAUUAUUAUUAAUUAAUUAAUUAAUUAAUUAAUUAAUUAAUUAAUAUAUUAAUGUUGAUAUUAUUAUUAUUAAGAUUAACAAUAAUUAUUAGUAAUACAAUUUUUUGAAUAAAAAUAAUCACAAUAAUUAAAAUACAAAUUAAUAAUUAUGACAAUAAUUAAUUAAUGUCUUUUUAGUAAUUUGUAAUAAUCUAACUCAUUUUGGUUCUGAUUAUUACAGCUUAAGUAAACAAAUUAUUAUGAUUCCUAUUCUCCUUUCCCAUUUUAACUCACUUUGAUUCCAGUCUAUUCCGAUUUCUAUUUAAUAAAUGCACCAUUAGUGCUAAAGUAAUAUUUCAUACAUAGAAAAAUAAAAACUACGCCUAAGGUUAAGGGAAAAGACUUCAAAAUUCUCUUUUGAUCAUAAUACAUUUUGUCCUAAUUAACUUAAAGAUUUUGAAUCUAAUAUUUUAUAAUAAAUAAAAAUAUAUUCCUAAAAUAAAUAUAAUAUCAAUAUUUAAAAUAUGUUUUAAUAUUUUACAAUCUAUCAUACACAUUUUAUUAUAUUAAAGUAGAUUUAUAAUAAAUAUAUAAAAAUUUAGAAUAUUUAGAAUAUUAUAUAAAAUAAUUUUAAUAUAAUGCGUGAUAUAUAUUUUAUUAAUUUAAAAUGUCAUUUUACCUAAAAAAUAUGAUAAAUUAAUAAUUACAUAUUUGAAGUUAUUUCAAAUAUUAAAAAAAUUUAAUAUUAUUAAUCUUUUAGAUAGAUUAAAUUAUUUUUUAUAAGAGAGAUUAAAUUAUUUUAAAAUGCCUUAAUUGUUUUUACUUUUAACGUUACGGGCCUUUCUUUUAUUUUAUUGCAAAUUAAUGCUAACUAGAAAAACAAAAACAAAAGUGACAAACACAACCAGCUGGAAUCUUUUAUAAAACUACAAAUUAAAAUGGAUUUUUUUUUUUUGUUGAUAAAUUACACAUGAAAGUGGAUUCUUUUGAAUAUAAGUGGGGUAGGCUCUUUUAUUUUUUUUUUAAUACCGUAUAACAGGACUGUAGACUCUUUUAUUAAGCACAAAUAUAGAGUUGUCGAGACAAUUAGGGUCUUUUAUUAAACUACAAAUUGUAUAGUCUUUUUUAAAUUGUUCAGAUAUUUAUAAAUUGGUGGCCCCUACAAUCCUCAAUAAUUGUACCGAUAUUCACAAGCUGGUGGCCCCUACAAUCCUUAAUAAUUGUUUUUUUUUUUUUCUGCAUUCCCUUUCAUGCUCUUAAUAAUUAAAGAGCAUACUUUUCAAAUGUGGAGCCGCGGCUAAUGUCGCUAAUUUAAUUUGGGAUUAAAUUAGGGGACUAUUAUAUUGCAGUGUGCACUAAUUUUUAUGUUUAUCUAAACUCCUUAAAUUUAAGAUAUAUUAUGGCAUAAAUAAGAAUAUAACAAUAGCAAAAGAGUUAGAAAGUGUAGAGAAGAUCUUGCAGAAAUAUAAAUAAUAUUUAUUUUAAAAUAAUAUCAAUAUUUAAAAUAAUUUUUAUUAUUUUAUGAUCCAUUAGAUAUAUUUUAUUAUAUUAAAGUAAAUUUUAUAAUAAAUAAAAACAUACUAUUAAAAUGAAUAUAUAGAAAAUUUAGAGUAUUUUAAGUAUUAUAUAAAAUAAUUUUAAUAAAAUAUGUGAGAUAUUCAUAUUUUAUUAAUUUAAAAUACCAUUUAACCUAAAGAUUUAUUUAUGAUAAAUUAAUAAUUAUAUUUUUGAAAUUACUUCAAAUAUUAAAAAAAUUAAUAUUACUAAUCUAUUAGAUAGAUUAAAUUAUAUAUAUUAUUUUCUAUUUAUUAAAAAAUUUCAAAUUAUUUUUAAUUACUAUUCAAAAAAUAUGAUGAUAAAAAAAUCUUAACAUCUUUAUUAAAAAAUUAAAAACUUACAUGAUCAAUUCUCUAAAUAUUUAGGGUAUAUGUGAACCACGGUGGACAGAGGUCAUUACUAAAAUUUCUCUUCCACAGGCAAUUACAGCAGCUCCAGUUUAUCAAACUCAACCAAUUUUCUUUCUUAACAAAAUUCCAAAGAUGUGUAGCUUUUUUCAGAUCACAUGCGAUGGUGCUUUUUUCAAUCGUUGCUUGGAUUGCUUUCUUGGAAAAGCAGCAUACAUACGUAACCUCCAAGAUAAUCUUGAUGCCUUGGACACUGAACUGGGAAGACUAAUCGCAGCAAAGAACGAUGUGAUGAUUAGGGUUGUCAAUGCUGAACGGCAAUAAAUGAGAAGGCUGGACGGAGUGCAAGUGUGGGUUUCGAGUGUGGAUGCUGUUAAAACUGGAGCCGAUGAACUUAUCACAGACGGCUCUGAAGAAAUUGGCAAAUUAUGUGUUGGAGGCUACUGUUCCAAGAACUGCAGGUCAAGCUACAAAUUCGGAAAACAAGUGGCUAGAAAGCUACGAGAUGUGGAGACUUUAAUCGCCGAAGGAGUUUUUGAGGCGGUGGCUACUGAGGUGGUGCCUGAGAGAGCUCCAGAGCCUGUAGCAGAUGAAAGACCUACCGAGCGAAAAGUAGUAGGCUUGCAAUCACAACUUGAACAAGUCUGGACGUGUCUUGUGGAAGAAUCAGCGGGAAUCAUUGGCCUAUACGGUAUGGGCGGUGUUGGUAAAACCACACUAUUGACCCAUAUCAACAAUAAAUUUCUCGAGAGUCCAACCAACUUUGAUUGUGUGAUUUGGGUAGUAGUUUCAAAAGACCUGCGACUUGAAAAACUUCAAGAAGAUAUUGGGAAAAAGAUAGGUUUGGUUGGUGAUUCAUGGAAGAGUAGAAGUGCAGAGGAGAAAGCUCUCGACAUCUUCCGGAGUCUAAGAGGGAAGAGAAUUGUAUUGUUGUUAGAUGAUAUAUGGGAGCGGGUUGAUUUAACAAAAGUGGGCGUUCCACUUCCUGGACCACAAAAUACUACCUCAAAAGUCGUAUUCACAACNNNNNNNNNNNNNNNNNNNNNNNNNNNNNNNNNNNNNNNNNNNNNNNNNNNNNNNNNNNNNNNNNNNNNNNNNNNNNNNNNNNNNNNNNNNNNNNNNNNNNNNNNNNNNNNNNNNNNNNNNNNNNNNNNNNNNNNNNNNNNNNNNNNNNNNNNNNNNNNNNNNNNNNNNNNNNNNNNNNNNNNNNNNNNNNNNNNNNNNNNNNNNNNNNNNNNNNNNNNNNNNNNNNNNNNNNNNNNNNNNNNNNNNNNNNNNNNNNNNNNNNNNNNNNNNNNNNNNNNNNNNNNNNNNNNNNNNNNNNNNNNNNNNNNNNNNNNNNNNNNNNNNNNNNNNNNNNNNNNNNNNNNNNNNNNNNNNNNNNNNNNNNNNNNNNNNNNNNNNNNNNNNNNNNNNNNNNNNNNNNNNNNNNNNNNNNNNNNNNNNNNNNNNNNNNNNNNNNNNNNNNNNNNNNNNNNNNNNNNNNNNNCAGGAAGUCCUAGUGCGUGCUAUCAGAAAAGAUGCUGGGAACUGUUUCGCGAAAAUGUUGGGGAAGAAACUCUUGAGAGUGAUCAUGAGAUCGUUGAGCUAGCCCAAACUGUGGCCAAAGAGUGUGGUGGUUUGCCACUCGCACUUAUUACUAUUGGUCGAGCUAUGGCCUACAGAAAGAAAGCGGAGCAGUGGAGACGUGCAAUUGAAGAGUUAAGAAGAUCAGCUUCAGAGUUUGCAGGUUUGGGAAAAGAGGUGUAUCCUCUUUUAAAGUUUAGCUAUGAUAGUUUGCAGAAUGAUACAAUUAGAUCUUGUUUCUUGUAUUGUUGUUUAUAUUCUGAAGAUUAUGGCAUUCUUAAAUGGGACUUGAUUGAUUGUUGGAUUGGUGAGGGAUUUUUGGGGGAAUCUGACAGGUUUGGUGCAGAAAACCAAGGAUAUGACAUUUUGGACACUCUUGUUCGUGCAUGUUUAUUAGAAGAGGUGGAAGAAGAUGAAGUAAAAAUGCAUGACGUUAUUCGUGAUAUGGCUAUAUGGAUAACCAGUGAAAUUGAGAAGGAGAAGAGAAACUUUUUGGUUUGUGCAGGUGCUGGAUUAGAAGAGGCACCGGAUGUUAAAGAAUGGGAAAAUGUGAGAAGAUUGUCAUUGAUGCAAAACCAAAUUGAAACUCUGUUUGGGGUUCCCACAUGCCCUCAUCUCAUCACUUUAUUUAUUGACUUUAAUAGGGAGUUGAAGACUAUCGCGGAUGGCUUCUUCCGAUGUGUGCCUUCUCUCAAAGUUUUGAAGAUGUCAAACUGUGGAAAGCCUUAGAAAGGUUUGGAAUUACCUUUGGGGAUGUCAAAGUUGGGUUCACUACAACUUCUUGAUAUUUCACACACCUGCAUACAAGAAUUACCACAAGAAUUAAAGUUGUUGGUAAAUCUGAAAUGUUUGAAUUUGAGGCGGACAAUUUGGUUAAAUAAAAUUUCAUGGCAACUAAUAUCAAAAUUUUCAAGGUUACGUGUGUUGAGAAUGUUCGCUACUGGCUGGUUCAGUUUUCAUGAAGCACCAGAAGACAGCGUUUUAUUUGGUGGGGGUGAAGUUUUGAUACAGGAAUUGCUCGGUUUGAAAUAUUUAGAGGUAUUGGAGUUGACCUUGGGAAGUUAUCAUGCUCUCCAAAUUCUUUUGAGCUCAAAUAAGUUAAAAAGUUGUAUUCGAUCUCUUUUCCUACAGUUGUUCAGAGAUACAACGUCGAUUAUUGAUGCUACGGCUUUCGCAGAUCUAAACCACCUCAAUCAAUUAUGUAUUAGUAACGGUUCUGAGUUGGAAGAAUUGAAGAUUGAUUAUACGGAGAUAGUACGAAAAAGGCGGGAACCUUUUGUUUUCCGCAGCCUUCAACGUGUUACCAUAGAGGAGUGCCAUAAAUUGAAAGAUUUGACAUUCCUCGUUUUUGCUCCAAACCUCAAGUCUCUUUCGCUAUACGAUUGCGGUGCUAUGGAAGAAAUAAUCAGCGUCGGAAAAUUUGCUGAGACUCCUGAGAUGAUGGGACAUAUAAGCCCUUUUGAAAAUCUCCAAAUGCUUUAUUUAAUGGCAUUGCCGGAGUUGAAGAGCGUCUACUGGAAGCCAUUGCCUUUCACUCAUCUGAAAGAAAUGGAGGUACUUGGGUGUGAUCAGCUUAAAAAGCUUCCACUCGAUUCCAACAGUGCAAAAGAGCGUAAAUUUGUAAUUCUUGGAGACACACAGUGGUGGAACCGUCUUCAAUGGGAGGAUGAAGCCACUCAAAUUGCUUUUCGUUCCUAUUUCCAAACCUGAUUCCUGAGCGGUGGUCGCAAAAUUUGAUUUCUGGUGAGUGCGUUUGUCUUUUAAAAGAAGAAUUUAAAAGAAAUUUAUUCUUGUCGUUUUCUUCUCUGUUUUUAUUUCAGUUUGUUUCUCUCUCUCUCUUUUUGUCUUCUGCAAAUCACAAUUAAAUGUUGAAUUAAUGGAAUUAAUGCUUCAUAAAUUUGCCGGCACUGCCAGUACUUUUUUUUUUUUUUAAUACGAAUUGAUGCUUUAUUUAUUUCUUCUUAGCGAUUUAAUUUCCUGUCAAAAGACGAGCGAGAAGAACAUAUGACUUAAACCAAUUGAUACUUUAUUUAUGUGCAUUGUAUGUAAUAAAAUUUUCUCUGUUUUUUUCAAAUUGAGGCUUUAUUUAUAUUUUCUUCGUGAAGAGUGAUUUAAUUUCCUGCCAAAAGACAAACGAGAAGAACAUUAGAGUCAAACUAAUGCUCACAUAAAUUUCCCGUAAGAAUAUAUAUAUAAUUAGACUGGAAUGCACACCUCUAGAUUGAACAGAAUUAAAGCUGAGAAAAUAUUGAGUAUAGUAGCCCUCUUUACAGAAAAUGACGCGAAAGUUAAUUUAGAAAGAUAUAUUCUUGAUUAAUCCAUUUUCUGAAGUUUUUUAUUUUGUAUGGUCAAUUAUACCUUCAUACUAAAAAAAAAAAAAAAAAAGAGAAAAUAUGUAAUCCAUGAAUGGUUAAUUUUGUUUGUUUGUUUUUUUUUCUUAAAUAUCAUUCUUUUUCGGCCACCCAAGGACAUUUUCACAAAUACCUUUUGUGUGCAGAAGUCUUCCAAACCAUCAAUGGAAAAAUAAAAAAUAAAAAAAACACGGUCCAGUAUACCUCAAAAUAUCAUUGAUGACUUUUCUGGUCUAAUGCUAUGUAAAUAGUAUGUUAAGUAAAACAUAAUCAGUUCAGUACCUCACAAAUAAUUCGCAAUAUCUACAAAAUACUAUAAUGGCUACAAAACAAAUCCUGCUUGCAAAUUGUCAAGGAUACCUAUCCGUUCGCUUGACAAGUCAUUUGAAUAAAUAUUGUUCACAUUCCUUACUCUGUCAAUUAUCCAAAGCACCAUCAACUUUAGUUUGAAUAGUAUACAUGCCAUCACCGUUACCAAGAAUCAAGCAUGGAAGGGUCAUUCUAUAGAGUGCAGAACAUGACUCUAUGCGGUAGUCAAUUUGACACACGACGAACACCAUAUGCUGCAUAACAUACAAAUUAAUUUCCCAUAUGUGAUGCAAUUUUCUCCUCAACAUAUGCGCAAUUCUUUCCAUUCCGGCAUUUACACUCAAAUUUUCCUUCCUUUCUCUUUGUGGUUGAAUCUUACACCACAACUCAUGUGAUGCAAUCUCCUCUCGCUGCCUAAAUUGCACUCUCAGCAAAGCAGCAUAUGUAAGCAAGCUUGAAGAUAAUCUUGCUGCUCUGCAGAAGAACGGCAAAAGUUAAUCGAAGCAAGGAAUGAUGUAUCAGAAAAUAUUUGGUGGAGAAUUCAGCACAAACAUAUUUCGGAUGAUCAGAAUCAAUAAAACCUGGUGGUUGUGCCAUAUAAACAUCUUUGGAAAGCUGACCUUGAAGAAAGGCGUUAUUGAUAUCCAAUUGAUGAAGAGGCCAGCCAUGACUAACAUCAAUACUAAGAACAAGCCGUACUGUGGUGGACUUAACAACUGGACUGAAAGUGUCAUAAUAGUCCACACCAGGCCAUUGAUUGAACCCUUUGGCAACAAGAUGAGCUUUAAACCUGUCAACAGAACCGUUGGAAUGUCUUUUAAUACAAAAAUCCAUUUGCAGCCAACAAUAUUGGAAGGGAUGGGAGGUGGAACAAGCUUCCAUGUCCCGUUACGAACAAGAGCAUCAUACUCUUCUGACAUAGCUGGACGCCAGUGAAGAUUUUUGAUAGCUUGCGUCACAGUUGUAGGUUCACAAUCAGAAGAAGGGCUAAAAUGAGCACGGAGGUUAAGUUUUUGUAACGGCUUGUGAAUCUUAUUUUUAGCUCGGGUAGUCAUAUCAUGAUGACUUGUGGGGCAAUGAUCUAGUGGAGUUUAGGAAGAUGAUUGAACAGGAAGUGAAGAAGUGCUUUGUGUAGAGGUAGAAGUAGGUUGGGAGGAUUGCUGCGGAGAUGUUACCGGUAGAGAAGAAGGAGCAGUACACGGUGGCAACUCCAGAGGGCCCACAAUAGAUGGAGUAGGUGCCGACAAUGGAGUACUAGGAAAUGAAACAGGAAGAAUUGGUGGAACACUUGCAUAAUUAGGAGUGGUAGAUGAGCUUGUAAUGAUUUGCAUGGAAAAACAAACUCUACAAAUUUAACGUGACGUGAAAUAAAAAUUUGAAAGGUGGAUGGGUCAAAACAUAAAUAAGCACUUUGAGAUAAAGGAAUAUCCUAGAAAAACACAAGGCUUAGAGGGUGGUUCGAGUUUAUGUGAUGAAACACAAACAUUCAAAAAAUUUUAAGUUUAUAUUAAUUAGGAGUGGUACCAAAAAUUAAUUAGCUAUGGGGUUGUUGGAUGUGUUUUGGAUAUUUACAGUUAAGUUUGAGUAUCUCAACUUAAAAUUUGUAGUUUUCACUUGAAAAAAUUCAGUUAAAUUUUGCAAUGCAGACUGAUUGAUUUAUCAGUUUAACGUGUGCCAGGAAUGAAGAACUGGAAUAUCACCGUCAAGCAAGCACCCUGUGGAGCAAUACCAAAGAAUGCACAAUCUGGCUUUGCUAGGUAACACUGGAGGCUUUUUGAAAAGUGCUUCACGCUCACUUGCACAGAUUGAGCAUCCCCUCUGGAUAUUGCCCUCUCUGAUCGAGUCUGAGCACUCAAAUUUUGGUCCUCAGAGGGAGCUACAGUUUUCUCUCCACUAACCAACAAUAUUCUAAACUCAGCACCUAGUGUGAUCAGAGUUGUUGAUAUUUGCAAAUGGAGAUCCCCAUAUUUGCAAAUGGAGACAUUUAACAAAUCACCAACAUGCUUCAUCCGGUCCACGAAAUUCUGCAACUGAUGCAAAUCUGGAACCUGAACCAGAGUCGGAGGUAUAUCUUGAGCCAUAUCUAAAGCAGUUUGAAGUUCAAGACCUUGAGCCCUUGACAAUGGUUUUGAAAUUGGAACAUCUUGGAUUACUGCAGACUUGUACCCCUUGGUUUCAAAGGUAAGGAAAGGCAUUGCUUGAGUACAAUUUGGAGGCAGCUUCUUCACCAAUUUUAUUUGGAGGCGAUUGGCAGCGGAUCCAGCUGCACCAAUUUCAGAGCAACUACUGACACUACUUCGAACAGCACACUGAAGAAGUGAUAUGUCUACGGCGAAGGCAAUGCAGUCCUCAUUUUGGCUUGAGACACAGUAAUCAUCGAAGAGAGUUUCCUUGUGAAACUGGGCAACACAUUGAAUCCCUUCGGCACUGAGAAGGUUGUGGAGGAAGUAAGCUUUCUCUCUAGUAAGGAAGAGGUGGCAUACAUUCCCCAUUUUGUCUAGGGCAGGUAGGAAUCUUUUUUCUAAGAGAUUUACUUCAUUCUCUGUGAGAAAUGCUUUGAACUUCAUCCCUCUGUCUCUAUCCUCACUUAUCAGUAAAAUAGUUGAAAGCGCUACAAGGAGAGAAAAGAAGAGUAUUAAGAUAUAUAUAUUAUAUAGACAAGAAAAACAUUAGAUGUCGAUCUUACAAGCUAAUACUUCAAACAAUAUCCUAGAAAGCUAAAAACUGCAAGAUGGCUUGAAAUUUGAAAAGAGCACGUGCUUUUCCUCCUUAACUUGAGAAAAUGUUUAAUAUAGUGCACCUUACAGAAGCAUUUAAGCAAUUAGAACUUUGCACAAAAACAUCAAGAAGACUAAACAAGUCAGAUGCAGUGUAUUUGUCCAAGCACAAAUUGCAUUUUGUCCUCAACUUUAAUAUUUAUUGAUGAGAAUCAAUACAGGUCCCUCAUUUGUUAUAGAAAGCUUUCUUGUAGUCUCACCAGUUAAUAUGGAUAUUAGAUAAGGAAACUUUAUUAGGUUGCGAGGGUAAAAAAGGAAAGAGAUAUCAUUAUUUUAUUAUCGAUAAUUAUUAAAUUUUUUUCCAAAAAAAAGAACAAGCAAGGAUAUUUUAUUGUCAAUUGCAACCUUUAAUUUUUUUAAAUGCUAUUAGAAACACAAGAUAACAAAAAUGUAGUGAGAUGGGAUCUCCUGCAUGCCACUCUGGUUUAGAACACAAAGAAUGUGUCUGCAUAAAUAUCCUCUGAAAUUGAACAACCCACAAACACAAAGCACCUCCAAGUCGGAGGCAUUGUACAAAACAUCAAAAGCCCUUGAAUCCUUCUCGUUGCCACCAACCUCGAAUUCUUCCUUCACUAUGUAUGUUAUAGGUCCAUCAGAACUAAUAUGUUUUGUGCUAUAGUAAGAGUACAUAGCCUCCACCUCCAUCUGAAACUUCCUUAACAUUUCAUUUGUGUACAGUUUUGAGAGUUGAAAUUCAUAGUAACAUCUUGGUUUCCGGAUACAACUUGAAUUUCUUGAAUCCAUAUCUGCCAAGGCUACCAGUUGAUAAUUCGCCUGCAGUGCUUGAUCAUACUUGUCUAAGAAUUCUUUCAAAGGAGUAUUCUUAUCAAGAUAUCCUUCAAAGUAUGAAGUAGAAACCUCAUUCUGCAGGAACGAAAACACUCCUGAUAAAAAAGCUUCCUUCAAAUAAAUAGGAGCCCACCUUUUAUGAUCUUCAUAUAAAGUUUGAAUCCAUCCGUGAUCCUUUAUUCCAUGACAUUGAAUCAUGUCUUCCCAAGCUGCUUCAAAUUUCUCAGGCCUGAGAGAGUGAUAAAUUGCUCUAUGUAAUGCAGCUUUAAUAGCUUCAUAUUCAAACAAUCCUUGGAGUUUCUCUGGAAUUUUUUUGCAUGAUGCAUGACAAUGAAAAGAAAUGAUAAGCUCUUGGGAAAACAUCACCAACAGCAAUUUGCAAGAUUCUACAUUGGUCAGUGAUGAUUGUUUGUGGAGAGCGCCCUAACAUACAUGUAAGCCACGCCGUAAACAACCAUGUAUAUGAUUCUAUGGUCUCACUGGCAAGUAAACCACAACCCAACAACACUGAUUGUCCAUGAUGAUUCACCCCAAUGAAUGAAACCAGUGGUACAUCAUAUCUUUCAGUCAGGCACGUAGUAUCAAUUAAGACCACAUCACCAAAGUACCUAUAUGCAACUCUUGACCUGGUAUCAGUCCAGAAUAGGUUUUUCAAGCAUCCCUUUUCAUUUAGAUCCACUACAUUAAAAAAGUUUGGAUCUGUCAACUGCAAAUGACAAAAGAAACUCUGGACAGCUUGUGCAUCUCCUGGUUUAAGCUUCAAUUGAUUUGAGCUAUUAACAUUAUUUCCAAAUACUCCAUUAACAUCUACCAUUUCCCUUGGUAUCAAUGAUAAGAGUUCGAAACAGUUUAAUUUUUUGAACUUCUUCAGCACUAUCUAAAUGCAAUGUUCUUUUGGUUCCAAUACCUAUGUGCUUAUGUGACUUGUAAAACUUUCCGCUUCUUGGGCUUAACAAGUGGUUAUGCUCAAGCUCGACUUCAAUGAUUCUCCACCUUUUGGUUUCCAUCAACCUAAACUUUAUCAUUGCUGGACAGCCAGUUCUUGUUUCUGGUCUUGGGCGGUUUGCCUCGCUUUUCUUCUUGAAGCCUGCACUACUACAGCUCAGCUUUCCUCUAUACUUUUCUCUACUCUUUCGGUACCAUGGAUUGCUAACUCUAACACCAAAACCCUGUUCCUUGGCAUAGCAAUUGUAAAAGUAAUAUACAUCAUCAUACAUCUCAAACUCCAUUCCAACAGUAGGAGGCAAGGGAUUUUGGAUUAUCCCAGUUUGUCCAACAUAUUCAGUCAUCGCACAAUCUCCUACAACCUCAAAAUCAUCAGUGUCAUCAUCACCUACUGGUUCGGUGUUGAGAGAAACUUCAUCCAUCUACAAUGGAUGUUCAAUGAAGUGAGCUUUAAGGAGAAAAAGCAAAAUCUGUUCAAGGAAUGAUAAUAUAAUCAUACAGUUACUUUCACAAAGCUUCAUAUUUCAUCACUGCUUUACCAACAUGCAACUGCCAGAGAACAAACAGACAUGUCAUAGACGCUUGAAUUAAGUAUUGGUACAAAUGAGCACACAUCAUGUGGGACAAAAUUUCAGUCACUAAACCCAAUACCACUUUUUACAUCAUACCAAGGAACAGAUUAAACCCGACACCUUCUUUUAAACCAUACCAAGGAACAGAUUAAAUCAUCAAUGAAAAAUUAAUCACAUAAUAACUUAACCAGACAAAUGAAGAGCCUGAAACAGCACAAAACUUGAAUCUGAUUAUGAUAAUUGUUGAGUCCUUGUAUCUACAGCUUUCCUUCAAUGAUAAGACAAUGAACAUAAACGAGACACAAAAAAAUUAUUUUAAACUGACAGCCCAUGAUAUAAAUCAAACAAAAUCAACUCCUUUUUUUACACAUUACAUCUCAUAUUCAUUUACAUUGAAACACAAAAAGGAAGCAGGAGUGGGAAAAAAACAACAGCAGAGGAACUUAUUUCCAUAAGGUUUACGAAAUAAGGAAUCUAUUAAAACCCAAAACUUGAGGUCACCACUAAGAAUUUGGUUCUCAUUAUUUUUUUCUUCAUUUUUCACCAAUUGAUGAACUUAAAAUACAAUCAUAAAUGAUAAAACCCCAUCUCCAUCUUUUUGAACUAGAGCUAAAGCAAAGCAUUUUAAGAUGUUUCAUCAUUUUUUUUUUUAAAAAAAACUCAAUAGUACAAUGUUUUUCAAUGCUAAAUGCACAAUUCAAUCUUCUCCUAAUUUACUCUAAUAAUCUCUUAAUUAAGGAAGAUUAAGCUUCAGUUGUAAGCUAAAACAAAUUUCUUAAAUCAAGCCCCAAUGCUUUAUGCUAUUCAACAAGGGCUCAUAAAUGAUAAAACUACUUCUAUAAAGAUACCCAUUUUCUAAAUUAAUUUCACAAACUGAAAUCAAACUCCUGAAACGUAACGAGCAUUAAUAUAAUCAAGCCCGAACAAGAAUUGAAAAAUGAUACAUAAACUCGUUUACACAUUUCGACAGACACUUUGCAAUCAAUGAGCAAAAAAUUAAUGGAGAAGAUAAAAUUCAAACGAAACAUGCCUUACAUUGAUAAAUUAGAAGGGCAAAAGAAAUUUUAGUACGAUAUGCGAUCAGGGUCUUGCCACGGUGAUGUUAUUUGUGAAGUUCGAGCGACUCAGCAGCCUUCGAGGUUGAAAAUUUGAUUGACCAAAAGCUUCCCGUUCGUUGAUUCUCUAAUAGUAGAAACGAGACUGGCAGUAUACACAAGAAGUUCGCCGAUUUUAAAUUCCGUUGUUUGAGAUGGAAAAUUUUUUGAAAAAAUUAAUGUGUUCGAUGAAAAUCAAAAUCUCAAAAACCUCUUGUUUUUCAUUUUUUUGGAAAAAACCAUUGAGAUCCUUACUAUUUUUUCUUAUAUCAUCUUCCUUAAUAAUUUGCAAAGUCUAUCGCAUAGCACCCAUGUAUGAUGUAUGCUGCGUUGUAAUUUACAAAAUUGCACAUGAAUAAAUCCAGCUAAAAUUUGUUAAAAGAAAAUAAUAAUAACAUGUUAAAACUUUAAAAUUUGAUUAUUCGAAGAAAUUUUAAUUUAGUUAAGUAGGUGACAUGAUAAUAAAUAGAUACGUAUAAUGUCCGAGAUUUUUUAUAAGAUUAAUAAAUAUGAUAAAUUUGGAUUAGUUCAAUUUUGACAUAAUUCAUAAUAAACACAGCUUGCUAAUCUAAAUUGCCACCGUUACUCAUCAUCAGGUACCUGUUUGAAAAAUAAUUACAAACAAUUUUAUUUGUGUUGUUUCUCUAAAAGUUUGAGACACAAAUGUUAUUUCAAAUUGAUAAAAGUACGAAAAUUCCCCCUUGCUCUUCAACUAAAAAUGAAACAUGCAAAUAUACACACUAAUUUAGAUGUGUGAAUAACAAAUAUGGAACGACACAUGCAAAGUCAUCUGUAUAAUUGAAACGCCAUGCACUAGUAGUAGGUAAGAGAAACCAAGGUUGAAGUUGCUCCAAUGGUUACUGUUAAUUUAUUUUUAUUUAUGAUUUUUUUUGUAAAAUGUAAGAAAUAUGUAGAAAUGUUGCCAGCAAUGAUUUUGGAACUUUGCAUAAAAUUUUUAUCAUUAUUGUUUUUGGUAUUAAGAAAUCCGAGGCGGUGAUUAGACGUAUGUUGCAACAAUUAAGAAAUUUCUUAUUGGAGAUAAUUUGGUAGGUUUGCAGCAAUUAGAGAAUAAUUUUCCUGCCAGUUAAUCAAUCAAUAAUAAAUUUCAAAUUGCAGAAAAUAAAAUAAUACAGCCUCACUUAGAAUCAUCUUUUCUAUCUCUUUCAAUUGUGGCAAUCAUUUGCAACAAAUAAAUCAAUUUGAUGCACAUCAUUUCCCCAAUUCAAAGUUCAAGUCACUGCUCAAUUACAGAGUAGUUAGUGGACAUGCAUGCAUGUUUAAUUAAGUACUGCAUUGUAGUAUCGAAAAUCAUAACAUCUCACCAAUAUCAGAUUAUUAACCAUGGAAAUCAUAUCACAAUAUCAUAUAGAAUUCACAAAUCUGAAAAUCAUCACCAAACAAGUACCCAGAGAAAUAAUCUCGUCAUAUCCAGACCUCAACGGACGGGCAAUGACGUACUAUUUGGGUAACGUCACACCCUGGAGCUACACGGAUAAAUAGGAAAAUACCAUCUCAUAUCUCAUCAUAUUUGUGCAUGCAUAAUCUAGUCCCCAAGGGACAAAAGCGCCCAAGCACACGGCCCAAAGCCUCUAUGUGUACUCAGACGGGCCCCAAAGGCCUGUAUCUCAUAUGUAUCAUAUGUAUCAUUUGUAUCUCAAUAUCUGUUUGUAUCUCAUUUCCGUAUAUCUAUAAUCAUCAUACCGCAUGCAUAUGCCCCCAAAAGACAAAAGCGCCCAAACACAUGGCCCAAAGCCUUUAUAUGUGUUUAGACGGGUCCCAAAAGCCUCUUAUCUCAUCUUAUCUGUAUCACUGUAUCUGGAGAGAAGGGUACUGUCUAAUGAUUUAAAAAACAAUCAUUAUACUCAUAUUUACAUACCUCUUAAUCAUAUUUGAAAUCAUAUCACAUUUGAAUCCACUUUUCUAAUCUUUAAAAUAUUAUCAUGCUUUAUUCAAAGUCGAUACGCAAAAUCAAUAACCAAACAUUUUAAAUCAAAUUAUUAACCAUGGAAAUCAUAUCACAAUAUCAUAUAGAAUUCACAAAUCUGAAAAUCAUCACCAAAUAAGUACCCAAAGAAAUAAUCUCGUCAUAUCCGGACCUCAACGGACGGGCAAUGACGUACUAUCUGGGUAACGUCACACCUUGGAGCUACACGGAUAAAUAGAGAAAUACCAUCUCAUAUCUCAUCAUAUCUGUGCAUGCAUAAUCUAGUCCCCAAGGGACAAAAGCGCCCAAGCACACAGCCCAAAGCCUCUAUGUGUACUCAGACGGGCUCCAAAGGCCUGUAUCUCAUAUGUAUCAUAUGUAUCAUUUGUAUCUCAAUAUCUGUCUGUAUCUCAUAUCCGUAUAUCUAUAAUCAUCAUACCGCAUGCAUAUGCCCCCAAAAGACAAAAGCGCCCAAACACAUGGCCCAAAGCCUUUAUAUGUGUUCAGACGGACCCCAAAAGCCUCUCAUCUCAUCUUAUCUGUAUCACUGUAUCUGGAGGGAAGGGUACUGUCUAAUGAUUUAAAAAAUAAUCAUUAUACUCAUAUUUACAUACCUCUUAUCAUAUUUGAAAUCAUAUCACAUUUGAAUCCACUUUUCUAAUCUUUAAAAUAUUAUCAUGCUUUAUUCAAAGUCGAUACGCAAAAUCAAUAACCAAACAUUUUAAUAAAAUACCAAUGCAUAAAUAAAAUUCAUUUCGAGAAAUCAUUAAAUCAGAACAUUUAAAAUACUUAUUUCGCAAACAUGCUUUACUAUCAUCGCUAACUAUGAAAAUAAGUUUUGUAUAUUCCACUUUCAGUGAUGGUGUUCACGGUCGGUUAUCGUCCAUAUCUGCAGACCGAUUCUCGCUCGCGAAUCCUCCUAAAUCAAGGAAACGACAUAAUUAUUUUUUGUAAAUCGGAAUUAUGACUAAAUUUUAUGCAAUAAACUCAAAACGAACAUCUAUUCAUAAUUGACAACUCCUAUAUCCAUAAAAUUACUAAAAUAUCCUUGAGUCCGUAGAUCAUUAACAUGCUCCGAAAUCGUAAAUCACUGAAUUACCCUCGGAAUCGUAAUUACACCCGAUCCUCAAUUAUAGGAAUUACUAACAGAUCCACAGGCUUAGAAAUUACAAAAUUGCCCUCGUAGUGUGAAAUUACCAAAAGCCGGAAGUUGGUCAACAAUGGCUAGGAAGCUCAAAUCGUAAAGUUCCAAUCACGCUGAGUUCAAUGGUACCGGCGGUGAGCUCCAACGCGCGACAACGAUGCCAGAAUCUAGCUCGGCAGCCGUGAAUUCCACCAAUCGACCGGCGGCACAACAGUGACUCUCGGUGCCUAUGGAUGGUCGAAAAUGGAAGAGGGAGCCGUGGGGAACAAAAUCCAACCGGUGGUGUCACCAAAACCGGUGAAAAUCCCGGCGGAGCAAAGUGAAACAGUCGCGGGUUUCAUGCUUCGAUCGCCGGUGUUCCGAUUGGUUUUUGGCGAGGAGGAUGGCAAGGGAACGACAGCCGGCUUCUAAGCUUCAGAUUGGUACCAAGCUCGGCCGAAACGAUGGCCGGAAAUGGGAGAUAUGACCGGGUCAAGGUCGCGGGUUCCGGGUCGGGUUUUUUGGUCUGUAGUUGGGUCGGUUUGGUAGCUUCUCUCUCACUCUCUGUUACACGUGCAUAUGUUUCCUCUGUUUCCAGCUUAUUCUUUUGCUUUUACUAACUUCUUAACCGCCUCAUACUUAUUCAUUUUUAAUUCACAUAUGUUACAAUAAUUCCCGAGUAUUAAAUAACCAGUGGUCAUAAUUUUUGUACAAGAUUCUUUUUUUUUUUUGGAGAUCGUUAAAAGUGGUUGACGAUCCAUUUCGUAAUAUCAUAGAGGGAUCAUCAAUUCCUUUUCUUUUCUGUGGCUAGGCAACACUUUUUGGCCAAAGUAAGGAAAUCUAUUUUAGGUAAUGUAAAAACCAGUUGUAGGAUGUAAUAGUUUAUUAUGCACUGACAAUAACUUUUUGUAUAAUUGUCAGUUUAAUGAAUGCAAGAGGAACUCUGUUGGCAAAUUCAUCCAAGAUAGAUGCUAAAAUUAUUUAUGCAUGCCAGUUGCCUUAACUAAGUUUUCUCAGCACUGGUUUUGAACAGGAAAAUGAAUAUGCAAUUUGUAUAUUGUGCCAUAGUGGAGAAUUUGGAUAUUCUUAUUUAAGUAACAAGGAGAUUAUUUGCCUCAUCUUUAAACAAUGAAUCUUUGAGAGAUGAGGAGUGGGUGAUUGGAUGUGUCUUCAUGUAAUUGUUCAUUUAUUUGUAUUUUGAACUGUUAUGAAAAUCUUUAUAUGCCAAAUUAGUAAUACAAGUAUUCAGAUGAUUUUUCCUAUUGAUCAUGCAUUUGUAUCUGCCCACAACCAUUGUAUAUCACUUUAUUCUGAUGCGCAAGCAUCUGUAAUUUAGAAGAAAAGAAAUAAUAAUCAUAUUUUAUUGCUUGGUUCAUGAUUAUUAACGAUUAUGGCUUUAAAAAUCUACAAAUUUCUUGUGUUCAUGUAUGAAUGUGCCAAGUUUGCUGUAUCUUAGAUUACCUUCUUCCAAGGUAACAAGUUCAUAUAUAUAUAUUUUUUAAAUCAUUUUCCAUUACAGUUGAAUUUCAAGUGUUAGUUUUGUUAUUAGUACCUGGUUUCCUGUUAUAAGGAUCUAAUAAACAGUGUACGGAUAUGUGCUCUACUUUUGGAGGGCUUCCACGUGAAAGAAAAUUACAACAAUUGAAUUCUUCCGGAGGAUAUGGUAAUUAAUUUAUUUUCUCAACUUCUUGUAAGACUAAUAUAUUUCCUUCAGUAGGCACAGCAUGGUGGGAAGGGUUUUUAUUGAAAGAAUUCUGAUAUUUCUUAGACUUUGUUUUGGAAGGGGGUGGAGGAAUUUCUCAUCCAUAUAUGGUUACUUGAUUAGCUUUUGACUGUAUUGUCUCUGUCGUGCAAAGGAAAAUCUAAAUACUAACGAUGGGGAAUUGCUUAGGCACCCAAAAGGCAGAAAUGAAUUACAGAAGGAAGUUUUUGCUGCUUUAUUUAGUGCUGCUGAGAAAUCUGAUGAAUUUCCUGAAAUUACGGUGAAGACCGAGUGGAGGUCCAAAGCAUUAGGAAAGGUGGUGAGUGAACUGCCGGAGGAAUUUGUACCAAAAUACAAGGCUAAUGUGGUGCACUUGCAGCAAGAUAACCAGACCGGUAUGUGCUCUUAUAUUAACUAUAUUGACUGGAUUUGUGAGUGUGUGCAUUUUUUUGUGUAUACUCACUUUUGUAUUUAUGCAUAUUAACAUGUGUAGGAUUCUUGAUUUCUGCCACUUACUGGAGAACUAGUGGAAAGCUUUAUAUUGAUAUAUCUGCAAUAACUAAUGGAAACUAUGAUAUGAAUAUUUUCUCUCACCUGGGGAGCUGUGUAACAGAUAUACUUUGUGGCUCUGGAAUGCUGAAGAUUCUGCAAUAACUAAUGGAAAAUAUGAUAUGAAUAUUUUGUCUCACCUGGAGAACUUUGUUACAGAUACCCUUUGUGGCUCUGGAAUGUCUAAAGAAUGCUUUAGUUAGAUCAAAUAUCUUUUAGUUAGAAAAGAUAAAAUUCUCUGAGUCUGAAAGACUGAAACAUUUUGCAUAUUUUGUGAAAGGGAAAUAUCUGUUGAUACUAGCUCAUGCAUUGAGGUAAUAUCGAUGUUAAAGAAAAACAGCAAUGAUUUAUGAUAUAGAAUUGGGUUCACUUGCUUCAAAUGCUGGUCUGAUCAACCAUAUCAACCUGUAAUGAUUCUGCAGAAAUAUAUAUACAUGGAGAAAGUAGCUAAAUUUUUCUUUCAUUUAUGGGUUCGGUCUUUUUUCCCCUUAUUUUUCAGCUUUCCUUCUCCUGAAGUAUGUUAACAAUUGCAGAUAAUGAUGAAGACGACAGCUUCCGGGCUCUCCUUAGAGCCGUGAUGGAAUAUAGGGGCACAAUGAAGGAAUAUUGUAAAGCUGUAGGUACUUUUUCUCCUUUCAUUUAUGUUUUCUCACACAUUUUGUAUAUGCCCUGAACAUGCACCUUUGUAUGUAUCAAUUGACUUUUAAAUUUUAAAAGCCAUAAAGUAAGAAUACGGUUCCUUGUCAGGCUACUGAUGACAUUCGCUCAGGGGGAUCAUGUUCGAGCAGGAAAAUUUCUAGAACAGGUAAGGUUUCCAUCUACAGCCAUCCAUUGACAGCAGAUACAUUUUCAUUCAGCAGACUCUGUUAGCAUUCAAGAUGCUGGCAGAUUCACUUGAUUCUUAUUAGCUUGUUUAGUGGCAAAGCCUAUAACCUGUAUUUCAAAGCCAAGUUGUGCUAUUGAUUAUGUUAACUUUUUUGUUAACAUAAAAUGAUAUGGAGGAAAUAAUCAGUGUUGGAAAAUUAGGUGAAAAGAUGAUGUCAAAUCUUGAACCUCUUACGAAACUCUAAGUUCUUUACUUGAAGAGGCUACGAAAUUUGAACAGCGUCUACUCGAAGGCCUUGCCAUUCCCUGAUGCAUGCAGAAUUUUUGUAUUUAAAUGCCCAGAGCUUAAGAAGCUGCCACUGGAUCUUGAAGGGGCAGACCAAGGUAAAAAUCUUAUCAAGGGAAAGGAAGAUUGGUGGAAACAACUUAAUGGGAGGAUCAAGUAACUCAGAAUGCAUUGCUUCCAUUUUUUAAAUUGACUGACAAGUGAUUGAACGGGGCAUCAUCAACAUCAUCAACAGGGAUGGAGAGAUACCGGAGCAGAUCAGCAGGGUUUGAAUAUGACCUUUGGCGGUUGCUUUUUUUUUGUGAUUUUUUUUUCAUUUUUUCCUUCCUGUCAUUUUAUCAUUUCUUUCUCUGUUUCUAUUGCGGGUGUUACUGCAUGCUUACUGUUGCUUGACAAAGUUUGCUAGCUUUUUGUUUGCAGUGUUGCUAUACACUCCGAGUCAAGCCUCGAAAAUUUAUUAAACGAAGCCGUUUCGACAGUAACAAUUCUUUUCUUUUCCCUUUGCAUGUCUCUUUCAUCUGCUGUUUCUCUAUCACUUUUCAUUUUUGAUUUCCUUGCUUCUCAGCUGCCCCUAAAUUGUUAUUCUAGCAAUAUACUUUCUCAUCUUUGAAUUUUCAUCCUUGAGUACUCCCACAGCCGUAAUUUCAUCAUCAUAGACUUCACUUGGAAUGCUGUAUUUUUUCGAUUCUUGAGCUACUUCAAUUACAUCUUAGUAUAGGAUCCUCAUCUUCCUUUAUUUCUUCAUCUUAUGAGGUAAUAAAUGGAUUUCACAACUCAUCUACUUUUAAGCAAUUACAUAUUAUACCUUGAAUGAUUCAACUGUUCUGACAGUUAAAGAUUUUAUGCUCAACCUGCAGUGCUACGAACAUUGUCCAUGAAAGAUGAGUUUCAGCAUAUAAAAUGAAAUAUAGAUGUUUAAUCUAAAAUAACCCUUCACUGCCAGAAACCUAGGUCACAAAAUUCACAGAUAAUGAUAAAGAGCUAAAAAAUUUGAAAAACUCUACAGAUCACACAUCAAGCAAGAUAUCAUGUUUUUUUCCCUCAUUCAGUGGUGAUUGAUUCGCUUUUUGAUGAUGGAUAUGGUAUAAAAGUGUUGACCCAAUUUCAAGCAAACACAAAUAGAAACACAAACACAAUCGGGACUAGAGUUGUGGGCGAUUAUCUUAGGUGUACAAGUGAAACGGUGGUGGCUGUCGAUGGUGGUAGUGGGGUGGUUGGGUAUGCGUGAUGGCUAGAUUUUAGGACAAUAAUGAUUGGAGUUGACCUCAAUCAACGAAGGAAAGUGACAACAAUUUUGACAUCAAACGGUGCAUUUUUUAGCUUAGUAAAAUGGAGCCGUUUCGAUUUUGGGGUUUAAUCCGGGGUUUGACUCGGUGCAAGUAUCAUUUUCCUUUUGUUUAUUAAAUUUUUUUAUGGUCACAAAGUAUCACUCGUUCUAUUUGAGAGUCAUGUGAAUCAAUUUUUCAAAUUUUCAAUUUUAAAUUUUGUGGUCAAUGUGAAUUCAAUUUCAUUUGUCUCCUGCAAUUAUGAAAAAAUUAAAUAGUCAUAAUAUGGAAAAAUACACCGGUAAAAACUUUGUAAAAGCUUCGGAGUGAUACGGGGAAUUCACUUACUACUAAGGACAAUUGGUGGCAAGCUAUUCCAUUCAUUUUAUGUCCAUCCAUCUAUUUAGUUAUUGAAGAUAAGUGGUCCAUUUGUAAAUUUCAGAUUGUCUCUCUCUCCCUCUUGAAAUAACAAUAUUUAAUAUAUCUCAUAAAUUAUUAUAAAUUUUAAUUUACUCUCGAUUUAAAAUGGAGCAUGUCGAUAAAUUUUUUUUCUUCUUAAUAAAAUUGACGUAAGUUGUGUUUACAGUAGUUUGAAGUUUGAAAUAUUUUAAAGAUUAUUAUUCUAUAAGGGAGUAAUAUGAAAUGAUAUUUACUUUUCAUGUGUGAAAUGAAAAAGGACGAAGCAAGUGUCCCUGCUUUUAUUUUAUUUCAAGGAGGAGUCAUCUCACAUACUUUAGCUCUUAACAUUACAUUUUUUCUGGUUACAUUUUUUAUUUAUUUAUUUUUUUUUUUUUACACAUGCGUGUGGGUUGCUUUUCUGUAAGCUCCUUAAUAUAUAUUUAAGACAAAUCAUGGAAGAGAUGGGAUUAUAUCAAGAUGAUCAAAGAAUGUUAAAAAAGAAAAAAGAAAAAAAAAAGAAGUAAGACACUGAAAAUGGAGAAGAGAUGGAAGCAAAAGAUAUUCCAAAACAAAGCAAUCUAUCCCCUUUCGAGGGCAGACUUAUCAGGUUUAAAAAAGUACACGCUUUGGAUUGGUAGUUGCAAUCAAGGGAAAAUAAAUAGGAUCCAAUGAAAUUUAAAUCUCGGAGAAAAUAAAUAAUCAUGCAGAUUUUCAAGAUUUUAAUAAGGGAUACUAAUAUCUUAUUUUGAUUAAUAAUAUCCUUUCAUUGUGUUAACUCAAAAAAUAUAUAUUUUAAUGUUUUGCAAUAAACAGAAACGUACUAUUAAAAUGAAUAUAUAAAGAAUUUAGAAAAUUUUGAAUGUUAUAUAAAAUAAUUUUAAGAUAAUGCGUGAGAUAUAUUUUAUUAAUUUAAAAUGUUAUUUUACCUAAAAAAUAUGAUAAAUUAAUAAUUACAUAUUUGAAGUUAUUUUAAAUAUUAAAAAAAUUUAAUAUUAUUAAUCUUUUAGAUAGAUUAAAUUAUUUUUUAUAAGAGAUAGAUUAAAUUAUUUUAAAAUACGUUAAUUGUUUUUACUUUUAACGUUACCGGCCUUUCUUUUAUUUUAUUGCAAAUUAAUGCUAACAAGAAAAAGCUAGAUCAUAUUCCACAAAAGCAAAAGUGACAAACACAACCAGCUGGAAUCUUUUAAUUACUAUUCAAUAAUUCGAGACGAUUAGGGUCUUUUAUUAAACUACAAAUUGUAUAGUCUUUUUAAAAUUGUUAUAAAUUGGUGGCACCUACAAUCCUCAAUAAUUGUACCGAUAUUCACAAGUUGGUGGCCCCUACAAUUCUGUUCGGAUAAUUUAACUGUGCAAGUGCUCAUUCACAAUAAUUGUUUUGUUUUUUUUUUCUGCAUUCCCUUUCAUGCUCUUAAUAAUUGAAGAGCAUACUUUUCAUUUUCAAAUGUGGAGCCGCAGCUAAUGUCGCUAAUUUAAUUUGGGAUUAAAUUAGGGGACCAUUAUAUUGCAGUGUGCACUAAUUUUUGUGUUUAUCUAAACUCCUUAAAUUUAAGACAUAUUAUGGCAUAAAUAAGAAUAUAACAAUAGCAAAAGAGUUAAAAAGUGUAGAGAAGAUCUUGCAGAAAUAUAAAUAAUAUCUAUUUUAAAAUAAUAUCAAUAUUUAAAAUAAUUUUUAAUAUUUUAUGAUUCAUUAGAUAUAUUUUAUUAUAUUAAAGUAAAUUUUAUAAUAAAUAAAAACAUACUAUUAAAAUGAAUAUAUAGAAAAUUUAGAGUAUUUUAAGUAUUAUAUAAAAUAAUUUUAAUAAAAUAUGUGAGAUAUUCAUAUUUUAUUAAUUUAAAAUACCAUUUAACCUAAAGAUUUAUUUAUGAUAAAUUAAUAAUUAUAUUUUUGAAGUUACUUCAAAUAUUAAAAAUAUUAAUAUUACUAAUCUAUUAGAUAGAUUAAAUUAUAUAUAUUAUUUUCUAUUUAUUAAAAAAUUUAAAAUUAUUUUUAAUUACUAUUCAAAAAAUAUAAUGAUAAAAAAGAAUCUUAACAUCUUUAUUAAAAAUUUAAAAAUUUACAUGAUCAAUUCUCUAAAUAUUUAGGGUUAUAUGUGAACAACGGUGGAGAAGCUUUAUUUAAUAUUAUUGAUUUAAAUAAUAUGUCAAUUAAAAAUGUACAGAGAAGGAAAUUUCGGUGGGUAUUUUAGUCUUUUCAGCAAUUAUCAUGAUCAGAUCAGCCUUUAGCCUUGAAUCGUCGGUCAGAAAAGUUUUAAAAUUAACGCUAACAAGAAAAAGCUAGGUCAUAUUCCACAAAAGCAAAACUGACAAAACAACCAGCUGGUUUCUUUUACUAAACUACAAAUUAAAAGUGGAUUCUUUUGAAUGCAAGUGGGACAGACGAUUAGGCUCUUUUUAUUAAAGGCAAGUAAAAACUAGUCGAAUAGUCUUUUUCAAAUUGUUGUUUUAUUAUUUUUCCUUCAAAAGUUAGUGUGGCUCAUGUUUGCAGGUGCGAAUGUGGGUCCCGAAUCAUUACUAAAAUUUCUAUUCCACAGCCCACCGCAGCUUCAGUUAAUCAAACUCAAAUCAAUUUUCUUUCUUAACAAAAUAUUCCAAAGAUGUGUAGCAUUUUUCAGAUCACAUGCGAUGGUGCUCUUUUCAAUCGUUGCUUGGAUUGCUUUCUUGGAAAAGCAGCAUACAUACGUAACCUCCAAGAUAAUGUUGAUACCUUGGGCACUGAAUUGGGAAAUCUGAUCGCUAGAAAGAACGAUCUGAUGAGGAGGGUUGUCGAUGCUGAACGGCAACAAAUGAGAAGGCUGGACGGAGUGCAAGUGUGGGUUUCGAGGGUGGAUUCUGUUAAAACUGAAGCUGAUCAAUUUAUAAGAGACGGCUCUCGAGAAAUUGAAAAAUUAUGUGUUGGAGGCUACUGUUCCAAGAAUUGCAUGUCAAGCUACAAGUUCGGGAAAAAAGUGGCUAAAAAGCUACGGGAUGUGCGGACUUUAAUCAGUGAAGGAGUUUUUGAGGUGGUGGCUGACAGAGCUCCAGAGUCUGUAGCAGAUGAAAGACCUACUGAGCGAACAGUAGUAGGCUUGCAAUCACAACUUGAACAAGUCUGGAGAUGUCUUGUAGAAGAAUCAGCGGGAAUCAUUGGCCUAUAUGGUAUGGGCGGUGUUGGUAAAACUACACUACUGACCCAUAUCAACAAUAAAUUUCUCGAGAGUCCAACCAACUUUGAUUGUGCGAUUUGGGUUGUAGUUUCAAAAGACCUGCGACUCGAAAAAAUUCAAGAAGAUAUUGGGAAAAAGAUAGGUUUGGUUGGUGAUUCAUGGAAGAGUAAAAGUGUAGAGGAGAAAGCUGUCGACAUCUUCCGGAGUUUAAGAGAGAAGAGAUUUGUAUUGUUGUUAGAUGAUAUAUGGGAGCGGGUUGAUUUAACAAAGGUGGGCAUUCCACUUCCCGGACCAAAAAAUACUACCUCAAAAGUCGUAUUCACAACCCGUUUCAUCGAUGUUUGUGGUAGCAUGGAAGUUGACAGGAAGUUUCAAGUAGCAUGCUUAUCAGAAAAGGAUGCUUGGGAACUGUUUCGAGAAAAAGUUGGGGAGGAAACUCUUCAGAGUCAUCAUGAUAUCGAUGAGCUAGCCCAAAUUGUGGUCAAAGAGUGUGGUGGUUUGCCACUCGCACUUAUUACUAUUGGUCGAGCUAUGGCCUACAGAAAGAAAGCGGAGCAGUGGAGACGUGCAAUUGAAGAGUUAAGGAGAUCAGCUUCAGAGUUUGCAGGUUUGGGAAAAGAGGUUUAUCCUCUUUUAAAAUUCAGCUAUGAUAGUUUGCAGAAUGAUACGGUUAGAUCUUGUUUCUUGUACUGUUGUUUAUAUCCUGAAGAUUAUGGCAUUCUUAAAUGGGACUUGAUUGAUUGUUGGUUUGGCGAGGGAUUUUUUGGGGAAUCUGACAGGUCUGGUGCAGAAAACCAAGGAUAUGACAUUUUGGACACUCUUGUUCGUGCGUGUUUAUUAGAAGAGGUGGAAGAUGAUGAAGUAAAAAUGCAUGACGUUAUUCGUGAUAUGGCUAUAUGGAUAACUUGUGAAAUUGAGAAGGAGAAGAGAAACUUUUUGGUUCGUGCAGGUGCUGGAUUAAAAGAUGCACCGGGUGUUAAAGGAUGGGAAAAUGUGAGAAGAUUGUCAUUGAUGCAAAACCAAAUUGAAACUCUGGCAGAGGUUCCCACAUGCCCUCAUCUCCAUACUCUAUUUCUUGACUUUAAUAGGGGGUUGGAUAUGAUCGCGGAUGGCUUCUUUCAAUUUAUGCCUUCUCUCAAAGUUUUGAAGAUGUCAAACUGUUCGAAUUUGAAAUUACCUGUUGGGAUGUCAGAGUUGGGUUCAUCACUAGAACUUCUUGAUAUUUCAGAAAACAGCACAAGAGAGUUACCGGAAGAGUUAAAGAAGUUGGUAAAUCUGAAAUGUUUGAAUUUGAGGUGGACAGAGCAUUUAAAUAAAAUUCCACGGCAACUAAUAUCAAAUUCUUCAAGGUUACGUGUGUUGAGAAUGUUCGCUACUGGCCGGUUCAAUUUUCAUGAAGCACCAGAAGACAGCGUUUUAUUUGGUGGGGGUGAAGUUUUGAUACAGGAAUUGCUCGGUUUGAAAUAUUUAGAGGUAUUGGAGUUGACCUUGGGAAGUUAUCAUGCUCUCCAAAUUCUUUUGAGCUCAAAUAAGUUAAAAAGUUGUAUUCGAUCUCUUUACCUCGAGUUGACCGGAGAUACAACGUCAAUUAUUGAUGCUACGGCUUUCGCAGAUCUAAACCACCUCAAUGAAUUACGGAUUGAUAAUGGUAUUGAGUUGGAAGAGUUGAAGAUUGAUUAUACGGAGAUAGUACGAAAAAGGCGGGAACCUUUUGUUUUCCGCAGCCUUCAACGUGUUACCAUAGCGGAGUGCCAUAAAUUGAAAGAUGUGACAUUCCUCGUUUUUGCUCCAAACCUCAAGUCUCUUCGGCUAUUCUAUUGCGGUGCUAUGGAAGAAAUAAUCAGCGUCGGAAAAUUUGCUGAGACUCCUGAGAUGAUGGGACAUAUAAGCCCUUUUGAAAAUCUCCAAAUGCUUGAUUUACAAGGUUUGCCACAUUUGAAGAGCAUCUUCUGGAAGCCAUUGCCUUUCACUCAUCUGAAAGAAAUGGAGGUACUUAGGUGCGAUCGGCUUGAAAAGCUUCCACUCGAUUCCAACAGUGCAAAGGAGCGCAAAUUUGUUAUUCGUGGAGAAGAAGACUGGUGGAACCGACUUCAAUGGGAGGAUGAAGCCACUCAAAUUGCUUUUCGUUCCUGUUUUAAAAGUGAUGCUUUAUUUAUAUCUUAUUCGUGAAAAGUGAUUUAAUUUCCUGCCAAAAGACGAACGAGAAGAACAAUAGAGUCAAACUAAUGCUCACAUAAAUUUCCCGUAAGAAUAUAUAAUUAGAUUGGAAUGCACACCUCUAGAUUGAACAGAAUUAAAGCUGAGAAAAUAUUGAGUAUAGUAGCCCUCUUUACAGAAAAUGACGUGAAAGUUAAUUUAGAAAGAUAUAUUCUUGAUUAAUCCAUUUUCUGAAGUUUUUAUUUUGUAUGGUCAAUUAUACCUUCAUACUAAAAAUUUCUGAAGUUAUAAAUUAGUGCAACUUGACAAUUUUUACUGAUGAUAUCUUCUAUUUUUCCCUUUUUUUUUUUUUCACUUUCAUAGACUGGCAGCGGAUCCUGCGGCACCAAUUUGAGAGAAUAUACUGACACUACUUCGAACAGCAAGCAGAAGAAGUAAUAUGUCUACGGCAAAGGCAAUGGAGUCCUCAUUUUGGCUCGAGAUGCAGUAAUCAUCGAAGAGAGUUUCCUUGUGAAACUGGGCAACACAUUGAAUCCCUUCACCACUGAGAAGGUUGUGGAGGAAGUAAGCUUUCUCUCCAGUGAGGAAGAGGUGGCAUAUACCUUCCCCAUUUUGUUGAGGGCAGGUAGGAAUCUUUUUUCUAAGAGAUUUACUUCGUUCUCUGUAAGAAAUGCUUUGAACUUCAUCCCUCUGUCUCUAUCCUCACUUAUCAGGAAAUAAGUUGAAAGCACUAUGAAGAGAGAGAGAGAGAGAGAGAGAGAGAGAGAGAGAGAGAAUUAAGAUAUAUAGACAAGAAAAAUAUUUGACGUUGAUCUUACAAACUAAUACUUCAAGCAGUAUCCUAGAAAGCUAAAAACUGCAAGAUGGCUUGAAAUUUGAAAAGAGCACAUGCUUUUCCUCCUUAACUUGAGAAAAUGUUUAAUAUAGUGCACCUUACAGAAGCAUUUAAGCAAUUAGAACUUUGCACAAAAACAUCAAGAAGACUAAACAAGUCAGAUGCAGUGUAUUUGUCCAAGCACAAAUUGCAUUUUUUCCUCAACUUUAAUAUUUAUUGAUGAGAAUCAAUACAGGUCCCUCAUUUGUUAUAGAAAGCUUUCUUUCUUGUAGUCUCACCAGUUAAUUCAGAGGUCUAUAAUCAUCUUGCAAAGUUAAGGGCAUUUCUUUUGAUCUAAAGUCUUUGCAUCACCACCUCAUCACACGCCAAGCCAAUAUUCCAUUUACCUCUACAACAAAAAGUUUUAAUUAAACAAUCCUAAUGCACGCAGCCAAAUAAAAUGCAGUAAGAAUAUUCAACUUAAAAAUCUGAAAGCCAACUUGGUGAAUUGCCUCCUUAGGUGAAGUUCCAUGCUUUACUAUAGUUGACAGAACUCAGCAAAAGCUUCCAUACAACAGAUUUUGAAAAUGAUGAUGCCAACAGAUACUCAUUCAAUGCAUUGAAACUCCAAAGGUUCAUUGUUCAUAGAAGUUUACAGAGUUUUGGUCAUCAAAUAGCUCAGACCUAAUCCCAAACAAAAAAUGAGUGAAAAUUAGAUCACGAGCAGCUAAUUGUAAAUUCUAACUUAACUCUUCAUCUCCUUUGUAAACAAGAAACAAAAUGGAGACACGCAAAAUGAAUAUGGAGAAAAUUUGAACUCAAAUGAAAUGAGGGCAUGAAAGCAAACAAAUGGCAUGCACCAAAAAACCAAGCCUCAAUCAAAAACUAAUUAACCAUUAAGAAAAAAAUUGGUCAGAGAAUGAACUCCAAAUUCAGGAGUCAAGCAAGAAGCUUUCAUUAUUAUCAAAGUCAAUUAUCUUUGUUAGUAUGCGAGUGUGACGACUAUAGGUUGUUCUUUUUCUAAUGUCAUAUGAUUCCAAUUUUAGGUACAGGGCAUCUCUCUCUCUCUCUCUCAUCGCUAAGUGGAUAUUUUUCUCUUUUGUCAUAUACUUUAGUUAUUCUUCAAUUUACUAACUAAAAUGAAGGCCGCUUUAUUAAGAAGUUAUAUCCAGUUAUAUAAUUUGUUGUAUUUAAUAUAUGUUUGGGCUCAUAAUUUUUUUUAAAAAUAUAUAUUUCAUUCUCCAUAAUUUUUUCCCAUCAUAGCUACGAAACGUCUUAGUUUCGACUAAAAUCCUAAAAUUGGUCCUUAAUUGAAUAUGCAUUGCAAUUUGCAAAUGUAAUAUUGUGAAUGGGACACUGGAGAUACCAAAAUGGUCAAAUGCGAAAUAAGUUAGGAUUGUACGAUGUAGUUUGUAUUCAUAUUCAAUGCCUUUUUUUUCAAAAAACAAAUUGAAAUGCCAUUACUAAACGAUUCUUGAUGAUGGGAGCCACCGUGCCAGCUUUGUCGCUGAUUUGGUAUUAUUCUUAACUUGCAGAUAGUUGUGGAUAUGAUAUGCAAAAAGGUAAGGACUAUAUCUUCUUGAUGGAGGCCUCUGAUUUUUUCCCUUCUAUGUAAUUUAGUAAAUCGCAUUUUCCCUUGUGAUUGAUAUAUCAUACCAAAGUCAAGUCUUAAAUACUGCUGUCAUAUGUUAAGGUUCAACUUCCAUUUUGAUUAACGUCCAUUUGCUGCUGCUUCCAAAAGUGAGAAUGAGAUACUUUGGUUAAUUUCAGUAGUUGAACCCAAUAGAGUACUUUAUUUAGAUCUUCAUGGUUCAAAGGCCUGAAAAAACUUGCCGGUAUUUGCAAAAUGACAUUCUGUGCUUUUAUUUAGGCUUAUUAUUUAAGUGAUAAAAACUCCCGUAACCUGCUGUCAAGAAAAUUUCAGAUUGUUAAAAGACAACAUUUUGUUUCAGCCAAAAAUGUUUGUUUCGAUUAAAGACUUGAACCAUUUUCAUUUAACCUUGAUUGUGAUGCUUUACAUUAUGCAUGUUCCUCUCAAUCAAUAAAAGUUGAGGUCAUGAUUUUAUAUUUCUAUUUUGUAACUUGAAAUAAUUGGUCUGCCUGUUUCUGUAGCUUGAUAACAUGAAUUUUUCCUUCUGAAGUUAAUUUGAUCAAUAAAGUAAUUCUUCGGAGAUGAUAUGCCCAUUCUAUAGUCAUUUUCUUAGGUAACAUGUUUUUUCUUCACUCUUCAGAGCAUGUCUAAACUAAUUGAUCGCUCAGCGGAGACUUUGGGUGAGAAGACAAAAUUUCUUGGUAAAUCCUCUAAAAAGGUAUGCAUAAUUCCCGAGUAUUAAAUAAUCAUUGGUCAUAAUUUUUGUACACAACUCUUUUUUUGGAGAUCGUUAAAAGUGGUUGAUGAUCUAUUUUGUAAUAUCAUAGAGGGAUCAUGAAUUCCUGUUCUUUUCUGUGGCUAGGCAACACUUUCGGGCCAAGCUAAGGAAAUCUAUUUUAGGUAAUGUGAAAACCAGUUGUAGGAUGUAAUAGUUUAUUAUGCCCUGACAAUAACUUUUUGUAUAAUUGUCAGUUUAAUGAAUACAAGAGGAACUCUGUUGGCAAAUUCAUCCAUGAUAGAUGCUAAAAGUAUUUAUGCAUACCAGUUGCCUUAACUAAUUUUUCUCAACACUGGUAUUGAACAGGAAAAUGAAUAUGCAAUUUGUAUAUUGUGCCAUUGUGGAGAAUUUGGAUAUUCUUAUUUAAGUAACAAGGAGAGUAUUUGCCUCAUCUUUAAACAAUGAAUCUUUGAGAAAUGAGGAGUGGGUGAUUGGCAGUGUCUUCAUGUAAAUGUUCAUUUAUUUGUAUUUUGAACUAUUAUGAGAAUCUUUGUAUGCCAAAUUAGUAAUACAAAUGUUCAGAUGAUUUUUCCUGUUGAUCAUGCGUGUGUAUCUGCACACAACCAUUGUGUCCCACUUUAUUCUGAUGCACAAAUAUCUGUAGUUUAGAAGAAAAGAAAUAAUAAUCAUAUAUUAUUGCUUGGUUCAUGAUUAUUAAACGAUUAUGGCUUUAGAAAAUCCACAAAUCCUUUGUGUUCAUAUAUGAAUGUGCGAAGUUUGCUAUCUCUUAGAUUACCUUCUUCCAAGAUAACAAGUUCAUAUAUUUUUUUUAAUCCUUUUUCAUCACAGUUGAAUUUCAAGUGUAAGUUUUGUUAUUAAUAGCUGGUUUCCUGUUAUUAUGAUUUCAUAAACAGUGAGAGGAUAUGUGCUCUACUUUUGGAGGGCCUCCACAUGAAAGAAAAUUGCAACAAUUGAAUUCUUCCGGAGGGUAUGGUAUUUAAUUUAUUUUCUCAGCUUGUUGUAAGACUAAUAUAUUUCCUUCAGUACCCAAAAGGACAGAAAUGAAUUACGGAAGGAAGUUUUUGCUGCUUUAUUUAGUGCUGCUGAGAAAUCUGAUGGAUUUCCUGAAAUUACGGUGAAGACGGAGUGGAGGUCCAACGCAUUAGGAAAGGUGGUGAGUGAACCGCCGGAGGAAUUAGUACCAGAAUACAAGGCUAAUGUGGUGCACUUGCAGCAAGAUGACCAGACCUGUAUGUGCUCUUAUAUUAACUAUAUUGGUUGGAUUUGUGAGUGUGUACAUUUUUGUGUGUAUACUCACAUUUGUAUUUAUGCAUAUUAACGUGUGUAGGAUUCUUGAUUUCUGCCACUUACUGGAGAACUAGUGGAAAGCUUUAUACUGAUAUAUGUGCUAUAACUAAUGGAAACUACAAUAUGAAUAUUUUCUCUCACCUGGAGAACUGUGUAACAGAUAUAAUUUGUGGCUCUGGAAUACUGAAGAUUCUGCAAUAACUAAUGGAAAAUAUGAUAUGAAUAUUUUUUCUCACCUGGAGAACUUUGUAACAGAUACAUUUUGUGGCUCUGGAAUGUCUAAAGAAUGCUUCAGUUUAGAUCAAAUAUCUUUUAGUUAGAAAAGAUAAAAUUCUCUGAAUCUGAAAGACUGAAACAUUUUGCAUAUUUUGUGAAAGGGAAGUAUCUGUAGAUACUAGCUCAUGCAUUGAGGUAAUAUCAAUGUUAAAGAAAAACAGCAAUAAUUUAUUAUACAGAAUUAGGUUCACUUGCUUUAAAUGCUGGUCUGAUCAACCAUAACAACCUGUAAUGGUCCUGCAGAAAUAUAUAUACGGGGAGAAACUAGCUAAAUUUUCCUUUCACUUAUGGGUUUGGUCUUUUUUUCCCCUAUUUUUCAGCUUUCCUUCUCCUGAAGUAUGUUAACAAUUGCAGAUAAUGACGAAGAGGACCGCUUCCAGGCUCUUUGUAGAGCUGUGAUGGAAUAUAGGGGCACAAUGAAAGAAUAUUGUAAGGUUGUAUGUACUUUCUCUCUUGUCAUUUAUGUUUUCUCACACAUUUUGUUUAUGCCCUGAACAUGCAGCUUUGUAUGUGUCAAUUGCCUUUUACGUUUUAAAAGCCAUAAAGUAAGAAUACAGUUCCUUGUCAGGCUAUUGAUGCGUUCGCUCAGAAGGGUCAUGUUCAAGCAGGAAAACUUCUAGAACAGGUAAGGUUUCCAUCUACAGCCAUCCAUUGACAGCAGAUAUAUUUUCAUUAAGCAGACACUGUUAGCAUUCAAGAUGCUGGCAGAUUCACUUGAUUCUUAUUAGUUUGUUUAGUGGCAAGGCAUAUAACCUGUAUUUCAAAGCCAAGUUGUGCUAUUGAUUAUGUUAACUUUAUUGUUAACAUAAAGUGAUAUGGAGGACAUAAUCAAUGUAGGAAAAUUAGGUGAAGAGAUGAUGUCAAAUCUUGAACCUCUUACAAAGCUCCAAGUUCUUUACUUGAAGAAGCUGCCAAAUUUGAAGAGCGUCUACUGGAAGGCAUUUCCAUUCCCAGAUGUAUGCAGAAUUUUUGUAUUAAUGCCCAGUUCUUAAGAACCUGCCACUGGAUUUUCAAGGGGUGGGCCAAGGUAAAAUUCUUAUCAAGGGAAAGGAAGAUUGGUGGAAAGAACUUCAAUGGGAGGAUCAAGCAACUCAGAAUGCAUUGCUUCCAUUUUUCAAAUCAACUGACAAGUGAUUGAAGGGGGCAUCAUCAACAUCAUCAACAGAGAUGGAGAGAUUCUGGAGCAGAUCAGCAGGGUUUGUAUAUGAUCUUUGGUGGUUGCUUUCUUUUGUGAUUUUUUUUUUCUUCCUGUCAUUUUAUCAUUUCUUUGUCUCUUUUUUUAUUGCUGAUGUUAGUGUAUGCUUACUGUUGCUUGACAAAGUUCGCUUGCUUCUUGUUUAUUAAAUUUUUUAUCGUCACAAAAUAUUACUUGUUCUAUUUGAGAGUGAUGUGAAUCAAUUUUCAAUUAUAUAUUUUGUGGUCAAUGUGAAUUCAAUUUCAUUUGUCUCCUGCAAUUAUGAGAAAACUGCAGAGUCAUAAUAUGGAAAAGUACACCAGCAAAAACUUUGUAAAAGCUUCGGAGUGAAACAGGGAAUUCACUUACUACUAAGAACAAUUGAUGGCGAGUUAUUCCAUUCAUUUUAUGUCCAUCUAUCUAUUUAAUUAUUAAAGAUAAAUGGUCCAUUUAUAAAUUUCAGAUUGUCUCUCUCUGAAAAUAACAAUAUUUAAAAUAUCUCUUAAAUUAUUAUAAAUUUUAAUACACUCUCGAUUUAAAAUGGAACAUGCUGAUGAAAUUGUUUUCUUCUUAAUAAAAUUGAAAUAAAUUGUGUUUGCAGUAGUUUGAAAUAUUUUAAAGAUUAUUAUUUUAUAAGGGAGUAAUAUGAAAUGAAAUUUACUUUUCAUGCGUGAAAUGUUGAAAAAGGACAAAGCAAGUGUCCCUGCUUUUAUUUUUAUUUUAAAGUGGAGUCAUCUCACAUACUUUAGCUCUAUCAUUACAAUUUUUCAGGUUACAUUUUUAUUAUUUAUUUAUUUUCUUUUUUACACAUGCAUGUGGGUUACUUUUCCGUAAGCUCCUCAAUAUAUAUUGAACCCAGCGAAGAAUGUUAUGGAAGAGCAAAUUAAUGAUAUUUCUGAUAGAGUCUAUUUGAUUAUGUAGCCUGAAUGGAUGUCUUGUUGAAAGAUAUCUCAGUGCAUUAGUUCAUCCUUGUCUGUCAAUGUGUUUUUAAUGGUUUUUCCAAUUGUUUAUUAUUAUAGAUUGAUUGUAAAUUGAUAUGAAAAUUUGAUAUGAAUUUAAUGUUGAAAUGUUUUCUCUUUAGUGGAAUGAAUUUAAAAGUGCAAAAGAUUAUUGCACACAGAGAAAUAAACAUAUAUGCUUUAUAACUUUAGCAAUCGAUUCUUUUACAGCUGGAAACAGAGAUGAUGAUUAUCAUAAGGAUGAAGAAAAGUAGUGCGUUAGACGAUUAGACUCUCUUAUUAAAGGCAAGUAUAAAGUAGUGAAGAAUCCAAUAUCUCUAUUGUCUAGUCUUUUGUUUAAUUCUUCUUUUAUUAUUUUUCAGAAUAAUUUUUGGUGAUUACAAUCGGGUUAUUAUUCAGAGUUAUUGUUAUCUUCUGGGGCAGUUUCUGUUCAUCGAAUUCAUUAAUUAAAAUUUUAGAACUCUUAUCAGAAGAAUAUUUUUCGGUUAUCUUUUUUAUGUUCUAAUUCCAAUUGUAAGAAGUAGCCAUUUUAGAAUUUGGGUCUUGAAUCGAAUUUCAAUGCAUGAAUUAAUAUUAAAAAAAAAAAAUUCACUACUCGCAGUUUAGGUUACAAAUUACUUUUUGGAAAGUUGACUUUGGAAUGUUUGCAAAGAAAGAGACUAACAUAUUUCCAAUUACACUAAAUCUCUAUUAUGAUAAUGUUAAGACUAAAUUAAUUUAAAUAAUUUUUAUUUGAAAAUUAUAUCAAACGCAGUCUAAUUUUAUUAAUUUUAAGAAAUAAUAAUUAUAAAAAUUAUUGUUCUGACUUAAUUAAUACAAGUGAUAUAAAAGUUAAGUGUGCACUAAAUCUGUUUUAAUUUUUUCCAGUAUAACUAACAGAGGUCAUUACUAGAAUUAUAUUACUAGUCUAUUAGAUAGAAAAAAUUACUUAUAUUGUUUUAUAUUUAUUAAAAAAUUUAAAGCCAAUUUUUUUAAUUACUAUUUAAAGAAUAUUAUAAUUUGAAAAAUUUUAAUAUCUUUAUUAAAAAUUUAGAAAUUUACAGUCCUCUAAAUAUUUAAGGCGUAACUGUCAUUUUCUCAAGAAGCUUUAUUUAAUAUUAUUGAUUUAAAUAAUAUCUUAUUAAAAAUGUACUGAGGAGAAAUUUUGGUGGGUAUUUUAGUCUUUUCAGCAAUCAUCAUGAUUAACCUUUGGUUGGCCUUGAAACGUCGGUCAGAAAAGUUUUAAAAUGCUUAAUUGUUUUUCACUGUUAACGUUAGUGGCCUUGAAAUUGCUUAUAUUUUAUUAAAAAUUAAUGCUAACAAGAAAAAACUAGAUCGUAUUCCACCCCCAAAGCAAAAGUGAUAAAACAACCGGCUGUAUUCUUUUAUUAAACUACAAAUUAAAAUGGAUUUCUUUAAUUAAAGUGGAUAUCAUUUAAUUAAUGUUUGAACAUUAAAGUUCUGAUAUAUAACCACUAUGCCGACCACCUAAUUGCUGCUAUUUAAUUUCGUUCCAGUUCUCUCUCUCUCUCUUUUUCUUUUUUUUUUGGGCCAAGCAAUAAAUAGUAAAAAUUCAAUAAAAGCAAUAUUAAUGCUGCAAGUGAGUCAUGUUAUUUAUUGUCAAUUAGGAAAUGUGAACCUAAUUUGAUUGCAUCCCUUUAAUCAUUUAAUAAUUAUGUAAGCACCAUCCCUUUAAUUAUUUAAUAACUAGAAAAUAGAACACUGCGUUUCACGCGGCUUUGAAAAAAGAAUUUAGUAUUAUCUUUUUUUCUUACUUUACACUUGAUGAAACUGAUAAAAAAUAUGAAUUGAUUUUUUUUAAAGAUGAGGCAGCCUUAUAAAAAAUAAAAAAAGCUAUUAGCCAGCAAUACAAAUAAAGAAGGAAUGCAAGAUAAAGAAUAAAAUGAGAGAAUAUAUUAUAGAGUGAUCUUAUUCAUUCUAAUUGUGUGUGUACAAAACAAAAAGAUGAGCUCUCCUUUUAUAACUACAUAAUUACUUCAUGAAAUUAAUGAAAAAUUAUGAAUCAUAAUUUCUUGUGAGAUAGUGGGAGUUAUUGGGAAGCUAAAAGUUGCUAAUGGGAGAUAGUGGGGAGACUAAGAGAUAUAUAUUAUGAACAUCUACAUUUAUUUUAAUAAAUUCAUAACACUCCCCCUUAAAUGUUCAUUACAAAGAAUAUGCCUCAUUAAAAUCUUUACAUAAUUGUUAUUGUGUAAUAACAAUCAAAUUAAUUAUAAGAAGAUGAAAAGCCAAAUCUAACAGAAAAUUUCUCUAUUUAUUAGAUAAUAGAGAAUAUAGCAAGAUGAGAAAUGGUAAUGCCACAUCAUCUCCUCACGUCCCAACUUUAUAUAUAUAUAUAUAGAUAAUAUAUAUUAUUCCUGUCCUACAUUCACAUAUUUAAUUGUCCUUUUGAAAAUAUUCAUGAGUUAGGCCAAGUAAAGUCAAAGAAAUUGGGAAAAAGGAACAAAAGGACAAACCUAAAUUAAUUGAACCUAAUUCAUGAAAAUGCACACUUUUGUGUUGCGGACGGCGGACCCUAAAGCUUCGUUGUUUGCAGCUGCAAUUAAUUCUUUUCCUUCAAAAGUUAGAGGCUCGUGUUUACAGUGGGUCCCGAAUCGGACGUACCUAAUAAAUCUUUUAAAAAAAUUUGCCGUAUAAAGGACAGAGGUCAUUACUGAAAUUUCUCUUCCACGGGCAAUUACAGCAGCUUCAGUUAAUCAAACUCAAAUCAAUUUUCUUUCUUAACAAAAUAUUCCAAAGAUGUGUAGCAUUUUUCAGAUCACAUGCGAUGGUGCUUUUUUCAAUCGUUGCUUGGAUUGCUUUCUUGGAAAAGCAGCAUACAUACGUAACCUCCAAGAUAAUCUUGUAGCCUUGGACACUGAAUUGGGAAAUCUGAUCGCUAAAAAGAACGAUGUGAUGAGGAGGGUUGUCGAUGCUGAACGGCAACAAAUGAGAAGGCUGGACGGAGUGCAAGUGUGGGUUUCGAGGCUCGAUGCUGUUAAAACUGAAGCCGAUGAACUUAUCACAGACGGCUCUCGAGAAAUUGAAAAAUUAUGUGUUGGAGGCUACUGUUCCAAGAACUGCAGGUCAAGCUACAAAUUCGGAAAACAAGUGGCAAGAAAGCUACGAGAUGUGGAGACUUUAAUCGCCGAGGGAGUUUUUGAGUCGGUGGCUGAGAGAGCUCCGGAACCUGUGGCAGAUAAAAGACCCACUGAGCCAACAAUAGUAGGCUUGCAAUCACAGCUUGAACAAGUUUGGAGAUGUCUUCUUGUAGAAGAAUCAGCGGGAAUCAUUGGCCUAUAUGGUAUGGGCGGUGUUGGUAAAACCACACUGUUGACCCAUAUCAACAAUAAAUUUCUUGAGAGUCCCACCAACUUUGAUUGUGUGAUUUGGGUCGUAGUUUCAAAAGACCUGCGACUUGAAAAAAUUCAAGAAGAUAUUGGGAAGAAGAUAGGUCUGUUUGAUGGUUCGUGGAAGAAUAAAAGUGUUGAGGAGAAAGCCGUAGACAUCUUGCGGAGAUUAGGAGAGAAGAGGUUUGUAUUGUUGUUAGAUGAUUUAUGGGAGCGGGUUGAUUUAACAGAAGUGGGCGUUCCACUUCCCAGCCCACAAAAAUACUACAUCAAAGUCGUAUUCACGACCCGUUUCAUUGAUGUGUGUGGUAGCAUGGAAAGUCACAGGAAGUUUAAAGUGGCAUGCUUAUCAGAAGAGGAUGCUUGGGAGCUGUUUCGAGGAAAAGUAAGGCAAGAAACUCUUGAGAGUCAUCAUGAUAUCGUUGAGCUAGCCCAAACUGUGGCCAGAGAGUGUGGCGGUUUGCCACUCGCGCUUAAAACUAUAGGUCGAUCUAUGGCCUACAGAAAGACAGCUAAGGAGUGGAGACAUGCAAUUGAAAUGUUAAGGAGAUCAGCUUCAGAGUUUGCAGGUUUGGGAGAAAAGGUGUAUCGUCUUUUAAAGUUUAGCUAUGAUAGUUUGCAGAAUGAUACGAUUAGAUCUUGUUUCUUAUAUUGUUGUUUGUAUCCUGAAGAUUAUGGCAUUCUUAAAUGGGAUUUGAUUGAUUGUUGGAUUGGUGAGGGAUUCUUAGAGGAAUCUGACAGGUUUAGUGCAGAAAACCAAGGAUACUACAUUGUGGGCACUCUUGUUCAUGCAUGUUUAUUAGAAGAGGUGGAAGAUGAUAAAGUAAAAAUGCAUGACGUUGUUCGUGAUAUGGCUAUAUGGAUAACCGGUGAAAUUGAGAAGGAGAAGCGAAACUUUUUGGUUUGUGCAGGUGCUGGAUUAAAAGAGGCACCGGAUGUUGAAGUAUGGGAAAAUGUGAGAAGAUUGUCAUUGAUGCAAAACCAAAUUGAAACUCUGUCAGAGGUUCCCACAUGCCCUCAUCUUCUCACUUUAUUUCUUGACUUUAAUAGGGAGUUGAAGACUAUUGCGGAUGGCUUCUUCCGAUGUAUGCCUUCUCUCAAAGUUUUGAAGAUGUCAAACUCUGGAAAGCCUUGGAAAGGUUUGGAAUUAAAUUUGGGGAUGCCAAAGUUGGGUUCACUACAGCUUCUUGAUAUUUCACACACCUGCAUACAAGAUUUACCGCAAGAAUUAAAGUUGUUGGUAAAUCUGAAAUGUUUGAAUUUGAGGCGGACAAUUUGGUUAAAUAAAAUUUCAUGGCAACUAAUAUCAAAUUUUUCAAGGUUACGUGUGUUGAGAAUGUUCGCUACUGGCUGGUUCAAUUUUCAUGAAGCACCAGAAGACAGCGUUUUAUUUGGUGGGGGUGAAGUUUUGAUACAGGAAUUGCUCGGUUUGAAAUAUUUAGAGGUAUUGGAGUUGACCUUGGGAAGUUAUCAUGCUCUCCAAAUUCUUUUCAGCUCAAAUAAGCUAAAAAGUUGUAUUCGAUCUCUUUACCUCCAGUUGACCGGAGAUACAGCGUUAAUUAUUGAUGCUACGGCUUUCGCAGAUCUAAAACACCUCAAUGAAUUACGCAUUGAGUCGGCUACAAAGCUGAAAGAAUUGACGGCUGAUUAUACAGAGAUAGUUCGAAAAAGGCGGGAACCUUUUGUUUUCCGCAGCCUUCACCAUGUUACUAUACAAAGCUGCCAGAAGUUGAAAGAUUCGACAUUCCUCGUUUUUGCUCCAAACCUCAAGUCUCUUUCGAUAGUCAAAUGCAAUGCUAUGGAAGAAAUAAUCAGCGUCGGAAAAUUUGCUGAGACUCCUGAGAUGAUGGGACAUAUAAGUCCUUUUGAAAAUCUCCAAAUGAUUGAUUUACUAGGUUUGCCACAUUUGAAGAGCAUCUUCUGGAAGCCAUUGCCUUUCACUCAUCUGAAAGAAAUAUCUGUGCGUUAUUGCCCUAAUCUUAAAAAGCUUCCACUCGAUUCCAACAGUGCAAAGGAGCGUAAAUUUGUUAUUCGUGGAGAAGAAGACUGGUGGAACCCACUUCAAUGGGAGGAUGAAGCCACUCAAAUUGCUUUUCGUUCCUGUUUCCAACCCUUGUUCCUGAACAGUGGUCGCAAAAUUUGAUUUCUGGUGAGUGCGUUUGUCUUUUAAAAAGAAUAAUUUAAAAGAAAUUUAUUCUUGUCGGUUUCUUCACUGUUUUUAUUUCAGUUUCUCUCUCUCUCUCUCUCUCUCUCUCUUUUUGUCUUCUGCAAAUCACAAUUACAUUUUUAUUCUUGUCGUUUUCUUCACUGUUUUUAUUUCAGUUUCUCUCUCUCUCUCUCUCUCUCUUUUUGUCUUCUGCAAAUCACAAUCAAAUGUUGAAUUAAUGGAAUUAAUGCUUCAUAAAUUUGCCGGCACUGCCAUUACUUUUUUUUGGGGGAUCGAAUUGAUACUUUAUUUAUAUCUUCUUAGCGAUUUAAUUUCCUGUCAAAAGACGAACGAGAAGAACAUAUGACUUAAACCAAUGCUCGCAUAAACUUGCUGUAAAAAGAUAUAAUCUCACUGAAAUGCACACGCCUAGAAUGAAUAGAAUUAAAACAGGGAAAAUAUUAAGUAUAUUAGCCCUCUUUACUGAAAAUCAAAUGACAGUAAAUUUUUUGAAGUUUUGAUUUUCUAUGGUCAAUUCCACCUUUUGCAAUUUCUUCUGUUCUAACAAAAACCAAUUUCUUUGUUCAAGUAUUUUCGUUUGGAUAUUAAUAAUUCUCCACCGAAAGAGUGAACUCUUGCUCAAAGGGAUCUCUAAUAAUACAUAACAUGAUUAUUUUCGUUUGAAUAAUUGAUUUCUUGAUUGAAUUGUCGUGUAAUUGAUUUAUGGGGGAUGACACAUCAACAUACUUGAAAAUACACUAAUCUCAGCAUCAUCGGUUAAUAACUUUUAGAUUUAUGGGUAAUCAAUAGUUAAGAUUAGUUGUCAUUAAUACUAAAUAAUUUUUACUUUUUUUGUCUCUUCUAGAGGAUCUUCUAGAAAAAUGCAUCCACAAUUAAAUUUAAUACUUUACAUAAUAAACAAAGCCUAAAUGUUAAAUUUAAGAAACUGCAUUGUAUUUCAGUUGAAGUUGACUUUAAUAUUUAGGGUAGAAAAACAAUUAAUUUUAUUUUUUGAAAUGUCCAUAUUCAGAGCACAUUUCAAAAAGACUCAAUAAUUUCUCAUAAAUUUCAAUUAAAAAUAUUCAAUUUGUUGUUUCAGUUCUUUUAUUUUUUAUUUUUUCCGACAUGAAAGCGACUUAAUGUUACUAAAUUGGGUGGUCUUUGGAUUUUCAUGACCCAAUAAUUGGAACAAAACAAUUUUCUCAAGCGCUCUCCCGCAACAUUUUAUAAUUGAAGCCGCUGCCCCGCCCGUGGUUUCAAACUUUUUUCUUUCUCCUUGUUUAAAUUAAUGGGAGCAGCCUCCGUCCUUGACUAGUUGACUGCUUGUCUUCUUUUUUUUAUUAAUUAAUUAAUUCAGCCGCCCCCCUUUCUUGUCCCAAUAUCUUCUACUUUCGGUUUCCUUUUAUUAUCUCUUUAUUUUUAAAAAAUGCUUAUAAUAAUAAUAAAAUAUAAAAUAUAAAAAUAAAAAUAUAAUUUAUCAGAAAAUUAAGAUAAAGAAAUAUUAUAAGCACAUCAAUCAACAAGUGAAAAAAAAACAAUUUUAAUUUACAUUAAAUAUAAACUUUCAGUGUUAAUCAACUUUUCUAAAUAACUAAAUUAAAAAAUUAAUUGAUUUAAUUGUGGUGUAAUUGAUUUGUAGGGGAUGAAUCAGCAGCAUCAUCGGUUAACGCUUUCAGAUUUAUAGUUAAUCAAUAGUUGAGAGUUGUUAUCACUAACGCCGUGUAUUUUUUAAUGUUUUUUCUCUCUCCUACAGCAUCUUCUAGGAAAGUGCAUCCGUUGCUAAAAUUUAGUAUCGUAAAUAAUAAACCAAGAAUAAAUAUUAAAUCUAAGAAACUGUAUUGCAUUUAAUAUUUAAGGGAGAAAAAUAAUUAUAGUGUCUUUAUUAAUCAGUAAAAAAAAAAAUUAGAAUCAUAAUAAAUUGUAUUGUUAUUGAUGUAUUUAUUUUAUUUUAUACUCAAAAUAAAUUAUUUUAAAUUAUUAAAAUAAUUUAAAAUUAGUAUUUUAUUUUAUACUCAAAAUAAAUAAUUUAAAAUUUUCAUUUCUUGUUUAUUUCGCAAGUUGUUAUUGCCUAAUGCUAUGUCAACUCGAACAUUAGCAUUUUUUUUUUUGGUCCUCUUUUAACGCAAAAUUAGUGUAGGUUAAGUAACAUAAUCAAUAUUAGGACAAUUUGAAAUCCCUAUGGGUGCGUUUGGUACACUGUAUUGUAUUAUACUGUAUUGCAUUAUUUUAAUGCUGAUGUAUUGUAUUAUGUUGUAUUGCAUUAGCACUGUAUUAUAACAAUGCUAUACAAUAUUUGGUGUUACAUUGUACUGUAUUAGAUUUUAAUUAUAUUAUAUUUAGUGUUACAAUUGUUGUAACAUAAACACGACCAAAAUAAAUUGUACUAAAUAAUCUAAGUAAGAGUUCUGUAGUAUAUGUAAUAAUACUAUUUAUAUUAUUAUUAUUAAUAAUUCUAAAUUAAUAUUAUUUAAUUUUAUUCAUAUUUAAAUAUGUAUUAUUAGUUUAUUAAAUUAUUUAAAAUAAUUAAUUUAUAUAUAUUAAUUAUUGUAACUUAAUUAAAUAAUGUAAUGCUAUAUUAUAUUUUUAUAUACUAUUUAAGUAUUUAUUAUUAAUUAUAUUUAAUUAUAAAUUUAUUAAUAAAUUAUAAUAUAAAAAUAAAAAAUAAAAAUUAAUAUUGUAUAAUAUUAUAUUAAAUUAAAGUUUUAUUUUUAUUACUAUUAUUAUAAAGUAAAAAAAAAAAAAAGGGAAGCUACUGACUUUUGAAACACAAAAGUCAGUAAUACAACCUAAUCACGAGGGGGGGCGCGGGUUUUGAUAAUGCGGCAAAAGCUGCAUUGUAAUGCUGCUCAAUGCAAUCCAUUUGAUCACCAAACACAGGUAUAUUUUAACUAAUGCUGGGCCCACAAAAUAAUACAAUGCAAUUCCGCAUGCCAAACAUACCCUAUGGGUGCGUUUGGUACACUGUAUUGUAUUAUACUGUAUUGUAUUAUUUUAAUGCUGGUGUAUUGUAUUAUGCUGUAUUGCGUUAGCAUUGUAUUAUAAUAAUGUUGUACAAUGUUUGGUGUUACACUGUACUGUAUUAAUUUUUAAUUAAACUAUAUUUGGUGUUAUAUUGUAUUGUAUUAAUUUUUAUAAUUAAUUAAAUUAAAUAAUUAAAAAAUAAUAUUUAUUAAUACUUAGAAAAAUAAUAAAUAUAGAAAUCUUAAUUGUAGAAAUUUAACAAAUUUUUUAGUAAAUAUUAAAAAUUAAUGAUUAAAUUUCUAAAAUUUGUAUUAUAAUUAUGAUAAAAUAAAUUUAUAAAAUUUAAUAUUAUAUGUAAAUAAUAAAUUUAGAUUAUAAUUAAUAUUAUAAUUGUUAAUAUAAAUUAAUAAAUUAUUAUUCAAUAAUAUUCAAUUAUAUUUUAAUUUACAAUAUAUUAUUAUUUUUACAUUUUAAUAUAUUAAUAAAUUUAUAAUUUAACAUAAAUAAUUAUAAAUUUAAAUAAUAUUAAUUUUAAAAUUAAUAUUAAUGUAAAUAAUAUUAUAAUAUUAAUAUAUUAUUUUUAUAUGAAUCAUUAAUAAAUAAAAUAAUAUUAUCAUAUAAUUUAUUUUUAUAUUUUAUUCAUUAUAUUAAUAUUUAAUAAUAAAAUAAUUUAUUUUUAUAAUAUUUUAAUAAAAUAAAUUUGCCUCAAUUGAGGCAUUAACUGUUGCCUCAAUUGAGGCAAAAAGCUUCCGCAUCCCUCGGGUUUGCGUAAUGCGGCCCCAUGCCUCAUUAUGCUGCAUUAUAAUGCAGCAUAAUGAGGUGUCAAAUUUUGCCAAACAUGUUCUUGGUAAUAAACUAAUGUGAAUAGUAGUAUAAUACCACAUAAUCUCAUGCACCAAACACGCCCUAUGUGUAUUAUUCACGGUAUCUAUGAGGGCUUAUCCUUUUGCUAGAACAAACUCUAGCAAAUUGUCAAAUGUGCUUAUCCUUUCCCUUGACGACUCAUUUUAAAAUUGUCACUCAUUUUAAAAUUGUCUUUCAAUGCACAAACACAGACAUAACCGCCGACAUCGAGCACCAAGUUUGGAAUUUAAUUGAUAAGCAUACAUUUGAUAAAUUAAUGAAAAGUUUGGAGAGUAGUUUUGAUCACCCUUGAUUAGGACGGUAUUACAAAAAAGAUCAAAAAGAAAACAUCGUCUCUCUUCACAAAAAUAAAUAUUUUCCGUUAGAAUUUAAUACAAUAAUAUUUUUUUUGAUUAAAAUUUAAUUAAAUACACAAAUAAAUUAUAUAUUUUUUAAAAAAAUUUACACCCAGUCACAAGGCUGGCUAUUAAACUUAAAGGGUGGAAGCUUCGGAGACUAAAGUUGGUAACUUCUCCAAGUGGUCUUAAGUUGACCGGAACUACCCAGACUUUAUGUUUGGUAGCCUAGACCUGAUCGGACCUAGGCCCAAGUUUGGUCUUAAAGUCCACAAUUAAAUUAAAAAAAAAUUAUUUGAUUUGUAAUUGAUUUAUGGGGAAUGAAUCCGCAGCCCUAAAAUUACACCAAUCUUGACAUAAUGACAUCAUCGGUUAAAAACGUUCAGAUUUAUGGUUAAUCAAUGGUUUGAGAUUUGUUAUCAUUAAUGCUAGAUAUUUUUUAACAUUUUUUUCUAUCUCUCUUCUCCUGAAGGAUUUUCUAGGAAAAUGCAUCCACAACAAAAAUUUUAAAUUGUAAACAAUAAACAGAGUAUAAACGUUAAAUCUAAGGAACAUCGCUGCAUUUCAGCUGAAGCGAACUUUAAUAUUUUACGGAGAAAAAUAAUUAAGUCUUUAAUGUGAUUUAUUGAUUAAUAUAUAUGACUAAUUUUUUAAAAGAAGAUGAAGGAUGAAGCUUAAAAAUAUAAAUUAUAGAAUUAAUUUAUCUCUUCAAUAAAUCUAAAGUUUAUUUUUUUUAUUACAUGCUUCUAUUUUAUUUUUAUUCCAUGUUAAUGAAUGGAGAUUUAAAUCCAUUUUGGAUUUAUAAAGAUGUUUAGAUAUUUAAAUCCACGUGUGAUUCCAAACUUGAACCUUUUUUUUUUUUUUUUCUAAUUAAUGCAAACAGCCGCCUCUUUGACUGCUUUUCUUCUUUGUUUAUUAAUUAAUUAAUUCAGCUGCCCACCUUUCUUUUCCUAAUGUUUUCUACUCCCAAAUUUUUUUAAGGACAAGGCUACGUUGCAGACGCUGUACCUAACAGCUGCACCUUCGCCAGCUUAAAAAAGGGUGCAUUUGGUAAGCAACUUUUCUUUCGUGUGCAUAUGUGUCCUGCCACCAUUGGGUGUGUACGUAACAGAUAAUGUACCGUAACAAGCUCCUAUUUUUAAAUUUGUUUAUAAUGAUAAAAUAUAAAAAUUAAGAUUAAAAUGUAAUGUAAUGUAAAAUUAAAGGUGGAAGAGUAUUAAAAUAAGGCUAAACCUAUGUUACGUUUAACGUAACAUACAUUUAAAUAUAUAAAAUAUCAAUGGAAACCCUCAAAUUUUAUGGAAACUAUAUUAAUAAAAUUAAAAGAAAUAUUUUUAAAUCUGAAAGAAGAAAUAAAAGAUAUAAAGCAAGAGAUAGGAAAACUAAAAAUAGAAAUAUCUGUAAAAGAAAAAGGAAAAGAAAAAUUAGAAAUAAAAGAAACAACUCCAACUGAAUCGAAUUCAGACUAAUGGAAGAUGUAUUAGAAACUUUAACUGAAAAAUUCAGUGACAUAAAUCUUAGUGAUUUAGAAGACUUUGAAAAAGAAUAUUAGAUAAAAAUGAAUACUGCUGGAGGACCAGAAAUGAAACCUAAUGUAGCAUAACCAAGUCAUAGAUAUGGUAUAAAUAAAAUGAAAAAUAAACCUUUUUACGAGUAUAUACCUCCUAUUAAAAAUACUCCUUGGAAAAAAGAAUACAAACCAAAUCAAGAUACAUUAACCCCAAUAAAUAAUGCUGGAACAUUUUUAAAUCUAGAUUGUAAGAUAGACAUUCGAAAGGCGUUAGCAGAAUGGGUGUUACAAAUGAAAUUAUUUUUUAUAUUUAACGGGUCAAAGGAUGACUAGAAUGUAGAGACUGAAGAAGAAAAAAUAGAUAUAUUUGUUGAAAUCUUAAUAGCCAGUUUUUCAGGAAAUGUGUUUAAUUGGUGGAGAGGAUUAAGCGAUGAUACACAAAACUUAAUAAAAGAUUCAACCAAAUAGCAUUUAGAAAAAAUAAAGCCUUAGGAAUGGAAAGGAUAACUGAAUACAUAGCUAGUGAAUUUUUAGGAGAAGAUUGGCUAGAAAAAUCGGGCAUAUAUGAAAAUUUAAAAAUUUAUGAUAAAAAGAUCUUAGUGUUUUUAUUAAAAAAUUAAAAUUUACAUGACUAUUUCUUUAAAUAUUUAGGGCAUAUAUGAACCACGGAGGAGAAAAGCUUUAUUUAAUAUUUUAGAAUAGUUUUUGAUCAGUACAAUUGGGUCCUUAUUCAGAAUUAUUGUUCUCUUCCGCAACAGUUUUUGUUUAUCAAAGUCGUCAAUUAAAAUUUUAGAAUUCUUAUCAGAAGAAGUAGUCGUUUUAGAAGUUGGGUCUUGGAUCAAAUUUCUACGAGUGCAUGAAUUAACAAUAAAAAAAUUUCAUUACACACGGUUUAAGCUACAAACUACUAUUUGCACAGUUGACUAUAAAACUUACCUCCAAUUACACUAAACCUCUCUAUUUGGUAACGUUGAGACUAAAUUAAUUUUAUUAGCAUGAAAAGAUGAUAGAAAUAUAAUUAUAAAUAUUAUUGUUGUUAAUCAAUUAGUACAUGUGAUAUAAAGGUUAAAUGUGCACUAUAUUUAAUAAUUAAUUAGUGGAGCAUGUUAAACAAAAUGUUAAUGUAUAUUUAUAUAGUGUUAGGAAUAUGCAAAGUCAAGUCCUCAAUUUGCAUUAUCCUGUAUAGAAUAUUACUCUAAAAAUGUUUUACUAUAAUUGGCUUAGAACAUUUGUAAAGAAAAAUAAUAAUAAAAUAAUAAAUAACAUACACCGUCACAUAGCACCUAGACAAUGAUAGAAAAUUAUUAAAGAGAGUGCAAACAAUUAAUUAGAGAUUUUUAUGAUGACUUUUAAUAUUCAUGAUAAUAACAAAUAAAUACAUGUAUCACUUUUUUAAAAUAUUAAAUUUGACUGCUCCAUUAAUAAAUUAUUAUUGUAAUUCAGACUCUAUCUAUAUAUCCUUGCACUAAGAAUAAUUAAGGUAACGUUUGUUUUUUAACUUAAUGACUUAAAGUGACUUAACUUAAUUAAUUAAGUUAAUUAGAGGUGUUUGUUUUAUAACUUAAUGAGACUUUUUAGAUAAUUUUGACUUAAUAAAAUAAGCUAAUUUUUUUUGGCUUUUUACUUAAUGGAGAAAUCUGAAUUAAGUCAAUUACUUGCUAAUGUCAAAAAUAUCCUUGUUUUAUAAUUUAUUUUUCAUGUCUAUCCCAAAACUCGCCCGUAGAUAUUUACCCCACAUAAAAAUAUCCCUGUUUUUUUCUUUCUUAUAUUAUAUACGAUAAAAUUUGAAAUUUAUAGUAUUUUAUAUAUUAAAAUUCUAAAAUAAUUAUGUAUUCACUUGAAUAUAGUUUUACUUAUAAAUGUUAAAAUAUGAUGGUAUUUAAUAUAUUAUUUAUUUGACAUUCAAAUUUAAUAAGGAUACAAAUGUAAAAGUACAUAUUUUCAGCUUUUUAAAUUGAAAAAAAAUAACUUAAUAUUUAUUUUCUGAGAUUCAGACGAAAAAAUAAACAUAUUAUUCAGAUUCAUACAUUCAGAUCUAUUCAGAAUUCAAACUAAUUCAAGUCUAUUCAAAUUUUAGACAAAAAAAUAAACGCCACCUAAGUCAUAAUAAAAAUUUUCGUAACUACAUCUCGUUUCUUCCUCAUAAUAAUAAUUAGAUUGGUUCGAAUAUUAUAACUAUAUAGAUUUAGUGUAUAGCCACAUCCAAUUUAAAUAUUGACCCAAUUGGGAUGGUCCCCAAAAAAAAAGAUUCGUUAAAGGAUAAUUCUAAUUAUUUUUACUUCUCAAACGUUAGUGGGACGUUUCUAUUAGCGCACUCGUAAGCCAAGUUGUCAAAUAUUUAUACUAAACUACAAUUGCUAACAAGAAAAAUCAAGAUCGUGUUAAGCAAGUGGGUCCCGAAUAGGACGUGCAAAUCUCUCGUAAGUCAAGUUGUCAAAUGUUUAUAUAAAACUAACAAUUACUGACAAGAAAAAUCAAGAUCGUAUUAAAAAUGGGUCCCGAAUAGGAUUAUCUUUUUAAGAAUAUUAUUAUUUUAUUAUUAAAAUUUUAUUAAUAUAACAGUAUUAAAAUUUAUUAAAAAAUAUAUUUUAUUAUUAAAAUUUUAUACCGUUAUCAAUUUAUUAUUAUUUUAUUAAAAAAAUUAAUAUUUAACAAAAAUUGAGAUAAAAAUUAAUUUUUGUUCUCUGUCUUUAUUUAUUUAUUUAUUUUUUUGGGUCUUCUGCAAAUCACAAUCAAAUGUUGAAUUAUAAAUUUGCCGGCAUUGCUUUUUUUUUUUUUUUUGGGCCGGGGGGUGGUGUUGAAUUGAUGCUCUGGGUUUUUGACUUUUGUUGUCAAAUUUUACUCUGUUUUUCCCAAAUUGAUGCUANNNNNNNNNNNNNNNNNNNNNNNNNNNNNNNNNNNNNNNNNNNNNNNNNNNNNNNNNNNNNNNNNNNNNNNNNNNNNNNNNNNNNNNNNNNNNNNNNNNNNNNNNNNNNNNNNNNNNNNNNNNNNNNNNNNNNNNNNNNNNNNNNNNNNNNNNNNNNNNNNNNNNNNNNNNNNNNNNNNNNNNNNNNNNNNNNNNNNNNNNNNNNNNNNNNNNNNNNNNNNNNNNNNNNNNNNNNNNNNNNNNNNNNNNNNNNNNNNNNNNNNNNNNNNNNNNNNNNNNNNNNNNNNNNNNNNNNNNNNNNNNNNNNNNNNNNNNNNNNNNNNNNNNNNNNNNNNNNNNNNNNNNNNNNNNNNNNNNNNNNNNNNNNNNNNNNNNNNNNNNNNNNNNNNNNNNNNNNNNNNNNNNNNNNNNNNNNNNNNNNNNNNNNNNNNNNNNNNNNNNNNNNNNNNNNNNNNNNNNNNNNNNNNNNNNNNNNNNNNNNNNNNNNNNNNNNNNNNNNNNNNNNNNNNNNNNNNNNNNNNNNNNNNNNNNNNNNNNNNNNNNNNNNNNNNNNNNNNNNNNNNNNNNNNNNNNNNNNNNNNNNNNNNNNNNNNNNNNNNNNNNNNNNNNNNNNNNNNNNNNNNNNNNNNNNNNNNNNNNNNNNNNNNNNNNNNNNNNNNNNNNNNNNNNNNNNNNNNNNNNNNNNNNNNNNNNNNNNNNNNNNNNNNNNNNNNNNNNNNNNNNNNNNNNNNNNNNNNNNNNNNNNNNNNNNNNNNNNNNNNNNNNNNNNNNNNNNNNNNNNNNNNNNNNNNNNNNNNNNNNNNNNNNNNNNNNNNNNNNNNNNNNNNNNNNNNNNNNNNNNNNNNNNNNNNNNNNNNNNNNNNNNNNNNNNNNNNNNNNNNNNNNNNNNNNNNNNNNNNNNNNNNNNNNNNNNNNNNNNNNNNNNNNNNNNNNNNNNNNNNNNNNNNNNNNNNNNNNNNNNNNNNNNNNNNNNNNNNNNNNNNNNNNNNNNNNNNNNNNNNNNNNNNNNNNNNNNNNNNNNNNNNNNNNNNNNNNNNNNNNNNNNNNNNNNNNNNNNNNNNNNNNNNNNNNNNNNNNNNNNNNNNNNNNNNNNNNNNNNNNNNNNNNNNNNNNNNNNNNNNNNNNNNNNNNNNNNNNNNNNNNNNNNNNNNNNNNNNNNNNNNNNNNNNNNNNNNNNNNNNNNNNNNNNNNNNNNNNNNNNNNNNNNNNNNNNNNNNNNNNNNNNNNNNNNNNNNNNNNNNNNNNNNNNNNNNNNNNNNNNNNNNNNNNNNNNNNNNNNNNNNNNNNNNNGAAGGGUCUCUAAUCAAUAGCUGGAAGCAAUUGAGAAGGCGGUUGCUACAGUGAAUUCAAAUGUAAAAUGUUUGCUAUUCUUCGAUUUGGUUAAUGAUUUCGUAUGAAUAUUGUUGUUCCGUUGAGUUGCAUGCGAAUUCAAAUGCAAAAUAUUCUUCGAUUUUCAAUUUUGAAAUCAAAUUUUUUUUUCCUUCUCAAGCAUGUUAUGCAGAAACGAUUGUCAUGUUAUGCAGAAACGAUUUUUACUAAAUCAUUUUUAACAAACUAUUGAAAUUAAACCACUGGAAUAAGAAUUGUAAGGAUUUAUCGUAAGCUUACUAAUACGAUAAUUCUGAAACUAUCACCUUUUUUUUUUUAUUUGUUGCAGGGAAACCCAAAUUUUGUAUUUUGUCAAUUUCAUCUGAUAUGGAAUUUAUUUCCUCCCUAAAGAUUUAUCAAACUGCUUCUCUUCCCUGCUUCAAUAUCUUUAUGCAAUUACGAUCUCAUAGGAAAAGAGAGUUUGGGUUGUAUAUCUUAUAGUAUUUAUUUAUUUUUUGUUAAAAGAAAUUUAUUUUAAAAUAGUUUAUAGCAACAGUUUUUAUUUAACAAUAAUGAGGAAGGAUUAUUAUAGGUUCAAAUAGUUGUUAGAACAUUAUAAAAAAGUCCAUUUACUAUCAAAUGUUUUAAAUUGGUGCAACGUGAUAAUUGUCUCAUAUAAUUUUUUAAGGGUAAAAACUCGUUUCAUUCCCAUAUUUUAAGAUUAUUACUCAUUUAGUCUUUAUAUUUUUAAAAAUGUUUCAAAACAUUCAUACCCUUAAAUUAUUAACAUCUCUGCUGUUACUUUUUAUUUUUUUUUGACUUGUUUUUACAAUAUUGCCCUCUUACAAUAAUGUUUCUUUUUAUAAAAUUAAUAAAAAGAAAAAAAAUUAAAUUAUCAAUUUAACCCCAAAAAUAAAAUAAAAAUAAAAAGAAUAAAUAUUAAUUUUUGUGAAAGUUUACAUGUGUCCAAAAUAAAUUUUAUUGUAAAAAUAAUUAAAUUGCCUUUUUUUUGGACAUUAGUAAUAAAAAAAUUAAUAUAUUAAUUCCUCAGCAGUGUGUUACAAAAAAGUAAAAUAUAUUAAUUUUGUUUUUAUUUUAGACAAUGAGAUAGAGAAAAGUACAAGAUAAAGGAAAGGACUUCAAAACUCACUGUUCAUCAUAAUGCCCUUUGCCUUUAAAAAAAAAUCAUUCUAAUAUUUUAUAACACAUAAAAUAUAAUCCUAAGAUAAAUAUAAUAAUACAUAUUUUAAACUAAUCUCGAUAUUUAAAAUAUGUUUUAAUAUUUUAUAAUCUAUCAGACAUAUUUUAUUAUAUUAAUGUAAAAUUUAUAAUAAAUACAAACAUAUUAUUAAAAUAAAUAUAUAAAAAAUAUUUAUUUUUUAUAUGUUUACACUGAGGACUCUCUUUAAUUCAUUUAUUUUCUCUCUCUCCAAACAGGUACUGUCUUCAGUUAGCAAUGCUAUGAUAGUAAUCCAAUUCUCUUCUCCCCCACCUGAGCGAGAUUUGAAUUUGAAUCCCUUGUUUUUCACCCACUCUGUUUUUUUUCACGCAAGAUUUGACAAUUUGAGUUAAAAAAUAUGGUCCAAAACUUGAACACGUAUCUUUUAAUUGUAAUAAAAGUUCUUUAAGCUUUGGAGAUGGCAUAUAUAUGGCUGGAAGUGUCCUUUUCUUUGACCUAGAGGCAGCACCAAGCUAUCCAGCAUCAUCAUUUUUCAAGUGGGUCUUAAAUGCCUAGAAACGUUGGUGUUUCUUGAUUUAAAGAUGACACAUGCUAUAAGUGUGAAUGGUUUGGCUAAGCCUAAAUUUAAAGUCUACUCAAGUCGCAUUCAGGAUCAUGGAAAUUGGAAAGGGAGAGAUGAUAGCAAGAUUUAUAAUAAACAAUUAACUUGGGUCCUCAGUGUACAAAGCAAAUGCCACGCAAGCGAUAGCCGGCCCAGCCCAGAAAACCCAGUGGCGAUCCCAGAGAUGGCCUCCUCUAACGAGUGCUGGGCCCAAAAAUCUUUGCGGGUUGAGCCCAGCUCCGGCAUAGCCCUUUUGAGCAGUAACAGUUGUCGAGACAAAAACCAGAAGACCCAACACUGUUCCAAUGACAAUGCAUACGGUAAACUCUGCCAAGAGCCUUGGCUUGUCUGGAGUCAAAAGCCAUCCACACAGAAGCAAAAAGGAACACAAACGAGCAAAUUAUCUCAAGCCAAAGGGCCUGCCUAGUCCCCAAGCCGAUCUCAACAGGCCCAUCUGGCCCAGGUACGACAACAUUCAGGGUGCAGCCUCCAAGUUGUCAAAUAUUUAUAUUAAACUACAAUUGCUGACUAGAAAAAUCAAGAUCGUAUUACAAGUGGGUCCCGAAUUGGACGUGCCUAAAUCUUUUUAUAAUUUUCCCAGUGUAGCGGACAGAGGUCAUUACUAAAUUUCUCUUCCACACGCCACAGCAGCUUCGGUUAAUCAAACUCAAUCAAUUUUCUUGGCUUCUCCGCUUAUCAAUAUUACAAGGUAUGGGUAGCAUUUUUCAAAUCACAUGCGAUGGUACUAUUUUCAAUCGUUGCUUAGAUUGCUUUCUUGGAAAAGCAGCAUACAUAAGUAACCUCCAAGAUAAUCUUGUUGCCUUGGAGACUGAACUAAGGAAACUAAUCGCAGCAAAGAACGAUGUGAUGACGGCGGUUGUCAAUGCUGAACGGCAACAAAUGAGAAGGCUGGACCAAGUGCAAGUGUGGGUUUCGAGGGCGGAUGCUGUUAAAAAUGAAGCUGAUGAACUUAUCAGAGGCGGCUCUCAAGAAAUUGAAAAAUUAUGUCUUAGAGGGUUCUGUUCCAGGAACUGCACGUCAAGCUACAAGUUCGGAAAACAAGUGGCUAAAAAGCUACGAGCUGUGGAGACUUUAAUCGCCGAAGGAGUUUUUGAGGCGGUGGCUGCCGAGGUGGUGCCUGAGAGAGCUCCAGAGCCUGUAGCAGAUGAAAGACCUACCGAGCGAACAGUAGUAGGCUUGCAAUCACAACUUGAACAAGUCUGGAGAUGUCUUGCAGAAGAAUCAGCGGGAAUCAUUGGCCUAUAUGGUAUGGGCGGUGUUGGUAAAACUACACUAUUGACCUAUAUCAACAAUAAAUUUCUCGAGAGUCCAACCAACUUUGAUUGUGUGAUUUGGGUAGUAGUUUCAAAAGACCUGCGACUUGAAAAACUUCAAGAAAAUAUUGGGAAAAAGAUAGGUUUGGUUGAUGAUUCAUGGAAGAGUAAAAGUGUAGAGGAGAAAGCUCUCGACAUCUUCCGGAGUUUAAGAGAGAAGAGAAUUGUAUUGCUGUUAGAUGAUAUAUGGGAGCGGGUUGAUUUAACAAAAGUGGGCGUUCCACUUCCAGGACCACAAAAUACUAC
rnacentral:lncRNA from 1 species